rnacentral:lncRNA from 1 species
CGAUAGAGGCGGCGAAACUGCAAAAGUUGGAGUUAGCGAAAUCAAGAUCUGAGAUUAGUCGAUUGGAAGUUUCUCGACAACAAUUGAUUUCUGGGGAAACAUCUCAAGGGGAAUCUCGAAGUCUUGAUACACAGAUUCAACAAGGUUUGGACGGAGGGGGAGAACGAUAUGUGGAUUCUAGACAAGAAAUUCAUAUUGGGGAAUCAUCUUUAGGUCGUGACUUACAUUCUCAACAGAUUGAGGGAACAAAAGAUGAUGAGCAACAAGAAAUUGAGAAGAUCGUAUCGCAAGGGCGAAAUUCUCGACAAGGAAUGGGGAUGGUGGAACCACAGAUUCGUCAAAUUGAAGGUAAUCAACAGUAUAUCCCUUCAAUCCACUCUCAAAGUCGCAUGGAUAAUUUGAACAAAGACAGGGAUGUACAUCAACAACAUCAACAAAUUGCAAAUAUUAAUCCAAGGAAUCUUGGUUCGAGAACAAUUGAUGUUAACCCUAAUCAGAAUAAUCAAGGAGUUGCGCAUUCAACUGAAUUACACAAGAAACAGGGGAACAAUCAAGGUAAUACUACUAUCAUUACUUCCAAUUCUGAUAGAAAUGUGAUAGAAAAUAUUAGAUUGAAUGUGGAACCAGUUGGAACUCAAAAUUAUCAGUUGAAUUUUCCUAAAAUAACUACCAAUUUUGAUCGAAAUAUAAACAGAAAUGUAGCAGGUAAGACUGAUUAUUCAGUAGCAAAUAAUGAUAAAGCAGCCAUGAAAGAUCAGGCACAAGAACCAGCCCCAUACACUGUAGUUCAAACAUAUGCAGAUAGACUUAGAUUUAAUCAAUCUAAAAAGGGUGUGAGUAUUACUUUGAGUGAGCCUGAGAUUACCACCAAGCAAGGUCUACCAGCUGUCCUUUAUGUUAAGGAUGAAAUUGUUAAAGAAUUGGCUUCAACCUGUAAAUUUACAUUGAUUGGAAAAUUCAUCUAUACAAUGCCUAAAUUAGAGCUUAUUAGAAAGAAUUUUAUCCUUCAAACUCAACUAUCUGGGGGGGUUAAAAUUGCACACUUUAAUUCUAGACAUGUCUAUAUAGAUUUGGACAAUGAAUUGGACUAUAAUAUGGUGUGGACAAAACAGAGAAUGACUAUUGCUGGUCAAAUAAUGAGAAUUCAGGCUUGGACUCCAAAUUUCAAGCCUGAUGAAGAGACUCCCUUAGUCCCCAUUUGGAUAUCCCUACCUGAAUUACCUUGGCAUUGCUAUAACAAGGAGUUUAUUACUAGUCUUCUAUCCCCUAUUGGUAGAGUACUAUAUUUAGACUCAGCUUCUAUUAACAAAACAAGGGGUAGCCAGGCUAGAGUGAAGGUUCAAGUAGAUUUAACUAGGGACAGACCAUCCCAUAUAUGGAUGGGAUAUAUUGGUGAGGACAUUACUGAUGGAAGAUGGCAAAAAAUUGAGUAUGACAAUAUCCCUGACUACUGUUUCUAUUGUAAGCAUCAAGGUCACAAUGAAACUGUUUGUAUUAUAAAAAAAAGGGAUGUUGAAAACAAAAAGAAAAAAGAUGUAAACAAAAACAAAGAUAAGCAGGACAUUGUUUAUCAUAAUCAUGAAGAUUUACAGAGUCAUAAGGGUGUAGAAACUGAUAUAAGGGAGCUGGACCAUAUCCAACAAAGUUAUCAAACUCAAGACAAUCAACAACAACCAUUACAAGAGGAAUGGCAGAUACAAAAGAGAAGGAAUCAAUCUCAGCAAGUUAGAUUCAAUGUCAAUAGAGUUGUAACACAACAAGUACAAACUCAGACAGGUAUUGUUCCUUUUCCUACUAAAAAUACUUAUAUUGAUUUGGAGAUACAGGAAUUUAAUACUGCAGACAAAGAAAUGGAGACACAUAAUGAUCUAGAAGAUAGACAUCAGUCUACUUCUAAUACUGAAGGCAAUAAACAAAAGAAUCAAAAGGAUAAACAAACUGGUGAUCAACAAGAGAAAAUCACCAGAACAGGUGUUCAUUCUAUAACUCUUUCCCCUGCACCCCUUAAUGUUGAUGUUAUUAAUGUUGGUGUAGCUGAUGGAGGAGAGGAUGGGAUUGGUCAGGAGACAAUAAAAUCUAAUCUAUCUAAAUUAGAUAAAGGCAAAGGUAAACUUAGUGAUCAGAAUCUCACACAAGACAAAAUUCCCCCUGAUAAAACUAAUCCUCAUAAUUCCUUACAGACUAGUAAUAAGACUGGUACUACUUCUAAUCCUGUCAAUGAACCUAAUAAUCCUCAAGGUGAGAUCCUUGAUGAAUAUAAGGAACCUGACUCAGAGGAUGAGUAUGCUGAUACUCAAUCCUUAGAGGAAGGCAUUGAACCUGGGGGAGAAAUAAAUACUGGUCAUCAAAUUCAAAAAGACCCUUUGCUAGAUAACUCUAAUAUGGAUGAAAUUAGGGAUGUCACUGGUAAACAGGGUCUUUCUCCAAGAGGUAGAAAAUUAUUAAAACAAAAUAAAAAUGCUAGCAUUAGUAAACCUAAUACUAGAGCUAGAAGUAGAGGUAUUUGAUGUUUAAGGUGAUCUGUUGGAAUGCUAGGAGCAUCAAUACAUUUGGUGCUCUGGAAAGACUUAUUAAUCUUAGGAAAAUUCAUAAUCUUGCUAUGAUUGCAAUUUUAGAGCCUUUUAUUAAUCAAUCUCAACUGGAAUUUUAUAAAUUACAGCUUUUAAUGAAUAAGGGGUACUGUAAUCCUAACAACAAAAUUUGGAUAUUCUGGUCUAAUGAGGUAACUUGUAACAUCUUAGAGAGUGAUCAACAACAGGUUACUUGUGAAAUUAGUUAUGAGGGUUAUAGUGAAAAAUUUCUUAUGACUUAUGUUUAUGCAAAAUGUAAAGAUUCUUUGAGGAAACCUCUUUGGGAUAGUAUGUUAAGAUGGUCUACAACAGUGUAUCCUUGGUGUAUUUUAGGAGAUUUUAAUGUUAUUUCUUCAACUCAGGAAAAACUGGGAGGUAGAGAGUACAAUAUUAAUAAAAGCCUGGAAUUUAUUGAUGUUAUUGCUUCUUGUGGUCUGUUAGAUAUGGGAUAUAGUGGUCAGCCAUACACAUGGUGUAAUCAUAGAAAAGAUGGUUCUAGGAUUUGGAAGAGGUUAGAUAGAGGCCUGGUUAAUGAUAACUGGCUUGAUAAAAUGCCCUCUACCAACAUUACUCAUUUACCUUCUGUGGGAUCAGAUCAUUGCCCCUUAUUAAUGGAAGUCAUUGAGACCAAAGAGACUGUGAUUAAAUACUUUAAGUUCCUCAACUGUUGGACUGAGAAUGACACUUUUUUACAUACAGUUGAAAAGUGUUGGAGAAAGAAUGCUGUUGGUAACCCUAUGUGGAUUUUACAUACAAAGAUGAAAAGAUUAACUAACACUUUGAGAGAAUGGUCAAAAAAGGAAUAUGGAGAUAUUUUUGAGAAGGUAAAACAAUAUGAAAAAGGGGUUAAAGAGGCUGAAGAUAACUAUAUCAUGAAUAAUAGUCAGGGAAACAGAGAGAAGUUAUAUGCUAGUAAUGCUCAGUAUAUUAAAUAUUUGAAAUUAGAACAUGCCAUUCUUCAACAAAAAACUCAAUUACACUGGUUAAAAGAAGGGGAUGCUAAUUCUAAAUACUUCCAUGCUGUUAUUAGAGGUAAAAGGAAGAGAAUGUUUAUCCACAAAAUUAUGGAUGAGAAGGGUGGAUGGAUCCAAGGAGAGGAAAAUAUAGCUAAAGAAACUUGUGAUUAUUAUAAAAAUAUUUUCAAUGGAAGUGCUGAUAAAAUUAAUGAGGAACAUCUUCAUUGUAUUCCUAGGUUGGUUACCAAAGAACAGAAUUCUGAUUUGGAGAGAAUACCUAAUGAGGAAGAAUUGAGGAAGGUGGUAAUGAAUAUGAAUCCUCAUUCUGCACCUGGACCUGAUGGCAUUGGUGGAAAAUUUUACCAAUGUUGUUUUGAUAUAAUUAAGGAUGACCUUCUAGCUGCAGUACAAGCAUUCUUUAAUGGUUAUGAAAUGCCUAAGUACAUGACUCACUCAUGCCUAAUCCUUCUACCUAAAAUUGAACACCCUUCCAAACUUAAAGACUUUAGGCCUAUUAGUCUUAGUAAUUUUACUAAUAAAAUUAUUUCUAAGAUUAUUAGUACUAGACUGGCUCCUAUAUUACCAUUCCUUGUUUCAGAAAAUCAGUCAGGAUUUGUGAAGGGAAGAAGUAUUUCUGAAAAUAUUAUGUUAGCUCAGGAAGUUAUUCAUGGUAUAAAGCUACCUAAGGAAGGAAAGAAUGUGGUUAUUAAGCUUGAUAUGAUCAAAGCUUAUGACAGGGUCUCUUGGACUUAUACCUGUUUAGUGUUAAGAAAAAUGGGUUUUGGGGAAGAGUUUAUUGACAGAAUCUGGAGAAUUAUGAGCAACAAUUGGUAUUCAGUGGUGAUUAAUGGUAAAAGACAUGGAUUCUUUCAUUCUACUAGAGGUUUAAAGCAAGGUGACCCUUUAUCCCCAGCACUAUUUAUCUUAGGUGCUGAGGUUUUUUCUAGACAACUUAAUUCUCUUUAUAAUAAUCCUGAUUAUAUUGGUUUCCAGAUGGAUAGCAAAGGGCCUCAGAUUAAUCAUUUGUCUUUUGCUGAUGAUAUUAUCAUUUUUACAUCUACUGAUAGAUGUUCUUUACAGAUUAUAAUGAAUACAAUUAGGAAAUAUGAAUUGACUUCUAAUCAAAGGGUAAAUAAAGAUAAAAGUUUCUUUAUGGUUACUGAUAAAACUACUCAAGAUAUUAUAGAUAAUAUAAAAAAUGAAACUGGUUUUUGUAUACAGCACAACCCUAUUACAUAUCUUGGUUGUCCUUUAUACAUUGGGUGUCAAAAGAUUAUCUAUUUCUCUAAUAUUGUGGAAAAGAUUAUUAAGAAAAUAGCUGGAUGGCAAACUAAAAUCCUAAAUUUUGGAGGCAAAGUUAUUCUAGUGAAACAUGUAUUGCAGUCUAUUCCAAUACAUAUUUUAGCUGCUGUAUCUCCUCCUAAAACUAUUCUAAAACAAAUUCACAAAGUGAUUGCUGAUUUCUUUUGGGGUAAUGAUAAAGAUGGCAAAAAAUACCAUUGGGCAUCUUGGGAAACUCUAGCUUAUCCAACUAAUGAAGGUGGUAUUGGUGUAAGAAGUCUUCAUGAUAUAUGCACAGCUUUCCAAUAUAAACAUUGGUGGGAAUUUAGGACUAAAAAUUCCUUAUGGAGCAAAUUCCUUAAAGCUAAAUACUGCAAAAGAGCCAACCCUGUGUCUAAAAAAUAUGAUACUGGAGACUCCUUGGUUUGGAGAUAUUUCACUAGAAAUAGACAGAAUGUGGAAUCCUAUAUUAGAUGGAAUAUUAAGUCUGGCUCUUGUAGCUUUUGGUGGGAUAAUUGGUUAGGAAAUGAUAGCCUAGCUAAUCUGUGUAUUAAUAUUUCUAGCCUUAAUAACAAAACUGUUGCUGAUUUUCUUAUUAAUGGUAUGUGGAAUGAAAGACAAAUUAGGCAACAUGUUCCACCAAUAUUGGUACCUCAGGUAUUACAAACUCAUUUCAAGUAUAAAAUAGACAUAGAUGAUCAGGCUAUUUGGACUCCUACAGAGAAUGGGCAAUUCACUAUUGCUUCAGCUUGGGAAAUCAUUAGAAAGAAGAAGCCUAAAGAUAUUAUUAAUAACAGUGUGUGGCAUAAACAAAUACCUUUUAAAAUAGCUUUCUUUAUUUGGAGAGCCUUGAGAGGUAAACUUCCAACAAAUGAAACAAUACAAAAGUUUGGGAAAGUUGCUGAAGAAUGUUAUUGCUGUUAUAAAAAGGGCACUGAUGAUAUUCAACAUAUUUUGAUCACUGGCAACUUUGCUAAAUAUAUAUGGAAAUAUUAUAAUGAUCCAAUUGGAGCAAUACAAACUACUAAUGAUUUAAGAAGCUUGUUAUUAUAUUGGAAGAAUCUACCCUCUCUAAAUCAGGUUUAUAAAUUAGUUACUUCUGUUUUACCUAAUAUUAUUUGCUGGCAUUUGUGGAAAAAUAGAUGUGCUGUGAAAUAUGGUGAUAAGAAAUCAAGUAUCCAUAGAGUUCAAUAUGGUAUUUUUAAAGAUGUUAUGCAGAUCAUUCAGGUAUCUCAUCCAAAUAUUCCAUGGCAACAUAGCUGGUACAGUUUAAUUAAUAUUGUUGAACAAUGUCAACAACAAAUAAGUGUGAUAAUGGUUAGCUGGAACAAACCACAAGAAGGUAUAUACAAACUUAAUACUGAUGGAAGUGCACUCCCAAAUUCUGGGAAGAUUGGAGGAGGAGGCAUACUAAGGGAUCACAAAGGUAAUUUACAUUAUGCAUUUUCAAUACCAUUUGGAUUAGGCACUAAUAACAUUGCAGAGAUGGAGGCUGCAAGAUAUGGAUUGCAUUGGUGUGAACAACAUGGUUACAGAAACAUUAUAUUAGAGGUCGAUUCUGAAAUUCUAUAUAAAUGGAUAAGCAAUACAAUAUCAAUUCCAUGGAGAUAUCAACACACAUUACAACAAAUUCAAGACAUAGGUAGAAAAUUGGAUCAUUUUGAGUGCAGGCAUAUAUAUAGAGAAGCCAAUGGUACUGCAGACAUGCUGUCAAAGUGGAGCCACAAUCUGGAAACUCUUCAACACUUUUAUGCCACAAGACAACUCAAGGGAGCAAUUCGUGGAAGCUAUAUAUUGGAGAAGAUGGGCAUCCAAAAUUUUAGAAGAAGGAAACUCAAGAGAAUCAAACAGCCUCCAUAAAAAUUCUUUUAUUACAAUUUUAUAGGAAUACAAAUGUCAUUAAACUUAUCCAUUGACUGUUUAGAAUAGUUGAUAGAAUAGGUUUACUAUUUUCAUUAUCCAUGUAAGGGGAGAGUCUCCCUCAUUUAUGCUUUUAGAAAAUGUAUUAGGAGAGGAGUCCUCUCUAGUUAUCUUUUUCUAAUUUUGCAUCUUAUUGUAUAAGGAUGAAUUGACUAUCUUAGUAGAUGUGUCAAUUACAUUCCUACCAAAUAGUAGAAGGUAAGGUAAAUGCCCCCCUUCUUGUAAUAUUUUGUUUUUGAUAUAUGUUAAGGCCUGGGGGUGUUGCUAAGCCCCUGACCCACUACAAGGGUCAAUUUAAUAAAAAAAAAAACCCUAAACCCUAAACCCUAAACCCUAAACCCUAAACCCUAAACCCUAAACCCUAAACCCUAAACCCUAAACCCUAAACCCUAAACCCUAAACCCUAAACCCUAAACCCUAAACCCUAAACCCUAAACCCUAAACCCUAAACCCUAAACCCUAAACCCUAAACCCUAAACCCUAAACCCUAAACCCUAAACUCUCUAGAAUUCUCUCAAGGUGGUCAUCUUACAAUAUAAACAAAACAGGAAUGGAAGCAAUAAUCCCCUCCCCAGCAAUCCCUUAUAGUGAUAAUGUUGGUAUAGCUGAUGGAGGUGAGGUUGGAAGAGGUCAGGAGAAUAUUAGUACUCAGCAUGUUAAUUAUGAUAAAGGAAAAAAUAAAGUUGUUUAACAGGGGAUUGAUAAAGAACCCCCUGAUAAACAGAUUAUUAAUAUUCCUCAUCAGAUUAUUACUAAAAAUAACAAUAAAACUCAACUUACUACUGGUAAUAACCCUAUUGAACAUCAAAGAGAUGAGAAUGUGGAUGAAUAUAGGGAACCUAAUUCUGAAGAUGAUUUGGAUGUGGAUACACAAUCUUUAGGAGAUGGUAUUGAACCAGGAGAGGAAUUUAACACAUCUGACCAUAUUCAAAAAGGCCCUUUGCUUCAGUCCUCUAAUGUUGAUGAAAUUAGAGAUGUAACUGGCAAACAAGGUCUGUCACCUAGAGGAAGAAAGAUUAUAAAACAAAAUAAACUUGCUAGUCAUAGUAAGCCUAAUACUAGAGCUAGAAGUAGAGGAAUCUAAUGAUUAAGUUUCUAUGUUGGAAUGUGAGGAGCAUAAAUACUUUUGGUGCAUUAGAGAGAUUGAUUAAUCUCAGAAAAAUGCAUAACCUGUCUAUGAUAGCUAUUCUUGAACCUUUUGCUAAUCAAGAUAAUAUAGAUUCUUGUAGAAUGCAAUUAAUCAUGAAUCAUAGUUUUAGUAAUUCUAAUAACAAAAUUUGGCUAUUUUGGUCUAAUGACAUUACUUGUGAUAUAUUGGAAAGUGAUCAGCAGCAGGUGACUUGUGAGGUGAGUCAUGAGAAAUGUAGUGAAAAGUUUAUUAUCACCAAUGUAUAUGCUAAGUGUAAGGAUCAGUUAAGGAAACCACUUUGGGAUAUUAUGCUAAAAAGGUCUGAAACCAUGUAUCCUUGGAGUAUUAUUGGAGACUUCAAUGUUAUCACAUCUACUAGUGAGAAACUGGGAGGGAGAGAUUAUAAUAUAAACAAGAGUUUGGAGUUUAUUAAUAUUAUUGAGGCUUGUGGUUUAGUGGACAUGGGAUAUCAUGGUCAGGAUUACACUUGGUGUAAUCAUAGGAAAGAUGGUGCAAGAAUCUGGAAAAGAUUAGAUAGGGGUAUGACUAAUGAUAAAUGGAUAGAAACAAUGCCUCAUUCUAGUAUUACUCAUCUUCCUUCAGUAGGGUCUGAUCAUUGUCCCUUAUUGAUGGAAAUCUGUGAUAUUCAAUAUAAUACUAUUAAGUAUUUUAAAUUUCUGAACUGUUGGACUGAGAAUGAUUCUUUUUUAGAAACUGUAGAAAAAUGUUGGAAAAGAGAUGUAAUUGGUAAUCCUAUGUGGAAUUUUCAUACAAAGUUGAGGAGACUAACUAAGACUUUGAGAAUAUGGUCAAAACAGGAAUAUGGUGAUGUAUUUGAGAAAGUUAAACUGUAUGAAGAUUUGGUGAAAAAGGCUGAAAAUAGUAUAAUUGAUAAUUAUAGUGCUGAAAAUAUAGAGAAACUUAAUGCUAUUAAUGCGAAAUAUAUUAAGUUUUCUAAGAUGGAAUAUAAGAUUCUGCAACAAAAAACUCAGUUGCAUUGGUUGCAAGAAGGAGAUGCUAACACUAAAUAUUUUCACACUUUGAUCAGAGGAAAAAGAAAUAGAAUGUCUAUUCAUAAACUGAUGGAUGAAAGUGGGAAUUGGAUUAAGGGGGAAGAAGAGAUUGCUAAACAUGCUUGUGAUUAUUAUGAGAAGAUUUUCACAGGUAUGAAUGACAAAAUCAAGGAAGAUAUCCUGCAGUGUAUUAAUCCUAUGAUAACUCAAGAACAAAAUAAAGAUCUUGAUAGAAUACCUGAUAUGGAUGAAUUGAAAAGGACCAUUAUGAGUAUGAACCCUCACUCAGCCCCUGGACCUGAUGGAUUUGGUGGAAAAUUCUACCAAGUAUGCUUUGAUAUUAUCAAAGAAGAUCUCUUGGCUGCUGUUAAACAUUUUUAUGUUGGCAAUAUUAUGCCCAGAUAUUUAACUCAUGCCUGUUUAACUCUUCUUCCCAAAAUUGACCAUCCUUGCAGACUUAAGGACUUCAGACCUAUUAGCCUUAGUAAUUUUACUAAUAAGAUCAUUUCAAAGAUCUUAAGUACCAGAUUAGCAUUAAUAUUACCUGGUAUUGUUUCUGCAAAUCAAUCAGGUUUUGUCAAAGGAAGGAGUAUUGCUGAGAAUAUUUUGUUGGCUCAGGAAAUUAUUCAUGGGAUUAAAAAACCAAAAGAUGGAAGUAAUGUGGUUAUCAAAUUAGACAUGGUUAAAGCUUAUGAUAGAGUUUCAUGGAAUUAUACUUGUUUGGUGUUAAGAAGAAUAGGUUUUAGUGAAGUGUUUAUUGACAGAGUUUGGAGGAUUAUGAGCAAUAAUUGGUAUUCUAUUGUAAUAAAUGGGAAGAGGCAUGGGUUUUUUCAAUCUAAGAGAGGGCUUAAACAGGGUGAUCCUUUAUCUCCAUCACUUUUUGUUUUAGGUGCUGAAAUUCUGUCAAGACAGCUUAAUCUUCUUUAUCAAAAUCAUCAGUAUAAAGGAUUUCAUAUGGAAAGAAAAGGACCACAAAUUAAUCAUCUUAGUUUUGCAGAUGAUAUAAUUAUCUUCACUUCCACUGAUACUAAUUCCAUUCAUCUUAUUAUGAAAACAAUUGAGCUAUAUGAAGCAGUUUCAGAUCAGCAGGUGAAUAAAGAAAAAAGUUUCUUUAUGGUGACCCCUAAUACUGGUUAUGAUAUUAUUGAGGAAAUUAAGAGGGCUACUGGAUUUAAUAGGAAAAACAGUCCUAUCAAUUAUCUUGGCUGUCCAUUAUAUAGUGGAGGACAAAGGAUUAUAUAUUAUUCUGAACUAGUUGAAAAAAUAAUCAAAAAAAUUUCUGGCUGGCAUUCAAAACUUUUAAACUUUGGAGGUAAAAUUAUCUUGGUGAAACAUGUUCUUCAAUCUAUUCCAAUCCAUACUCUUUCUGCUAUAUCACCUCCCAAAACUACUCUAAAUUGUAUUAAGAAGCUUAUAGCUGAUUUCUUUUGGGGCAUUGAUAAAGAUGGUAAGAAAUAUCAUUGGUCAUCUUGGGAAAACUUGGCUUAUCCAAUUAGUGAGGGGGGAAUUGGUGUAAGAUUAUUAGAAGAUGUUUGUACUGCUUUUCAAUAUAAACAGUGGUGGGAUUUUAGAACUAAAAAAUCAUUGUGGAGUCAGUUCUUACAAGCCAAAUACUGUCAAAGAGCCAAUCCUGUGGCCAAAAAAUAUGAUACUGGUGACUCAUUGAUAUGGAGAUACUUAACUAGAAAUAGACUUAAGGUGGAAUCUUUCAUUAAAUGGAAUAUAAAUUCUGGUACUUGUAGUUUUUGGUGGGAUAAUUGGUUGGAUAUUGAAAAUCUAGCUAGUCAAAAUGAGCAUAUAUCUAGUUUAAAUAACAGUAUGGUUGCAGACUUCUUAAAGGAUGGUAAGUGGAAUGAAAGUUUAAUUAGACAACAGGUGACACCUUUGUUGGUACCAAAGAUUUUGCAGAAACAAUUCAAUUAUACUGCAGGCAAAGAUGACACUGCAAUAUGGAUGCCAACUGAAACUGGCAUUUUCUCUAUAUCUUCUGCAUGGGAAUGUAUUAGAAAGAAAAGAAUUAUUGACAAUAUUAGUACAAUUAUAUGGAAUAAACAUUUACCUUUUAAAAUAGCAUUUUUUAUCUGGAGAGCCUUAAAAGGUAAGUUACCUACUAAUGAAUUUUUGCAAAGAAUUGGUAGUAAUAUUUCAGAUUGUAGCUGCUGUUAUAGGAAAGGCAAGGAUGACAUUAAUCACAUAUUGAUUAAUGGAAAUUUUGCUAAAUAUAUUUGGAAGAUCCAUGCUGCAACUCUUGGAAUAAUUCCAGUCAACACUAAUCUUAGAGCUCAAUUAUUACAUUGGAGGAAUCAGAAAGUCAACAAUGAGGUACAUAAGUUACUUAUACAUAUCUUACCUAAUCUAAUUUGUUGGAAUUUAUGGAAAAAUAGGUGUGCUGUCAAGUAUGGGAAGAAAAGAUCCAGUGUACAUAGAGUAAAAUAUGGCAUAUUCAAGGAAGUAAUGCAGAUUAUUAAACUUGUAUUUCCAAGUAUACCAUGGCAAGCAAACUGGAAUAAUUUAGUUAACAUAAUUGAGAACUGUUCUCAGCAAUAUAAAAUAGUGUUGGUAAGUUGGAAUAAACCAGCUUUUGGCACUUACAAACUCAAUACAGAUGGCAGUGCUAUUCAAAAUUCAGGUAAAACUGGUGGUGGGGGUAUUCUAAGGGAUUUUCAAGGUAAAAUUGUUUAUGCCUUUUCUAUACCAUUUGGUGUUGGUACUAACAAUUUUGCAGAGAUCAAGGCUGCUCUAUAUGGGAUGCAGUGGUGUGAACAACAUGGAUACAAAAAAGUGGAAUUGGAAGUGGAUUCAGAGCUGCUGUUCAAUUGGAUAAAAAACACAACCAAAAUCCCUUAAAGAUAUGAAGAUCUGGUCCAACAAAUUCAGCAAAUAAGUAUGAAAAUGGAACAAUUUCAGUGUCAUCACAUAUACAGGGAAGCCAACAAUACUGCAGACUUGCUAUCUAAAUGGAGUCACAAUCUGGAAGUAGUUCAACACUUUUAUACAACAAGACAACUUGAGGGAGCAAUUAAAGGAAGUUAUAUAUUGGAGAAGAUGGGAGUGCAAAACUUUAGAAGAAGGAAACUUAAGAGAAUAAAACAUCCACCUUAGAUAUAAUACAAGUUAUCAAAGGUAUUGUAAUACAAUUGACAUUAAAUAUUCAUUAGCUAAUUUUAGUUAAUAGAAUAGGUUUACAUUUUCAUUCUUAAUGUAAAGGGAGAGUCUCCCUCAUUUAUGCUUACUUAGAAAAUAGUUUAAUUUUCUAUAGAUGUGCAUCAUAUUGUAUAAGGUGUAAUUGACUAUCUUAGUAGAUAAGUCAAUUCAUACCUACCAAAUUGUAGAAGGUAAGGUGAAUGUCCCCCUUCAUGUAAAUUUUGUUUUCAAUAAAUGAUAAGGCCUGGGGGUGAUGCUAAGCCCCUGACCCACCUCAAGGGUCGUUCAACUAAAAAAAAAAAAAACCCUAAACCCUAAACCCUAAACCCUAAACCCUAAACCCUAAACCCUAAGCCCUAAGCCCUAAGCCCUAAACCCUAAGCCCUAAACCCUAAACCCUAAACCCUAAACCCUAAACCCUAAACCCUAAACCCUAAGCCCUAAGCCCUAAGCCCUAAGCCCUAAACCCUAAACCCUAAACCCUAAACCCUAAACCCUAAACCCUAAACCCUAAACCCUAAACCCUAAACCCUAAACCCUAAACUCUCUAGAAUUCUCUCAAGGUGGUCAUCUUACGAUUAGCAGAUUAGCUAAUUGUUGUGGAAAAUUGUGUUUUGGCAUGGCUGGGAAUCCAGCGGAUGAACGUUUUAGGCCCCCCGAUCCAUCUAUAGGUGAAGGGAAUCCUACAGUUCAAUCAGCGAUUCAAGCAGUGGCGGAAGAAGCGUCGUCUUCCUCGUCGCAACGGAGGGAAGAAGCGGUGAACGUUGCGACAAUAGAGGCUGAAAUGGAUGCAUCGCGUCACUAUCUUGCAACAGGGUACAAUCCAAAAGAAUUUGGUGGUUUUGAUGUACAAGAUUUGGAAGCGAAAUCGCAUGCGAUCGAAGUCGCGAAAUCGCAUGCAAUGGAGGCGGCGAGAUCGAUUUCGCAUACAACUCGAUUGGAUCGUUCUAGACAACAAUCAGUUACUGGGGAUUUAUCUCAAGGUAUUUAUACCUAUAAUCGACAAAGCCUUGAGUUCAUGGAAGAUCGAAAUCUUGAAUCGCGACAAGAAGAUGCUAUGGUGGAAUCGCACAGGUAUACUCAACCAGUUGGAAAUCGUGUGGUUCAUCAAACGGACAAUCAAUCCAAGCAUUCCAAUCGAGGAAUUGAUUAUUCGAACAAGGAUCCUGAAUCUAAUCAACAAAUUCAAAAAAUUGCUAAACCUAAUACAAGAACCUCUGUUUCGAGAGCUGCACCAGUUCAUUUUACUCAAAAUAGGCAAAAUGCAGGGAGUUCAUCAGAAUUACAAAAUAUUCAAGGUAAUCCUAUGAUCACUACUACUACUUACGGUCAAGAAACUGGUAGAUUGAUUGAGGAACCUGUUAGAACUGCUAGACAAACUGAUAGAGAUACUGAUAGAUAUCACGCUAACUUUCCAAAGAUUACAAGUAAUUUUGAUCGUAGUGUUCAUAGAAUUGAAUCUGAGAAGGAUGGUAAUCCUAUAGGCAAUCCUAACAGUUCUUCUAAGAAAGAUCAAAUAUCUGAACCAGCCCCUUAUACAGUAAUUCAAACCUAUGCAGAUAGGUUGAGAUAUAAUCAAUCUAAAAAGGGGGUUAGUAUCAAAUUAAGUGAACCUGAGAUUACUACUAAGCAAGGGUUACCUGCUGUUUUGUAUGUUAAAGAGGAAGUAGUAAAAGACUUAGCUGAAACAUGCAAGUUUACUUUGAUUGGUAAAUUCAUAUAUACAAUGCCUAGGGUUGAUCUAAUUAGAAAAAACUUUAUACUUCAAACACAACUUUCUGGUGGGGUGAAAAUUGCUCAUUUUAACUCAAGGCACGUAUAUAUUGAUCUUGAUAAUGAGUUAGACUAUAAUAUGGUAUGGACUAAACAAAGAAUGAAUAUAGCUGGUCAAAUCAUGAGAAUACAAGCAUGGACACCUUCUUUUAAGCCUGAAGAAGAAACUCCUUUAGUUCCAAUUUGGAUUUCCCUACCAGAACUACCUUGGCACUGUUACAACAAGGAAUUUAUAACUAGCUUAUUGUCACCUAUUGGGAGAGUUCUAUACCUUGAUUCAGCUUCUAUCAACAAGACAAGGGGCAGCCAAGCUAGAGUGAAAGUCCAGGUGGAUUUAACCAAAAAUAGACCCCCUCACAUUUGGAUGGGGUAUAUAGGGGAAGACAUUACAGAUGGAAGGUGGCAAAAGAUCGAAUAUGACAAUAUUCCUGAUUACUGUUUUUACUGUAAGCAUCAAGGACAUAAAGAGGAAGACUGUAUAGUGAAGAGAAGAGAUGAGGAAAAUAAAAAUAGAAAAGAAUUGGAAAAGAACAGGACUAGGAAAGACAACCAAAAGGUGACUAAUGAAGUGCAAAUUACUAAUAUUGAUGCUGGUAGAACUAAGGUGGAAUAUGAUCAGCAAAAACAUCAAAAUAUAGACAAUCUUCAACAAAUGAUACAAGAGGAUUGGCAAACUCAAAAGAGGAAAAAUGGCAAUCAACAAGUUAGAUUCAAUGCUGAAAGAGCUAUUGUUCAUCCACAACAAUCUCAAACAGGUAUGAUUUCUAUCCCUACCAAAAAUGCUUAUAUUGAUCUUGAAGUGCAGGAAACUACUGAGGUUGCAACUGGAUUGGAAUUACCCAUUGAGCAAAUACAUGAUCACAUUCAAGGAUAUGCUGAUGGAAGGAAUGUGCCUAAGGAAAAAAGAAACAAACACCAUAUGCUGGAAAUUCAAGAAAACAGGAAUACACAGGCUGAUCAUCAAAUUAAUACACUCAAUAAAUCAGGUAUUGACUCAAUGCUCCCCACCCCUGCACCCCUUGAGACUGUUGGUGUAGUUGUUGGAGGUGAGGUUGGAAGAUGUCAGGUGGAGUUUAGAUCUCAGCAGGUUAGAUAUGAUAAAGGGAAAGAUAAAGUAUUUGAAGAAGGGACUUGUAGCAAUGUUGAGAAAGAACCUCCUGAUAAAAGUAAUUUUACUAUGCUUCAACAAAAGAAUGCUAAAACUAAUAACAAAAAUCAAUCAAUUACUGGUAAUUUCCCUAUUAACCAUCAAAGAGAUAUUAAUUUUGAUGAGUAUAAGGAACCUGAUUCUGAAGAUGAGGAUGAUCUUGAUACUCAAUCUUUAGGAGAGGGUAUGGAAACAGGAGAGGAAAUAAAUACCUCUGACCAACUUCAAAAGGAACCUUUACUACAGUCUUCUAAUAUUGAUGAGAUUAGAGAAGUUACUGGCAAACAGGGUUUAUCACCUAGAGGAAGAAAGCUGUUAAAACAAAAUAAACUUACUAGUACUAGUAAGCCUAAUACUAGAUCUAGGAGUAGAGGUAUUUAAUGAUUAAAUUCUUAUGUUGGAAUGUUAGGAGCAUUAACACUAAUGGUGUUCUUGAGAGAUUGAUUAAUCUCAAAAAACUCCAUAAUCUGUCAAUGCUUGCUCUUUUAGAACCUUUCUCCAAUUAUACUCAUAUAAAUUCUUACAGAAUGCAAUUACUUAUGGAUCAUAGUUUUAGUAAUAUUAAUAAUAAGAUCUGGAUUUUUUGGUCUAAUGACAUUACUUGUGAUAUUUUGGAAAGUGAUCAUCAGCAGGUGACCUGUGAGGUUAGUCAUGCAAAUUGUAGGGAGAAGUUCACCAUGACUUAUGUGUAUGCUAAGUGUAAGGACCAUUUGAGGAAACCUCUUUGGGAUGUGAUGUUACAAAGAUCUAACACUAUAAAUCCUUGGUGUGUAUUGGGUGAUUUCAAUGUUAUAACUUCUAUCAGUGAGAAGUUGGGUGGUAGGGAUUAUAAUAUCAAUAAAAGCCUGGAAUUUAUUAAUAUCAUUGAGGCUUGUGGUCUGGUAGAUAUGGGAUAUCAUGGUCAAAAUUACACUUGGUGUAAUAAUAGGAGGGAUGGUGCAAGAAUUUGGAAAAGACUGGAUAGAGGUAUGACAAAUGACAAAUGGAUUGAAACAAUGCCUCAUUCCAGUAUUACUCAUCUUCCAUCUGUUGGAUCUGAUCAUAGUCCAUUAUUGCUGGAAAUUUGUGAUAUGCAAUCCAAUAUUAUUAAAUAUUUCAGAUUUCUUAAUUGUUGGACUGAGAAUGAUAAUUUUUUAACAACUGUGGAAAACUGUUGGAAGAGAGAAGUUACUGGUAAUCCUAUGUGGAUAUUACAUACUAAGUUGAAGAGACUAACUAAGACUUUGAGAGGGUGGUCAAAACAGGAAUAUGGGGAUGUUUUUGAACAAGUGAAACAUUAUGAGGAGCUGGUGAAACAGGCUGAAAAUGAUAUGAUCCUCAAUAAUAGUCCUGAAAAUAUUGAGAAAUUGAAUGCUACCAAUGCUAAUUAUAUUAAAUAUUUGAAGAUUGAAUAUAAUAUUCUUCAGCAAAAAACUCAUUUGCAUUGGUUAAAAGAAGGGGAUGAAAAUACCAAGUAUUUUCAUGCUUUGAUUAGAGGUAAAAGGAAUAGGAUGGCUAUUCAUAAACUGAUGGAUGACAGGGGAAAUUGGAUCCAAGGGGAAGAUAAGAUUGCUAAACUUGCUUGUGAUUAUUAUGAGGAGAUUUUUACUGGUAAGGCUGAGAAAAUUAAGGAAGAAAACCUCCAGUGUAUUAAUGAGAUGGUCACUCAAGAACAAAAUGAGGAGUUAGACAGAUUACCUGAUGAAGAUGAAUUGAGAAGGAUCAUUAUGAAUAUGAAUCCUAACUCAUCACCUGGUCCGGAUGGUUUUGGAGGAAAAUUUUAUCAAACAUGUUUUAAUAUAAUCAAGUAUGAUUUGUUGGCUGCUGUUAACUAUUUUUAUAUUGGUAACAGUAUGCCUAAAUAUAUGACUCAUGCCUGUCUCAUCUUACUUCCCAAGGUUGAACAUCCCUGUAAAUUAAAAGAGUUUAGACCUAUCAGCCUUAGUAAUUUUACUAAUAAGAUUAUCUCUAAGAUAAUGAGUACUAGACUGGCAUCUAUUUUACCUGAUCUAGUUUCAGAAACUCAAUCUGGCUUUGUCAAAGGGAGGAGUAUCUCUGAAAACAUACUUUUGGCUCAGGAAAUUAUUCAUGGUAUUAAAAAACCUAGAGAUGGCAGUAAUGUAGUAAUCAAGCUGGAUAUGGUGAAAGCUUAUGAUAGAGUUUCAUGGUCUUACACUUGUAUUGUGUUAAGGAGAAUGGGGUUUAGUGAAAUCUUUAUUGAUAGAGUUUGGAGAAUAAUGAGUAAUAAUUGGUAUUCUAUUAUAAUCAAUGGGAAGAGGCAUGGAUUUUUUCAGUCUAAGAGAGGACUUAAACAAGGUGAUCCCUUGUCUCCAGCUCUAUUUAUUUUAGGAGCUGAAGUUCUUUCUAGACAGCUUAGCCUUCUUUAUAAAAAUCAGCUGUAUAGAGGGUUUCACAUGGAAAGCAAUGGUCCUAAAAUUAAUCAUCUUAGCUUUGCGGAUGAUAUAAUUAUUUUUGCUUCUACUGAUAACAACUCCCUUAAUCUCAUUAUGAAGACUAUUGAGCAAUAUGAAGAAGUUUCUGAUCAACAAGUUAAUAAAGAUAAAAGCUAUUUCAUGGUAACUUCUACUACUAGUCAAGACAUCAUUGAAGAAAUUGCUAGAACUACUGGUUUUAGUAGAAAAAACAGUCCUAUCAAUUAUUUGGGUUGUCCAUUAUAUAUUGGUGGGCAAAGGAUCAUCUAUUAUUCUGAGGUUGUAGAGAAGGUGAUCAAAAGAAUUGCUGGCUGGCAUUUAAAAAUUUUAAAUUUUGGGGGUAAGGUUACACUGAUUAAACAUGUUUUACAAUCUAUGCCUAUUCAUACUCUAGCUGCUAUUUCUCCUCCAAAGACUACUUUAAACAGUAUUAAAAAAGUAAUUGCUGAUUUCUUUUGGGGUAUAGAGAAGGAUGGAAAGAAGUACCAUUGGUCUUCUUGGGAUAAUAUGGCUUAUCCAACUAAUGAAGGAGGCAUUGGAGUGAGGUUGAUUGAUGAUGUGUGUACUGCUUUUCAAUAUAAGCAGUGGUGGACAUUUAGGACCAAGAAUUCCUUAUGGAGUCAAUUCUUGAAAGCCAAAUAUAAUCAAAGAGCCAACCCAGUGGCUAAAAAAUAUGACACUGGGGAUUCAAUUGUAUGGAGAUACCUUACUAGGAAUAGGCAAAAAGUGGAAUCUCUUAUUAAAUGGCAUAUUCAGUCUGGUACUUGCAGUUUUUGGUGGGAUUGUUGGUUAGAUAAACCUUUAGCUAAGCUAUGUGAUCAAGUAUCUAGUCUGAAUAAUAGUACUGUAGCUGAUUUUCUUAUAAAUGGUAACUGGAAUGAAAGGCUUAUUAGACAGCAUGUACCACCUCAGUUAGUUCCAAAUAUUUUGCAAAUCAAAAUCAAUUAUCAAGCUAGCAAUAUUGACACUGCUAUAUGGACACCUACAGAAUCUGGUCAAUUCACUAUUAGUUCUGCAUGGGAGAGCAUUAGAAAGAGAAGAAACCAUGAUCCUAUUAACAAGAUUAUUUGGUAUAAACAGAUUCCUUUUAAAGUAAACUUCUUUAUUUGGAGAGCUUUAAGAGGAAAAUUACCUACUAAUGAAUCUUUGCAUAAAUUUGAUAAGCCUAUAUCAGAUUGUUAUUGUUGUUACAACAAAGGCAAAGAUGACAUUAAUCAUAUUUUGAUUAAUGGAAAUUUUGCCAAAUAUAUUUGGAAGAUCCAUGCAUCAACAGCUGGAGUAUUACCUAAUAAUACAAAUCUGAGAGAUCAACUAUUGCAUUGGAGUAAUCAGCAAUAUACAAAUGAGGUACACAAAUUACUUAUGCAUAUUUUACCUAAUUUUUUAUGUUGGAAUCUUUGGAAAAAUAGGUGUGCUGUCAAGUAUGGUAUGAAAAGUUCCAGCUUAUAUAGAGUACAAUAUGGCAUAUUUAAGGACAUUAUGCAGGUGAUCAAACUUGUGUUCCCUAGUAUACCAUGGCAAUCUUGCUGGAAUAAUCUUAUUAAUAUAGUGAAUCAAUGUAAACAGCAAUACAAGAUAGUCAUAGUUAAGUGGAAUAAACCAGACUUAGGUAAUUACAAACUCAACACAGAUGGUAGUGCUUUACAAAAUUCAGGAAAGAUUGGAGGAGGUGGAAUUCUUAGGGAUCAUCAAGGUAAAAUUGUUUAUGCAUUUUCCUUGCCUUUUGGAUUUGGAACUAACAAUUUUGCAGAGAUCAAGGCUGCUUUACAUGGGCUGGAUUGGUGUGAGCAACAUGGCUACAAGAAGAUUGUGUUGGAAGUUGACUCAGAGCUACUGUGCAGCUGGAUCAACAGAAAUAUUAAUAUACCUUGGAAAUAUGAAGAACCAAUACAACAAAUUCAUCAAAUAAUUAAGCAGCUGGAACAAUUUCAAUGCAAUCACAUAUAUAGAGAGGCAAAUUGUACGGCUGAUUUGUUAUCAAAAUGGAGUCACAAAUUGGAAUUUCUGCAAAAUUUUUAUACAACAAGACAACUUAAAGGAGCAAUUAGAGGAAGCUACCUAUUGGAGAAAAUGGGUAUUCAAAACUUUAGAAGAAGGAAGCUCAAGAGAAUAAAACAACCUCCUUAGAUAUUGUUUUUCUUGAUGUCUAUCUAUUAUUGCAAAUAGUAUUAAACUUCUUCAUUAACUUUUGUAGUUAGUAGAAUAGGUUUACAUUUUCAUUAUCCAUGUAAAGGGAGAGUCUCCCUAGUUUAUGCUUUCUUAGAAAUUUUAGUAAUUUUCUAUAGAAGUGCAUCUUAUUGUAAUAGGUUGAAUUGACUAUCUUAGUAGACAAGUCAAUUACAUACCUACCAUAUUAUAGAAGGUAAGGUAAAUGUCCCCCUUCUUGUAAAAUUUGUUUCUAUAAAUGUUAAGGCCUGGGGGUGUUGCUAAGCCCCUGACCCACCUCAAGGGUCGUUCUCAAAAAAAAAAAAAACCCUAAACCCUAAACCCUAAACCCUAAACCCUAAACCCUAAACCCUAAACCCUAAACCCUAAACCCUAAACCCUAAACCCUAAACCCUAAACCCUAAACCCUAAACCCUAACCCUAAACCCUAAGCGCUAAGCCCUAAGCCCUAAACCCUAACCCUAAGCCCUAAGCCCUAAACCCUAAACCCUAAACCCUAAACCCUAUCGCUUUUUCAUUUUUCAGAUUUUUUCUCUCUCUAAAAAUUUUCUCUCUCUAGAAAAUUUUCUCUCUCUAGAAAAUUUUCAAGGAUCGUUCGUGUUCUUUGUUGCUGAUCGUCAUAAUUGAUUAGCAAGUGUGUCGAAAUGGAUGGAAAUCCAACUGAUGGAAGAUUUCGACCCCCAGAUCAAUCGAUAGGGGUUGAAAAUGUUAAUGUACAGGCCACAAAUAUCGAUUUGAUGGAAGGAACAUCGUCCUCCUCUUCGCACUUGAGGGAAGAAGCGAUCCAAGUCGCAACUGUAGAGGCGGACAUGGAUGAAUUACGUCGACAAGUCGAAAUACGGUUAAAUACUACUGGCACGACGGGGGAAAUGCUAAGGAUGGAGGAUCAGUCGAAUUUGGAAAUGGUCGAGUUGUUGGCGAUAGAGGAAGCGAAAUCGCGAGUGAUGGAGGCGGCGAAAUUGCAUGCGAUAGAGGCGGCAAAAUUACAAGCGUUGGAGUUAGCGAAAUCGAGAGCUGAUAUUAGCCGAUUGGAAGUUUCUCGACAACAAUUGAUUUCGAGGGAACUAUCUCAAGGUGAUACCCAGAUUCAACAAGGUUUGGAAGGAGGGGGUCAAAACCUUGAUUCUAGACAAGAAACUAGAAUUGGGGAAUCAUCUUUAGGUUGCGAAUCACAUUCUCAACAGAUUGAUGGAACAAAAGAUGAUGCGCAACAGGAAGUUGAGAAGAUCGUAUCGCAAGGGCGAAAUCGCGAUGGUCAAAAUCCACAAGUUAAUCGAUCUGUUCAAAAUCAGCAAAGAAAUCCUAAUUUUACCAAGGAAAAGGAGAUUGAUCAACAAAGAAAUUCCAAUUCUAACACGGACAAGGAGAAUAAACAACAAAAUCCAAGGUCUAAUCGAGUUCUUGCUUCUAAGGAGGCAGCAUACACUUCUCAAAAUCGUCAAUCUGGUAUUCUCUCAUCUGAAAUUCCUACUAGUGGUCAUAAUGUUCAAGGUAAUAUCGUCUCUACCCAAUUUAAUCCCAAGAAUGAUGAAUUGGUGAAUGUUACUGAUAGAACUAACACUGCUUCUGUUAGAAAUCUAGAUUAUCAACAUAACUUUCCUAAAUUGACUAGUAACUUUGAUAGAAAUUUACCUAGAAUUGGGAAUGAGAAACAGGAUCCUCCUUCAGGAACUAACAAUUUUCCUAAGAAAGAUCAUAUACCUGAACCUGCUCCCUAUACAGUUAUACAAACUUAUGCAGACAGGCUUAGAUAUAAUCAAUCCAAACGAGGGGAAAACAUUAAGCUAACAGACCCUGAAAUUACUACUAAACAAGGCUUACCUGCAGUUUUAUAUGUCAAAGAGGAAGUAGUUAAAGAUCUGGCCUCUACUUGUAAAUUCACCUUAAUAGGAAAGUUCAUCUAUACAAUGCCUAGAAUUGAAUUAAUAAGAAAAAAUUUUAUUCUCCAAACACAAUUGUCUGGGGGUGUUAAAAUAGCCCAUUUUAAUUCUAGACAUGUUUAUAUAGAUCUUGAUAAUGAAUUAGACUACAACAUGGUAUGGACUAAACAAAGAAUGACAAUUGCAGGGCAAGUAAUGAGAAUUCAGGCAUGGACUCCAAAUUUUACACCUGAGGAAGAAACUCCUUUGGUUCCAAUCUGGAUCUCCUUGCCUGAAUUGCCAUGGCAUUGCUACAAUAAACAGUUUAUUACUAGCUUACUCUCACCUAUAGGUAGAGUUUUGUAUCUUGAUUCAGCCUCCAUUAACAAAACUAGAGGUAGUCAAGCUAGAGUUAAGGUACAGGUUGAUUUAACCAAGGAAAGACCCCCACACAUUUGGAUGGGAUACAUAGGUGAAGAAAUUACUGAUGGAAGGUGGCAAAAGAUAGAAUAUGAUAGCAUUCCUAACUAUUGUUUUUACUGCAAACAUCAAGGCCAUAAGGAGUCUGAUUGUAUAGUUAAACAGAGGGAUGAGGAAAAUAAAAAAAGAAAAGACUUAGAAAAAAACAAAAAUAGAAAAGACAAUGUUCAACAUGUUUCUGCAGAUUUAAAGAAUACUCAGAAUUUGGACAUUGGUAGAACUGAGAUAGACUAUCAUCAAAUACAACAACAAGGUGUUGAAGAUCAGCAACAAGGGAUUCAAGAAGAAUGGCAAACACAAAAGAGAAGGAACAACACUCAACAAGUUAGAUUCAACCAUGACAGGACUGUAUCUCAUCAACAACAGUCUCAAACAGGUAUGAUAACCAUUCCUACUAAAAACACAUACAUUGAUCUAGAAUCACAGGAUCAUACACCUGCUGGAGAUGGAAGGGAUCAAUACAAUGUCUAUCAGCAUAAUCAAAGUCAUGGAUACACUGAAGGAACUCAUAUACAGAAGGAAAAAAGAAAUAAGCAGUCAAGAGUGGAAAAUCAAGUAAUUAAAGAUCAUCAGGCUGAUUACCAACUUGACAAUCAAAAUACAGCAGGUAUUGUAUCAAUGCUCCACUCCCCUUCAAUCCCUUAUAGAGAUAAUGUUGGUGUAGCUGAUGGAGGUGAGGUUGGAAGAUGUCAGGUGGCUAUUAGUUCUCAGCAUGCUAAUUAUGAUAAAGGAAAAAAUAAAGUUGUUGAACAGGGGACCACUAGUUAUGUGGAGAAAGAACCCCCUGAUAAACAGACUGUUACUAUUUCUGAUCAAAUUAUUAAUAAAAAUAAUAAUAAAACUCAAACUACUACUGGUAAUGAACCUAUUGACCACCAACAAGAUAAGAAUGUUGAUGAGUAUAGGGCACCUGAUUCUGAAGAUGAGUUUGAUGUGGAAACUCAAUCUUUAGAAGAAGGUAUUGAACCAGGAGAGGAAUUUACUAACUCUGAUCAAAUUCAUAAGGGUCCUUUGAUUCAAUCCUCUAAUGCUGAUGAAAUUAGAGAUGUAACUGGCAAACAAGGGCUUUCUCCUAGAGGCAGAAAACUUUUAAAACAAAAUAAAAAUACUAGUACAAGUAAACCUAAUACUAGAGCUAGAAGUAGAGGGAUUUAAUGAUUAAGUUCUUAUGUUGGAAUGUGAGGAGCAUAAAUACUUUUGGUGCUCUAGAGAGAUUGAUUAACCUUAGAAAGAUUCAUAAUCUGUCUAUGCUGGCUAUUUUAGAACCUUUUUCUAAUCAAAAUCAUAUAGAUUCUUGCAGAAUGCAGUUGAUCAUGAAUCAUAGUUUUAGUAAUACUAAUAACAAAAUCUAGCUUUUUUGGUCUAAUGAGAUUAGUUGUGAUAUUUUGGAAAGUGACCAGCAACAGGUGACUUGUGAAGUGAGGCAUGUGAAUUGCAGUGAGAAAUUCAUUAUUACCUAUGUAUAUGCUAAGUGUAAGGAUCAGUUAAGGAAACCACUUUGGGAUGUUAUGUUAAAGAGAUCUGAAACCAGUUACCCUUGGAGUAUAAUAGGAGAUUUCAAUGUUAUCACAUCCACUAGUGAAAAGCUGGGAGGUAGAGAGUAUAACAUUAACAAGAGUUUGGAGUUUAUUAGUAUUAUUGAGGCAUGUGGUUUAGUGGAUAUGGGCUAUCAUGGUCAGGAUUAUACUUGGUGUAAUCAUAGAAGAGAUGGAGCAAGGAUUUGGAAAAGACUGGAUAGGGGCAUGACUAAUGAUAACUGGAUUGAAAAAAUGCUUCAUUCUAGUAUUACUCAUCUGCCUUCAGUAGGGUCUGAUCAUUGCCCUUUAUUGAUGGAAAUAAGUGAUAUUCAUUCUAAUACUAUUAAAUACUUCAAAUUUUUAAAUUGUUGGACUGAGAAUGAAUCAUUCUUAAACAUUGUGGAAAACUGUUGGACAAGGGAAGUUAUUGGAAAUCCUAUGUGGAAUUUUCAUACAAAGUUAAAAAGGUUAACUAAGACAUUGAGAGUGUGGUCAAAAAAUGAGUAUGGUGAUGUAUUUGAAAAGGUUAAGAUAUAUGAGGAUUUGGUGAAUAGUGCUGAAAAGGAUAUGUUAUGUAAUCAUAGUAAUGAAAACAUUGAGAAGCUGAAUGCUAUUAAUGCUAAGUAUAUUAAGUAUCUGAAGCUAGAAUUUAAAAUACUUCAGCAGAAAACUCAGUUACAUUGGUUACAAGAGGGAGAUGCAAAUACCAAAUACUUUCAUGCUGUGAUUAGAGGUAAAAGAAAUAGAAUGGCUAUUCAUAAAUUAAUGGAUGACAGUGGAAAAUGGAUUAAAGGGGAAUAAGAUAUUGCUAAACAGGCUUGUGAUUAUUAUCAAGAGAUUUUCACUGGAAAGAAUGAUAAAAUUAAUGAAGAUAUACUGCAAUGUCUCAAACCUAUGAUUACUUCAGAACAAAAUGAUGUUUUAGACAGAAUUCCUGAUAUAGAUGAAUUGAGAAGGAUCAUUAUGAGUAUGAAUCCUCAUUCAGCACCUGGACCUGAUGGAUUUGGAGGAAAAUUUUAUCAAAUAUGCUUUGAUAUUAUCAAAGAUGAUCUAUUGGCUGUUGUUAAAUAUUUUUAUAAUGGUAAUAGUAUACCUAGAUAUAUGACUCAUGCUUGUCUUACCUUACUUCCAAAAACUGAUCACCCCUGCAGACUAAAAGACUUCAGACCUAUUAGCCUUAGCAACUUUGCUAAUAAGAUCAUUUCAAAGAUCUUUAGUACAAGAUUGGCUGAUAUACUACCUGGUAUUAUUUCUGAAAAUCAAUCAGGUUUUGUCAAAGGGAGAAGUAUUGCUGAGAAUAUUUUGUUGGCUCAGGAAAUAAUUCAUGGUAUUAAAAAGCCAAAAGAAGGUAGUAAUGUAGUUAUCAAGUUAGAUAUGGUUAAAGCUUAUGAUAGAGUUUCAUGGAAUUAUACUUGUUUGGUGUUAAGGAGAUUGGGGUUUAGUGAAGUGUUUAUUGAUAGAGUUUGGAGGAUAAUGAGUAACAAUUGGUAUUCUGUGGUAAUAAAUGGUAAGAGGCAUGGAUUUUUUCAAUCUAAGAGGGGACUUAAACAAGGUGAUCCAUUAUCUCCAGCACUAUUUAUUUUAGGUGCUGAAGUUUUAUCUAGACAGCUUAAUAACCUUUAUCAAAACCAUCAGUAUAAAGGUUUUCACAUGGAAAGAAAUGGUCCUCAAAUUAAUCACCUUAGUUUUGCAGAUGAUAUCAUUAUAUUUGCUUCUACUGAUAGUGAUUCCCUACAUCAGAUUAUGAAAACUAUUGAAGUAUAUGAACAAGUUUCUGAUCAGAAGGUAAAUAAGGAUAAAAGUUUCUUUAUGGUGACAUCUAAUACUGAUUAUGACACUAUUGAGGAAAUAAAGAGGGCUACUGGUUUUGAUAAGAAGAGCAGUCCUAUUAAAUACCUUGGAUGUCCCUUAUACAUUGGAGGGCAAAGGAUAAUUUAUUAUUCAGAUAUGGUUGAAAAGGUGAUCAAAAAAAUUGCAGGUUGGCAUUCUAAAAUUUUAAAUUUUGGGGGCAAAAUUACUUUGGUAAAACAUGUAUUACAAUCUAUUCCUAUUCAUACACUAGCAACUAUUUCACCUCCUAAAACUACCUUAAAUUGUAUCAAGAAGAUUAUUGCUGAUUUCUUUUGGGGUAUAGAUAAAGAUGGUAAGAAAUAUCAUUGGUCAUCUUGGGAAAAUAUGGCAUAUCCAACUAGUGAAGGGGGUAUUGGUGUAAGACUAUUAGAGGAUGUUUGUACAGCUUUUCAAUAUAAGCAGUGGUGGGAUUUUAGAACAAAAAAUUCUUUAUGGAGUCAAUUUCUAAAAUCCAAAUACUGUCAAAGAGCCAAUCCUGUGGCUAAAAAGUAUGACACUGGUGAUUCAUUGGUUUGGAGAUAUCUAACAAAAAACAGGGACAAAGUGGAACCCUUUAUUAAAUGGCAAAUACAUUCUGGUACAUGCAGCUUUUGGUGGGAUAAUUGGUUGGAUACUGAAAAUCUUGCCAAGCAAAGUGAUCAAAUAUCUAGUUUAAAUAACAGUGUGGUAGCAGAUUUCAUAAAAGAGGGUAAGUGGAAUGAAAGCCUAAUUAGACAGCAUGUGUCACCUUUGUUAAUACCUAAGAUUUUACAGACAUCUUUGUCUUAUAAUGCUAGAAAAAAGGAUACUGCAAUAUGGAUUCCAACUGAAACAGGCAAGUUUACUAUAGCUUCUGCAUGGGAAUGCAUUAGAAAGAAAAAAACUACUCAUUUUAUUAAUAACAUUAUCUGGCAUAAACAAUUACCUUUUAAAAUAGAUUUCUUUAUUUGGAGAGCUUUAAAAGGUAAAUUACCUACGAAUGAAAUUUUGCAGAAAUUUGGUAGAAAUAUCUCUGAAUGUUAUUGUUGUUAUAGUAAAGGUGCAGAUGACAUUAACCAUAUCUUGAUUAAUGGAAAUUUUGCUAAAUAUAUUUGGAAGAUCUAUGCUUCAACACUUGGAAUAGUGACAGCAAAUGUAAACCUUAAAGACCAACUUCUACAUUGGAGGAAUCAGAUAGUUUAUAAUGAGGUACACAAAUUGAUAAUACAUAUUUUACCUAAUGUAAUUUGUUGGAAUCUAUGGAAGAAUAGAUGUGCUGUCAAAUAUGGAAAGAAAAGAUCCAGCAUACAUAAAGUGCAAUAUGGUAUAUUCAAGACUGUUAUGCAGGUUAUUAAAAUGGUGUUUCCUAGUAUACCUUGGCAAUCUAAUUGGAAUAGACUUAUUAACUUAGUAGAACAAUGUAAACAACAAUAUAAGAUAGUGAUAGUAAGCUGGAAAAAACCAGCUUUAGACAUUUACAAACUUAAUACUGAUGGUAGUGCUUUACAUAAUACUUUUAAGAUUGGAGGUGGUGGUAUUUUAAGGGAUCACCAAGGUCAAAUUGUUUAUGCUUUUUCUAUACCUUUUGGUUGUGGUACUAACAACAUUGCAGAGAUAAAAGCUACUCUAUAUGGGCUGGAGUGGUGUGAAGAUCAUGGAUACAAAAGAGUUGAAUUGGAGGUCGAUUCCGAGCUACUGUGCAAGUGGAUCAAAAACACAAUACAAAUUCCUUGGAGAUAUGAAGACCUUAUCUUACAAAUCCAGCAAAUAGCUAAGAAAAUGGAACAAUUUAAGUGUCAUCACAUCUAUAGAGAAGCAAAUAGUACUGCAGACUUACUAGCCAAAUGGAGUCACAAUUUGGAAAUCAUUCAACACUUUUACACAACAAGACAACUUGAGGGAGCAAUUAAAGGAAGCUAUUUACUAGAGAAGAUGGGCACACAAAAUUUUAGAAGAAGGAAAAUCAAGAGAAUAAAACAUCCACCUUAGUCUUUCAAAGUCUUAUACAUUAUGAUAUUAGCAAUUAGAAAUUAGAUUAAAUCUUUGAUGUAAGUUCAAAUUUAUAGACUCUUCUUUUAUUCAUGUAAAGGGCGUGUCUCCUAUUUUAUGCAUUAUAGAAAUAGUUCCAUUAUAGUGAGCAUCAUUUUGUAUAAAGGUUGGGUUGACUAAUCUUAGUAGAUAGGUCAACCCUACACCUUACAUAUCAUAGAAGGUAAGGUUUAUGUCCCCCUUCUUGUAAAAAUUUUGUUGUUAAAUGGUAAGGCCUGGGGGUGUUGCUAAGCCCCUGACCCACCUCAAGGGUCGUUUAAUAAAAAAAAAAAAACCCUAAACCCUAAACCCUAAACCCUAAACCCUAAACCCUAAACCCUAAACCCUAAACCCUAAACCCCAAACCCUAAACCCUAAACCCUAAACCCUAAACCCUAAACCCUAAACCCUAACCCUAAACCCUAAGCGCUAAGCCCUAAGCCCUAAACCCAAACCCUAAGCCCUAAGCCCUAAACCCUAAACCCUAAACCCUAAACUCUAAACCCUAAACUCUAAACCCUAAACCCUAAACCCUAAACCCUAAACCCUAAACCCCAAACCCAUGAACGAUUUCGGCCUCCAGAUCCACCGUUCGGAGAGGAGGUAUCGAAUGUUCAAUUGAAAACGAAUGAAAUGGCGGACGGAGCAUCAUCUUCCUCUUCGCACUUGAGGGAAGAAGCGAUCCAAGUCGCGACUAUAGAGGCGGAGAUGGAUGAGUUUCGUCAUCAUCGCGAAAUAGAUCAAAAUCUGACUUCACAGGUCGACGACAUACAAAUGGCGGAUAAUUUGCAACAAUUGGUAACUGGUGUGUCGCAAAGAAGAGGGGUGGAGAACGUACAGGCGACUGGAACAGAGAAAUUGAAUUCGAGGGAGGCGGCGAUAGAAAUCGUAUCGGAGAAAUCGAGUUCGAUUGAGGCGGGGCAAUCCAGUUCUAGGGUUAAUCGAACGGAUAAUUCGCAACAACAAUCAAUUGCUGAUGUAACUUCACAAGAAAUGAAUCUUAAUACAACAAGAACAAAUUAACAGGGGAAUUCGUAAUUUGGUUCAUCAACAAACAGCUGCAAUGGUGGAUUCACAGGGUAUUCAACCACCUGUGAAUUACGAUGGUCAAAAAGGUGUGCUGUGAAAUAUGGAAACAAGAUAUCAAGCAUCCAAAGAGUUCAAUAUGGAAUUUUCAAAGAUGUCAUGCAAACCAUUAAGAUAGUAUUUCCAAGUAUACCAUGGCAACAUAGCUGGUACAGGCUGAUCAACUUAGUUGAACAAUGCCAACAACAGUUAAAGGUAAUCAUGGUUAGCUGGAAAAAACCACAAAUUGGUAUUUACAAACUUAAUACAGAUGGGAGUGCACUUCCUGAAUCUGGAAAGAUUGGAGGAGGAGGCAUACUAAGAGACUACACAGGUAAAUUACAUUAUGCAUUUUCAAUACCAUUUGGUUUUGGCACUAAUAAUAUUGCAGAGAUGGAGGCUGCUAGAUAUGGAUUGGACUGGUGUGAGCAACAUGGUUAUAAAAAUAUUCUAUUGGAAGUAGAUUCUGAAAUUCUGCAAAAAUGGAUAAACAACACAAUCUCAAUCCCUUGGAGAUAUCAACAAACAAUAGAACAAAUACAAGAUAUUGGCAGAAAAAUGAAUCACUUUGAAUGUCAACAUGUCUACAGAGAAGUCAAUGGUACUGCAGAUCUAUUGUCAAAAUGGAGCCACAAGUUGGACAUCUUACAACAUUUCUAUACACCUCAACAACUUAUUGGUUCAAUUCGAGGAAGCUAUAUACUGGAUAAAUUGGGAACACAAAAUUUCAGAAGAAGAAAAACAAGAAGAAUUAAACAUCCACCUUAGUCUCUCAAAGACUUAUACAUGAUUAUAUUAGCAAUUAGCAAGUAGCAAGUAGCUUAAAUCUUUGAUGUAAACUCAAAUUUAUAGACUCUUCUUUAUUCAUGUAAAGGGAGUGUCUCCCUACUUUAUGCAUUCUAGAAUUAGUUUCAUUAUAGUGUGCAUCUUUUUGUAUAAAGGUUGGGUUGACUAAUCUUAGUAGAUAGGUCAACCUUACACCUUACAUAUCAUAGAAGGUAAGGUUUAUGUCCCCCUUCUUGUAAAAUUUUGUUGUUAAAUGGUAAGGCCUGGGGGUGUUGCUAAGCCCCUGACCCACCUCAAGGGUCGUUUAAUAAAAAAAAAAAAAAAAAAAACCCCAAACCCCAAACCCUAAACCCCAAACCCCAAACCCUAAACCCUAAACCCCAUCGCUUUUUCAUUUUUCAGAUUUUUUCUCUCUCUAAAAAUUUUCUCUCUCUAAAAAUUUUCUCUCUCUAGAAUUUUUUGCAAGAACUUACGCGUGAAUAGUUGCUGAUCGAAGAAAUUGAUUGGCAUUAGUGUUGUAAUGGAUGGAAAUCCUGGUGAUGAACGUUUUAUACCUCCAGAUUCUGCGGUUGAAGGUGAAAAAUUGAAUGUUCAGGCCACAAAUAUUGAAGGGACGGAAGGAUCAUCGUCCUCCUCUGCGAACUUAAGGGAAGAGGCGAUCCAAGUCGCGACUGUAGAGGCGGAGAUGGAUGAAUUGCGUCGCCAGUUAGAAACAAGUCGAAAUACGAAUGUAAUGGGGGAAAAACAAAUGAGUUCGGGAAGAGUAGAAUCGCAGGCGAUGGAGGUGAUGAGAUCGCAAGCGAUGGCGGCGAAAUCGAGUUCUCACCCAGGUUCAUCGGGUAGCAAUCGACAAAGAUCUGGUACUGAAGAACUAUCUCAUACUACAGAUUCACAUACUCAACAACUUGGGAGAGAUAAAGAUGAUCGAAAUAUUGAGUCGCAGCGUGAAGGAGAACUGGUAGAAUCGCGACACGAAGGUUACAUGGGGAAAUCGCAGAUGAACAUUCAAGAACAAGGAAAUAUGGAGGGGCAACAUUUGGGUAAUCGACACAAUAGUAAUAGCCAAUUGAACAAGGAACCAGUAAGCUAUCAACAAACUACGAGUCCAAAUACAAGAAACCCUAGUUUACAAGAUGAAGUUCAUCCUUCGCAAAGAGUUACAAUGAACACACCAAGAACUCAGGUAGAUGAAAUUCAAUUCUCCAAAAACAAGGAAGCAGGUGAGUAUUCGCGUGGUUUAACUCCUAUUCCUGAACAAAUUCAAGGUAAUCAGUCUUCAAUGCAUGCUAUUCACAAUUCUGAUAAUAGAUUGAAGGAAAAUGAUAGAACUGGUAAAGAAACAGGUAGAAAUCAGGAAUAUCAGGCUAAUUUUCCUAAAAUUACUAGUAAUUACGAUCGUAAUGUCAAUAGAAAUUUACCUGAGAAAACUGAUUAUCCUAUAGGCAAUUCUAACAGUUUUCCUAAGAAGAAUCAAACACCUGAACCUGCCCCCUAUACUAUCAUUCAAACCUAUGCUGACAGGCUGAGAUAUAAUCAAUCUAAGAAAGGGGUUAGUAUCAAAUUAAGUGAACCUGAAAUAACUACUAAACAAGGAUUACCAGCUGUUCUGUAUGUUAAGGAUGAGGUUGUCAAAGAUUUAGCAUCGACUUGUAAGUAUACUCUUAUUGGUAAAUUCAUAUACACCAUGCCUAGAGUAGAGUUAAUUAGAAAGAACUUCAUACUCCAAACUCAACUUUCUGGAGGUGUGAAGAUAGCACAUUUUAAUUCAAGACAUGUGUACAUUGAUCUAGAUAAUGAACUAGACUACAAUAUGGUUUGGACUAAACAAAGAAUGUCUAUAGCUGGUCAAAUAAUGAGAAUACAGGCCUGGACUCCUUCUUUUAAACCUGAAGAAGAGACACCUCUUGUACCAAUUUGGAUUUCAUUACCUGAGUUACCAUGGCACUGUUAUAACAAGGAAUUCAUCACCUGCUUGUUAUCCCCUAUUGGUAGAGUCCUUUAUCUUGAUUCAGCAUCUAUUAAUAAAACAAGAGGUAGCCAAGCAAGAGUUAAAGUUCAGGUGGAUCUAACUAAAGAAAGACCACCUCACAUAUGGAUGGGUUACAAGGGAGAAGACAUUACUGAUGGGAGGUGGCAAAAAAUUGAAUAUGAUAGUAUUCCUGACUAUUGUUUUUACUGCAAACAUCAAGGCCAUAAGGAGUCUAAUUGUAUUGUUAAACAAAGAGAGGAGGAAAAUAAAAAAAGACAAGAACAGGAAAAAAAUAGGAAUAGGAAAGAUUCUGCUCACAAUGUCAAUACAGAGUUGCAGAGUGUUAAGGAUAAUGAUAUAGGUAGAAUUGAGGUUGAGCAUGAUCAACAAUACCAACAUGUUGAUAACCAACAGCAAUUCAAUCAAGAGGAAUGGCAAACUCAAAAAAGAAGGAAUAACAAUCAACAUGGAAGAAGGGAUGUUGAUAGAAACUUUAAUAGAAAUAUGGAUAGACAAAAACAACAACAACACAAUCAACAAGGUCAGUUUCCUGUUAUAACAAAAAAUACUUACAUUGAUUUAGAGUUGCAGGGUAAUAGUCCAUCUGAGGAUGAAGGGGAGGAACAAAUGAUUGACACUCAAGAUCAAAGGAUACAGCAGAAGACAAGUAUAAACAGGGCUCAUCAGGAAAAUACAAUGCAUAAUGAUAGAGCAGGAAGAAAUAAUCAUAAAAAGGAUAACAUUGUUCAACAAAGAAGGGCUGAUCAAGGCAAUAUAUUAACUCAUGGUGGGAAUCAACAUGACUCUACUAAUAUUACAGGUAUUGAUUUUAAUAGAUCUACCCCCAUUCCCCUUACUAUUACUACUCAUGCUGGUGUAGCUGUUGGAGGUGAGACUGGUGAUUGUCAGGGUUCUAAAAGAUUGCACAUUGAUAGACUUAAUAAAGGAAAGGAAAAAGUAGAUGAUCAGGGGUUUCUGAUAAGGGAUGAUAGAGAACCCCCUGAUAAAGAUAAGAUUGAUAAAUCUAAAACUAACAAAAAUACUAAAUUAAUUGACACUGGCCAAAAGACUAGUGAGGAUCAUAUUGAUGAGUAUGGUGUUCUGAAUUCUGAGGAUGAGGAUGAUUUAGAUACUCAAUCUUUAGAUGAAGGCACUAAUACUGGGGAAGAAAUAACCUCAAAACAAGCUCAACAUGGCCCCAUGCUUCCUAAUACUAAUUUUGAGGAAGUUAGAGAGGUGACUGGCAAACAGGGCUUGUCUCCUAGGGGUAGGAAAGUUUCUAGACAAAACAAGACUGCUAGUUUUAGUAAACCUAAUACUAGAGCUAGAAGUAGAGGUGUUUAAUGAUUAGUCUCAUAUGUUGGAAUGCUAGGAGCAUUAAUACAUUUGGUGCUCUUGAAAGAUUAAUCAACUUAAAGAAAAUUCACAAGCUCACUAUGAUUGCCAUUCUUGAGCCUUUUGCUAAUAGUUCUCAGUUGGAAGCUUAUAGAUUGAAAUUGUUGAUGGAUUUUUGUUAUAGUAAUUCUAAUAACAAAAUAUGGCUUUUUUGGUCCAAUGAUAUGAAUUGUAAAGUAAUUGACAUGGAUGAACAACUUAUCAAUUGUGAAGUUCAUCAUGAAGAUUGUAGUGAUCAGUUUCUGCUUACCUGUGUUUAUGCAAAGUGUAAGGAACAUCUGAGGAAACCUCUUUGGGAUAGGUUAAUCCAAUGGUCUGAUGUGGAUAAACCUUGGUGCAUUAUUGGAGACUUUAAUGUGAUAUCCUCCACUGAUGAAAAAUUGGGUGGAAGAGAUUAUAAUAUCAAUAAAAGUUUUGAUUUCAUCAACAUAAUAGAAUCUUGUGGUUUAAUUGAUUUGGGAUAUAGUGGUCAGCCUUUCACAUGGUGUAAUCAUAGGAAGGUUGAUGCUAGAAUCUGGAAAAGAUUGGAUAGGGGAUUGGUCAAUGAUAAUUGGUUAAGGAUUAUGCCUAACACUUCUAUAACUCAUUUACCUUCUGUGGGUUCUGAUCAUUGUCCAUUAUUAAUGGAGAUGAAGAGUGAUAAGGAAAAUGCUAUAAAAUAUUUUAAAUUCCUUAACUGUUGGACUGAGCAUGAGACUUUUUACUCAACUGUGGAAAAUUGUUGGAAUAAAAAGGUGGUAGGUAGUCCUAUGUGGAUAUUACAUACUAAAAUGAAGAGACUUACUGUUAUUUUGAGGAAUUGGUCCAAAAAAGAAUUUGGGGAUGUUUUCAUCAAAGUCAAACAGUUUGAAGAGAUGGUUAAACUUGCUGAGGAGAAUAUUAUUCAGGAAAAUAAUCAGGAAAAUAGAGAGAAACUGCAGGCCUUAAAUGCUCAGUACAUUAGAUACAUGAAAUUAGAAUAUGACAUUAUGCAACAAAAAACACAGAUUCAUUGGUUAAAGGAAGGUGAUACCAACUCAAAAUAUUUUCAUACUAUUAUGAGAGGUAGAAGAAAAAGAAUGUGUAUUACUAAGCUUGAGUCUGAGAAUGGUGAAUGGAUACAAGGGGAAGAGAAUAUUGUUAAAACUGCUUGUGAUUACUAUAAACAAAUUUUCACUGGCAAAAAUGAGGUUAUUAAUGAGGAUAGUCUUCAGUGUAUUAGUAAAAUCAUUACUGAGGAACAAAAUAUUAAGCUGGAGCAGAUGCCUAAUAUAGAUGAAUUGAAGAAUGUGAUAAUGAAUAUGAAUCCCAACUCUGCACCAGGACCAGAUGGUAUAGGGGGGAAAUUUUUUCAGGUAUGUUUUGAUAUAAUAAAGGAUGAUCUUUUGGCUGCUGUUCAACACUUUUUCAAUGGUUUUGAUAUGCCUAAGUAUAUGACCCAUGCUUGUUUGGUAUUGAUCCCUAAAGUUGAAUAUCCUAAUAAGCUAAAAGAUUUUAGACCUAUUAGUCUAAGCAAUUUUACUAACAAGAUUAUUUCUAAGAUUAUGAGUACUAGACUGGCACCUAUUUUACCUAGUAUUAUUUCUAAAAACCAGUCAGGCUUUGUAAAAGGAAGGAGUAUUUCUGAAAAUAUAAUGCUGGCACAAGAAAUUAUCCAUAGAAUUAACUUGCCUCAUGAAGGAGAUAAUGUGGUUAUUAAACUUGAUAUGGUUAAAGCUUAUGAUAGAGUUUCUUGGGCUUACACUUGUUUAGUUUUGAGAAAAUUAGGCUUUGGUGAACUGUUUAUCGACAGAACUUGGAGAAUUAUGAGUAAUAAUUGGUAUUCCAUUGUUAUCAAUGGAAAAAGACAUGGUUUUUUCCAUUCUUCUAGAGGUCUUAAACAAGGAGAUCCCUUAUCCCCAGCCCUAUUUAUUUUGGGAGCUGAGGUAUUAUCUAGACAGCUGAACAAUCUUUAUCAGAAUCAGGCUUAUAGAGGUUUCUAUAUGGAGAAGAGAGGACCACAGAUUAACCAUUUAAGUUUUGCUGAUGAUAUAAUAAUCUUCACCUCCACAAACAGAAAUUCUCUCCAACUAAUUAUGGAAACUAUUGCUGAAUAUGAGAAAGUGUCUAAUCAGCAAGUGAAUAAGGACAAGAGUUUCUAUAUGGUUACUAAUAAUACUAAUCAGAGUGUUAUUGAAGUCAUCAAUGAGGAAACUGGUUUUAGAAGGAAGCAUAGCCCUAUUAUGUAUUUAGGGUCCUUUGUAUAUUGGAGGACAAAGAAUAAUUUACUAUUCUGAAAUGGUGGAUAAAAUCAUUAAAAAAAUUAAAGGUUGGCAUACUAAAAUUUUGAAUUUUGGUGGUAAAAUUACUUUGGUCAAGCAUGUUUUGCAGUCUAUGCCUAUUCAUACAUUGGCUGCUGUUUCACCACCUAAAACUACUCUUAGAUAUAUUAGAAGAGUUAUAGCUGACUUCUUCUGGGGCACUAAUAGGGAUAAAAAACAGUAUCAUUGGGCAUCAUGGGAGAGUUUAGCUUUUCCUUAUAAAGAGGGAGGUAUUGGAGUUAGAUUAUUAGAAGAUGUAUGCACUGCUUUUCAAUACAAGCAUUGGUGGGAAUUCAGAACUAAAAAGUCUUUAUGGAGUUGUUUUUUGAAGGCAAAAUACUGUCAAAGGUCUAAUGUAGUGGCAAAGAAAUAUGAUACAGGGGAUUCCUUGGUCUGGAGGUAUCUUACCAGAAACAGAUAUGAUGUGGAAAGGUAUAUUUCAUGGAAUAUAAACUCUGGUAACUGCAGUGUUUGGUGGGAUAAUUGGCUGGGAGAUGGUGCAAUAGCAACCUAUUGAGAUUAUGUUUCCAGUCUAAAUAAUACUCAGCUCUUAGACUUUAUUGAGGAUGGAAAAUGGAAUGAGUCUGUUAUAAGGCAACAUAUUCCUCCACCUCUUGUUCCAAUGAUUCUAACUUAUAGAUUACAACUUAAAGAGGGUAUUACUGAUUUAGCUUAUUGGAGACUGGAAGAUAAUGUUCAUUUUUCAAUCUCAUCUGCAUGGGAGAGUAUAAGGAAGAAAAAAGAACCUGAUAUAAUUAAUAAUAGUAUUUGGCAUAGAAAUGUUCCUUUUAGAAUUUCUUUCUUUAUGUGGAGAGCUUUGAGGAAUAAACUACCUACCAAUGAUAGUCUGAUUAGAUUUGGAAAAGAAGAGGAAGACUGUUAUUGUUGUUAUAGGAAGGGCAAAGAUGAUUUAAAUCAUAUUCUUAUUACUGGUAAUUUUGCUAAAUAUAUUUGGAAGUGUCAUUCACAAAGAGUGGGAUUAGUAAUUGACAGUACUACUAUCAGAAGUUUGUUACUUCAAUGGAAAAAUCUACAAACUAGUAAUGAGGUACAAAAACUUCUCUUUAUCAUUUUACCCAACAUUAUUUGUUGGAACUUGUGGAAAAACAGGUGUUCAGUUAAGUAUGGAGGUAAACAAUCAAACAUGUCAAGAGUGGAAUUAGCUAUCUUUAAAGAUAGUAUGCAGAUCAUUCAAUCUGUAUAUCCAACUAUACCAUGGCUCAACAGUUGGGAGAGGCUUCUUAAAUAUGUUGAUCAAUGUCAACAAUAUUUUAAAGUAACUUUAGUGAGAUGGAACAGGCCACCCUCAGGUAUCUAUAAACUCAAUACUGAUGGCAGUGCCAUCCAUAAUACAUGUCAAACAGGUGGUGGAGGUAUACUUAGAGAUGAUCAAGGUAAACUUAUUUAUGCUUUUUCUAUUCCUUUGGCUUUUGGUACUAAUAAUUUUGCAGAAAUACAAGCUGCUCUUCAUGGAUUAAAUUGGUGUCAACAACAUGGAUUCAAGAGGAUCAUAUUGGAAGUAGAUUCUGAAUUACUGGUCAAAUGGAUUAACAACACACAGUACAUUCCAUGGAGAAGUCAACAAGACAUUCAGCAGCUUCAAGACAUAAGCAAGAACAUGGAAUAUUUUCAGUGCCAACAUAUUUAUAGAGAAGCAAAUGCCACGGCUGACUUACUAGCAAAAGGGAGUCACAAGAUGAAUAUAAUUCAACAAUUUUACACCUCUCAGCAGCUUAGAGGUGUUAUUAAAGGAAAUUACAUAUUAGACAAAAUGGGCAUGCAACUCUUUAGAAGAAGGAAGAUCAAGAGGAUUAAACAUCCUCCAUGACAAUAUUGUAUAUUGUUCAAUCAAUUCAUUGGCUUAAAAUCUAUUUUAUAUGUUAAUAAAGUAGGUUAUCUCUUUUAUCAUUACUUGUAAAGGGAGAGUCUCCCUUGUUUAAGUUUUUCUAGAACUUAGUAAUUUUGAGAGGAUUAUCUCUAGGUGCUUUGUUUUAGAAUACAACAAAUGUAAUGAGUUAAUUGAUAACCUUAGUAGGUAAUUCAAUUAACUCAACUUAGGAAAGAGGUAAGGUUCUAUGUCCCCCUCCAUGUAUCUUUUCUUAUAUAAAUGUUAAGGCCUGGGGGUGAUGCUUAGCCCCUACCCACCUCAAGGGUCGUUUAAUAAAAAAAAAAAAACCCUAAACCCCAAACCCCAAACCCCAAACCCCAAACCCCAAACCCCAAACCCCAAACCCUAAACCCUAAACCCUAAACCCUAAACCCUAAACCCAAACCCUAAACCAAAACCCUAAACCCUAAACCCUAAACCCUAAACCCUAAACCCUAAACCCUAACCCUAAACCCUAAACCCUAAACCCUAAACCCUAAACCCUAAACCCUAAACCCUAAACCCUAAACCCUAAACCCUAAACCCUAAACCCUAAACCCUAAACCCUAAACCCGUAACCCUAAACCCUAAACCCUAAACCCUAAACCCUAAACCCUAGGGGCUCGUUUGACCUUCCAAACGGCCCAGAAAACCCGUGAUGGCCAACCGUAUGCAUAGACAACGUCUUGACGGACGUCCACGAACAAAUUUGGCAUUUUUGACGUCGAAAUCCUGAUCACCCAAAAAAUGGUGUGCAAUAGCACACAAAAAUCGUCAAAAUGAGGCGUAUGCUCGCUCUAGGGCUCGUUUGACCUUCCAAAUGGCCCAGAAAACCCGUGAUGGCCAACCGUAUGCAUAGACAACGUCUUGACGGACGUCCACGAACAAAUUUGGCAUUUUUGACGUCGGAAUCCCGAUCACCCAAAAAAUGGUGUGCAAUAGCACACGAAAAUCGUCAAAAUGAGGCGUAUGCUCGCUGGGCUCGUUUGACCUUCUAAACGGGAAAACCCGUGAUGGCCAACCGUAUGCAUAGCAAUUUGUUGACGGACGUCCACGAACAAAUUUUGCAUUUUUGACGUCGGAAUCCCGAUCACGGCUUUGGUGGGCAUUUGAAUCGUCAAACGUAGCCCCGGGGCUCGCAUACCCUCAAACGGACAGAAACCCGUGAUGGCCAACCGUUGCACACCACGUUUUGACGGACGUCCACGAACAAAAAUGCAUUUUUGACGUCGGACGAUCCGUCAAAAUGGUGUGCAAUAGCACACGAAAAUUGGCCAUGACGGCUUUUCUGGGCCGUUUGACCUUCCAAACGAGCCCGGAGCGACCGUACGCCUCAUUUUGACGAUUUUCGUGUGCUAUUGGCAUUUUUGGACGUCGGAAUCCCGAUCGUCAAAAAAUGGUGUGCAAUAGCACACGAAAAUCGUCAAGACGUUGUCUAUGCAUACGGUUGGCCAUCACGGGUUUCUUGGCCGUUUGGAAGGCAAACGAGCCCCGGAGCGAGCAUACGAACUCAAUUUGACGAUUUUCGUGUGCUAUUGCACCCAUUUUUUGGUGAUCGGGAUUCCGACGUCAAAAAUGCCAAAUUUGUUCGUGGACGUCCGUCAAGACGUUGUCUAUGCAUACGGUGGCCAUCACGGCUUUUCUGGGCCAUUUGGAAGGUCAAACGAGCCCCGGAGCGAGCAUACGCCUCAUUUUGACGAUUUUCGGUGCUAUUGCACACCAUUUUUGGGUGAUCGGGAUUCCGACGUCAAAAAUGCAAAUUUGUUCGUGGACGUCCGUCAAGACGUUGUCUAUGCAUACGGUUGGCCAUCACGGCUUUUCUGGGCCAUUUGGAAGGUCAAACGAGCCCCGGAGCGAGCAUACGCCUCAUUUUGACGAUUUUCGUGUGCUAUUGCACACCAUUUUUGGGUGAUCGGGAUUCCGACGUCAAAAAUGCCAAAUUUGUUCGUGGACGUCCGUCAAGACGUUGUCUAUGCAUACGGUUGGCCAUCACGGGUUUUCUGGGCCGUUUGGAAGGUCAAACGAGCCCCGGAGCGAGCAUACGCCUCAUUUUGACGAUUUUCGUGUGCUAUUGCACACCAUUUUUGGGUGAUCGGGAUUCCGACGUCAAAAUGCCAAAUUUGUUCGUGGACGUCCGUCAAGACGUUGUCUAUGCAUACGGUUGGCCAUCACGGGUUUUCUGGGCCAGUUUGGAAGGUCAAACGAGCCCCGGAGCGAGCAUACGCCUCAUUUUGACGAUUUUCGUGUGCUAUUGCACACCAUUUUUGGGUGAUCGGGAUUCCGACGUCAAAAAUGCAAAAUUUGUUCGUGGACGUCCGUCAAGACGUUGUCUAUGCAUACGGUUGGCCAUCACGGGUUUUCUGGGCCGUUUGGAAGGUCAAACGAGCCCCGGAGCGAGCAUACGCCUCAUUUUGACGAUUUCGUGUGCUAUUGCACACCAUUUUUUGGGUGAUCGGGAUUCCGACGUCAAAAUGCCAAAUUUGUUCGUGGACGUCCGUCAAGACGUUGUCUAUGCAUACGGUUGGCCAUCACGGGUUUUCUGGGCCAUUUGGAAGGUCAAACGAGCCCCGGAGCGAGCAUACGCCUCAUUUUGACGAUUUUCGUGUGCUAUUGCACACCAUUUUUUGGGUGAUCGGGAUUCCGACGUCAAAAAUGCCAAAUUUGUUCGUGGACGUCCGUCAAGACGUUGUCUAUGCAUACGGUUGGCCAUCACGGGUUUUCUGGGCCGUUUGGAAGGUCAAACGAGCCCCGGAGCGAGCAUACGCCUCAUUUUGACGAUUUUCGUGUGCUAUUGCACACCAUUUUUGGGUGAUCAGGGAUUCCGACGUCAAAAAUGCCAAAUUUGUUCGUGGACGUCCGUCAAGACGUUGUCUAUGCAUACGGUUGGCCAUCACGGGUUUUCUGGGCCAUUUGGAAGGUCAAACGAGCCCCGGAGCGAGCAUACGCCUCAUUUUGACGAUUUUCGUGUGCUAUUGCACACCAUUUUUUGGGUGAUCGGGAUUCCGACGUCAAAAAUGCCAAAUUUGUUCGUGGACGUCCGUCAAGACGUUGUCUAUGCAUACGGUUGGCCAUCACGGGUUUUCUGGGCCAUUUGGAAGGUCAAACGAGCCCCGGAGCGAGCAUACGCCUCAUUUUGACGAUUUUCGUGUGCUAUUGCACACCAUUUUUUGGGUGAUCGGGAUUCCGACGUCAAAAAUGCCAAAUUUGUUCGUGGACGUCCGUCAAGACGUUGUCUAUGCAUACGGUUGGCCAUCACGGGUUUUCUGGGCCAUUUGGAAGGUCAAACGAGCCCCGGAGCGAGCAUACGCCUCAUUUUGACGAUUUUCGUGUGCUAUUGCACACCAUUUUUGGGUGAUCGGAUUCCGACGUCAAAAAUGCAAAUUUGUUCGUGGACGUCCGUCAAGACGUUGUCUAUGCAUACGGUUGGCCAUCACGGGUUUUCUGGGCCAUUUGGAAGGUCAAACGAGCCCCGGAGCGAGCAUACGCCUCAUUUGACGAUUUUCGUGUGCUAUUGCACACCAUUUUUUGGGUGAUCGGGAUUCCGACGUCAAAAAUGCCAAAUUUGUUCGUGGACGUCCGUCAAGACGUUGUCUAUGCAUACGGUUGGCCAUCACGGGUUUUCUGGGCCAUUUGGAAGGUCAAACGAGCCCCGGAGCGAGCAUACGCCUCAUUUUGACGAUUUUCGUGUGCUAUUGCACACCAUUUUUUGGGUGAUCGGGAUUCCGACGUCAAAAAUGCCAAAUUUGUUCGUGGACGUCCGUCAAGACGUUGUCUAUGCAUACGGUUGGCCAUCACGGGUUUUCUGGGCCGUUUGGAAGGUCAAACGAGCCCCGGAGCGAGCAUACGCCUCAUUUUGACGAUUUUCGUGUGCUAUUGCACACCAUUUUUGGGUGAUCAGGAUUCCGACGUCAAAAAUGCCAAAUUUGUUCGUGGACGUCCGUCAAGACGUUGUCUAUGCAUACGGUUGGCCAUCACGGGUUUUCUGGGCCGUUUGGAAGGUCAAACGAGCCCCGGAGCGAGCAUACGCCUCAUUUUGACGAUUUUCGUGUGCUAUUGCACACCAUUUUUUGGGUGAUCGGGAUUCCGACGUCAAAAAUGCCAAAUUUGUUCGUGGACGUCCGUCAAGACGUUGUCUAUGCAUACGGUUGGCCAUCACGGGUUUUCUGGGCCAUUUGGAAGGUCAAACGAGCCCCGGAGCGAGCAUACGCCUCAUUUUGACGAUUUUCGUGUGCUAUUGCACACCAUUUUUUGGGUGAUCGGGAUUCCGACGUCAAAAAUGCCAAAUUUGUUCGUGGACGUCCGUCAAGACGUUGUCUAUGCAUACGGUUGGCCAUCACGGCUUUUCUGGGCCAUUUGGAAGGUCAAACGAGCCCCGGAGCGAGCAUACGCCUCAUUUGACGAUUUUCGUGUGCUAUUGCAUACCAUUUUUUGGGUGAUAGGGAUUCCGACGUCAAAAAUGCCAAAUUUGUUCGUGGACGUCCGUCAAGACGUUGUCUAUGCAUACGGUUGGCCAUCACGGGUUUUCUGGGCCGUUUGGAAGGUCAAACGAGCCCCGGAGCGAGCAUACGCCUCAUUUUGACGAUUUUCGUGUGCUAUUGCACACCAUUUUUGGGUGAUCAGGGAUUCCGACGUCAAAAAUGCCAAAUUUGUUCGUGGACGUCCGUCAAGACGUUGUCUAUGCAUACGGUUGGCCAUCACGGGUUUUCUGGGCCGUUUGGAAGGUCAAACGAGCCCCGGAGCGAGCAUACGCCUCAUUUUGACGAUUUUCGUGUGCUAUUGCACACCAUUUUUUGGGUGAUCGGGAUUCCGACGUCAAAAAUGCCAAAUUUGUUCGUGGACGUCCGUCAAGACGUUGUCUAUGCAUACGGUUGGCCAUCACGGGUUUUCUGGGCCGUUUGGAAGGUCAAACGAGCCCCGGAGCGAGCAUACGCCUCAUUUUGACGAUUUUCGUGUGCUAUUGCACACCAUUUUUUGGGUGAUCGGGAUUCCGACGUCAAAAAUGCCAAAUUUGUUCGUGGACGUCCGUCAAGACGUUGUCUAUGCAUACGGUUGGCCAUCACGGGUUUUCUGGGCCGUUUGGAAGGUCAAACGAGCCCCGGAGCGAGCAUACGCCUCAUUUUGACGAUUUUCGUGUGCUAUUGCACACCAUUUUUUGGGUGAUCGGGAUUCCGACGUCAAAAAUGCCAAAUUUGUUCGUGGACGUCCGUCAAGACGUUGUCUAUGCAUACGGUUGGCCAUCACGGGUUUUCUGGGCCGUUUGGAAGGUCAAACGAGCCCCGGAGCGAGCAUACGCCUCAUUUUGACGAUUUUCGUGUGCUAUUGCACACCAUUUUUGGGUGAUCAGGAUUCCGACGUCAAAAAUGCCAAAUUUGUUCGUGGACGUCCGUCAAGACGUUGUCUAUGCAUACGGUUGGCCAUCACGGGUUUUCUGGGCCGUUUGGAAGGUCAAACGAGCCCCGGAGCGAGCAUACGCCUCAUUUUGACGAUUUUCGUGUGCUAUUGCACACCAUUUUUUGGGUGAUCAGGGAUUCCGACGUCAAAAUGCCAAAUUUGUUCGUGGACGUCCGUCAAGACGUUGUCUAUGCAUACGGUUGGCCAUCACGGGUUUUCUGGGCCAGUUUGGAAGGUCAAACGAGCCCCGGAGCGAGCAUACGCCUCAUUUUGACGAUUUUCGUGUGCUAUUGCACACCAUUUUUUGGGUGAUCAGGGAUUCCGACGUCAAAAAUGCAAAAUUUGUUCGUGGACGUCCGUCAAGACGUUGUCUAUGCAUACGGUUGGCCAUCACGGGUUUUCUGGGCCGUUUGGAAGGUCAAACGAGCCCCGGAGCGAGCAUACGCCUCAUUUUGACGAUUUUCGUGUGCUAUUGCACACCAUUUUUUGGGUGAUCGGGAUUCCGACGUCAAAAAUGCCAAAUUUGUUCGUGGACGUCCGUCAAGACGUUGUCUAUGCAUACGGUUGGCCAUCACGGGUUUUCUGGGCCAGUUUGGAAGGUCAAACGAGCCCCGGAGCGAGCAUACGCCUCAUUUUGACGAUUUUCGUGUGCUAUUGCACACCAUUUUUUGGGUGAUCAGGGAUUCCGACGUCAAAAAUGCCAAAUUUGUUCGUGGACGUCCGUCAAGACGUUGUCUAUGCAUACGGUUGGCCAUCACGGGUUUUCUGGGCCGUUUGGAAGGUCAAACGAGCCCCGGAGCGAGCAUACGCCUCAUUUUGACGAUUUUCGUGUGCUAUUGCACACCAUUUUUUGGGUGAUCAGGGAUUCCGACGUCAAAAAUGCAAAAUUUGUUCGUGGACGUCCGUCAAGACGUUGUCUAUGCAUACGGUUGGCCAUCACGGGUUUUCUGGGCCGUUUGGAAGGUCAAACGAGCCCCGGAGCGAGCAUACGCCUCAUUUUGACGAUUUUCGUGUGCUAUUGCACACCAUUUUUUGGGUGAUCGGGAUUCCGACGUCAAAAAUGCCAAAUUUGUUCGUGGACGUCCGUCAAGACGUUGUCUAUGCAUACGGUUGGCCAUCACGGGUUUUCUGGGCCAUUUGGAAGGUCAAACGAGCCCCGGAGCGAGCAUACGCCUCAUUUUGACGAUUUUCGUGUGCUAUUGCACACCAUUUUUGGGUGAUCGGGAUUCCGACGUCAAAAAUGCCAAAUUUGUUCGUGGACGUCCGUCAAGACGUUGUCUAUGCAUACGGUUGGCCAUCACGGGUUUUCUGGGCCGUUUGGAAGGUCAAACGAGCCCCGGAGCGAGCAUACGCCUCAUUUUGACGAUUUUCGUGUGCUAUUGCACACCAUUUUUUGGGUGAUCGGGAUUCCGACGUCAAAAAUGCCAAAUUUGUUCGUGGACGUCCGUCAAGACGUUGUCUAUGCAUACGGUUGGCCAUCACGGGUUUUCUGGGCCAGUUUGGAAGGUCAAACGAGCCCCGGAGCGAGCAUACGCCUCAUUUUGACGAUUUUCGUGUGCUAUUGCACACCAUUUUUUGGGUGAUCAGGGAUUCCGACGUCAAAAAUGCCAAAUUUGUUCGUGGACGUCCGUCAAGACGUUGUCUAUGCAUACGGUUGGCCAUCACGGGUUUUCUGGGCCGUUUGGAAGGUCAAACGAGCCCCGGAGCGAGCAUACGCCUCAUUUUGACGAUUUUCGUGUGCUAUUGCACACCAUUUUUGGGUGAUCGGGAUUCCGACGUCAAAAAUGCAAAAUUUGUUCGUGGACGUCCGUCAAGACGUUGUCUAUGCAUACGGUUGGCCAUCACGGGUUUUCUGGGCCGUUUGGAAGGUCAAACGAGCCCCGGAGCGAGCAUACGCCUCAUUUUGACGAUUUUCGUGUGCUAUUGCACACCAUUUUUUGGGUGAUCGGGAUUCCGACGUCAAAAAUGCCAAAUUUGUUCGUGGACGUCCGUCAAGACGUUGUCUAUGCAUACGGUUGGCCAUCACGGGUUUUCUGGGCCAGUUUGGAAGGUCAAACGAGCCCCGGAGCGAGCAUACGCCUCAUUUUGACGAUUUUCGUGUGCUAUUGCACACCAUUUUUUGGUGAUUAGGAUUCCGACGUCAAAAAAUGCCAAAUUUGUUCGUGGACGUCCGUCAAGAUGUUGUCUAUGCAUACGGUUGGCCAUCACGGGUUUUCUGGGCCGUUUGGAAGGUUAAACGAGCCUCGGAGCGAGCAUACGCCUCAUUUUGACGAUUUUCGUGUGCUAUUGCACACCAUUUUUUGGGUGAUCGGGAUUCCGACGUCAAAAAUGCCAAAUUUGUUCGUGGACGUCCGUCAAGACGUUGUCUAUGCAUACGGUUGGCCAUCACGGGUUUUCUGGGCCGUUUGGAAGGUCAAACGAGCCCCGGAGCGAGCAUACGCCUCAUUUUGACGAUUUUCGUGUGCUAUUGCACACCAUUUUUUGGGUGAUCAGGGAUUCCGACGUCAAAAAUGCAAAUUUGUUCGUGGACGUCCGUCAAGACGUUGUCUAUGCAUACGGUUGGCCAUCACGGGUUUUCUGGGCCGUUUGGAAGGUCAAACGAGCCCCGGAGCGAGCAUACGCCUCAUUUUGACGAUUUUCGUGUGCUAUUGCACACCAUUUUUUGGGUGAUCGGGAUUCCGACGUCAAAAAUGCAAAAUUUGUUCGUGGACGUCCGUCAAGACGUUGUCUAUGCAUACGGUUGGCCAUCACGGGUUUUCUGGGCCGUUUGGAAGGUCAAACGAGCCCCGGAGCGAGCAUACGCCUCAUUUUGACGAUUUUCGUGUGCUAUUGCACACCAUUUUUUGGGUGAUCGGGAUUCCGACGUCAAAAAUGCCAAAUUUGUUCGUGGACGUCCGUCAAGACGUUGUCUAUGCAUACGGUUGGCCAUCACGGGUUUUCUGGGCCGUUUGGAAGGUCAAACGAGCCCCGGAGCGAGCAUACGCCUCAUUUUGACGAUUUUCGUGUGCUAUUGCACACCAUUUUUGGGUGAUCAGGAUUCCGACGUCAAAAAUGCCAAAUUUGUUCGUGGACGUCCGUCAAGACGUUGUCUAUGCAUACGGUUGGCCAUCACGGGUUUUCUGGGCCGUUUGGAAGGUCAAACGAGCCCCGGAGCGAGCAUACGCCUCAUUUUGACGAUUUUCGUGUGCUAUUGCACACCAUUUUUUGGGUGAUCGGGAUUCCGACGUCAAAAAUGCCAAAUUUGUUCGUGGACGUCCGUCAAGACGUUGUCUAUGCAUACGGUUGGCCAUCACGGGUUUUCUGGGCAGUUUGGAAGGUCAAACGAGCCCCGGAGCGAGCAUACGCCUCAUUUUGACGAUUUUCGUGUGCUAUUGCACACCAUUUUUUGGGUGAUCAGGAUUCCGACGUCAAAAAUGCCAAAUUUGUUCGUGGACGUCCGUCAAGACGUUGUCUAUGCAUACGGUUGGCCAUCACGGGUUUUCUGGGCCGUUUGGAAGGUCAAACGAGCCCCGGAGCGAGCAUACGCCUCAUUUUGACGAUUUUCGUGUGCUAUUGCACACCAUUUUUUGGGUGAUCGGGAUUCCGACGUCAAAAAUGCCAAAUUUGUUCGUGGACGUCCGUCAAGACGUUGUCUAUGCAUACGGUUGGCCAUCACGGGUUUUCUGGGCCGUUUGGAAGGUCAAACGAGCCCCGGAGCGAGCAUACGCCUCAUUUGACGAUUUUCGUGUGCUAUUGCACACCAUUUUUUGGGUGAUCGGGAUUCCGACGUCAAAAAUGCCAAAUUUGUUCGUGGACGUCCGUCAAGACGUUGUCUAUGCAUACGGUUGGCCAUCACGGGUUUUCUGGGCCGUUUGGAAGGUCAAACGAGCCCCGGAGCGAGCAUACGCCUCAUUUUGACGAUUUUCGUGUGCUAUUGCACACCAUUUUUUGGGUGAUCAGGGAUUCCGACGUCAAAAAUGCCAAAUUUGUUCGUGGACGUCCGUCAAGACGUUGUCUAUGCAUACGGUUGGCCAUCACGGGUUUUCUGGGCCGUUUGGAAGGUCAAACGAGCCCCGGAGCGAGCAUACGCCUCAUUUUGACGAUUUUCGUGUGCUAUUGCACACCAUUUUUUGGGUGAUCGGGAUUCCGACGUCAAAAUGCCAAAUUUGUUCGUGGACGUCCGUCAAGACGUUGUCUAUGCAUACGGUUGGCCAUCACGGGUUUUCUGGGCCGUUUGGAAGGUCAAACGAGCCCCGGAGCGAGCAUACGCCUCAUUUUGACGAUUUUCGUGUGCUAUUGCACACCAUUUUUUGGGUGAUCGGGAUUCCGACGUCAAAAAUGCCAAAUUUGUUCGUGGACGUCCGUCAAGACGUUGUCUAUGCAUACGGUUGGCCAUCACGGGUUUUCUGGGCCGUUUGGAAGGUCAAACGAGCCCCGGAGCGAGCAUACGCCUCAUUUUGACGAUUUUCGUGUGCUAUUGCACACCAUUUUUUGGGUGAUCGGGAUUCCGACGUCAAAAAUGCCAAAUUUGUUCGUGGACGUCCGUCAAGACGUUGUCUAUGCAUACGGUUGGCCAUCACGGGUUUUCUGGGCCGUUUGGAAGGUCAAACGAGCCCCGGAGCGAGCAUACGCCUCAUUUUGACGAUUUUCGUGUGCUAUUGCACACCAUUUUUUGGGUGAUCGGGAUUCCGACGUCAAAAAUGCCAAAUUUGUUCGUGGACGUCCGUCAAGACGUUGUCUAUGCAUACGGUUGGCCAUCACGGGUUUUCUGGGCCGUUUGGAAGGUCAAACGAGCCCCGGAGCGAGCAUACGCCUCAUUUUGACGAUUUUCGUGUGCUAUUGCACACCAUUUUUUGGGUGAUCAGGGAUUCCGACGUCAAAAAUGCCAAAUUUGUUCGUGGACGUCCGUCAAGACGUUGUCUAUGCAUACGGUUGGCCAUCACGGGUUUUCUGGGCCGUUUGGAAGGUCAAACGAGCCCCGGAGCGAGCAUACGCCUCAUUUUGACGAUUUUCGUGUGCUAUUGCACACCAUUUUUGGGUGAUCGGGAUUCCGACGUCAAAAAUGCCAAAUUUGUUCGUGGACGUCCGUCAAGACGUUGUCUAUGCAUACGGUUGGCCAUCACGGGUUUUCUGGGCCGUUUGGAAGGUCAAACGAGCCCCGGAGCGAGCAUACGCCUCAUUUUGACGAUUUUCGUGUGCUAUUGCACACCAUUUUUUGGGUGAUCGGGAUUCCGACGUCAAAAAUGCCAAAUUUGUUCGUGGACGUCCGUCAAGACGUUGUCUAUGCAUACGGUUGGCCAUCACGGGUUUUCUGGGCCGUUUGGAAGGUCAAACGAGCCCCGGAGCGAGCAUACGCCUCAUUUUGACGAUUUUCGUGUGCUAUUGCACACCAUUUUUUGGGUGAUCGGGAUUCCGACGUCAAAAAUGCAAAUUUGUUCGUGGACGUCCGUCAAGACGUUGUCUAUGCAUACGGUUGGCCAUCACGGGUUUUCUGGGCCGUUUGGAAGGUCAAACGAGCCCCGGAGCGAGCAUACGCCUCAUUUUGACGAUUUUCGUGUGCUAUUGCACACCAUUUUUGGGUGAUCGGGAUUCCGACGUCAAAAAUGCCAAAUUUGUUCGUGGACGUCCGUCAAGACGUUGUCUAUGCAUACGGUUGGCCAUCACGGGUUUUCUGGGCCAAUUGGAAGGUCAAACGAGCCCCGGAGCGAGCAUACGCCUCAUUUGGACGAUUUUCGUGUGCUAUUGCACACCAUUUUUUGGGUGAUCAGGAUUCCGACGUCAAAAUGCCAAAUUUGUUCGUGGACGUCCGUCAAGACGUUGUCUAUGCAUACGGUUGGCCAUCACGGGUUUUCUGGGCCGUUUGGAAGGUCAAACGAGCCCCGGAGCGAGCAUACGCCUCAUUUUGACGAUUUUCGUGUGCUAUUGCACACCAUUUUUGGGUGAUCGGGAUUCCGACGUCAAAAAUGCAAAUUUGUUCGUGGACGUCCGUCAAGACGUUGUCUAUGCAUACGGUUGGCCAUCACGGGUUUUCUGGGCAGUUUGGAAGGUCAAACGAGCCCCGGAGCGAGCAUACGCCUCAUUUUGACGAUUUUCGUGUGCUAUUGCACACCAUUUUUUGGGUGAUCAGGAUUCCGACGUCAAAAAUGCCAAAUUUGUUCGUGGACGUCCGUCAAGACGUUGUCUAUGCAUACGGUUGGCCAUCACGGGUUUUCUGGGCCGUUUGGAAGGUCAAACGAGCCCCGGAGCGAGCAUACGCCUCAUUUUGACGAUUUUCGUGUGCUAUUGCACACCAUUUUUUGGGUGAUCGGGAUUCCGACGUCAAAAUGCCAAAAUUUGUUCGUGGACGUCCGUCAAGACGUUGUCUAUGCAUACGGUUGGCCAUCACGGGUUUUCUGGGCCGUUUGGAAGGUCAAACGAGCCCCGGAGCGAGCAUACGCCUCAUUUUGACGAUUUUCGUGUGCUAUUGCACACCAUUUUUUGGGUGAUCGGAUUUCCGACGUCAAAAAUGCCAAAUUUGUUCGUGGACGUCCGUCAAGACGUUGUCUAUGCAUACGGUUGGCCAUCACGGGUUUUCUGGGCCGUUUGGAAGGUCAAACGAGCCCCGGAGCGAGCAUACGCCUCAUUUUGACGAUUUUCGUGUGCUAUUGCACACCAUUUUUUGGGUGAUCGGGAUUCCGACGUCAAAAAUGCAAAUUUGUUCGUGGACGUCCGUCAAGACGUUGUCUAUGCAUACGGUUGGCCAUCACGGGUUUUCUGGGCCGUUUGGAAGGUCAAACGAGCCCCGGAGCGAGCAUACGCCUCAUUUUGACGAUUUUCGUGUGCUAUUGCACACCAUUUUUUGGGUGAUCGGGAUUCCGACGUCAAAAAUGCAAAUUUGUUCGUGGACGUCCGUCAAGACGUUGUCUAUGCAUACGGUUGGCCAUCACGGGUUUUCUGGGCCGUUUGGAAGGUCAAACGAGCCCCGGAGCGAGCAUACGCCUCAUUUUGACGAUUUUCGUGUGCUAUUGCACACCAUUUUUUGGGUGAUCAGGGAUUCCGACGUCAAAAAUGCCAAAUUUGUUCGUGGACGUCCGUCAAGACGUUGUCUAUGCAUACGGUUGGCCAUCACGGGUUUUCUGGGCCGUUUGGAAGGUCAAACGAGCCCCGGAGCGAGCAUACGCCUCAUUUUGACGAUUUUCGUGUGCUAUUGCACACCAUUUUUUGGGUGAUCGGGAUUCCGACGUCAAAAAUGCCAAAUUUGUUCGUGGACGUCCGUCAAGACGUUGUCUAUGCAUACGGUUGGCCAUCACGGGUUUUCUGGGCCAGUUUGGAAGGUCAAACGAGCCCCGGAGCGAGCAUACGCCUCAUUUUGACGAUUUUCGUGUGCUAUUGCACACCAUUUUUUGGGUGAUCGGGAUUCCGACGUCAAAAAUGCCAAAUUUGUUCGUGGACGUCCGUCAAGACGUUGUCUAUGCAUACGGUUGGCCAUCACGGGUUUUCUGGGCCGUUUGGAAGGUCAAACGAGCCCCGGAGCGAGCAUACGCCUCAUUUUGACGAUUUUCGUGUGCUAUUGCACACCAUUUUUUGGGUGAUCGGGAUUCCGACGUCAAAAAUGCCAAAUUUGUUCGUGGACGUCCGUCAAGACGUUGUCUAUGCAUACGGUUGGCCAUCACGGGUUUUUCUGGGCAGUUUGGAAGGUCAAACGAGCCCCGGAGCGAGCAUACGCCUCAUUUUGACGAUUUUCGUGUGCUAUUGCACACCAUUUUUUGGGUGAUCAGGAUUCCGACGUCAAAAAUGCCAAAUUUGUUCGUGGACGUCCGUCAAGACGUUGUCUAUGCAUACGGUUGGCCAUCACGGGUUUUCUGGGCCGUUUGGAAGGUCAAACGAGCCCCGGAGCGAGCUACGCCUCAUUUUGACGAUUUUCGUGUGCUAUUGCACACCAUUUUUUGGGUGAUCGGGAUUCCGACGUCAAAAAUGCCAAAUUUGUUCGUGACGUCCGUCAAGACGUUGUCUAUGCAUACGGUUGGCCAUCACGGGUUUUCUGGGCAGUUUGGAAGGUCAAACGAGCCCCGGAGCGAGCAUACGCCUCAUUUGACGAUUUUCGUGUGCUAUUGCACACCAUUUUUUGGGUGAUCAGGAUUCCGACGUCAAAAAUGCCAAAUUUGUUCGUGGACGUCCGUCAAGACGUUGUCUAUGCAUACGGUUGGCCAUCACGGGUUUUCUGGGCCGUUUGGAAGGUCAAACGAGCCCCGGAGCGAGCAUACGCCUCAUUUUGACGAUUUUCGUGUGCUAUUGCACACCAUUUUUUGGGUGAUCGGGAUUCCGACGUCAAAAAUGCCAAAUUUGUUCGUGGACGUCCGUCAAGACGUUGUCUAUGCAUACGGUUGGCCAUCACGGGUUUUCUGGGCCGUUUGGAAGGUCAAACGAGCCCCGGAGCGAGCAUACGCCUCAUUUGACGAUUUUCGUGUGCUAUUGCACACCAUUUUUUGGGGUGAUCGGGAUUCCGACGUCAAAAAUGCAAAUUUGUUCGUGGACGUCCGUCAAGACGUUGUCUAUGCAUACGGUUGGCCAUCACGGGUUUUCUGGGCCGUUUGGAAGGUCAAACGAGCCCCGGAGCGAGCAUACGCCUCAUUUUGACGAUUUUCGUGUGCUAUUGCACACCAUUUUUUGGGUGAUCGGGAUUCCGACGUCAAAAAUGCCAAAUUUGUUCGUGGACGUCCGUCAAGACGUUGUCUAAUGCAUACGGUUGGCCAUCACGGGUUUUCUGGGCCAGUUUGGAAGGUCAAACGAGCCCCGGAGCGAGCAUACGCCUCAUUUUGACGAUUUUCGUGUGCUAUUGCACACCAUUUUUGGGUGAUCAGGAUUCGACGUCAAAAUGCCAAAUUUGUUCGUGGACGUCCGUCAAGACGUUGUCUAUGCAUACGGUUGGCCAUCACGGGUUUUCUGGGCGUUUGGAAGGUCAAACGAGCCCCGGAGCGAGCAUACGCCUCAUUUUGACGAUUUCGUGUGCUAUUGCACACCAUUUUUUGGGUGAUCGGGAUUCCGACGUCAAAAAUGCCAAAUUUGUUCGUGGACGUCCGUCAAGACGUUGUCUAUGCAUACGGUGGCCAUCACGGGUUUUUGGGCAGUUUGGAAGGUCAAACGAGCCCCGGAGCGAGCAUACGCCUCAUUUUGACGAUUUUCGUGUGCUAUUGCACACCAUUUUUUGGGUGAUCGGGAUUCCGACGUCAAAAAUGCCAAAUUUGUUCGUGGACGUCCGUCAAGACGUUGUCUAUGCAUACGGUUGGCCAUCACGGGUUUUCUGGGCCGUUUGGAAGGUCAAACGAGCCCCGGAGCGAGCAUACGCCUCAUUUUGACGAUUUUCGUGUGCUAUUGCACACCAUUUUUGGGUGAUCAGGAUUCCGACGUCAAAAAUGCCAAAUUUGUUCGUGGACGUCCGUCAAGACGUUGUCUAUGCAUACGGUUGGCCAUCACGGGUUUUCUGGGCCGUUUGGAAGGUCAAACGAGCCCCGGAGCGAGCAUACGCCUCAUUUUGACGAUUUUCGUGUGCUAUUGCACACCAUUUUUUGGGUGAUCAGGGAUUCCGACGUCAAAAAUGCAAAAUUUGUUCGUGGACGUCCGUCAAGACGUUGUCUAUGCAUACGGUUGGCCAUCACGGGUUUCUGGGCCGUUUGGAAGGUCAAACGAGCCCCGGAGCGAGCAUACGCCUCAUUUUGACGAUUUUCGUGUGCUAUUGCACACCAUUUUUUGGGUGAUCGGGAUUCCGACGUCAAAAAUGCCAAAUUUGUUCGUGAACGUCCGUCAAGACGUUGUCUAUGCAUACGGUUGGCCAUCACGGGUUUUCUGGGCCGUUUGGAAGGUCAAACGAGCCCCGGAGCGAGCAUACGCCUCAUUUUGACGAUUUUCGUGUGCUAUUGCACACCAUUUUUUGGGUGAUCAGGAUUCCGACGUCAAAAAUGCCAAAUUUGUUCGUGGACGUCCGUCAAGACGUUGUCUAUGCAUACGGUUGGCCAUCACGGGUUUUCUGGGCGUUUGGAAGGUCAAACGAGCCCCGGAGCGAGCAUACGCCUCAUUUUGACGAUUUUCGUGUGCUAUUGCACACCAUUUUUUGGGUGAUCAGGGAUUCCGACGUCAAAAAUGCAAAAUUUGUUCGUGGACGUCCGUCAAGACGUUGUCUAUGCAUACGGUGGCCAUCACGGGUUUUCCUGGGCCGUUUGGAAGGUCAAACGAGCCCCGGAGCGAGCAUACGCCUCAUUUUGACGAUUUUCGUGUGCUAUUGCACACCAUUUUUGAGUGAUCGGGAUUCCGACGUCAAAAUGCCAAAUUUGUUCGUGGACGUCCGUCAAGACGUUGUCUAUGCAUACAGUUGGCCAUCACGGGUUUUCUGGGCCAUUUGGAAGGUCAAACGAGCCCCGGAGCGAGCAUACGCCUCAUUUUGACGAUUUUCGUGUGCUAUUGCACACCAUUUUUUGGGUGAUCAGGAUUCCGACGUCAAAAAUGCCAAAUUUGUUCGUGGACGUCCGUCAAGACGUUGUCUAUGCAUACGGUUGGCCAUCACGGGUUUUCUGGGCCGUUUGGAAGGUCAAACGAGCCCCGGAGCGAGCAUACGCCUCAUUUUGACGAUUUUCGUGUGCUAUUGCACACAUUUUUUGGGUGAUCAGGAUUCCGACGUUCAAAAAUGCCAAUUUGUUCGUGGACGUCCGUCAAGACGUUGUCUAUGCAUACGGUUGGCCAUCACGGGUUUUCUGGGCCGUUUGGAAGGUCAAACGAGCCCCGGAGCGAGCAUACGCCUCAUUUUGACGAUUUUCGUGUGCUAUUGCACACCAUUUUUUGGGUGAUCGGGAUUCCGAUCGUCAAAAAUGCAAAUUUGUUCGUGGACGUCCGUCAAGACGUUGUCUAUGCAUACGGUUGGCCAUCACGGUUUUCUGGGCCGUUUGGAAGGUCAAACGAGCCCCGGAGCGAGCAUACGCCUCAUUUUGACGAUUUUCGUGUGCUAUUGCACACCAUUUUUUGGGUGAUCAGGGAUUCCGACGUCAAAAAUGCCAAAUUUGUUCGUGGACGUCCGUCAAGACGUUGUCUAUGCAUACGGUUGGCCAUCACGGGUUUUCUGGGCCAGUUUGGAAGGUCAAACGAGCCCCGGAGCGAGCAUACGCCUCAUUUUGACGAUUUUCGUGUGCUAAUUGCACACCAUUUUUUGGGUGAUCGGGAUUCCGACGUCAAAAAUGCCAAAUUUGUUCGUGGACGUCCGUCAAGACGUUGUCUAUGCAUACGGUUGGCCAUCACGGGUUUUCUGGGCCGUUUGGAAGGUCAACGAGCCCCGGAGCGAGCAUACGCCUCAUUUUGACGAUUUUCGUGUGCUAUUGCACACCAUUUUUUGGGUGAUCGGGAUUCCGACGUCAAAAAUGCAAAUUUGUUCGUGGACGUCCGUCAAGACGUUGUCUAUGCAUACGGUUGGCCAUCACGGUUUUCUGGGCCAUUUGGAAGGUCAAACGAGCCCCGGAGCGAGCAUACGCCUCAUUUUGACGAUUUUCGUGUGCUAUUGCACACCAUUUUUUGGGUGAUCAGGAUUCCGACGUCAAAAUGCCAAAUUUGUUCGUGGACGUCCGUCAAGACGUUGUCUAUGCAUACGGUUGGCCAUCACGGGUUUUCUGGGCCGUUUGGAAGGUCAAACGAGCCCCGGAGCGAGCAUACGCCUCAUUUUGACGAUUUUCGUGUGCUAUUGCACACCAUUUUUUGGGUGAUCGGGAUUCCGACGUCAAAAAUGCAAAAUUUGUUCGUGGACGUCCGUCAAGACGUUGUCUAUGCAUACGGUUGGCCAUCACGGGUUUUCUGGGCAGUUUGGAAGGUCAAACGAGCCCCGGAGCGAGCAUACGCCUCAUUUUGACGAUUUUCGUGUGCUAUUGCACACCAUUUUUUGGGUGAUCAGGAUUCCGACGUCAAAAAUGCCAAAUUUGUUCGGGGACGUCCGUCAAGACGUUGUCUAUGCAUACGGUUGGCCAUCACGGGUUUUCUGGGCCGUUGGAAGGUCAAACGAGCCCCGGAGCGAGCAUACGCCUCAUUUUGACGAUUUUCGUGUGCUAUUGCACACCAUUUUUUGGGUGAUCGGGAUUCCGACGUCAAAAAUGCCAAAUUUGUUCGUGGACGUCCGUCAAGACGUUGUCUAUGCAUACGGUUGGCCAUCACGGGUUUUCUGGGCCGUUUGGAAGGUCCAACGAGCCCCGGAGCGAGCAUACGCCUCAUUUUGACGAUUUUCGUGUGCUAUUGCACACCAUUUUUUGGGGUGAUCAGGGAUUCCGACGUCAAAAAUGCCAAAUUUGUUCGUGGACGUCCGUCAAGACGUUGUCUAUGCAUACGGUUGGCCAUCACGGGUUUUUCUGGGCAGUUUGGAAGGUCAAACGAGCCCCGGAGCGAGCAUACGCCUCAUUUUGACGAUUUUCGUGUGCUAUUGCACACCAUUUUUUGGGUGAUCAGGAUUCCGACGUCAAAAAUGCAAAUUUGUUCGUGGACGUCCGUCAAGACGUUGUCUAUGCAUACGGUUGGCCAUCACGGGUUUUCUGGGCCGUUUGGAAGGUCAAACGAGCCCCGGAGCGAGCAUACGCCUCAUUUUGACGAUUUUCGUGUGCUAUUGCACACCAUUUUUUGGGUGAUCGGGAUUCCGACGUCAAAAAUGCCAAAUUUGUUCGUGGACGUCCGUCAAGACGUUGUCUAUGCAUACGGUUGGCCAUCACGGGUUUUCUGGGCGUUUGGAAGGUCAAACGAGCCCCGGAGCGAGCAUACGCCUCAUUUUGACGAUUUUCGUGUGCUAUUGCACACCAUUUUUUGGGUGAUCAGGGAUUCCGACGUCAAAAAUGCCAAAUUUGUUCGUGGACGUCCGUCAAGACGUUGUCUAUGCAUACGGUUGGCCAUCACGGGUUUUCUGGGCCGUUUGGAAGGUCAAACGAGCCCCGGAGCGAGCAUACGCCUCAUUUUGACGAUUUUCGUGUGCUAUUGCACACCAUUUUUUGGGUGAUCGGAUUCCGACGUCAAAAAUGCCAAAAUUUGUUCGUGGACGUCCGUCAAGAACGUUGUCUAUGCAUACGGUUGGCCAUCACGGUUUUCUGGGGCCGUUUGGAAGGUCAAACGAGCCCCCGGAGCGAGCAUACGCCUCAUUUUGACGAUUUUCGUGUGCUAUUGCACACCAUUUUUUGGGUGAUCAGGGAUUCCGACGUCAAAAAUGCCAAAUUUGGUCGUGGACGUCCGUCAAGACGUUGUCUAUGCAUACGGUUGGCCAUCACGGGUUUUCUGGGCCGUUUGGAAGGUCAAACGAGCCCCGGAGCGAGCAUACGCCUCAUUUUGACGAUUUUCGUGUGCUAUUGCACACCAUUUUUUGGGUUGAUCGGGAUUCCGACGUCAAAAAUGCAAAAUUUGUUCGUGGACGUCCGUCAAGACGUUGUCUAUGCAUACGGUUGGCCAUCACGGGUUUUCUGGGGCAGUUUGGAAGGUCAAACGAGCCCCGGAGCGAGCAUACGCCUCAUUUUGACGAUUUUCGUGUGCUAUUGCACACCAUUUUUGGGUGAUCAGGGAUUCCGACGUCAAAAAUGCAAAUUUGUUCGUGGACGUCCGUCAAGGACGUGUCUAUGCAUACGGUUGGCCAUCACGGGUUUUCUGGGCCGUUUGGAAGGUCAAACGAGCCCCGGAGCGAGCAUACGCCUCAUUUUGACGAUUUUCGUGUGCUAUUGCACACCAUUUUUUGGGUGAUCGGGAUUCCGACGUCAAAAAUGCCAAAUUUGUUCGUGGACGUCCGUCAAGACGUUGUCUAUGCAUACGGUUGGCCAUCACGGGUUUUCUGGGCCGUUUGGAAGGUCAAACGAGCCCCGGAGCGAGCAUACGCCUCAUUUUGACGAUUUUCGUGUGCUAUUGCACACCAUUUUUUGGGUGAUCGGGAUUCCGACGUCAAAAAUGCCAAAUUUGUUCGUGGACGUCCGUCAAGACGUUGUCUAUGCAUACGGUUGGCCAUCACGGGUUUUCUGGGCCGUUUGGAAGGUCAAACGAGCCCCGGAGCGAGCAUACGCCUCAUUUUGACGAUUUUCGUGUGCUAUUGCACACCAUUUUUUGGGUGAUCGGGAUUCCGACGUCAAAAAUGCCAAAUUUGUUCGUGGACAGUCCGUCAGACGUUGUCUAUGCAUACGGUUGGCCAUCACGGGUUUUCUGGGCCGUUUGGAAGGUCAAACGAGCCCGGAGCGAGCAUACGCCGCAUUUUGACGAUUUUCGUGUGCUAUUGCACACCAUUUUUUGGGUGAUCAGGAUUCCGACGUCAAAAAUGCAAAAUUUGUUCGUGGACGUCCGUCAGACGUUGUCUAUGCAUACGGUUGGCCAUCACGGGUUUUCUGGCCGUUUGGAAGGUCAAACGAGCCCCGGAGCGAGCAUACGCCUCAUUUUGACGAUUUUCGUGUGCUAUUGCACACCAUUUUUGGGGUGAUCGGGGAUUUCCGACGUCAAAAAUGCAAAUUUGUUCGUGGACAUCCGUCAAGACGUUGGUCCUAUGCAUACGGUUGGCCAUCAACGGGUUUUCUGGGCCAUUUGGAAGGUCAAACGAGCCCCGGAGCGAGCAUACGCCUCAUUUUGACGAUUUUCGUGUGCUAUUGCACACCAUUUUUUGGGUGAUCGGGAUUCCGACGUCAAAAAUGCCAAAUUUGUUCGUGGACGUCCGUCAAGACGUUGUCUAUGCAUACGGUUGGCCAUCACGGGUUUUCUGGGCCGUUUGGAAGGUCAAACGAGCCCCGGAGCGAGCAUACGCCUCAUUUUGACGAUUUUCGUGUGCUAUUGCACACCAUUUUUUGGGUGAUCGGGAUUCCGACGUCAAAAAUGCCAAAUUUGUUCGUGGACGUCCGUCAAGACGUUGUCUAUGCAUACGGUUGGCCAUCACGGGUUUUCUGGGCCGUUUGGAAGGUCAAACGAGCCCCGGAGCGAGCAUACGCCUCAUUUUGACGAUUUUCGUGUGCUAUUGCACACCAUUUUUUGGGUGAUCGGGAUUCCGACGUCAAAAAUGCCAAAUUUGUUCGUGGACGUCCGUCAAGACGUUGUCUAUGCAUACGGUUGGCCAUCACGGGUUUUCUGGGCCGUUUGGAAGGUCAAACGAGCCCCGGAGCGAGCAUACGCCUCAUUUUGACGAUUUUCGUGUGCUAUUGCACACCAUUUUUUGGGUGAUCGGGAUUCCGACGUCAAAAAUGCCAAAUUUGUUCGUGGACGUCCGUCAAGACGUUGUCUAUGCAUACGGUUGGCCAUCACGGGUUUUCUGGGCCGUUUGGAAGGUCAAACGAGCCCCGGAGCGAGCAUACGCCUCAUUUUGACGAUUUUCGUGUGCUAUUGCACACCAUUUUUUGGGUGAUCGGGAUUCCGACGUCAAAAAUGCCAAAUUUGUUCGUGGACGUCCGUCAAGACGUUGUCUAUGCAUACGGUUGGCCAUCACGGGUUUUCUGGGCCGUUUGGAAGGUCAAACGAGCCCCGGAGCGAGCAUACGCCUCAUUUUGACGAUUUUCGUGUGCUAUUGCACACCAUUUUUUGGGUGAUCGGGAUUCCGACGUCAAAAAUGCCAAAUUUGUUCGUGGACGUCCGUCAAGACGUUGUCUAUGCAUACGGUUGGCCAUCACGGGUUUUCUGGGCCGUUUGGAAGGUCAAACGAGCCCCGGAGCGAGCAUACGCCUCAUUUUGACGAUUUUCGUGUGCUAUUGCACACCAUUUUUGGGUGAUCGGGAUUCCGACGUCAAAAAUGCCAAAUUUGUUCGUGGACGUCCGUCAAGACGUUGUCUAUGCAUACGGUUGGCCAUCACGGGUUUUCUGGGCCGUUUGGAAGGUCAAACGAGCCCCGGAGCGAGCAUACGCCUCAUUUUGACGAUUUUCGUGUGCUAUUGCACACCAUUUUUUGGGUGAUCGGGAUUCCGACGUCAAAAAUGCCAAAUUUGUUCGUGGACGUCCGUCAAGACGUUGUCUAUGCAUACGGUUGGCCAUCACGGGUUUUCUGGGCCGUUUGGAAGGUCAAACGAGCCCCGGAGCGAGCAUACGCCUCAUUUUGACGAUUUUCGUGUGCUAUUGCACACCAUUUUUUGGGUGAUCGGGAUUCCGACGUCAAAAAUGCCAAAUUUGUUCGUGGACGUCCGUCAAGACGUUGUCUAUGCAUACGGUUGGCCAUCACGGGUUUUCUGGGCCGUUUGGAAGGUCAAACGAGCCCCGGAGCGAGCAUACGCCUCAUUUUGACGAUUUUCGUGUGCUAUUGCACACCAUUUUUUGGGUGAUCGGGAUUCCGACGUCAAAAAUGCCAAAUUUGUUCGUGGACGUCCGUCAAGACGUUGUCUAUGCAUACGGUUGGCCAUCACGGGUUUUCUGGGCCGUUUGGAAGGUCAAACGAGCCCCGGAGCGAGCAUACGCCUCAUUUUGACGAUUUUCGUGUGCUAUUGCACACCAUUUUUUGGGUGAUCGGGAUUCCGACGUCAAAAAUGCCAAAUUUGUUCGUGGACGUCCGUCAAGACGUUGUCUAUGCAUACGGUUGGCCAUCACGGGUUUUCUGGGCCGUUUGGAAGGUCAAACGAGCCCCGGAGCGAGCAUACGCCUCAUUUUGACGAUUUUCGUGUGCUAUUGCACACCAUUUUUUGGGUGAUCGGGAUUCCGACGUCAAAAAUGCCAAAUUUGUUCGUGGACGUCCGUCAAGACGUUGUCUAUGCAUACGGUUGGCCAUCACGGGUUUUCUGGGCCGUUUGGAAGGUCAAACGAGCCCCGGAGCGAGCAUACGCCUCAUUUUGACGAUUUUCGUGUGCUAUUGCACACCAUUUUUUGGGUGAUCGGGAUUCCGACGUCAAAAAUGCCAAAUUUGUUCGUGGACGUCCGUCAAGACGUUGUCUAUGCAUACGGUUGGCCAUCACGGGUUUUCUGGGCCGUUUGGAAGGUCAAACGAGCCCCGGAGCGAGCAUACGCCUCAUUUUGACGAUUUUCGUGUGCUAUUGCACACCAUUUUUUGGGUGAUCGGGAUUCCGACGUCAAAAAUGCCAAAUUUGUUCGUGGACGUCCGUCAAGACGUUGUCUAUGCAUACGGUUGGCCAUCACGGGUUUUCUGGGCCGUUUGGAAGGUCAAACGAGCCCCGGAGCGAGCAUACGCCUCAUUUUGACGAUUUUCGUGUGCUAUUGCACACCAUUUUUUGGGUGAUCGGGAUUCCGACGUCAAAAAUGCCAAAUUUGUUCGUGGACGUCCGUCAAGACGUUGUCUAUGCAUACGGUUGGCCAUCACGGGUUUUCUGGGCCGUUUGGAAGGUCAAACGAGCCCCGGAGCGAGCAUACGCCUCAUUUUGACGAUUUUCGUGUGCUAUUGCACACCAUUUUUUGGGUGAUCGGGAUUCCGACGUCAAAAAUGCCAAAUUUGUUCGUGGACGUCCGUCAAGACGUUGUCUAUGCAUACGGUUGGCCAUCACGGGUUUUCUGGGCCGUUUGGAAGGUCAAACGAGCCCCGGAGCGAGCAUACGCCUCAUUUUGACGAUUUUCGUGUGCUAUUGCACACCAUUUUUUGGGUGAUCGGGAUUCCGACGUCAAAAAUGCCAAAUUUGUUCGUGGACGUCCGUCAAGACGUUGUCUAUGCAUACGGUUGGCCAUCACGGGUUUUCUGGGCCGUUUGGAAGGUCAAACGAGCCCCGGAGCGAGCAUACGCCUCAUUUUGACGAUUUUCGUGUGCUAUUGCACACCAUUUUUUGGGUGAUCGGGAUUCCGACGUCAAAAAUGCCAAAUUUGUUCGUGGACGUCCGUCAAGACGUUGUCUAUGCAUACGGUUGGCCAUCACGGGUUUUCUGGGCCGUUUGGAAGGUCAAACGAGCCCCGGAGCGAGCAUACGCCUCAUUUUGACGAUUUUCGUGUGCUAUUGCACACCAUUUUUUGGGUGAUCGGGAUUCCGACGUCAAAAAUGCCAAAUUUGUUCGUGGACGUCCGUCAAGACGUUGUCUAUGCAUACGGUUGGCCAUCACGGGUUUUCUGGGCCGUUUGGAAGGUCAAACGAGCCCCGGAGCGAGCAUACGCCUCAUUUUGACGAUUUUCGUGUGCUAUUGCACACCAUUUUUUGGGUGAUCGGGAUUCCGACGUCAAAAAUGCCAAAUUUGUUCGUGGACGUCCGUCAAGACGUUGUCUAUGCAUACGGUUGGCCAUCACGGGUUUUCUGGGCCGUUUGGAAGGUCAAACGAGCCCCGGAGCGAGCAUACGCCUCAUUUUGACGAUUUUCGUGUGCUAUUGCACACCAUUUUUUGGGUGAUCGGGAUUCCGACGUCAAAAAUGCCAAAUUUGUUCGUGGACGUCCGUCAAGACGUUGUCUAUGCAUACGGUUGGCCAUCACGGGUUUUCUGGGCCGUUUGGAAGGUCAAACGAGCCCCGGAGCGAGCAUACGCCUCAUUUUGACGAUUUUCGUGUGCUAUUGCACACCAUUUUUUGGGUGAUCGGGAUUCCGACGUCAAAAAUGCCAAAUUUGUUCGUGGACGUCCGUCAAGACGUUGUCUAUGCAUACGGUUGGCCAUCACGGGUUUUCUGGGCCGUUUGGAAGGUCAAACGAGCCCCGGAGCGAGCAUACGCCUCAUUUUGACGAUUUUCGUGUGCUAUUGCACACCAUUUUUUGGGUGAUCGGGAUUCCGACGUCAAAAAUGCCAAAUUUGUUCGUGGACGUCCGUCAAGACGUUGUCUAUGCAUACGGUUGGCCAUCACGGGUUUUCUGGGCCGUUUGGAAGGUCAAACGAGCCCCGGAGCGAGCAUACGCCUCAUUUUGACGAUUUUCGUGUGCUAUUGCACACCAUUUUUUGGGUGAUCGGGAUUCCGACGUCAAAAAUGCCAAAUUUGUUCGUGGACGUCCGUCAAGACGUUGUCUAUGCAUACGGUUGGCCAUCACGGGUUUUCUGGGCCGUUUGGAAGGUCAAACGAGCCCCGGAGCGAGCAUACGCCUCAUUUUGACGAUUUUCGUGUGCUAUUGCACACCAUUUUUUGGGUGAUCGGGAUUCCGACGUCAAAAAUGCCAAAUUUGUUCGUGGACGUCCGUCAAGACGUUGUCUAUGCAUACGGUUGGCCAUCACGGGUUUUCUGGGCCGUUUGGAAGGUCAAACGAGCCCCGGAGCGAGCAUACGCCUCAUUUUGACGAUUUUCGUGUGCUAUUGCACACCAUUUUUUGGGUGAUCGGGAUUCCGACGUCAAAAAUGCCAAAUUUGUUCGUGGACGUCCGUCAAGACGUUGUCUAUGCAUACGGUUGGCCAUCACGGGUUUUCUGGGCCGUUUGGAAGGUCAAACGAGCCCCGGAGCGAGCAUACGCCUCAUUUUGACGAUUUUCGUGUGCUAUUGCACACCAUUUUUUGGGUGAUCGGGAUUCCGACGUCAAAAAUGCCAAAUUUGUUCGUGGACGUCCGUCAAGACGUUGUCUAUGCAUACGGUUGGCCAUCACGGGUUUUCUGGGCCGUUUGGAAGGUCAAACGAGCCCCGGAGCGAGCAUACGCCUCAUUUUGACGAUUUUCGUGUGCUAUUGCACACCAUUUUUUGGGUGAUCGGGAUUCCGACGUCAAAAAUGCCAAAUUUGUUCGUGGACGUCCGUCAAGACGUUGUCUAUGCAUACGGUUGGCCAUCACGGGUUUUCUGGGCCGUUUGGAAGGUCAAACGAGCCCCGGAGCGAGCAUACGCCUCAUUUUGACGAUUUUCGUGUGCUAUUGCACACCAUUUUUUGGGUGAUCGGGAUUCCGACGUCAAAAAUGCCAAAUUUGUUCGUGGACGUCCGUCAAGACGUUGUCUAUGCAUACGGUUGGCCAUCACGGGUUUUCUGGGCCGUUUGGAAGGUCAAACGAGCCCCGGAGCGAGCAUACGCCUCAUUUUGACGAUUUUCGUGUGCUAUUGCACACCAUUUUUUGGGUGAUCGGGAUUCCGACGUCAAAAAUGCCAAAUUUGUUCGUGGACGUCCGUCAAGACGUUGUCUAUGCAUACGGUUGGCCAUCACGGGUUUUCUGGGCCGUUUGGAAGGUCAAACGAGCCCCGGAGCGAGCAUACGCCUCAUUUUGACGAUUUUCGUGUGCUAUUGCACACCAUUUUUUGGGUGAUCGGGAUUCCGACGUCAAAAAUGCCAAAUUUGUUCGUGGACGUCCGUCAAGACGUUGUCUAUGCAUACGGUUGGCCAUCACGGGUUUUCUGGGCCGUUUGGAAGGUCAAACGAGCCCCGGAGCGAGCAUACGCCUCAUUUUGACGAUUUUCGUGUGCUAUUGCACACCAUUUUUUGGGUGAUCGGGAUUCCGACGUCAAAAAUGCCAAAUUUGUUCGUGGACGUCCGUCAAGACGUUGUCUAUGCAUACGGUUGGCCAUCACGGGUUUUCUGGGCCGUUUGGAAGGUCAAACGAGCCCCGGAGCGAGCAUACGCCUCAUUUUGACGAUUUUCGUGUGCUAUUGCACACCAUUUUUUGGGUGAUCGGGAUUCCGACGUCAAAAAUGCCAAAUUUGUUCGUGGACGUCCGUCAAGACGUUGUCUAUGCAUACGGUUGGCCAUCACGGGUUUUCUGGGCCGUUUGGAAGGUCAAACGAGCCCCGGAGCGAGCAUACGCCUCAUUUUGACGAUUUUCGUGUGCUAUUGCACACCAUUUUUUGGGUGAUCGGGAUUCCGACGUCAAAAAUGCCAAAUUUGUUCGUGGACGUCCGUCAAGACGUUGUCUAUGCAUACGGUUGGCCAUCACGGGUUUUCUGGGCCGUUUGGAAGGUCAAACGAGCCCCGGAGCGAGCAUACGCCUCAUUUUGACGAUUUUCGUGUGCUAUUGCACACCAUUUUUUGGGUGAUCGGGAUUCCGACGUCAAAAAUGCCAAAUUUGUUCGUGGACGUCCGUCAAGACGUUGUCUAUGCAUACGGUUGGCCAUCACGGGUUUUCUGGGCCGUUUGGAAGGUCAAACGAGCCCCGGAGCGAGCAUACGCCUCAUUUUGACGAUUUUCGUGUGCUAUUGCACACCAUUUUUUGGGUGAUCGGGAUUCCGACGUCAAAAAUGCCAAAUUUGUUCGUGGACGUCCGUCAAGACGUUGUCUAUGCAUACGGUUGGCCAUCACGGGUUUUCUGGGCCGUUUGGAAGGUCAAACGAGCCCCGGAGCGAGCAUACGCCUCAUUUUGACGAUUUUCGUGUGCUAUUGCACACCAUUUUUUGGGUGAUCGGGAUUCCGACGUCAAAAAUGCCAAAUUUGUUCGUGGACGUCCGUCAAGACGUUGUCUAUGCAUACGGUUGGCCAUCACGGGUUUUCUGGGCCGUUUGGAAGGUCAAACGAGCCCCGGAGCGAGCAUACGCCUCAUUUUGACGAUUUUCGUGUGCUAUUGCACACCAUUUUUUGGGUGAUCGGGAUUCCGACGUCAAAAAUGCCAAAUUUGUUCGUGGACGUCCGUCAAGACGUUGUCUAUGCAUACGGUUGGCCAUCACGGGUUUUCUGGGCCGUUUGGAAGGUCAAACGAGCCCCGGAGCGAGCAUACGCCUCAUUUUGACGAUUUUCGUGUGCUAUUGCACACCAUUUUUUGGGUGAUCGGGAUUCCGACGUCAAAAAUGCCAAAUUUGUUCGUGGACGUCCGUCAAGACGUUGUCUAUGCAUACGGUUGGCCAUCACGGGUUUUCUGGGCCGUUUGGAAGGUCAAACGAGCCCCGGAGCGAGCAUACGCCUCAUUUUGACGAUUUUCGUGUGCUAUUGCACACCAUUUUUUGGGUGAUCGGGAUUCCGACGUCAAAAAUGCCAAAUUUGUUCGUGGACGUCCGUCAAGACGUUGUCUAUGCAUACGGUUGGCCAUCACGGGUUUUCUGGGCCGUUUGGAAGGUCAAACGAGCCCCGGAGCGAGCAUACGCCUCAUUUUGACGAUUUUCGUGUGCUAUUGCACACCAUUUUUUGGGUGAUCGGGAUUCCGACGUCAAAAAUGCCAAAUUUGUUCGUGGACGUCCGUCAAGACGUUGUCUAUGCAUACGGUUGGCCAUCACGGGUUUUCUGGGCCGUUUGGAAGGUCAAACGAGCCCCGGAGCGAGCAUACGCCUCAUUUUGACGAUUUUCGUGUGCUAUUGCACACCAUUUUUUGGGUGAUCGGGAUUCCGACGUCAAAAAUGCCAAAUUUGUUCGUGGACGUCCGUCAAGACGUUGUCUAUGCAUACGGUUGGCCAUCACGGGUUUUCUGGGCCGUUUGGAAGGUCAAACGAGCCCCGGAGCGAGCAUACGCCUCAUUUUGACGAUUUUCGUGUGCUAUUGCACACCAUUUUUUGGGUGAUCGGGAUUCCGACGUCAAAAAUGCCAAAUUUGUUCGUGGACGUCCGUCAAGACGUUGUCUAUGCAUACGGUUGGCCAUCACGGGUUUUCUGGGCCGUUUGGAAGGUCAAACGAGCCCCGGAGCGAGCAUACGCCUCAUUUUGACGAUUUUCGUGUGCUAUUGCACACCAUUUUUUGGGUGAUCGGGAUUCCGACGUCAAAAAUGCCAAAUUUGUUCGUGGACGUCCGUCAAGACGUUGUCUAUGCAUACGGUUGGCCAUCACGGGUUUUCUGGGCCGUUUGGAAGGUCAAACGAGCCCCGGAGCGAGCAUACGCCUCAUUUUGACGAUUUUCGUGUGCUAUUGCACACCAUUUUUUGGGUGAUCGGGAUUCCGACGUCAAAAAUGCCAAAUUUGUUCGUGGACGUCCGUCAAGACGUUGUCUAUGCAUACGGUUGGCCAUCACGGGUUUUCUGGGCCGUUUGGAAGGUCAAACGAGCCCCGGAGCGAGCAUACGCCUCAUUUUGACGAUUUUCGUGUGCUAUUGCACACCAUUUUUUGGGUGAUCGGGAUUCCGACGUCAAAAAUGCCAAAUUUGUUCGUGGACGUCCGUCAAGACGUUGUCUAUGCAUACGGUUGGCCAUCACGGGUUUUCUGGGCCGUUUGGAAGGUCAAACGAGCCCCGGAGCGAGCAUACGCCUCAUUUUGACGAUUUUCGUGUGCUAUUGCACACCAUUUUUUGGGUGAUCGGGAUUCCGACGUCAAAAAUGCCAAAUUUGUUCGUGGACGUCCGUCAAGACGUUGUCUAUGCAUACGGUUGGCCAUCACGGGUUUUCUGGGCCGUUUGGAAGGUCAAACGAGCCCCGGAGCGAGCAUACGCCUCAUUUUGACGAUUUUCGUGUGCUAUUGCACACCAUUUUUUGGGUGAUCGGGAUUCCGACGUCAAAAAUGCCAAAUUUGUUCGUGGACGUCCGUCAAGACGUUGUCUAUGCAUACGGUUGGCCAUCACGGGUUUUCUGGGCCGUUUGGAAGGUCAAACGAGCCCCGGAGCGAGCAUACGCCUCAUUUUGACGAUUUUCGUGUGCUAUUGCACACCAUUUUUUGGGUGAUCGGGAUUCCGACGUCAAAAAUGCCAAAUUUGUUCGUGGACGUCCGUCAAGACGUUGUCUAUGCAUACGGUUGGCCAUCACGGGUUUUCUGGGCCGUUUGGAAGGUCAAACGAGCCCCGGAGCGAGCAUACGCCUCAUUUUGACGAUUUUCGUGUGCUAUUGCACACCAUUUUUUGGGUGAUCGGGAUUCCGACGUCAAAAAUGCCAAAUUUGUUCGUGGACGUCCGUCAAGACGUUGUCUAUGCAUACGGUUGGCCAUCACGGGUUUUCUGGGCCGUUUGGAAGGUCAAACGAGCCCCGGAGCGAGCAUACGCCUCAUUUUGACGAUUUUCGUGUGCUAUUGCACACCAUUUUUUGGGUGAUCGGGAUUCCGACGUCAAAAAUGCCAAAUUUGUUCGUGGACGUCCGUCAAGACGUUGUCUAUGCAUACGGUUGGCCAUCACGGGUUUUCUGGGCCGUUUGGAAGGUCAAACGAGCCCCGGAGCGAGCAUACGCCUCAUUUUGACGAUUUUCGUGUGCUAUUGCACACCAUUUUUUGGGUGAUCGGGAUUCCGACGUCAAAAAUGCCAAAUUUGUUCGUGGACGUCCGUCAAGACGUUGUCUAUGCAUACGGUUGGCCAUCACGGGUUUUCUGGGCCGUUUGGAAGGUCAAACGAGCCCCGGAGCGAGCAUACGCCUCAUUUUGACGAUUUUCGUGUGCUAUUGCACACCAUUUUUUGGGUGAUCGGGAUUCCGACGUCAAAAAUGCCAAAUUUGUUCGUGGACGUCCGUCAAGACGUUGUCUAUGCAUACGGUUGGCCAUCACGGGUUUUCUGGGCCGUUUGGAAGGUCAAACGAGCCCCGGAGCGAGCAUACGCCUCAUUUUGACGAUUUUCGUGUGCUAUUGCACACCAUUUUUUGGGUGAUCGGGAUUCCGACGUCAAAAAUGCCAAAUUUGUUCGUGGACGUCCGUCAAGACGUUGUCUAUGCAUACGGUUGGCCAUCACGGGUUUUCUGGGCCGUUUGGAAGGUCAAACGAGCCCCGGAGCGAGCAUACGCCUCAUUUUGACGAUUUUCGUGUGCUAUUGCACACCAUUUUUUGGGUGAUCGGGAUUCCGACGUCAAAAAUGCCAAAUUUGUUCGUGGACGUCCGUCAAGACGUUGUCUAUGCAUACGGUUGGCCAUCACGGGUUUUCUGGGCCGUUUGGAAGGUCAAACGAGCCCCGGAGCGAGCAUACGCCUCAUUUUGACGAUUUUCGUGUGCUAUUGCACACCAUUUUUUGGGUGAUCGGGAUUCCGACGUCAAAAAUGCCAAAUUUGUUCGUGGACGUCCGUCAAGACGUUGUCUAUGCAUACGGUUGGCCAUCACGGGUUUUCUGGGCCGUUUGGAAGGUCAAACGAGCCCCGGAGCGAGCAUACGCCUCAUUUUGACGAUUUUCGUGUGCUAUUGCACACCAUUUUUUGGGUGAUCGGGAUUCCGACGUCAAAAAUGCCAAAUUUGUUCGUGGACGUCCGUCAAGACGUUGUCUAUGCAUACGGUUGGCCAUCACGGGUUUUCUGGGCCGUUUGGAAGGUCAAACGAGCCCCGGAGCGAGCAUACGCCUCAUUUUGACGAUUUUCGUGUGCUAUUGCACACCAUUUUUUGGGUGAUCGGGAUUCCGACGUCAAAAAUGCCAAAUUUGUUCGUGGACGUCCGUCAAGACGUUGUCUAUGCAUACGGUUGGCCAUCACGGGUUUUCUGGGCCGUUUGGAAGGUCAAACGAGCCCCGGAGCGAGCAUACGCCUCAUUUUGACGAUUUUCGUGUGCUAUUGCACACCAUUUUUUGGGUGAUCGGGAUUCCGACGUCAAAAAUGCCAAAUUUGUUCGUGGACGUCCGUCAAGACGUUGUCUAUGCAUACGGUUGGCCAUCACGGGUUUUCUGGGCCGUUUGGAAGGUCAAACGAGCCCCGGAGCGAGCAUACGCCUCAUUUUGACGAUUUUCGUGUGCUAUUGCACACCAUUUUUUGGGUGAUCGGGAUUCCGACGUCAAAAAUGCCAAAUUUGUUCGUGGACGUCCGUCAAGACGUUGUCUAUGCAUACGGUUGGCCAUCACGGGUUUUCUGGGCCGUUUGGAAGGUCAAACGAGCCCCGGAGCGAGCAUACGCCUCAUUUUGACGAUUUUCGUGUGCUAUUGCACACCAUUUUUUGGGUGAUCGGGAUUCCGACGUCAAAAAUGCCAAAUUUGUUCGUGGACGUCCGUCAAGACGUUGUCUAUGCAUACGGUUGGCCAUCACGGGUUUUCUGGGCCGUUUGGAAGGUCAAACGAGCCCCGGAGCGAGCAUACGCCUCAUUUUGACGAUUUUCGUGUGCUAUUGCACACCAUUUUUUGGGUGAUCGGGAUUCCGACGUCAAAAAUGCCAAAUUUGUUCGUGGACGUCCGUCAAGACGUUGUCUAUGCAUACGGUUGGCCAUCACGGGUUUUCUGGGCCGUUUGGAAGGUCAAACGAGCCCCGGAGCGAGCAUACGCCUCAUUUUGACGAUUUUCGUGUGCUAUUGCACACCAUUUUUUGGGUGAUCGGGAUUCCGACGUCAAAAAUGCCAAAUUUGUUCGUGGACGUCCGUCAAGACGUUGUCUAUGCAUACGGUUGGCCAUCACGGGUUUUCUGGGCCGUUUGGAAGGUCAAACGAGCCCCGGAGCGAGCAUACGCCUCAUUUUGACGAUUUUCGUGUGCUAUUGCACACCAUUUUUUGGGUGAUCGGGAUUCCGACGUCAAAAAUGCCAAAUUUGUUCGUGGACGUCCGUCAAGACGUUGUCUAUGCAUACGGUUGGCCAUCACGGGUUUUCUGGGCCGUUUGGAAGGUCAAACGAGCCCCGGAGCGAGCAUACGCCUCAUUUUGACGAUUUUCGUGUGCUAUUGCACACCAUUUUUUGGGUGAUCGGGAUUCCGACGUCAAAAAUGCCAAAUUUGUUCGUGGACGUCCGUCAAGACGUUGUCUAUGCAUACGGUUGGCCAUCACGGGUUUUCUGGGCCGUUUGGAAGGUCAAACGAGCCCCGGAGCGAGCAUACGCCUCAUUUUGACGAUUUUCGUGUGCUAUUGCACACCAUUUUUUGGGUGAUCGGGAUUCCGACGUCAAAAAUGCCAAAUUUGUUCGUGGACGUCCGUCAAGACGUUGUCUAUGCAUACGGUUGGCCAUCACGGGUUUUCUGGGCCGUUUGGAAGGUCAAACGAGCCCCGGAGCGAGCAUACGCCUCAUUUUGACGAUUUUCGUGUGCUAUUGCACACCAUUUUUUGGGUGAUCAGGAUUCCGACGUCAAAAAUGCCAAAUUUGUUCGUGGACGUCCGUCAAGACGUUGUCUAUGCAUACGGUUGGCCAUCACGGGUUUUCUGGGCCGUUUGGAAGGUCAAACGAGCCCCGGAGCGAGCAUACGCCUCAUUUUGACGAUUUUCGUGUGCUAUUGCACACCAUUUUUUGGGUGAUCGGGAUUCCGACGUCAAAAAUGCCAAAUUUGUUCGUGGACGUCCGUCAAGACGUUGUCUAUGCAUACGGUUGGCCAUCACGGGUUUUCUGGGCCGUUUGGAAGGUCAAACGAGCCCCGGAGCGAGCAUACGCCUCAUUUUGACGAUUUUCGUGUGCUAUUGCACACCAUUUUUUGGGUGAUCAGGAUUCCGACGUCAAAAAUGCCAAAUUUGUUCGUGGACGUCCGUCAAGACGUUGUCUAUGCAUACGGUUGGCCAUCACGGGUUUUCUGGGCCGUUUGGAAGGUCAAACGAGCCCCGGAGCGAGCAUACGCCUCAUUUUGACGAUUUUCGUGUGCUAUUGCACACCAUUUUUUGGGUGAUCGGGAUUCCGACGUCAAAAAUGCCAAAUUUGUUCGUGGACGUCCGUCAAGACGUUGUCUAUGCAUACGGUUGGCCAUCACGGGUUUUCUGGGUCGUUUGGAAGGUCAAACGAGCCCCGGAGCGAGCAUACGCCUCAUUUUGACGAUUUUCGUGUGCUAUUGCACACCAUUUUUUGGGUGAUCAGGAUUCCGACGUCAAAAAUGCCAAAUUUGUUCGUGGACGUCCGUCAAGACGUUGUCUAUGCAUACGGUUGGCCAUCACGGGUUUUCUGGGUCGUUUGGAAGGUCAAACGAGCCCCGGAGCGAGCAUACGCCUCAUUUUGACGAUUUUCGUGUGCUAUUGCACACCAUUUUUUGGGUGAUCGGGAUUCCGACGUCAAAAAUGCCAAAUUUGUUCGUGGACGUCCGUCAAGACGUUGUCUAUGCAUACGGUUGGCCAUCACGGGUUUUCUGGGUCGUUUGGAAGGUCAAACGAGCCCCGGAGCGAGCAUACGCCUCAUUUUGACGAUUUUCGUGUGCUAUUGCACACCAUUUUUUGGGUGAUCGGGAUUCCGACGUCAAAAAUGCCAAAUUUGUUCGUGGACGUCCGUCAAGACGUUGUCUAUGCAUACGGUUGGCCAUCACGGGUUUUCUGGGUCGUUUGGAAGGUCAAACGAGCCCCGGAGCGAGCAUACGCCUCAUUUUGACGAUUUUCGUGUGCUAUUGCACACCAUUUUUUGGGUGAUCAGGAUUCCGACGUCAAAAAUGCCAAAUUUGUUCGUGGACGUCCGUCAAGACGUUGUCUAUGCAUACGGUUGGCCAUCACGGGUUUUCUGGGCCGUUUGGAAGGUCAAACGAGCCCCGGAGCGAGCAUACGCCUCAUUUUGACGAUUUUCGUGUGCUAUUGCACACCAUUUUUUGGGUGAUCAGGAUUCCGACGUCAAAAAUGCCAAAUUUGUUCGUGGACGUCCGUCAAGACGUUGUCUAUGCAUACGGUUGGCCAUCACGGGUUUUCUGGGUCGUUUGGAAGGUCAAACGAGCCCCGGAGCGAGCAUACGCCUCAUUUUGACGAUUUUCGUGUGCUAUUGCACACCAUUUUUUGGGUGAUCAGGAUUCCGACGUCAAAAAUGCCAAAUUUGUUCGUGGACGUCCGUCAAGACGUUGUCUAUGCAUACGGUUGGCCAUCACGGGUUUUCUGGGUCGUUUGGAAGGUCAAACGAGCCCCGGAGCGAGCAUACGCCUCAUUUUGACGAUUUUCGUGUGCUAUUGCACACCAUUUUUUGGGUGAUCAGGAUUCCGACGUCAAAAAUGCCAAAUUUGUUCGUGGACGUCCGUCAAGACGUUGUCUAUGCAUACGGUUGGCCAUCACGGGUUUUCUGGGUCGUUUGGAAGGUCAAACGAGCCCCGGAGCGAGCAUACGCCUCAUUUUGACGAUUUUCGUGUGCUAUUGCACACCAUUUUUUGGGUGAUCAGGAUUCCGACGUCAAAAAUGCCAAAUUUGUUCGUGGACGUCCGUCAAGACGUUGUCUAUGCAUACGGUUGGCCAUCACGGGUUUUCUGGGUCGUUUGGAAGGUCAAACGAGCCCCGGAGCGAGCAUACGCCUCAUUUUGACGAUUUUCGUGUGCUAUUGCACACCAUUUUUUGGGUGAUCAGGAUUCCGACGUCAAAAAUGCCAAAUUUGUUCGUGGACGUCCGUCAAGACGUUGUCUAUGCAUACGGUUGGCCAUCACGGGUUUUCUGGGUCGUUUGGAAGGUCAAACGAGCCCCGGAGCGAGCAUACGCCUCAUUUUGACGAUUUUCGUGUGCUAUUGCACACCAUUUUUUGGGUGAUCAGGAUUCCGACGUCAAAAAUGCCAAAUUUGUUCGUGGACGUCCGUCAAGACGUUGUCUAUGCAUACGGUUGGCCAUCACGGGUUUUCUGGGUCGUUUGGAAGGUCAAACGAGCCCCGGAGCGAGCAUACGCCUCAUUUUGACGAUUUUCGUGUGCUAUUGCACACCAUUUUUUGGGUGAUCAGGAUUCCGACGUCAAAAAUGCCAAAUUUGUUCGUGGACGUCCGUCAAGACGUUGUCUAUGCAUACGGUUGGCCAUCACGGGUUUUCUGGGUCGUUUGGAAGGUCAAACGAGCCCCGGAGCGAGCAUACGCCUCAUUUUGACGAUUUUCGUGUGCUAUUGCACACCAUUUUUUGGGUGAUCAGGAUUCCGACGUCAAAAAUGCCAAAUUUGUUCGUGGACGUCCGUCAAGACGUUGUCUAUGCAUACGGUUGGCCAUCACGGGUUUUCUGGGUCGUUUGGAAGGUCAAACGAGCCCCGGAGCGAGCAUACGCCUCAUUUUGACGAUUUUCGUGUGCUAUUGCACACCAUUUUUUGGGUGAUCAGGAUUCCGACGUCAAAAAUGCCAAAUUUGUUCGUGGACGUCCGUCAAGACGUUGUCUAUGCAUACGGUUGGCCAUCACGGGUUUUCUGGGUCGUUUGGAAGGUCAAACGAGCCCCGGAGCGAGCAUACGCCUCAUUUUGACGAUUUUCGUGUGCUAUUGCACACCAUUUUUUGGGUGAUCAGGAUUCCGACGUCAAAAAUGCCAAAUUUGUUCGUGGACGUCCGUCAAGACGUUGUCUAUGCAUACGGUUGGCCAUCACGGGUUUUCUGGGUCGUUUGGAAGGUCAAACGAGCCCCGGAGCGAGCAUACGCCUCAUUUUGACGAUUUUCGUGUGCUAUUGCACACCAUUUUUUGGGUGAUCAGGAUUCCGACGUCAAAAAUGCCAAAUUUGUUCGUGGACGUCCGUCAAGACGUUGUCUAUGCAUACGGUUGGCCAUCACGGGUUUUCUGGGUCGUUUGGAAGGUCAAACGAGCCCCGGAGCGAGCAUACGCCUCAUUUUGACGAUUUUCGUGUGCUAUUGCACACCAUUUUUUGGGUGAUCAGGAUUCCGACGUCAAAAAUGCCAAAUUUGUUCGUGGACGUCCGUCAAGACGUUGUCUAUGCAUACGGUUGGCCAUCACGGGUUUUCUGGGUCGUUUGGAAGGUCAAACGAGCCCCGGAGCGAGCAUACGCCUCAUUUUGACGAUUUUCGUGUGCUAUUGCACACCAUUUUUUGGGUGAUCAGGAUUCCGACGUCAAAAAUGCCAAAUUUGUUCGUGGACGUCCGUCAAGACGUUGUCUAUGCAUACGGUUGGCCAUCACGGGUUUUCUGGGUCGUUUGGAAGGUCAAACGAGCCCCGGAGCGAGCAUACGCCUCAUUUUGACGAUUUUCGUGUGCUAUUGCACACCAUUUUUUGGGUGAUCAGGAUUCCGACGUCAAAAAUGCCAAAUUUGUUCGUGGACGUCCGUCAAGACGUUGUCUAUGCAUACGGUUGGCCAUCACGGGUUUUCUGGGUCGUUUGGAAGGUCAAACGAGCCCCGGAGCGAGCAUACGCCUCAUUUUGACGAUUUUCGUGUGCUAUUGCACACCAUUUUUUGGGUGAUCAGGAUUCCGACGUCAAAAAUGCCAAAUUUGUUCGUGGACGUCCGUCAAGACGUUGUCUAUGCAUACGGUUGGCCAUCACGGGUUUUCUGGGUCGUUUGGAAGGUCAAACGAGCCCCGGAGCGAGCAUACGCCUCAUUUUGACGAUUUUCGUGUGCUAUUGCACACCAUUUUUUGGGUGAUCAGGAUUCCGACGUCAAAAAUGCCAAAUUUGUUCGUGGACGUCCGUCAAGACGUUGUCUAUGCAUACGGUUGGCCAUCACGGGUUUUCUGGGUCGUUUGGAAGGUCAAACGAGCCCCGGAGCGAGCAUACGCCUCAUUUUGACGAUUUUCGUGUGCUAUUGCACACCAUUUUUUGGGUGAUCAGGAUUCCGACGUCAAAAAUGCCAAAUUUGUUCGUGGACGUCCGUCAAGACGUUGUCUAUGCAUACGGUUGGCCAUCACGGGUUUUCUGGGUCGUUUGGAAGGUCAAACGAGCCCCGGAGCGAGCAUACGCCUCAUUUUGACGAUUUUCGUGUGCUAUUGCACACCAUUUUUUGGGUGAUCAGGAUUCCGACGUCAAAAAUGCCAAAUUUGUUCGUGGACGUCCGUCAAGACGUUGUCUAUGCAUACGGUUGGCCAUCACGGGUUUUCUGGGUCGUUUGGAAGGUCAAACGAGCCCCGGAGCGAGCAUACGCCUCAUUUUGACGAUUUUCGUGUGCUAUUGCACACCAUUUUUUGGGUGAUCAGGAUUCCGACGUCAAAAAUGCCAAAUUUGUUCGUGGACGUCCGUCAAGACGUUGUCUAUGCAUACGGUUGGCCAUCACGGGUUUUCUGGGUCGUUUGGAAGGUCAAACGAGCCCCGGAGCGAGCAUACGCCUCAUUUUGACGAUUUUCGUGUGCUAUUGCACACCAUUUUUUGGGUGAUCAGGAUUCCGACGUCAAAAAUGCCAAAUUUGUUCGUGGACGUCCGUCAAGACGUUGUCUAUGCAUACGGUUGGCCAUCACGGGUUUUCUGGGUCGUUUGGAAGGUCAAACGAGCCCCGGAGCGAGCAUACGCCUCAUUUUGACGAUUUUCGUGUGCUAUUGCACACCAUUUUUUGGGUGAUCAGGAUUCCGACGUCAAAAAUGCCAAAUUUGUUCGUGGACGUCCGUCAAGACGUUGUCUAUGCAUACGGUUGGCCAUCACGGGUUUUCUGGGUCGUUUGGAAGGUCAAACGAGCCCCGGAGCGAGCAUACGCCUCAUUUUGACGAUUUUCGUGUGCUAUUGCACACCAUUUUUUGGGUGAUCAGGAUUCCGACGUCAAAAAUGCCAAAUUUGUUCGUGGACGUCCGUCAAGACGUUGUCUAUGCAUACGGUUGGCCAUCACGGGUUUUCUGGGUCGUUUGGAAGGUCAAACGAGCCCCGGAGCGAGCAUACGCCUCAUUUUGACGAUUUUCGUGUGCUAUUGCACACCAUUUUUUGGGUGAUCAGGAUUCCGACGUCAAAAAUGCCAAAUUUGUUCGUGGACGUCCGUCAAGACGUUGUCUAUGCAUACGGUUGGCCAUCACGGGUUUUCUGGGUCGUUUGGAAGGUCAAACGAGCCCCGGAGCGAGCAUACGCCUCAUUUUGACGAUUUUCGUGUGCUAUUGCACACCAUUUUUUGGGUGAUCAGGAUUCCGACGUCAAAAAUGCCAAAUUUGUUCGUGGACGUCCGUCAAGACGUUGUCUAUGCAUACGGUUGGCCAUCACGGGUUUUCUGGGUCGUUUGGAAGGUCAAACGAGCCCCGGAGCGAGCAUACGCCUCAUUUUGACGAUUUUCGUGUGCUAUUGCACACCAUUUUUUGGGUGAUCAGGAUUCCGACGUCAAAAAUGCCAAAUUUGUUCGUGGACGUCCGUCAAGACGUUGUCUAUGCAUACGGUUGGCCAUCACGGGUUUUCUGGGUCGUUUGGAAGGUCAAACGAGCCCCGGAGCGAGCAUACGCCUCAUUUUGACGAUUUUCGUGUGCUAUUGCACACCAUUUUUUGGGUGAUCAGGAUUCCGACGUCAAAAAUGCCAAAUUUGUUCGUGGACGUCCGUCAAGACGUUGUCUAUGCAUACGGUUGGCCAUCACGGGUUUUCUGGGUCGUUUGGAAGGUCAAACGAGCCCCGGAGCGAGCAUACGCCUCAUUUUGACGAUUUUCGUGUGCUAUUGCACACCAUUUUUUGGGUGAUCAGGAUUCCGACGUCAAAAAUGCCAAAUUUGUUCGUGGACGUCCGUCAAGACGUUGUCUAUGCAUACGGUUGGCCAUCACGGGUUUUCUGGGUCGUUUGGAAGGUCAAACGAGCCCCGGAGCGAGCAUACGCCUCAUUUUGACGAUUUUCGUGUGCUAUUGCACACCAUUUUUUGGGUGAUCAGGAUUCCGACGUCAAAAAUGCCAAAUUUGUUCGUGGACGUCCGUCAAGACGUUGUCUAUGCAUACGGUUGGCCAUCACGGGUUUUCUGGGUCGUUUGGAAGGUCAAACGAGCCCCGGAGCGAGCAUACGCCUCAUUUUGACGAUUUUCGUGUGCUAUUGCACACCAUUUUUUGGGUGAUCAGGAUUCCGACGUCAAAAAUGCCAAAUUUGUUCGUGGACGUCCGUCAAGACGUUGUCUAUGCAUACGGUUGGCCAUCACGGGUUUUCUGGGUCGUUUGGAAGGUCAAACGAGCCCCGGAGCGAGCAUACGCCUCAUUUUGACGAUUUUCGUGUGCUAUUGCACACCAUUUUUUGGGUGAUCAGGAUUCCGACGUCAAAAAUGCCAAAUUUGUUCGUGGACGUCCGUCAAGACGUUGUCUAUGCAUACGGUUGGCCAUCACGGGUUUUCUGGGUCGUUUGGAAGGUCAAACGAGCCCCGGAGCGAGCAUACGCCUCAUUUUGACGAUUUUCGUGUGCUAUUGCACACCAUUUUUUGGGUGAUCAGGAUUCCGACGUCAAAAAUGCCAAAUUUGUUCGUGGACGUCCGUCAAGACGUUGUCUAUGCAUACGGUUGGCCAUCACGGGUUUUCUGGGUCGUUUGGAAGGUCAAACGAGCCCCGGAGCGAGCAUACGCCUCAUUUUGACGAUUUUCGUGUGCUAUUGCACACCAUUUUUUGGGUGAUCAGGAUUCCGACGUCAAAAAUGCCAAAUUUGUUCGUGGACGUCCGUCAAGACGUUGUCUAUGCAUACGGUUGGCCAUCACGGGUUUUCUGGGUCGUUUGGAAGGUCAAACGAGCCCCGGAGCGAGCAUACGCCUCAUUUUGACGAUUUUCGUGUGCUAUUGCACACCAUUUUUUGGGUGAUCAGGAUUCCGACGUCAAAAAUGCCAAAUUUGUUCGUGGACGUCCGUCAAGACGUUGUCUAUGCAUACGGUUGGCCAUCACGGGUUUUCUGGGUCGUUUGGAAGGUCAAACGAGCCCCGGAGCGAGCAUACGCCUCAUUUUGACGAUUUUCGUGUGCUAUUGCACACCAUUUUUUGGGUGAUCAGGAUUCCGACGUCAAAAAUGCCAAAUUUGUUCGUGGACGUCCGUCAAGACGUUGUCUAUGCAUACGGUUGGCCAUCACGGGUUUUCUGGGUCGUUUGGAAGGUCAAACGAGCCCCGGAGCGAGCAUACGCCUCAUUUUGACGAUUUUCGUGUGCUAUUGCACACCAUUUUUUGGGUGAUCAGGAUUCCGACGUCAAAAAUGCCAAAUUUGUUCGUGGACGUCCGUCAAGACGUUGUCUAUGCAUACGGUUGGCCAUCACGGGUUUUCUGGGUCGUUUGGAAGGUCAAACGAGCCCCGGAGCGAGCAUACGCCUCAUUUUGACGAUUUUCGUGUGCUAUUGCACACCAUUUUUUGGGUGAUCAGGAUUCCGACGUCAAAAAUGCCAAAUUUGUUCGUGGACGUCCGUCAAGACGUUGUCUAUGCAUACGGUUGGCCAUCACGGGUUUUCUGGGUCGUUUGGAAGGUCAAACGAGCCCCGGAGCGAGCAUACGCCUCAUUUUGACGAUUUUCGUGUGCUAUUGCACACCAUUUUUUGGGUGAUCAGGAUUCCGACGUCAAAAAUGCCAAAUUUGUUCGUGGACGUCCGUCAAGACGUUGUCUAUGCAUACGGUUGGCCAUCACGGGUUUUCUGGGUCGUUUGGAAGGUCAAACGAGCCCCGGAGCGAGCAUACGCCUCAUUUUGACGAUUUUCGUGUGCUAUUGCACACCAUUUUUUGGGUGAUCAGGAUUCCGACGUCAAAAAUGCCAAAUUUGUUCGUGGACGUCCGUCAAGACGUUGUCUAUGCAUACGGUUGGCCAUCACGGGUUUUCUGGGUCGUUUGGAAGGUCAAACGAGCCCCGGAGCGAGCAUACGCCUCAUUUUGACGAUUUUCGUGUGCUAUUGCACACCAUUUUUUGGGUGAUCAGGAUUCCGACGUCAAAAAUGCCAAAUUUGUUCGUGGACGUCCGUCAAGACGUUGUCUAUGCAUACGGUUGGCCAUCACGGGUUUUCUGGGUCGUUUGGAAGGUCAAACGAGCCCCGGAGCGAGCAUACGCCUCAUUUUGACGAUUUUCGUGUGCUAUUGCACACCAUUUUUUGGGUGAUCAGGAUUCCGACGUCAAAAAUGCCAAAUUUGUUCGUGGACGUCCGUCAAGACGUUGUCUAUGCAUACGGUUGGCCAUCACGGGUUUUCUGGGUCGUUUGGAAGGUCAAACGAGCCCCGGAGCGAGCAUACGCCUCAUUUUGACGAUUUUCGUGUGCUAUUGCACACCAUUUUUUGGGUGAUCAGGAUUCCGACGUCAAAAAUGCCAAAUUUGUUCGUGGACGUCCGUCAAGACGUUGUCUAUGCAUACGGUUGGCCAUCACGGGUUUUCUGGGUCGUUUGGAAGGUCAAACGAGCCCCGGAGCGAGCAUACGCCUCAUUUUGACGAUUUUCGUGUGCUAUUGCACACCAUUUUUUGGGUGAUCAGGAUUCCGACGUCAAAAAUGCCAAAUUUGUUCGUGGACGUCCGUCAAGACGUUGUCUAUGCAUACGGUUGGCCAUCACGGGUUUUCUGGGUCGUUUGGAAGGUCAAACGAGCCCCGGAGCGAGCAUACGCCUCAUUUUGACGAUUUUCGUGUGCUAUUGCACACCAUUUUUUGGGUGAUCAGGAUUCCGACGUCAAAAAUGCCAAAUUUGUUCGUGGACGUCCGUCAAGACGUUGUCUAUGCAUACGGUUGGCCAUCACGGGUUUUCUGGGUCGUUUGGAAGGUCAAACGAGCCCCGGAGCGAGCAUACGCCUCAUUUUGACGAUUUUCGUGUGCUAUUGCACACCAUUUUUUGGGUGAUCAGGAUUCCGACGUCAAAAAUGCCAAAUUUGUUCGUGGACGUCCGUCAAGACGUUGUCUAUGCAUACGGUUGGCCAUCACGGGUUUUCUGGGUCGUUUGGAAGGUCAAACGAGCCCCGGAGCGAGCAUACGCCUCAUUUUGACGAUUUUCGUGUGCUAUUGCACACCAUUUUUUGGGUGAUCAGGAUUCCGACGUCAAAAAUGCCAAAUUUGUUCGUGGACGUCCGUCAAGACGUUGUCUAUGCAUACGGUUGGCCAUCACGGGUUUUCUGGGUCGUUUGGAAGGUCAAACGAGCCCCGGAGCGAGCAUACGCCUCAUUUUGACGAUUUUCGUGUGCUAUUGCACACCAUUUUUUGGGUGAUCAGGAUUCCGACGUCAAAAAUGCCAAAUUUGUUCGUGGACGUCCGUCAAGACGUUGUCUAUGCAUACGGUUGGCCAUCACGGGUUUUCUGGGUCGUUUGGAAGGUCAAACGAGCCCCGGAGCGAGCAUACGCCUCAUUUUGACGAUUUUCGUGUGCUAUUGCACACCAUUUUUUGGGUGAUCAGGAUUCCGACGUCAAAAAUGCCAAAUUUGUUCGUGGACGUCCGUCAAGACGUUGUCUAUGCAUACGGUUGGCCAUCACGGGUUUUCUGGGUCGUUUGGAAGGUCAAACGAGCCCCGGAGCGAGCAUACGCCUCAUUUUGACGAUUUUCGUGUGCUAUUGCACACCAUUUUUUGGGUGAUCAGGAUUCCGACGUCAAAAAUGCCAAAUUUGUUCGUGGACGUCCGUCAAGACGUUGUCUAUGCAUACGGUUGGCCAUCACGGGUUUUCUGGGUCGUUUGGAAGGUCAAACGAGCCCCGGAGCGAGCAUACGCCUCAUUUUGACGAUUUUCGUGUGCUAUUGCACACCAUUUUUUGGGUGAUCAGGAUUCCGACGUCAAAAAUGCCAAAUUUGUUCGUGGACGUCCGUCAAGACGUUGUCUAUGCAUACGGUUGGCCAUCACGGGUUUUCUGGGUCGUUUGGAAGGUCAAACGAGCCCCGGAGCGAGCAUACGCCUCAUUUUGACGAUUUUCGUGUGCUAUUGCACACCAUUUUUUGGGUGAUCAGGAUUCCGACGUCAAAAAUGCCAAAUUUGUUCGUGGACGUCCGUCAAGACGUUGUCUAUGCAUACGGUUGGCCAUCACGGGUUUUCUGGGUCGUUUGGAAGGUCAAACGAGCCCCGGAGCGAGCAUACGCCUCAUUUUGACGAUUUUCGUGUGCUAUUGCACACCAUUUUUUGGGUGAUCAGGAUUCCGACGUCAAAAAUGCCAAAUUUGUUCGUGGACGUCCGUCAAGACGUUGUCUAUGCAUACGGUUGGCCAUCACGGGUUUUCUGGGUCGUUUGGAAGGUCAAACGAGCCCCGGAGCGAGCAUACGCCUCAUUUUGACGAUUUUCGUGUGCUAUUGCACACCAUUUUUUGGGUGAUCAGGAUUCCGACGUCAAAAAUGCCAAAUUUGUUCGUGGACGUCCGUCAAGACGUUGUCUAUGCAUACGGUUGGCCAUCACGGGUUUUCUGGGUCGUUUGGAAGGUCAAACGAGCCCCGGAGCGAGCAUACGCCUCAUUUUGACGAUUUUCGUGUGCUAUUGCACACCAUUUUUUGGGUGAUCAGGAUUCCGACGUCAAAAAUGCCAAAUUUGUUCGUGGACGUCCGUCAAGACGUUGUCUAUGCAUACGGUUGGCCAUCACGGGUUUUCUGGGUCGUUUGGAAGGUCAAACGAGCCCCGGAGCGAGCAUACGCCUCAUUUUGACGAUUUUCGUGUGCUAUUGCACACCAUUUUUUGGGUGAUCAGGAUUCCGACGUCAAAAAUGCCAAAUUUGUUCGUGGACGUCCGUCAAGACGUUGUCUAUGCAUACGGUUGGCCAUCACGGGUUUUCUGGGUCGUUUGGAAGGUCAAACGAGCCCCGGAGCGAGCAUACGCCUCAUUUUGACGAUUUUCGUGUGCUAUUGCACACCAUUUUUUGGGUGAUCAGGAUUCCGACGUCAAAAAUGCCAAAUUUGUUCGUGGACGUCCGUCAAGACGUUGUCUAUGCAUACGGUUGGCCAUCACGGGUUUUCUGGGUCGUUUGGAAGGUCAAACGAGCCCCGGAGCGAGCAUACGCCUCAUUUUGACGAUUUUCGUGUGCUAUUGCACACCAUUUUUUGGGUGAUCAGGAUUCCGACGUCAAAAAUGCCAAAUUUGUUCGUGGACGUCCGUCAAGACGUUGUCUAUGCAUACGGUUGGCCAUCACGGGUUUUCUGGGUCGUUUGGAAGGUCAAACGAGCCCCGGAGCGAGCAUACGCCUCAUUUUGACGAUUUUCGUGUGCUAUUGCACACCAUUUUUUGGGUGAUCAGGAUUCCGACGUCAAAAAUGCCAAAUUUGUUCGUGGACGUCCGUCAAGACGUUGUCUAUGCAUACGGUUGGCCAUCACGGGUUUUCUGGGUCGUUUGGAAGGUCAAACGAGCCCCGGAGCGAGCAUACGCCUCAUUUUGACGAUUUUCGUGUGCUAUUGCACACCAUUUUUUGGGUGAUCAGGAUUCCGACGUCAAAAAUGCCAAAUUUGUUCGUGGACGUCCGUCAAGACGUUGUCUAUGCAUACGGUUGGCCAUCACGGGUUUUCUGGGUCGUUUGGAAGGUCAAACGAGCCCCGGAGCGAGCAUACGCCUCAUUUUGACGAUUUUCGUGUGCUAUUGCACACCAUUUUUUGGGUGAUCAGGAUUCCGACGUCAAAAAUGCCAAAUUUGUUCGUGGACGUCCGUCAAGACGUUGUCUAUGCAUACGGUUGGCCAUCACGGGUUUUCUGGGUCGUUUGGAAGGUCAAACGAGCCCCGGAGCGAGCAUACGCCUCAUUUUGACGAUUUUCGUGUGCUAUUGCACACCAUUUUUUGGGUGAUCAGGAUUCCGACGUCAAAAAUGCCAAAUUUGUUCGUGGACGUCCGUCAAGACGUUGUCUAUGCAUACGGUUGGCCAUCACGGGUUUUCUGGGUCGUUUGGAAGGUCAAACGAGCCCCGGAGCGAGCAUACGCCUCAUUUUGACGAUUUUCGUGUGCUAUUGCACACCAUUUUUUGGGUGAUCAGGAUUCCGACGUCAAAAAUGCCAAAUUUGUUCGUGGACGUCCGUCAAGACGUUGUCUAUGCAUACGGUUGGCCAUCACGGGUUUUCUGGGUCGUUUGGAAGGUCAAACGAGCCCCGGAGCGAGCAUACGCCUCAUUUUGACGAUUUUCGUGUGCUAUUGCACACCAUUUUUUGGGUGAUCAGGAUUCCGACGUCAAAAAUGCCAAAUUUGUUCGUGGACGUCCGUCAAGACGUUGUCUAUGCAUACGGUUGGCCAUCACGGGUUUUCUGGGUCGUUUGGAAGGUCAAACGAGCCCCGGAGCGAGCAUACGCCUCAUUUUGACGAUUUUCGUGUGCUAUUGCACACCAUUUUUUGGGUGAUCAGGAUUCCGACGUCAAAAAUGCCAAAUUUGUUCGUGGACGUCCGUCAAGACGUUGUCUAUGCAUACGGUUGGCCAUCACGGGUUUUCUGGGUCGUUUGGAAGGUCAAACGAGCCCCGGAGCGAGCAUACGCCUCAUUUUGACGAUUUUCGUGUGCUAUUGCACACCAUUUUUUGGGUGAUCAGGAUUCCGACGUCAAAAAUGCCAAAUUUGUUCGUGGACGUCCGUCAAGACGUUGUCUAUGCAUACGGUUGGCCAUCACGGGUUUUCUGGGUCGUUUGGAAGGUCAAACGAGCCCCGGAGCGAGCAUACGCCUCAUUUUGACGAUUUUCGUGUGCUAUUGCACACCAUUUUUUGGGUGAUCAGGAUUCCGACGUCAAAAAUGCCAAAUUUGUUCGUGGACGUCCGUCAAGACGUUGUCUAUGCAUACGGUUGGCCAUCACGGGUUUUCUGGGUCGUUUGGAAGGUCAAACGAGCCCCGGAGCGAGCAUACGCCUCAUUUUGACGAUUUUCGUGUGCUAUUGCACACCAUUUUUUGGGUGAUCAGGAUUCCGACGUCAAAAAUGCCAAAUUUGUUCGUGGACGUCCGUCAAGACGUUGUCUAUGCAUACGGUUGGCCAUCACGGGUUUUCUGGGUCGUUUGGAAGGUCAAACGAGCCCCGGAGCGAGCAUACGCCUCAUUUUGACGAUUUUCGUGUGCUAUUGCACACCAUUUUUUGGGUGAUCAGGAUUCCGACGUCAAAAAUGCCAAAUUUGUUCGUGGACGUCCGUCAAGACGUUGUCUAUGCAUACGGUUGGCCAUCACGGGUUUUCUGGGUCGUUUGGAAGGUCAAACGAGCCCCGGAGCGAGCAUACGCCUCAUUUUGACGAUUUUCGUGUGCUAUUGCACACCAUUUUUUGGGUGAUCAGGAUUCCGACGUCAAAAAUGCCAAAUUUGUUCGUGGACGUCCGUCAAGACGUUGUCUAUGCAUACGGUUGGCCAUCACGGGUUUUCUGGGUCGUUUGGAAGGUCAAACGAGCCCCGGAGCGAGCAUACGCCUCAUUUUGACGAUUUUCGUGUGCUAUUGCACACCAUUUUUUGGGUGAUCAGGAUUCCGACGUCAAAAAUGCCAAAUUUGUUCGUGGACGUCCGUCAAGACGUUGUCUAUGCAUACGGUUGGCCAUCACGGGUUUUCUGGGUCGUUUGGAAGGUCAAACGAGCCCCGGAGCGAGCAUACGCCUCAUUUUGACGAUUUUCGUGUGCUAUUGCACACCAUUUUUUGGGUGAUCAGGAUUCCGACGUCAAAAAUGCCAAAUUUGUUCGUGGACGUCCGUCAAGACGUUGUCUAUGCAUACGGUUGGCCAUCACGGGUUUUCUGGGUCGUUUGGAAGGUCAAACGAGCCCCGGAGCGAGCAUACGCCUCAUUUUGACGAUUUUCGUGUGCUAUUGCACACCAUUUUUUGGGUGAUCAGGAUUCCGACGUCAAAAAUGCCAAAUUUGUUCGUGGACGUCCGUCAAGACGUUGUCUAUGCAUACGGUUGGCCAUCACGGGUUUUCUGGGUCGUUUGGAAGGUCAAACGAGCCCCGGAGCGAGCAUACGCCUCAUUUUGACGAUUUUCGUGUGCUAUUGCACACCAUUUUUUGGGUGAUCAGGAUUCCGACGUCAAAAAUGCCAAAUUUGUUCGUGGACGUCCGUCAAGACGUUGUCUAUGCAUACGGUUGGCCAUCACGGGUUUUCUGGGUCGUUUGGAAGGUCAAACGAGCCCCGGAGCGAGCAUACGCCUCAUUUUGACGAUUUUCGUGUGCUAUUGCACACCAUUUUUUGGGUGAUCAGGAUUCCGACGUCAAAAAUGCCAAAUUUGUUCGUGGACGUCCGUCAAGACGUUGUCUAUGCAUACGGUUGGCCAUCACGGGUUUUCUGGGUCGUUUGGAAGGUCAAACGAGCCCCGGAGCGAGCAUACGCCUCAUUUUGACGAUUUUCGUGUGCUAUUGCACACCAUUUUUUGGGUGAUCAGGAUUCCGACGUCAAAAAUGCCAAAUUUGUUCGUGGACGUCCGUCAAGACGUUGUCUAUGCAUACGGUUGGCCAUCACGGGUUUUCUGGGUCGUUUGGAAGGUCAAACGAGCCCCGGAGCGAGCAUACGCCUCAUUUUGACGAUUUUCGUGUGCUAUUGCACACCAUUUUUUGGGUGAUCAGGAUUCCGACGUCAAAAAUGCCAAAUUUGUUCGUGGACGUCCGUCAAGACGUUGUCUAUGCAUACGGUUGGCCAUCACGGGUUUUCUGGGUCGUUUGGAAGGUCAAACGAGCCCCGGAGCGAGCAUACGCCUCAUUUUGACGAUUUUCGUGUGCUAUUGCACACCAUUUUUUGGGUGAUCAGGAUUCCGACGUCAAAAAUGCCAAAUUUGUUCGUGGACGUCCGUCAAGACGUUGUCUAUGCAUACGGUUGGCCAUCACGGGUUUUCUGGGUCGUUUGGAAGGUCAAACGAGCCCCGGAGCGAGCAUACGCCUCAUUUUGACGAUUUUCGUGUGCUAUUGCACACCAUUUUUUGGGUGAUCAGGAUUCCGACGUCAAAAAUGCCAAAUUUGUUCGUGGACGUCCGUCAAGACGUUGUCUAUGCAUACGGUUGGCCAUCACGGGUUUUCUGGGUCGUUUGGAAGGUCAAACGAGCCCCGGAGCGAGCAUACGCCUCAUUUUGACGAUUUUCGUGUGCUAUUGCACACCAUUUUUUGGGUGAUCAGGAUUCCGACGUCAAAAAUGCCAAAUUUGUUCGUGGACGUCCGUCAAGACGUUGUCUAUGCAUACGGUUGGCCAUCACGGGUUUUCUGGGUCGUUUGGAAGGUCAAACGAGCCCCGGAGCGAGCAUACGCCUCAUUUUGACGAUUUUCGUGUGCUAUUGCACACCAUUUUUUGGGUGAUCAGGAUUCCGACGUCAAAAAUGCCAAAUUUGUUCGUGGACGUCCGUCAAGACGUUGUCUAUGCAUACGGUUGGCCAUCACGGGUUUUCUGGGUCGUUUGGAAGGUCAAACGAGCCCCGGAGCGAGCAUACGCCUCAUUUUGACGAUUUUCGUGUGCUAUUGCACACCAUUUUUUGGGUGAUCAGGAUUCCGACGUCAAAAAUGCCAAAUUUGUUCGUGGACGUCCGUCAAGACGUUGUCUAUGCAUACGGUUGGCCAUCACGGGUUUUCUGGGUCGUUUGGAAGGUCAAACGAGCCCCGGAGCGAGCAUACGCCUCAUUUUGACGAUUUUCGUGUGCUAUUGCACACCAUUUUUUGGGUGAUCAGGAUUCCGACGUCAAAAAUGCCAAAUUUGUUCGUGGACGUCCGUCAAGACGUUGUCUAUGCAUACGGUUGGCCAUCACGGGUUUUCUGGGUCGUUUGGAAGGUCAAACGAGCCCCGGAGCGAGCAUACGCCUCAUUUUGACGAUUUUCGUGUGCUAUUGCACACCAUUUUUUGGGUGAUCAGGAUUCCGACGUCAAAAAUGCCAAAUUUGUUCGUGGACGUCCGUCAAGACGUUGUCUAUGCAUACGGUUGGCCAUCACGGGUUUUCUGGGUCGUUUGGAAGGUCAAACGAGCCCCGGAGCGAGCAUACGCCUCAUUUUGACGAUUUUCGUGUGCUAUUGCACACCAUUUUUUGGGUGAUCAGGAUUCCGACGUCAAAAAUGCCAAAUUUGUUCGUGGACGUCCGUCAAGACGUUGUCUAUGCAUACGGUUGGCCAUCACGGGUUUUCUGGGUCGUUUGGAAGGUCAAACGAGCCCCGGAGCGAGCAUACGCCUCAUUUUGACGAUUUUCGUGUGCUAUUGCACACCAUUUUUUGGGUGAUCAGGAUUCCGACGUCAAAAAUGCCAAAUUUGUUCGUGGACGUCCGUCAAGACGUUGUCUAUGCAUACGGUUGGCCAUCACGGGUUUUCUGGGUCGUUUGGAAGGUCAAACGAGCCCCGGAGCGAGCAUACGCCUCAUUUUGACGAUUUUCGUGUGCUAUUGCACACCAUUUUUUGGGUGAUCAGGAUUCCGACGUCAAAAAUGCCAAAUUUGUUCGUGGACGUCCGUCAAGACGUUGUCUAUGCAUACGGUUGGCCAUCACGGGUUUUCUGGGUCGUUUGGAAGGUCAAACGAGCCCCGGAGCGAGCAUACGCCUCAUUUUGACGAUUUUCGUGUGCUAUUGCACACCAUUUUUUGGGUGAUCAGGAUUCCGACGUCAAAAAUGCCAAAUUUGUUCGUGGACGUCCGUCAAGACGUUGUCUAUGCAUACGGUUGGCCAUCACGGGUUUUCUGGGUCGUUUGGAAGGUCAAACGAGCCCCGGAGCGAGCAUACGCCUCAUUUUGACGAUUUUCGUGUGCUAUUGCACACCAUUUUUUGGGUGAUCAGGAUUCCGACGUCAAAAAUGCCAAAUUUGUUCGUGGACGUCCGUCAAGACGUUGUCUAUGCAUACGGUUGGCCAUCACGGGUUUUCUGGGUCGUUUGGAAGGUCAAACGAGCCCCGGAGCGAGCAUACGCCUCAUUUUGACGAUUUUCGUGUGCUAUUGCACACCAUUUUUUGGGUGAUCAGGAUUCCGACGUCAAAAAUGCCAAAUUUGUUCGUGGACGUCCGUCAAGACGUUGUCUAUGCAUACGGUUGGCCAUCACGGGUUUUCUGGGUCGUUUGGAAGGUCAAACGAGCCCCGGAGCGAGCAUACGCCUCAUUUUGACGAUUUUCGUGUGCUAUUGCACACCAUUUUUUGGGUGAUCAGGAUUCCGACGUCAAAAAUGCCAAAUUUGUUCGUGGACGUCCGUCAAGACGUUGUCUAUGCAUACGGUUGGCCAUCACGGGUUUUCUGGGUCGUUUGGAAGGUCAAACGAGCCCCGGAGCGAGCAUACGCCUCAUUUUGACGAUUUUCGUGUGCUAUUGCACACCAUUUUUUGGGUGAUCAGGAUUCCGACGUCAAAAAUGCCAAAUUUGUUCGUGGACGUCCGUCAAGACGUUGUCUAUGCAUACGGUUGGCCAUCACGGGUUUUCUGGGUCGUUUGGAAGGUCAAACGAGCCCCGGAGCGAGCAUACGCCUCAUUUUGACGAUUUUCGUGUGCUAUUGCACACCAUUUUUUGGGUGAUCAGGAUUCCGACGUCAAAAAUGCCAAAUUUGUUCGUGGACGUCCGUCAAGACGUUGUCUAUGCAUACGGUUGGCCAUCACGGGUUUUCUGGGUCGUUUGGAAGGUCAAACGAGCCCCGGAGCGAGCAUACGCCUCAUUUUGACGAUUUUCGUGUGCUAUUGCACACCAUUUUUUGGGUGAUCAGGAUUCCGACGUCAAAAAUGCCAAAUUUGUUCGUGGACGUCCGUCAAGACGUUGUCUAUGCAUACGGUUGGCCAUCACGGGUUUUCUGGGUCGUUUGGAAGGUCAAACGAGCCCCGGAGCGAGCAUACGCCUCAUUUUGACGAUUUUCGUGUGCUAUUGCACACCAUUUUUUGGGUGAUCAGGAUUCCGACGUCAAAAAUGCCAAAUUUGUUCGUGGACGUCCGUCAAGACGUUGUCUAUGCAUACGGUUGGCCAUCACGGGUUUUCUGGGUCGUUUGGAAGGUCAAACGAGCCCCGGAGCGAGCAUACGCCUCAUUUUGACGAUUUUCGUGUGCUAUUGCACACCAUUUUUUGGGUGAUCAGGAUUCCGACGUCAAAAAUGCCAAAUUUGUUCGUGGACGUCCGUCAAGACGUUGUCUAUGCAUACGGUUGGCCAUCACGGGUUUUCUGGGUCGUUUGGAAGGUCAAACGAGCCCCGGAGCGAGCAUACGCCUCAUUUUGACGAUUUUCGUGUGCUAUUGCACACCAUUUUUUGGGUGAUCAGGAUUCCGACGUCAAAAAUGCCAAAUUUGUUCGUGGACGUCCGUCAAGACGUUGUCUAUGCAUACGGUUGGCCAUCACGGGUUUUCUGGGUCGUUUGGAAGGUCAAACGAGCCCCGGAGCGAGCAUACGCCUCAUUUUGACGAUUUUCGUGUGCUAUUGCACACCAUUUUUUGGGUGAUCAGGAUUCCGACGUCAAAAAUGCCAAAUUUGUUCGUGGACGUCCGUCAAGACGUUGUCUAUGCAUACGGUUGGCCAUCACGGGUUUUCUGGGUCGUUUGGAAGGUCAAACGAGCCCCGGAGCGAGCAUACGCCUCAUUUUGACGAUUUUCGUGUGCUAUUGCACACCAUUUUUUGGGUGAUCAGGAUUCCGACGUCAAAAAUGCCAAAUUUGUUCGUGGACGUCCGUCAAGACGUUGUCUAUGCAUACGGUUGGCCAUCACGGGUUUUCUGGGUCGUUUGGAAGGUCAAACGAGCCCCGGAGCGAGCAUACGCCUCAUUUUGACGAUUUUCGUGUGCUAUUGCACACCAUUUUUUGGGUGAUCAGGAUUCCGACGUCAAAAAUGCCAAAUUUGUUCGUGGACGUCCGUCAAGACGUUGUCUAUGCAUACGGUUGGCCAUCACGGGUUUUCUGGGUCGUUUGGAAGGUCAAACGAGCCCCGGAGCGAGCAUACGCCUCAUUUUGACGAUUUUCGUGUGCUAUUGCACACCAUUUUUUGGGUGAUCAGGAUUCCGACGUCAAAAAUGCCAAAUUUGUUCGUGGACGUCCGUCAAGACGUUGUCUAUGCAUACGGUUGGCCAUCACGGGUUUUCUGGGUCGUUUGGAAGGUCAAACGAGCCCCGGAGCGAGCAUACGCCUCAUUUUGACGAUUUUCGUGUGCUAUUGCACACCAUUUUUUGGGUGAUCAGGAUUCCGACGUCAAAAAUGCCAAAUUUGUUCGUGGACGUCCGUCAAGACGUUGUCUAUGCAUACGGUUGGCCAUCACGGGUUUUCUGGGUCGUUUGGAAGGUCAAACGAGCCCCGGAGCGAGCAUACGCCUCAUUUUGACGAUUUUCGUGUGCUAUUGCACACCAUUUUUUGGGUGAUCAGGAUUCCGACGUCAAAAAUGCCAAAUUUGUUCGUGGACGUCCGUCAAGACGUUGUCUAUGCAUACGGUUGGCCAUCACGGGUUUUCUGGGUCGUUUGGAAGGUCAAACGAGCCCCGGAGCGAGCAUACGCCUCAUUUUGACGAUUUUCGUGUGCUAUUGCACACCAUUUUUUGGGUGAUCAGGAUUCCGACGUCAAAAAUGCCAAAUUUGUUCGUGGACGUCCGUCAAGACGUUGUCUAUGCAUACGGUUGGCCAUCACGGGUUUUCUGGGUCGUUUGGAAGGUCAAACGAGCCCCGGAGCGAGCAUACGCCUCAUUUUGACGAUUUUCGUGUGCUAUUGCACACCAUUUUUUGGGUGAUCAGGAUUCCGACGUCAAAAAUGCCAAAUUUGUUCGUGGACGUCCGUCAAGACGUUGUCUAUGCAUACGGUUGGCCAUCACGGGUUUUCUGGGUCGUUUGGAAGGUCAAACGAGCCCCGGAGCGAGCAUACGCCUCAUUUUGACGAUUUUCGUGUGCUAUUGCACACCAUUUUUUGGGUGAUCAGGAUUCCGACGUCAAAAAUGCCAAAUUUGUUCGUGGACGUCCGUCAAGACGUUGUCUAUGCAUACGGUUGGCCAUCACGGGUUUUCUGGGUCGUUUGGAAGGUCAAACGAGCCCCGGAGCGAGCAUACGCCUCAUUUUGACGAUUUUCGUGUGCUAUUGCACACCAUUUUUUGGGUGAUCAGGAUUCCGACGUCAAAAAUGCCAAAUUUGUUCGUGGACGUCCGUCAAGACGUUGUCUAUGCAUACGGUUGGCCAUCACGGGUUUUCUGGGUCGUUUGGAAGGUCAAACGAGCCCCGGAGCGAGCAUACGCCUCAUUUUGACGAUUUUCGUGUGCUAUUGCACACCAUUUUUUGGGUGAUCAGGAUUCCGACGUCAAAAAUGCCAAAUUUGUUCGUGGACGUCCGUCAAGACGUUGUCUAUGCAUACGGUUGGCCAUCACGGGUUUUCUGGGUCGUUUGGAAGGUCAAACGAGCCCCGGAGCGAGCAUACGCCUCAUUUUGACGAUUUUCGUGUGCUAUUGCACACCAUUUUUUGGGUGAUCAGGAUUCCGACGUCAAAAAUGCCAAAUUUGUUCGUGGACGUCCGUCAAGACGUUGUCUAUGCAUACGGUUGGCCAUCACGGGUUUUCUGGGUCGUUUGGAAGGUCAAACGAGCCCCGGAGCGAGCAUACGCCUCAUUUUGACGAUUUUCGUGUGCUAUUGCACACCAUUUUUUGGGUGAUCAGGAUUCCGACGUCAAAAAUGCCAAAUUUGUUCGUGGACGUCCGUCAAGACGUUGUCUAUGCAUACGGUUGGCCAUCACGGGUUUUCUGGGUCGUUUGGAAGGUCAAACGAGCCCCGGAGCGAGCAUACGCCUCAUUUUGACGAUUUUCGUGUGCUAUUGCACACCAUUUUUUGGGUGAUCAGGAUUCCGACGUCAAAAAUGCCAAAUUUGUUCGUGGACGUCCGUCAAGACGUUGUCUAUGCAUACGGUUGGCCAUCACGGGUUUUCUGGGUCGUUUGGAAGGUCAAACGAGCCCCGGAGCGAGCAUACGCCUCAUUUUGACGAUUUUCGUGUGCUAUUGCACACCAUUUUUUGGGUGAUCAGGAUUCCGACGUCAAAAAUGCCAAAUUUGUUCGUGGACGUCCGUCAAGACGUUGUCUAUGCAUACGGUUGGCCAUCACGGGUUUUCUGGGUCGUUUGGAAGGUCAAACGAGCCCCGGAGCGAGCAUACGCCUCAUUUUGACGAUUUUCGUGUGCUAUUGCACACCAUUUUUUGGGUGAUCAGGAUUCCGACGUCAAAAAUGCCAAAUUUGUUCGUGGACGUCCGUCAAGACGUUGUCUAUGCAUACGGUUGGCCAUCACGGGUUUUCUGGGUCGUUUGGAAGGUCAAACGAGCCCCGGAGCGAGCAUACGCCUCAUUUUGACGAUUUUCGUGUGCUAUUGCACACCAUUUUUUGGGUGAUCAGGAUUCCGACGUCAAAAAUGCCAAAUUUGUUCGUGGACGUCCGUCAAGACGUUGUCUAUGCAUACGGUUGGCCAUCACGGGUUUUCUGGGUCGUUUGGAAGGUCAAACGAGCCCCGGAGCGAGCAUACGCCUCAUUUUGACGAUUUUCGUGUGCUAUUGCACACCAUUUUUUGGGUGAUCAGGAUUCCGACGUCAAAAAUGCCAAAUUUGUUCGUGGACGUCCGUCAAGACGUUGUCUAUGCAUACGGUUGGCCAUCACGGGUUUUCUGGGUCGUUUGGAAGGUCAAACGAGCCCCGGAGCGAGCAUACGCCUCAUUUUGACGAUUUUCGUGUGCUAUUGCACACCAUUUUUUGGGUGAUCAGGAUUCCGACGUCAAAAAUGCCAAAUUUGUUCGUGGACGUCCGUCAAGACGUUGUCUAUGCAUACGGUUGGCCAUCACGGGUUUUCUGGGUCGUUUGGAAGGUCAAACGAGCCCCGGAGCGAGCAUACGCCUCAUUUUGACGAUUUUCGUGUGCUAUUGCACACCAUUUUUUGGGUGAUCAGGAUUCCGACGUCAAAAAUGCCAAAUUUGUUCGUGGACGUCCGUCAAGACGUUGUCUAUGCAUACGGUUGGCCAUCACGGGUUUUCUGGGUCGUUUGGAAGGUCAAACGAGCCCCGGAGCGAGCAUACGCCUCAUUUUGACGAUUUUCGUGUGCUAUUGCACACCAUUUUUUGGGUGAUCAGGAUUCCGACGUCAAAAAUGCCAAAUUUGUUCGUGGACGUCCGUCAAGACGUUGUCUAUGCAUACGGUUGGCCAUCACGGGUUUUCUGGGUCGUUUGGAAGGUCAAACGAGCCCCGGAGCGAGCAUACGCCUCAUUUUGACGAUUUUCGUGUGCUAUUGCACACCAUUUUUUGGGUGAUCAGGAUUCCGACGUCAAAAAUGCCAAAUUUGUUCGUGGACGUCCGUCAAGACGUUGUCUAUGCAUACGGUUGGCCAUCACGGGUUUUCUGGGUCGUUUGGAAGGUCAAACGAGCCCCGGAGCGAGCAUACGCCUCAUUUUGACGAUUUUCGUGUGCUAUUGCACACCAUUUUUUGGGUGAUCAGGAUUCCGACGUCAAAAAUGCCAAAUUUGUUCGUGGACGUCCGUCAAGACGUUGUCUAUGCAUACGGUUGGCCAUCACGGGUUUUCUGGGUCGUUUGGAAGGUCAAACGAGCCCCGGAGCGAGCAUACGCCUCAUUUUGACGAUUUUCGUGUGCUAUUGCACACCAUUUUUUGGGUGAUCAGGAUUCCGACGUCAAAAAUGCCAAAUUUGUUCGUGGACGUCCGUCAAGACGUUGUCUAUGCAUACGGUUGGCCAUCACGGGUUUUCUGGGUCGUUUGGAAGGUCAAACGAGCCCCGGAGCGAGCAUACGCCUCAUUUUGACGAUUUUCGUGUGCUAUUGCACACCAUUUUUUGGGUGAUCAGGAUUCCGACGUCAAAAAUGCCAAAUUUGUUCGUGGACGUCCGUCAAGACGUUGUCUAUGCAUACGGUUGGCCAUCACGGGUUUUCUGGGUCGUUUGGAAGGUCAAACGAGCCCCGGAGCGAGCAUACGCCUCAUUUUGACGAUUUUCGUGUGCUAUUGCACACCAUUUUUUGGGUGAUCAGGAUUCCGACGUCAAAAAUGCCAAAUUUGUUCGUGGACGUCCGUCAAGACGUUGUCUAUGCAUACGGUUGGCCAUCACGGGUUUUCUGGGUCGUUUGGAAGGUCAAACGAGCCCCGGAGCGAGCAUACGCCUCAUUUUGACGAUUUUCGUGUGCUAUUGCACACCAUUUUUUGGGUGAUCAGGAUUCCGACGUCAAAAAUGCCAAAUUUGUUCGUGGACGUCCGUCAAGACGUUGUCUAUGCAUACGGUUGGCCAUCACGGGUUUUCUGGGUCGUUUGGAAGGUCAAACGAGCCCCGGAGCGAGCAUACGCCUCAUUUUGACGAUUUUCGUGUGCUAUUGCACACCAUUUUUUGGGUGAUCAGGAUUCCGACGUCAAAAAUGCCAAAUUUGUUCGUGGACGUCCGUCAAGACGUUGUCUAUGCAUACGGUUGGCCAUCACGGGUUUUCUGGGUCGUUUGGAAGGUCAAACGAGCCCCGGAGCGAGCAUACGCCUCAUUUUGACGAUUUUCGUGUGCUAUUGCACACCAUUUUUUGGGUGAUCAGGAUUCCGACGUCAAAAAUGCCAAAUUUGUUCGUGGACGUCCGUCAAGACGUUGUCUAUGCAUACGGUUGGCCAUCACGGGUUUUCUGGGUCGUUUGGAAGGUCAAACGAGCCCCGGAGCGAGCAUACGCCUCAUUUUGACGAUUUUCGUGUGCUAUUGCACACCAUUUUUUGGGUGAUCAGGAUUCCGACGUCAAAAAUGCCAAAUUUGUUCGUGGACGUCCGUCAAGACGUUGUCUAUGCAUACGGUUGGCCAUCACGGGUUUUCUGGGUCGUUUGGAAGGUCAAACGAGCCCCGGAGCGAGCAUACGCCUCAUUUUGACGAUUUUCGUGUGCUAUUGCACACCAUUUUUUGGGUGAUCAGGAUUCCGACGUCAAAAAUGCCAAAUUUGUUCGUGGACGUCCGUCAAGACGUUGUCUAUGCAUACGGUUGGCCAUCACGGGUUUUCUGGGUCGUUUGGAAGGUCAAACGAGCCCCGGAGCGAGCAUACGCCUCAUUUUGACGAUUUUCGUGUGCUAUUGCACACCAUUUUUUGGGUGAUCAGGAUUCCGACGUCAAAAAUGCCAAAUUUGUUCGUGGACGUCCGUCAAGACGUUGUCUAUGCAUACGGUUGGCCAUCACGGGUUUUCUGGGUCGUUUGGAAGGUCAAACGAGCCCCGGAGCGAGCAUACGCCUCAUUUUGACGAUUUUCGUGUGCUAUUGCACACCAUUUUUUGGGUGAUCAGGAUUCCGACGUCAAAAAUGCCAAAUUUGUUCGUGGACGUCCGUCAAGACGUUGUCUAUGCAUACGGUUGGCCAUCACGGGUUUUCUGGGUCGUUUGGAAGGUCAAACGAGCCCCGGAGCGAGCAUACGCCUCAUUUUGACGAUUUUCGUGUGCUAUUGCACACCAUUUUUUGGGUGAUCAGGAUUCCGACGUCAAAAAUGCCAAAUUUGUUCGUGGACGUCCGUCAAGACGUUGUCUAUGCAUACGGUUGGCCAUCACGGGUUUUCUGGGUCGUUUGGAAGGUCAAACGAGCCCCGGAGCGAGCAUACGCCUCAUUUUGACGAUUUUCGUGUGCUAUUGCACACCAUUUUUUGGGUGAUCAGGAUUCCGACGUCAAAAAUGCCAAAUUUGUUCGUGGACGUCCGUCAAGACGUUGUCUAUGCAUACGGUUGGCCAUCACGGGUUUUCUGGGUCGUUUGGAAGGUCAAACGAGCCCCGGAGCGAGCAUACGCCUCAUUUUGACGAUUUUCGUGUGCUAUUGCACACCAUUUUUUGGGUGAUCAGGAUUCCGACGUCAAAAAUGCCAAAUUUGUUCGUGGACGUCCGUCAAGACGUUGUCUAUGCAUACGGUUGGCCAUCACGGGUUUUCUGGGUCGUUUGGAAGGUCAAACGAGCCCCGGAGCGAGCAUACGCCUCAUUUUGACGAUUUUCGUGUGCUAUUGCACACCAUUUUUUGGGUGAUCAGGAUUCCGACGUCAAAAAUGCCAAAUUUGUUCGUGGACGUCCGUCAAGACGUUGUCUAUGCAUACGGUUGGCCAUCACGGGUUUUCUGGGUCGUUUGGAAGGUCAAACGAGCCCCGGAGCGAGCAUACGCCUCAUUUUGACGAUUUUCGUGUGCUAUUGCACACCAUUUUUUGGGUGAUCAGGAUUCCGACGUCAAAAAUGCCAAAUUUGUUCGUGGACGUCCGUCAAGACGUUGUCUAUGCAUACGGUUGGCCAUCACGGGUUUUCUGGGUCGUUUGGAAGGUCAAACGAGCCCCGGAGCGAGCAUACGCCUCAUUUUGACGAUUUUCGUGUGCUAUUGCACACCAUUUUUUGGGUGAUCAGGAUUCCGACGUCAAAAAUGCCAAAUUUGUUCGUGGACGUCCGUCAAGACGUUGUCUAUGCAUACGGUUGGCCAUCACGGGUUUUCUGGGUCGUUUGGAAGGUCAAACGAGCCCCGGAGCGAGCAUACGCCUCAUUUUGACGAUUUUCGUGUGCUAUUGCACACCAUUUUUUGGGUGAUCAGGAUUCCGACGUCAAAAAUGCCAAAUUUGUUCGUGGACGUCCGUCAAGACGUUGUCUAUGCAUACGGUUGGCCAUCACGGGUUUUCUGGGUCGUUUGGAAGGUCAAACGAGCCCCGGAGCGAGCAUACGCCUCAUUUUGACGAUUUUCGUGUGCUAUUGCACACCAUUUUUUGGGUGAUCAGGAUUCCGACGUCAAAAAUGCCAAAUUUGUUCGUGGACGUCCGUCAAGACGUUGUCUAUGCAUACGGUUGGCCAUCACGGGUUUUCUGGGUCGUUUGGAAGGUCAAACGAGCCCCGGAGCGAGCAUACGCCUCAUUUUGACGAUUUUCGUGUGCUAUUGCACACCAUUUUUUGGGUGAUCAGGAUUCCGACGUCAAAAAUGCCAAAUUUGUUCGUGGACGUCCGUCAAGACGUUGUCUAUGCAUACGGUUGGCCAUCACGGGUUUUCUGGGUCGUUUGGAAGGUCAAACGAGCCCCGGAGCGAGCAUACGCCUCAUUUUGACGAUUUUCGUGUGCUAUUGCACACCAUUUUUUGGGUGAUCAGGAUUCCGACGUCAAAAAUGCCAAAUUUGUUCGUGGACGUCCGUCAAGACGUUGUCUAUGCAUACGGUUGGCCAUCACGGGUUUUCUGGGUCGUUUGGAAGGUCAAACGAGCCCCGGAGCGAGCAUACGCCUCAUUUUGACGAUUUUCGUGUGCUAUUGCACACCAUUUUUUGGGUGAUCAGGAUUCCGACGUCAAAAAUGCCAAAUUUGUUCGUGGACGUCCGUCAAGACGUUGUCUAUGCAUACGGUUGGCCAUCACGGGUUUUCUGGGUCGUUUGGAAGGUCAAACGAGCCCCGGAGCGAGCAUACGCCUCAUUUUGACGAUUUUCGUGUGCUAUUGCACACCAUUUUUUGGGUGAUCAGGAUUCCGACGUCAAAAAUGCCAAAUUUGUUCGUGGACGUCCGUCAAGACGUUGUCUAUGCAUACGGUUGGCCAUCACGGGUUUUCUGGGUCGUUUGGAAGGUCAAACGAGCCCCGGAGCGAGCAUACGCCUCAUUUUGACGAUUUUCGUGUGCUAUUGCACACCAUUUUUUGGGUGAUCAGGAUUCCGACGUCAAAAAUGCCAAAUUUGUUCGUGGACGUCCGUCAAGACGUUGUCUAUGCAUACGGUUGGCCAUCACGGGUUUUCUGGGUCGUUUGGAAGGUCAAACGAGCCCCGGAGCGAGCAUACGCCUCAUUUUGACGAUUUUCGUGUGCUAUUGCACACCAUUUUUUGGGUGAUCAGGAUUCCGACGUCAAAAAUGCCAAAUUUGUUCGUGGACGUCCGUCAAGACGUUGUCUAUGCAUACGGUUGGCCAUCACGGGUUUUCUGGGUCGUUUGGAAGGUCAAACGAGCCCCGGAGCGAGCAUACGCCUCAUUUUGACGAUUUUCGUGUGCUAUUGCACACCAUUUUUUGGGUGAUCAGGAUUCCGACGUCAAAAAUGCCAAAUUUGUUCGUGGACGUCCGUCAAGACGUUGUCUAUGCAUACGGUUGGCCAUCACGGGUUUUCUGGGUCGUUUGGAAGGUCAAACGAGCCCCGGAGCGAGCAUACGCCUCAUUUUGACGAUUUUCGUGUGCUAUUGCACACCAUUUUUUGGGUGAUCAGGAUUCCGACGUCAAAAAUGCCAAAUUUGUUCGUGGACGUCCGUCAAGACGUUGUCUAUGCAUACGGUUGGCCAUCACGGGUUUUCUGGGUCGUUUGGAAGGUCAAACGAGCCCCGGAGCGAGCAUACGCCUCAUUUUGACGAUUUUCGUGUGCUAUUGCACACCAUUUUUUGGGUGAUCAGGAUUCCGACGUCAAAAAUGCCAAAUUUGUUCGUGGACGUCCGUCAAGACGUUGUCUAUGCAUACGGUUGGCCAUCACGGGUUUUCUGGGUCGUUUGGAAGGUCAAACGAGCCCCGGAGCGAGCAUACGCCUCAUUUUGACGAUUUUCGUGUGCUAUUGCACACCAUUUUUUGGGUGAUCAGGAUUCCGACGUCAAAAAUGCCAAAUUUGUUCGUGGACGUCCGUCAAGACGUUGUCUAUGCAUACGGUUGGCCAUCACGGGUUUUCUGGGUCGUUUGGAAGGUCAAACGAGCCCCGGAGCGAGCAUACGCCUCAUUUUGACGAUUUUCGUGUGCUAUUGCACACCAUUUUUUGGGUGAUCAGGAUUCCGACGUCAAAAAUGCCAAAUUUGUUCGUGGACGUCCGUCAAGACGUUGUCUAUGCAUACGGUUGGCCAUCACGGGUUUUCUGGGUCGUUUGGAAGGUCAAACGAGCCCCGGAGCGAGCAUACGCCUCAUUUUGACGAUUUUCGUGUGCUAUUGCACACCAUUUUUUGGGUGAUCAGGAUUCCGACGUCAAAAAUGCCAAAUUUGUUCGUGGACGUCCGUCAAGACGUUGUCUAUGCAUACGGUUGGCCAUCACGGGUUUUCUGGGUCGUUUGGAAGGUCAAACGAGCCCCGGAGCGAGCAUACGCCUCAUUUUGACGAUUUUCGUGUGCUAUUGCACACCAUUUUUUGGGUGAUCAGGAUUCCGACGUCAAAAAUGCCAAAUUUGUUCGUGGACGUCCGUCAAGACGUUGUCUAUGCAUACGGUUGGCCAUCACGGGUUUUCUGGGUCGUUUGGAAGGUCAAACGAGCCCCGGAGCGAGCAUACGCCUCAUUUUGACGAUUUUCGUGUGCUAUUGCACACCAUUUUUUGGGUGAUCAGGAUUCCGACGUCAAAAAUGCCAAAUUUGUUCGUGGACGUCCGUCAAGACGUUGUCUAUGCAUACGGUUGGCCAUCACGGGUUUUCUGGGUCGUUUGGAAGGUCAAACGAGCCCCGGAGCGAGCAUACGCCUCAUUUUGACGAUUUUCGUGUGCUAUUGCACACCAUUUUUUGGGUGAUCAGGAUUCCGACGUCAAAAAUGCCAAAUUUGUUCGUGGACGUCCGUCAAGACGUUGUCUAUGCAUACGGUUGGCCAUCACGGGUUUUCUGGGUCGUUUGGAAGGUCAAACGAGCCCCGGAGCGAGCAUACGCCUCAUUUUGACGAUUUUCGUGUGCUAUUGCACACCAUUUUUUGGGUGAUCAGGAUUCCGACGUCAAAAAUGCCAAAUUUGUUCGUGGACGUCCGUCAAGACGUUGUCUAUGCAUACGGUUGGCCAUCACGGGUUUUCUGGGUCGUUUGGAAGGUCAAACGAGCCCCGGAGCGAGCAUACGCCUCAUUUUGACGAUUUUCGUGUGCUAUUGCACACCAUUUUUUGGGUGAUCAGGAUUCCGACGUCAAAAAUGCCAAAUUUGUUCGUGGACGUCCGUCAAGACGUUGUCUAUGCAUACGGUUGGCCAUCACGGGUUUUCUGGGUCGUUUGGAAGGUCAAACGAGCCCCGGAGCGAGCAUACGCCUCAUUUUGACGAUUUUCGUGUGCUAUUGCACACCAUUUUUUGGGUGAUCAGGAUUCCGACGUCAAAAAUGCCAAAUUUGUUCGUGGACGUCCGUCAAGACGUUGUCUAUGCAUACGGUUGGCCAUCACGGGUUUUCUGGGUCGUUUGGAAGGUCAAACGAGCCCCGGAGCGAGCAUACGCCUCAUUUUGACGAUUUUCGUGUGCUAUUGCACACCAUUUUUUGGGUGAUCAGGAUUCCGACGUCAAAAAUGCCAAAUUUGUUCGUGGACGUCCGUCAAGACGUUGUCUAUGCAUACGGUUGGCCAUCACGGGUUUUCUGGGUCGUUUGGAAGGUCAAACGAGCCCCGGAGCGAGCAUACGCCUCAUUUUGACGAUUUUCGUGUGCUAUUGCACACCAUUUUUUGGGUGAUCAGGAUUCCGACGUCAAAAAUGCCAAAUUUGUUCGUGGACGUCCGUCAAGACGUUGUCUAUGCAUACGGUUGGCCAUCACGGGUUUUCUGGGUCGUUUGGAAGGUCAAACGAGCCCCGGAGCGAGCAUACGCCUCAUUUUGACGAUUUUCGUGUGCUAUUGCACACCAUUUUUUGGGUGAUCAGGAUUCCGACGUCAAAAAUGCCAAAUUUGUUCGUGGACGUCCGUCAAGACGUUGUCUAUGCAUACGGUUGGCCAUCACGGGUUUUCUGGGUCGUUUGGAAGGUCAAACGAGCCCCGGAGCGAGCAUACGCCUCAUUUUGACGAUUUUCGUGUGCUAUUGCACACCAUUUUUUGGGUGAUCAGGAUUCCGACGUCAAAAAUGCCAAAUUUGUUCGUGGACGUCCGUCAAGACGUUGUCUAUGCAUACGGUUGGCCAUCACGGGUUUUCUGGGUCGUUUGGAAGGUCAAACGAGCCCCGGAGCGAGCAUACGCCUCAUUUUGACGAUUUUCGUGUGCUAUUGCACACCAUUUUUUGGGUGAUCAGGAUUCCGACGUCAAAAAUGCCAAAUUUGUUCGUGGACGUCCGUCAAGACGUUGUCUAUGCAUACGGUUGGCCAUCACGGGUUUUCUGGGUCGUUUGGAAGGUCAAACGAGCCCCGGAGCGAGCAUACGCCUCAUUUUGACGAUUUUCGUGUGCUAUUGCACACCAUUUUUUGGGUGAUCAGGAUUCCGACGUCAAAAAUGCCAAAUUUGUUCGUGGACGUCCGUCAAGACGUUGUCUAUGCAUACGGUUGGCCAUCACGGGUUUUCUGGGUCGUUUGGAAGGUCAAACGAGCCCCGGAGCGAGCAUACGCCUCAUUUUGACGAUUUUCGUGUGCUAUUGCACACCAUUUUUUGGGUGAUCAGGAUUCCGACGUCAAAAAUGCCAAAUUUGUUCGUGGACGUCCGUCAAGACGUUGUCUAUGCAUACGGUUGGCCAUCACGGGUUUUCUGGGUCGUUUGGAAGGUCAAACGAGCCCCGGAGCGAGCAUACGCCUCAUUUUGACGAUUUUCGUGUGCUAUUGCACACCAUUUUUUGGGUGAUCAGGAUUCCGACGUCAAAAAUGCCAAAUUUGUUCGUGGACGUCCGUCAAGACGUUGUCUAUGCAUACGGUUGGCCAUCACGGGUUUUCUGGGUCGUUUGGAAGGUCAAACGAGCCCCGGAGCGAGCAUACGCCUCAUUUUGACGAUUUUCGUGUGCUAUUGCACACCAUUUUUUGGGUGAUCAGGAUUCCGACGUCAAAAAUGCCAAAUUUGUUCGUGGACGUCCGUCAAGACGUUGUCUAUGCAUACGGUUGGCCAUCACGGGUUUUCUGGGUCGUUUGGAAGGUCAAACGAGCCCCGGAGCGAGCAUACGCCUCAUUUUGACGAUUUUCGUGUGCUAUUGCACACCAUUUUUUGGGUGAUCAGGAUUCCGACGUCAAAAAUGCCAAAUUUGUUCGUGGACGUCCGUCAAGACGUUGUCUAUGCAUACGGUUGGCCAUCACGGGUUUUCUGGGUCGUUUGGAAGGUCAAACGAGCCCCGGAGCGAGCAUACGCCUCAUUUUGACGAUUUUCGUGUGCUAUUGCACACCAUUUUUUGGGUGAUCAGGAUUCCGACGUCAAAAAUGCCAAAUUUGUUCGUGGACGUCCGUCAAGACGUUGUCUAUGCAUACGGUUGGCCAUCACGGGUUUUCUGGGUCGUUUGGAAGGUCAAACGAGCCCCGGAGCGAGCAUACGCCUCAUUUUGACGAUUUUCGUGUGCUAUUGCACACCAUUUUUUGGGUGAUCAGGAUUCCGACGUCAAAAAUGCCAAAUUUGUUCGUGGACGUCCGUCAAGACGUUGUCUAUGCAUACGGUUGGCCAUCACGGGUUUUCUGGGUCGUUUGGAAGGUCAAACGAGCCCCGGAGCGAGCAUACGCCUCAUUUUGACGAUUUUCGUGUGCUAUUGCACACCAUUUUUUGGGUGAUCAGGAUUCCGACGUCAAAAAUGCCAAAUUUGUUCGUGGACGUCCGUCAAGACGUUGUCUAUGCAUACGGUUGGCCAUCACGGGUUUUCUGGGUCGUUUGGAAGGUCAAACGAGCCCCGGAGCGAGCAUACGCCUCAUUUUGACGAUUUUCGUGUGCUAUUGCACACCAUUUUUUGGGUGAUCAGGAUUCCGACGUCAAAAAUGCCAAAUUUGUUCGUGGACGUCCGUCAAGACGUUGUCUAUGCAUACGGUUGGCCAUCACGGGUUUUCUGGGUCGUUUGGAAGGUCAAACGAGCCCCGGAGCGAGCAUACGCCUCAUUUUGACGAUUUUCGUGUGCUAUUGCACACCAUUUUUUGGGUGAUCAGGAUUCCGACGUCAAAAAUGCCAAAUUUGUUCGUGGACGUCCGUCAAGACGUUGUCUAUGCAUACGGUUGGCCAUCACGGGUUUUCUGGGUCGUUUGGAAGGUCAAACGAGCCCCGGAGCGAGCAUACGCCUCAUUUUGACGAUUUUCGUGUGCUAUUGCACACCAUUUUUUGGGUGAUCAGGAUUCCGACGUCAAAAAUGCCAAAUUUGUUCGUGGACGUCCGUCAAGACGUUGUCUAUGCAUACGGUUGGCCAUCACGGGUUUUCUGGGUCGUUUGGAAGGUCAAACGAGCCCCGGAGCGAGCAUACGCCUCAUUUUGACGAUUUUCGUGUGCUAUUGCACACCAUUUUUUGGGUGAUCAGGAUUCCGACGUCAAAAAUGCCAAAUUUGUUCGUGGACGUCCGUCAAGACGUUGUCUAUGCAUACGGUUGGCCAUCACGGGUUUUCUGGGUCGUUUGGAAGGUCAAACGAGCCCCGGAGCGAGCAUACGCCUCAUUUUGACGAUUUUCGUGUGCUAUUGCACACCAUUUUUUGGGUGAUCAGGAUUCCGACGUCAAAAAUGCCAAAUUUGUUCGUGGACGUCCGUCAAGACGUUGUCUAUGCAUACGGUUGGCCAUCACGGGUUUUCUGGGUCGUUUGGAAGGUCAAACGAGCCCCGGAGCGAGCAUACGCCUCAUUUUGACGAUUUUCGUGUGCUAUUGCACACCAUUUUUUGGGUGAUCAGGAUUCCGACGUCAAAAAUGCCAAAUUUGUUCGUGGACGUCCGUCAAGACGUUGUCUAUGCAUACGGUUGGCCAUCACGGGUUUUCUGGGUCGUUUGGAAGGUCAAACGAGCCCCGGAGCGAGCAUACGCCUCAUUUUGACGAUUUUCGUGUGCUAUUGCACACCAUUUUUUGGGUGAUCAGGAUUCCGACGUCAAAAAUGCCAAAUUUGUUCGUGGACGUCCGUCAAGACGUUGUCUAUGCAUACGGUUGGCCAUCACGGGUUUUCUGGGUCGUUUGGAAGGUCAAACGAGCCCCGGAGCGAGCAUACGCCUCAUUUUGACGAUUUUCGUGUGCUAUUGCACACCAUUUUUUGGGUGAUCAGGAUUCCGACGUCAAAAAUGCCAAAUUUGUUCGUGGACGUCCGUCAAGACGUUGUCUAUGCAUACGGUUGGCCAUCACGGGUUUUCUGGGUCGUUUGGAAGGUCAAACGAGCCCCGGAGCGAGCAUACGCCUCAUUUUGACGAUUUUCGUGUGCUAUUGCACACCAUUUUUUGGGUGAUCAGGAUUCCGACGUCAAAAAUGCCAAAUUUGUUCGUGGACGUCCGUCAAGACGUUGUCUAUGCAUACGGUUGGCCAUCACGGGUUUUCUGGGUCGUUUGGAAGGUCAAACGAGCCCCGGAGCGAGCAUACGCCUCAUUUUGACGAUUUUCGUGUGCUAUUGCACACCAUUUUUUGGGUGAUCAGGAUUCCGACGUCAAAAAUGCCAAAUUUGUUCGUGGACGUCCGUCAAGACGUUGUCUAUGCAUACGGUUGGCCAUCACGGGUUUUCUGGGUCGUUUGGAAGGUCAAACGAGCCCCGGAGCGAGCAUACGCCUCAUUUUGACGAUUUUCGUGUGCUAUUGCACACCAUUUUUUGGGUGAUCAGGAUUCCGACGUCAAAAAUGCCAAAUUUGUUCGUGGACGUCCGUCAAGACGUUGUCUAUGCAUACGGUUGGCCAUCACGGGUUUUCUGGGUCGUUUGGAAGGUCAAACGAGCCCCGGAGCGAGCAUACGCCUCAUUUUGACGAUUUUCGUGUGCUAUUGCACACCAUUUUUUGGGUGAUCAGGAUUCCGACGUCAAAAAUGCCAAAUUUGUUCGUGGACGUCCGUCAAGACGUUGUCUAUGCAUACGGUUGGCCAUCACGGGUUUUCUGGGUCGUUUGGAAGGUCAAACGAGCCCCGGAGCGAGCAUACGCCUCAUUUUGACGAUUUUCGUGUGCUAUUGCACACCAUUUUUUGGGUGAUCAGGAUUCCGACGUCAAAAAUGCCAAAUUUGUUCGUGGACGUCCGUCAAGACGUUGUCUAUGCAUACGGUUGGCCAUCACGGGUUUUCUGGGUCGUUUGGAAGGUCAAACGAGCCCCGGAGCGAGCAUACGCCUCAUUUUGACGAUUUUCGUGUGCUAUUGCACACCAUUUUUUGGGUGAUCAGGAUUCCGACGUCAAAAAUGCCAAAUUUGUUCGUGGACGUCCGUCAAGACGUUGUCUAUGCAUACGGUUGGCCAUCACGGGUUUUCUGGGUCGUUUGGAAGGUCAAACGAGCCCCGGAGCGAGCAUACGCCUCAUUUUGACGAUUUUCGUGUGCUAUUGCACACCAUUUUUUGGGUGAUCAGGAUUCCGACGUCAAAAAUGCCAAAUUUGUUCGUGGACGUCCGUCAAGACGUUGUCUAUGCAUACGGUUGGCCAUCACGGGUUUUCUGGGUCGUUUGGAAGGUCAAACGAGCCCCGGAGCGAGCAUACGCCUCAUUUUGACGAUUUUCGUGUGCUAUUGCACACCAUUUUUUGGGUGAUCAGGAUUCCGACGUCAAAAAUGCCAAAUUUGUUCGUGGACGUCCGUCAAGACGUUGUCUAUGCAUACGGUUGGCCAUCACGGGUUUUCUGGGUCGUUUGGAAGGUCAAACGAGCCCCGGAGCGAGCAUACGCCUCAUUUUGACGAUUUUCGUGUGCUAUUGCACACCAUUUUUUGGGUGAUCAGGAUUCCGACGUCAAAAAUGCCAAAUUUGUUCGUGGACGUCCGUCAAGACGUUGUCUAUGCAUACGGUUGGCCAUCACGGGUUUUCUGGGUCGUUUGGAAGGUCAAACGAGCCCCGGAGCGAGCAUACGCCUCAUUUUGACGAUUUUCGUGUGCUAUUGCACACCAUUUUUUGGGUGAUCAGGAUUCCGACGUCAAAAAUGCCAAAUUUGUUCGUGGACGUCCGUCAAGACGUUGUCUAUGCAUACGGUUGGCCAUCACGGGUUUUCUGGGUCGUUUGGAAGGUCAAACGAGCCCCGGAGCGAGCAUACGCCUCAUUUUGACGAUUUUCGUGUGCUAUUGCACACCAUUUUUUGGGUGAUCAGGAUUCCGACGUCAAAAAUGCCAAAUUUGUUCGUGGACGUCCGUCAAGACGUUGUCUAUGCAUACGGUUGGCCAUCACGGGUUUUCUGGGUCGUUUGGAAGGUCAAACGAGCCCCGGAGCGAGCAUACGCCUCAUUUUGACGAUUUUCGUGUGCUAUUGCACACCAUUUUUUGGGUGAUCAGGAUUCCGACGUCAAAAAUGCCAAAUUUGUUCGUGGACGUCCGUCAAGACGUUGUCUAUGCAUACGGUUGGCCAUCACGGGUUUUCUGGGUCGUUUGGAAGGUCAAACGAGCCCCGGAGCGAGCAUACGCCUCAUUUUGACGAUUUUCGUGUGCUAUUGCACACCAUUUUUUGGGUGAUCAGGAUUCCGACGUCAAAAAUGCCAAAUUUGUUCGUGGACGUCCGUCAAGACGUUGUCUAUGCAUACGGUUGGCCAUCACGGGUUUUCUGGGUCGUUUGGAAGGUCAAACGAGCCCCGGAGCGAGCAUACGCCUCAUUUUGACGAUUUUCGUGUGCUAUUGCACACCAUUUUUUGGGUGAUCAGGAUUCCGACGUCAAAAAUGCCAAAUUUGUUCGUGGACGUCCGUCAAGACGUUGUCUAUGCAUACGGUUGGCCAUCACGGGUUUUCUGGGUCGUUUGGAAGGUCAAACGAGCCCCGGAGCGAGCAUACGCCUCAUUUUGACGAUUUUCGUGUGCUAUUGCACACCAUUUUUUGGGUGAUCAGGAUUCCGACGUCAAAAAUGCCAAAUUUGUUCGUGGACGUCCGUCAAGACGUUGUCUAUGCAUACGGUUGGCCAUCACGGGUUUUCUGGGUCGUUUGGAAGGUCAAACGAGCCCCGGAGCGAGCAUACGCCUCAUUUUGACGAUUUUCGUGUGCUAUUGCACACCAUUUUUUGGGUGAUCAGGAUUCCGACGUCAAAAAUGCCAAAUUUGUUCGUGGACGUCCGUCAAGACGUUGUCUAUGCAUACGGUUGGCCAUCACGGGUUUUCUGGGUCGUUUGGAAGGUCAAACGAGCCCCGGAGCGAGCAUACGCCUCAUUUUGACGAUUUUCGUGUGCUAUUGCACACCAUUUUUUGGGUGAUCAGGAUUCCGACGUCAAAAAUGCCAAAUUUGUUCGUGGACGUCCGUCAAGACGUUGUCUAUGCAUACGGUUGGCCAUCACGGGUUUUCUGGGUCGUUUGGAAGGUCAAACGAGCCCCGGAGCGAGCAUACGCCUCAUUUUGACGAUUUUCGUGUGCUAUUGCACACCAUUUUUUGGGUGAUCAGGAUUCCGACGUCAAAAAUGCCAAAUUUGUUCGUGGACGUCCGUCAAGACGUUGUCUAUGCAUACGGUUGGCCAUCACGGGUUUUCUGGGUCGUUUGGAAGGUCAAACGAGCCCCGGAGCGAGCAUACGCCUCAUUUUGACGAUUUUCGUGUGCUAUUGCACACCAUUUUUUGGGUGAUCAGGAUUCCGACGUCAAAAAUGCCAAAUUUGUUCGUGGACGUCCGUCAAGACGUUGUCUAUGCAUACGGUUGGCCAUCACGGGUUUUCUGGGUCGUUUGGAAGGUCAAACGAGCCCCGGAGCGAGCAUACGCCUCAUUUUGACGAUUUUCGUGUGCUAUUGCACACCAUUUUUUGGGUGAUCAGGAUUCCGACGUCAAAAAUGCCAAAUUUGUUCGUGGACGUCCGUCAAGACGUUGUCUAUGCAUACGGUUGGCCAUCACGGGUUUUCUGGGUCGUUUGGAAGGUCAAACGAGCCCCGGAGCGAGCAUACGCCUCAUUUUGACGAUUUUCGUGUGCUAUUGCACACCAUUUUUUGGGUGAUCAGGAUUCCGACGUCAAAAAUGCCAAAUUUGUUCGUGGACGUCCGUCAAGACGUUGUCUAUGCAUACGGUUGGCCAUCACGGGUUUUCUGGGUCGUUUGGAAGGUCAAACGAGCCCCGGAGCGAGCAUACGCCUCAUUUUGACGAUUUUCGUGUGCUAUUGCACACCAUUUUUUGGGUGAUCAGGAUUCCGACGUCAAAAAUGCCAAAUUUGUUCGUGGACGUCCGUCAAGACGUUGUCUAUGCAUACGGUUGGCCAUCACGGGUUUUCUGGGUCGUUUGGAAGGUCAAACGAGCCCCGGAGCGAGCAUACGCCUCAUUUUGACGAUUUUCGUGUGCUAUUGCACACCAUUUUUUGGGUGAUCAGGAUUCCGACGUCAAAAAUGCCAAAUUUGUUCGUGGACGUCCGUCAAGACGUUGUCUAUGCAUACGGUUGGCCAUCACGGGUUUUCUGGGUCGUUUGGAAGGUCAAACGAGCCCCGGAGCGAGCAUACGCCUCAUUUUGACGAUUUUCGUGUGCUAUUGCACACCAUUUUUUGGGUGAUCAGGAUUCCGACGUCAAAAAUGCCAAAUUUGUUCGUGGACGUCCGUCAAGACGUUGUCUAUGCAUACGGUUGGCCAUCACGGGUUUUCUGGGUCGUUUGGAAGGUCAAACGAGCCCCGGAGCGAGCAUACGCCUCAUUUUGACGAUUUUCGUGUGCUAUUGCACACCAUUUUUUGGGUGAUCAGGAUUCCGACGUCAAAAAUGCCAAAUUUGUUCGUGGACGUCCGUCAAGACGUUGUCUAUGCAUACGGUUGGCCAUCACGGGUUUUCUGGGUCGUUUGGAAGGUCAAACGAGCCCCGGAGCGAGCAUACGCCUCAUUUUGACGAUUUUCGUGUGCUAUUGCACACCAUUUUUUGGGUGAUCAGGAUUCCGACGUCAAAAAUGCCAAAUUUGUUCGUGGACGUCCGUCAAGACGUUGUCUAUGCAUACGGUUGGCCAUCACGGGUUUUCUGGGUCGUUUGGAAGGUCAAACGAGCCCCGGAGCGAGCAUACGCCUCAUUUUGACGAUUUUCGUGUGCUAUUGCACACCAUUUUUUGGGUGAUCAGGAUUCCGACGUCAAAAAUGCCAAAUUUGUUCGUGGACGUCCGUCAAGACGUUGUCUAUGCAUACGGUUGGCCAUCACGGGUUUUCUGGGUCGUUUGGAAGGUCAAACGAGCCCCGGAGCGAGCAUACGCCUCAUUUUGACGAUUUUCGUGUGCUAUUGCACACCAUUUUUUGGGUGAUCAGGAUUCCGACGUCAAAAAUGCCAAAUUUGUUCGUGGACGUCCGUCAAGACGUUGUCUAUGCAUACGGUUGGCCAUCACGGGUUUUCUGGGUCGUUUGGAAGGUCAAACGAGCCCCGGAGCGAGCAUACGCCUCAUUUUGACGAUUUUCGUGUGCUAUUGCACACCAUUUUUUGGGUGAUCAGGAUUCCGACGUCAAAAAUGCCAAAUUUGUUCGUGGACGUCCGUCAAGACGUUGUCUAUGCAUACGGUUGGCCAUCACGGGUUUUCUGGGUCGUUUGGAAGGUCAAACGAGCCCCGGAGCGAGCAUACGCCUCAUUUUGACGAUUUUCGUGUGCUAUUGCACACCAUUUUUUGGGUGAUCAGGAUUCCGACGUCAAAAAUGCCAAAUUUGUUCGUGGACGUCCGUCAAGACGUUGUCUAUGCAUACGGUUGGCCAUCACGGGUUUUCUGGGUCGUUUGGAAGGUCAAACGAGCCCCGGAGCGAGCAUACGCCUCAUUUUGACGAUUUUCGUGUGCUAUUGCACACCAUUUUUUGGGUGAUCAGGAUUCCGACGUCAAAAAUGCCAAAUUUGUUCGUGGACGUCCGUCAAGACGUUGUCUAUGCAUACGGUUGGCCAUCACGGGUUUUCUGGGUCGUUUGGAAGGUCAAACGAGCCCCGGAGCGAGCAUACGCCUCAUUUUGACGAUUUUCGUGUGCUAUUGCACACCAUUUUUUGGGUGAUCAGGAUUCCGACGUCAAAAAUGCCAAAUUUGUUCGUGGACGUCCGUCAAGACGUUGUCUAUGCAUACGGUUGGCCAUCACGGGUUUUCUGGGUCGUUUGGAAGGUCAAACGAGCCCCGGAGCGAGCAUACGCCUCAUUUUGACGAUUUUCGUGUGCUAUUGCACACCAUUUUUUGGGUGAUCAGGAUUCCGACGUCAAAAAUGCCAAAUUUGUUCGUGGACGUCCGUCAAGACGUUGUCUAUGCAUACGGUUGGCCAUCACGGGUUUUCUGGGUCGUUUGGAAGGUCAAACGAGCCCCGGAGCGAGCAUACGCCUCAUUUUGACGAUUUUCGUGUGCUAUUGCACACCAUUUUUUGGGUGAUCAGGAUUCCGACGUCAAAAAUGCCAAAUUUGUUCGUGGACGUCCGUCAAGACGUUGUCUAUGCAUACGGUUGGCCAUCACGGGUUUUCUGGGUCGUUUGGAAGGUCAAACGAGCCCCGGAGCGAGCAUACGCCUCAUUUUGACGAUUUUCGUGUGCUAUUGCACACCAUUUUUUGGGUGAUCAGGAUUCCGACGUCAAAAAUGCCAAAUUUGUUCGUGGACGUCCGUCAAGACGUUGUCUAUGCAUACGGUUGGCCAUCACGGGUUUUCUGGGUCGUUUGGAAGGUCAAACGAGCCCCGGAGCGAGCAUACGCCUCAUUUUGACGAUUUUCGUGUGCUAUUGCACACCAUUUUUUGGGUGAUCAGGAUUCCGACGUCAAAAAUGCCAAAUUUGUUCGUGGACGUCCGUCAAGACGUUGUCUAUGCAUACGGUUGGCCAUCACGGGUUUUCUGGGUCGUUUGGAAGGUCAAACGAGCCCCGGAGCGAGCAUACGCCUCAUUUUGACGAUUUUCGUGUGCUAUUGCACACCAUUUUUUGGGUGAUCAGGAUUCCGACGUCAAAAAUGCCAAAUUUGUUCGUGGACGUCCGUCAAGACGUUGUCUAUGCAUACGGUUGGCCAUCACGGGUUUUCUGGGUCGUUUGGAAGGUCAAACGAGCCCCGGAGCGAGCAUACGCCUCAUUUUGACGAUUUUCGUGUGCUAUUGCACACCAUUUUUUGGGUGAUCAGGAUUCCGACGUCAAAAAUGCCAAAUUUGUUCGUGGACGUCCGUCAAGACGUUGUCUAUGCAUACGGUUGGCCAUCACGGGUUUUCUGGGUCGUUUGGAAGGUCAAACGAGCCCCGGAGCGAGCAUACGCCUCAUUUUGACGAUUUUCGUGUGCUAUUGCACACCAUUUUUUGGGUGAUCAGGAUUCCGACGUCAAAAAUGCCAAAUUUGUUCGUGGACGUCCGUCAAGACGUUGUCUAUGCAUACGGUUGGCCAUCACGGGUUUUCUGGGUCGUUUGGAAGGUCAAACGAGCCCCGGAGCGAGCAUACGCCUCAUUUUGACGAUUUUCGUGUGCUAUUGCACACCAUUUUUUGGGUGAUCAGGAUUCCGACGUCAAAAAUGCCAAAUUUGUUCGUGGACGUCCGUCAAGACGUUGUCUAUGCAUACGGUUGGCCAUCACGGGUUUUCUGGGUCGUUUGGAAGGUCAAACGAGCCCCGGAGCGAGCAUACGCCUCAUUUUGACGAUUUUCGUGUGCUAUUGCACACCAUUUUUUGGGUGAUCAGGAUUCCGACGUCAAAAAUGCCAAAUUUGUUCGUGGACGUCCGUCAAGACGUUGUCUAUGCAUACGGUUGGCCAUCACGGGUUUUCUGGGUCGUUUGGAAGGUCAAACGAGCCCCGGAGCGAGCAUACGCCUCAUUUUGACGAUUUUCGUGUGCUAUUGCACACCAUUUUUUGGGUGAUCAGGAUUCCGACGUCAAAAAUGCCAAAUUUGUUCGUGGACGUCCGUCAAGACGUUGUCUAUGCAUACGGUUGGCCAUCACGGGUUUUCUGGGUCGUUUGGAAGGUCAAACGAGCCCCGGAGCGAGCAUACGCCUCAUUUUGACGAUUUUCGUGUGCUAUUGCACACCAUUUUUUGGGUGAUCAGGAUUCCGACGUCAAAAAUGCCAAAUUUGUUCGUGGACGUCCGUCAAGACGUUGUCUAUGCAUACGGUUGGCCAUCACGGGUUUUCUGGGUCGUUUGGAAGGUCAAACGAGCCCCGGAGCGAGCAUACGCCUCAUUUUGACGAUUUUCGUGUGCUAUUGCACACCAUUUUUUGGGUGAUCAGGAUUCCGACGUCAAAAAUGCCAAAUUUGUUCGUGGACGUCCGUCAAGACGUUGUCUAUGCAUACGGUUGGCCAUCACGGGUUUUCUGGGUCGUUUGGAAGGUCAAACGAGCCCCGGAGCGAGCAUACGCCUCAUUUUGACGAUUUUCGUGUGCUAUUGCACACCAUUUUUUGGGUGAUCAGGAUUCCGACGUCAAAAAUGCCAAAUUUGUUCGUGGACGUCCGUCAAGACGUUGUCUAUGCAUACGGUUGGCCAUCACGGGUUUUCUGGGUCGUUUGGAAGGUCAAACGAGCCCCGGAGCGAGCAUACGCCUCAUUUUGACGAUUUUCGUGUGCUAUUGCACACCAUUUUUUGGGUGAUCAGGAUUCCGACGUCAAAAAUGCCAAAUUUGUUCGUGGACGUCCGUCAAGACGUUGUCUAUGCAUACGGUUGGCCAUCACGGGUUUUCUGGGUCGUUUGGAAGGUCAAACGAGCCCCGGAGCGAGCAUACGCCUCAUUUUGACGAUUUUCGUGUGCUAUUGCACACCAUUUUUUGGGUGAUCAGGAUUCCGACGUCAAAAAUGCCAAAUUUGUUCGUGGACGUCCGUCAAGACGUUGUCUAUGCAUACGGUUGGCCAUCACGGGUUUUCUGGGUCGUUUGGAAGGUCAAACGAGCCCCGGAGCGAGCAUACGCCUCAUUUUGACGAUUUUCGUGUGCUAUUGCACACCAUUUUUUGGGUGAUCAGGAUUCCGACGUCAAAAAUGCCAAAUUUGUUCGUGGACGUCCGUCAAGACGUUGUCUAUGCAUACGGUUGGCCAUCACGGGUUUUCUGGGUCGUUUGGAAGGUCAAACGAGCCCCGGAGCGAGCAUACGCCUCAUUUUGACGAUUUUCGUGUGCUAUUGCACACCAUUUUUUGGGUGAUCAGGAUUCCGACGUCAAAAAUGCCAAAUUUGUUCGUGGACGUCCGUCAAGACGUUGUCUAUGCAUACGGUUGGCCAUCACGGGUUUUCUGGGUCGUUUGGAAGGUCAAACGAGCCCCGGAGCGAGCAUACGCCUCAUUUUGACGAUUUUCGUGUGCUAUUGCACACCAUUUUUUGGGUGAUCAGGAUUCCGACGUCAAAAAUGCCAAAUUUGUUCGUGGACGUCCGUCAAGACGUUGUCUAUGCAUACGGUUGGCCAUCACGGGUUUUCUGGGUCGUUUGGAAGGUCAAACGAGCCCCGGAGCGAGCAUACGCCUCAUUUUGACGAUUUUCGUGUGCUAUUGCACACCAUUUUUUGGGUGAUCAGGAUUCCGACGUCAAAAAUGCCAAAUUUGUUCGUGGACGUCCGUCAAGACGUUGUCUAUGCAUACGGUUGGCCAUCACGGGUUUUCUGGGUCGUUUGGAAGGUCAAACGAGCCCCGGAGCGAGCAUACGCCUCAUUUUGACGAUUUUCGUGUGCUAUUGCACACCAUUUUUUGGGUGAUCAGGAUUCCGACGUCAAAAAUGCCAAAUUUGUUCGUGGACGUCCGUCAAGACGUUGUCUAUGCAUACGGUUGGCCAUCACGGGUUUUCUGGGUCGUUUGGAAGGUCAAACGAGCCCCGGAGCGAGCAUACGCCUCAUUUUGACGAUUUUCGUGUGCUAUUGCACACCAUUUUUUGGGUGAUCAGGAUUCCGACGUCAAAAAUGCCAAAUUUGUUCGUGGACGUCCGUCAAGACGUUGUCUAUGCAUACGGUUGGCCAUCACGGGUUUUCUGGGUCGUUUGGAAGGUCAAACGAGCCCCGGAGCGAGCAUACGCCUCAUUUUGACGAUUUUCGUGUGCUAUUGCACACCAUUUUUUGGGUGAUCAGGAUUCCGACGUCAAAAAUGCCAAAUUUGUUCGUGGACGUCCGUCAAGACGUUGUCUAUGCAUACGGUUGGCCAUCACGGGUUUUCUGGGUCGUUUGGAAGGUCAAACGAGCCCCGGAGCGAGCAUACGCCUCAUUUUGACGAUUUUCGUGUGCUAUUGCACACCAUUUUUUGGGUGAUCAGGAUUCCGACGUCAAAAAUGCCAAAUUUGUUCGUGGACGUCCGUCAAGACGUUGUCUAUGCAUACGGUUGGCCAUCACGGGUUUUCUGGGUCGUUUGGAAGGUCAAACGAGCCCCGGAGCGAGCAUACGCCUCAUUUUGACGAUUUUCGUGUGCUAUUGCACACCAUUUUUUGGGUGAUCAGGAUUCCGACGUCAAAAAUGCCAAAUUUGUUCGUGGACGUCCGUCAAGACGUUGUCUAUGCAUACGGUUGGCCAUCACGGGUUUUCUGGGUCGUUUGGAAGGUCAAACGAGCCCCGGAGCGAGCAUACGCCUCAUUUUGACGAUUUUCGUGUGCUAUUGCACACCAUUUUUUGGGUGAUCAGGAUUCCGACGUCAAAAAUGCCAAAUUUGUUCGUGGACGUCCGUCAAGACGUUGUCUAUGCAUACGGUUGGCCAUCACGGGUUUUCUGGGUCGUUUGGAAGGUCAAACGAGCCCCGGAGCGAGCAUACGCCUCAUUUUGACGAUUUUCGUGUGCUAUUGCACACCAUUUUUUGGGUGAUCAGGAUUCCGACGUCAAAAAUGCCAAAUUUGUUCGUGGACGUCCGUCAAGACGUUGUCUAUGCAUACGGUUGGCCAUCACGGGUUUUCUGGGUCGUUUGGAAGGUCAAACGAGCCCCGGAGCGAGCAUACGCCUCAUUUUGACGAUUUUCGUGUGCUAUUGCACACCAUUUUUUGGGUGAUCAGGAUUCCGACGUCAAAAAUGCCAAAUUUGUUCGUGGACGUCCGUCAAGACGUUGUCUAUGCAUACGGUUGGCCAUCACGGGUUUUCUGGGUCGUUUGGAAGGUCAAACGAGCCCCGGAGCGAGCAUACGCCUCAUUUUGACGAUUUUCGUGUGCUAUUGCACACCAUUUUUUGGGUGAUCAGGAUUCCGACGUCAAAAAUGCCAAAUUUGUUCGUGGACGUCCGUCAAGACGUUGUCUAUGCAUACGGUUGGCCAUCACGGGUUUUCUGGGUCGUUUGGAAGGUCAAACGAGCCCCGGAGCGAGCAUACGCCUCAUUUUGACGAUUUUCGUGUGCUAUUGCACACCAUUUUUUGGGUGAUCAGGAUUCCGACGUCAAAAAUGCCAAAUUUGUUCGUGGACGUCCGUCAAGACGUUGUCUAUGCAUACGGUUGGCCAUCACGGGUUUUCUGGGUCGUUUGGAAGGUCAAACGAGCCCCGGAGCGAGCAUACGCCUCAUUUUGACGAUUUUCGUGUGCUAUUGCACACCAUUUUUUGGGUGAUCAGGAUUCCGACGUCAAAAAUGCCAAAUUUGUUCGUGGACGUCCGUCAAGACGUUGUCUAUGCAUACGGUUGGCCAUCACGGGUUUUCUGGGUCGUUUGGAAGGUCAAACGAGCCCCGGAGCGAGCAUACGCCUCAUUUUGACGAUUUUCGUGUGCUAUUGCACACCAUUUUUUGGGUGAUCAGGAUUCCGACGUCAAAAAUGCCAAAUUUGUUCGUGGACGUCCGUCAAGACGUUGUCUAUGCAUACGGUUGGCCAUCACGGGUUUUCUGGGUCGUUUGGAAGGUCAAACGAGCCCCGGAGCGAGCAUACGCCUCAUUUUGACGAUUUUCGUGUGCUAUUGCACACCAUUUUUUGGGUGAUCAGGAUUCCGACGUCAAAAAUGCCAAAUUUGUUCGUGGACGUCCGUCAAGACGUUGUCUAUGCAUACGGUUGGCCAUCACGGGUUUUCUGGGUCGUUUGGAAGGUCAAACGAGCCCCGGAGCGAGCAUACGCCUCAUUUUGACGAUUUUCGUGUGCUAUUGCACACCAUUUUUUGGGUGAUCAGGAUUCCGACGUCAAAAAUGCCAAAUUUGUUCGUGGACGUCCGUCAAGACGUUGUCUAUGCAUACGGUUGGCCAUCACGGGUUUUCUGGGUCGUUUGGAAGGUCAAACGAGCCCCGGAGCGAGCAUACGCCUCAUUUUGACGAUUUUCGUGUGCUAUUGCACACCAUUUUUUGGGUGAUCAGGAUUCCGACGUCAAAAAUGCCAAAUUUGUUCGUGGACGUCCGUCAAGACGUUGUCUAUGCAUACGGUUGGCCAUCACGGGUUUUCUGGGUCGUUUGGAAGGUCAAACGAGCCCCGGAGCGAGCAUACGCCUCAUUUUGACGAUUUUCGUGUGCUAUUGCACACCAUUUUUUGGGUGAUCAGGAUUCCGACGUCAAAAAUGCCAAAUUUGUUCGUGGACGUCCGUCAAGACGUUGUCUAUGCAUACGGUUGGCCAUCACGGGUUUUCUGGGUCGUUUGGAAGGUCAAACGAGCCCCGGAGCGAGCAUACGCCUCAUUUUGACGAUUUUCGUGUGCUAUUGCACACCAUUUUUUGGGUGAUCAGGAUUCCGACGUCAAAAAUGCCAAAUUUGUUCGUGGACGUCCGUCAAGACGUUGUCUAUGCAUACGGUUGGCCAUCACGGGUUUUCUGGGUCGUUUGGAAGGUCAAACGAGCCCCGGAGCGAGCAUACGCCUCAUUUUGACGAUUUUCGUGUGCUAUUGCACACCAUUUUUUGGGUGAUCAGGAUUCCGACGUCAAAAAUGCCAAAUUUGUUCGUGGACGUCCGUCAAGACGUUGUCUAUGCAUACGGUUGGCCAUCACGGGUUUUCUGGGUCGUUUGGAAGGUCAAACGAGCCCCGGAGCGAGCAUACGCCUCAUUUUGACGAUUUUCGUGUGCUAUUGCACACCAUUUUUUGGGUGAUCAGGAUUCCGACGUCAAAAAUGCCAAAUUUGUUCGUGGACGUCCGUCAAGACGUUGUCUAUGCAUACGGUUGGCCAUCACGGGUUUUCUGGGUCGUUUGGAAGGUCAAACGAGCCCCGGAGCGAGCAUACGCCUCAUUUUGACGAUUUUCGUGUGCUAUUGCACACCAUUUUUUGGGUGAUCAGGAUUCCGACGUCAAAAAUGCCAAAUUUGUUCGUGGACGUCCGUCAAGACGUUGUCUAUGCAUACGGUUGGCCAUCACGGGUUUUCUGGGUCGUUUGGAAGGUCAAACGAGCCCCGGAGCGAGCAUACGCCUCAUUUUGACGAUUUUCGUGUGCUAUUGCACACCAUUUUUUGGGUGAUCAGGAUUCCGACGUCAAAAAUGCCAAAUUUGUUCGUGGACGUCCGUCAAGACGUUGUCUAUGCAUACGGUUGGCCAUCACGGGUUUUCUGGGUCGUUUGGAAGGUCAAACGAGCCCCGGAGCGAGCAUACGCCUCAUUUUGACGAUUUUCGUGUGCUAUUGCACACCAUUUUUUGGGUGAUCAGGAUUCCGACGUCAAAAAUGCCAAAUUUGUUCGUGGACGUCCGUCAAGACGUUGUCUAUGCAUACGGUUGGCCAUCACGGGUUUUCUGGGUCGUUUGGAAGGUCAAACGAGCCCCGGAGCGAGCAUACGCCUCAUUUUGACGAUUUUCGUGUGCUAUUGCACACCAUUUUUUGGGUGAUCAGGAUUCCGACGUCAAAAAUGCCAAAUUUGUUCGUGGACGUCCGUCAAGACGUUGUCUAUGCAUACGGUUGGCCAUCACGGGUUUUCUGGGUCGUUUGGAAGGUCAAACGAGCCCCGGAGCGAGCAUACGCCUCAUUUUGACGAUUUUCGUGUGCUAUUGCACACCAUUUUUUGGGUGAUCAGGAUUCCGACGUCAAAAAUGCCAAAUUUGUUCGUGGACGUCCGUCAAGACGUUGUCUAUGCAUACGGUUGGCCAUCACGGGUUUUCUGGGUCGUUUGGAAGGUCAAACGAGCCCCGGAGCGAGCAUACGCCUCAUUUUGACGAUUUUCGUGUGCUAUUGCACACCAUUUUUUGGGUGAUCAGGAUUCCGACGUCAAAAAUGCCAAAUUUGUUCGUGGACGUCCGUCAAGACGUUGUCUAUGCAUACGGUUGGCCAUCACGGGUUUUCUGGGUCGUUUGGAAGGUCAAACGAGCCCCGGAGCGAGCAUACGCCUCAUUUUGACGAUUUUCGUGUGCUAUUGCACACCAUUUUUUGGGUGAUCAGGAUUCCGACGUCAAAAAUGCCAAAUUUGUUCGUGGACGUCCGUCAAGACGUUGUCUAUGCAUACGGUUGGCCAUCACGGGUUUUCUGGGUCGUUUGGAAGGUCAAACGAGCCCCGGAGCGAGCAUACGCCUCAUUUUGACGAUUUUCGUGUGCUAUUGCACACCAUUUUUUGGGUGAUCAGGAUUCCGACGUCAAAAAUGCCAAAUUUGUUCGUGGACGUCCGUCAAGACGUUGUCUAUGCAUACGGUUGGCCAUCACGGGUUUUCUGGGUCGUUUGGAAGGUCAAACGAGCCCCGGAGCGAGCAUACGCCUCAUUUUGACGAUUUUCGUGUGCUAUUGCACACCAUUUUUUGGGUGAUCAGGAUUCCGACGUCAAAAAUGCCAAAUUUGUUCGUGGACGUCCGUCAAGACGUUGUCUAUGCAUACGGUUGGCCAUCACGGGUUUUCUGGGUCGUUUGGAAGGUCAAACGAGCCCCGGAGCGAGCAUACGCCUCAUUUUGACGAUUUUCGUGUGCUAUUGCACACCAUUUUUUGGGUGAUCAGGAUUCCGACGUCAAAAAUGCCAAAUUUGUUCGUGGACGUCCGUCAAGACGUUGUCUAUGCAUACGGUUGGCCAUCACGGGUUUUCUGGGUCGUUUGGAAGGUCAAACGAGCCCCGGAGCGAGCAUACGCCUCAUUUUGACGAUUUUCGUGUGCUAUUGCACACCAUUUUUUGGGUGAUCAGGAUUCCGACGUCAAAAAUGCCAAAUUUGUUCGUGGACGUCCGUCAAGACGUUGUCUAUGCAUACGGUUGGCCAUCACGGGUUUUCUGGGUCGUUUGGAAGGUCAAACGAGCCCCGGAGCGAGCAUACGCCUCAUUUUGACGAUUUUCGUGUGCUAUUGCACACCAUUUUUUGGGUGAUCAGGAUUCCGACGUCAAAAAUGCCAAAUUUGUUCGUGGACGUCCGUCAAGACGUUGUCUAUGCAUACGGUUGGCCAUCACGGGUUUUCUGGGUCGUUUGGAAGGUCAAACGAGCCCCGGAGCGAGCAUACGCCUCAUUUUGACGAUUUUCGUGUGCUAUUGCACACCAUUUUUUGGGUGAUCAGGAUUCCGACGUCAAAAAUGCCAAAUUUGUUCGUGGACGUCCGUCAAGACGUUGUCUAUGCAUACGGUUGGCCAUCACGGGUUUUCUGGGUCGUUUGGAAGGUCAAACGAGCCCCGGAGCGAGCAUACGCCUCAUUUUGACGAUUUUCGUGUGCUAUUGCACACCAUUUUUUGGGUGAUCAGGAUUCCGACGUCAAAAAUGCCAAAUUUGUUCGUGGACGUCCGUCAAGACGUUGUCUAUGCAUACGGUUGGCCAUCACGGGUUUUCUGGGUCGUUUGGAAGGUCAAACGAGCCCCGGAGCGAGCAUACGCCUCAUUUUGACGAUUUUCGUGUGCUAUUGCACACCAUUUUUUGGGUGAUCAGGAUUCCGACGUCAAAAAUGCCAAAUUUGUUCGUGGACGUCCGUCAAGACGUUGUCUAUGCAUACGGUUGGCCAUCACGGGUUUUCUGGGUCGUUUGGAAGGUCAAACGAGCCCCGGAGCGAGCAUACGCCUCAUUUUGACGAUUUUCGUGUGCUAUUGCACACCAUUUUUUGGGUGAUCAGGAUUCCGACGUCAAAAAUGCCAAAUUUGUUCGUGGACGUCCGUCAAGACGUUGUCUAUGCAUACGGUUGGCCAUCACGGGUUUUCUGGGUCGUUUGGAAGGUCAAACGAGCCCCGGAGCGAGCAUACGCCUCAUUUUGACGAUUUUCGUGUGCUAUUGCACACCAUUUUUUGGGUGAUCAGGAUUCCGACGUCAAAAAUGCCAAAUUUGUUCGUGGACGUCCGUCAAGACGUUGUCUAUGCAUACGGUUGGCCAUCACGGGUUUUCUGGGUCGUUUGGAAGGUCAAACGAGCCCCGGAGCGAGCAUACGCCUCAUUUUGACGAUUUUCGUGUGCUAUUGCACACCAUUUUUUGGGUGAUCAGGAUUCCGACGUCAAAAAUGCCAAAUUUGUUCGUGGACGUCCGUCAAGACGUUGUCUAUGCAUACGGUUGGCCAUCACGGGUUUUCUGGGUCGUUUGGAAGGUCAAACGAGCCCCGGAGCGAGCAUACGCCUCAUUUUGACGAUUUUCGUGUGCUAUUGCACACCAUUUUUUGGGUGAUCAGGAUUCCGACGUCAAAAAUGCCAAAUUUGUUCGUGGACGUCCGUCAAGACGUUGUCUAUGCAUACGGUUGGCCAUCACGGGUUUUCUGGGUCGUUUGGAAGGUCAAACGAGCCCCGGAGCGAGCAUACGCCUCAUUUUGACGAUUUUCGUGUGCUAUUGCACACCAUUUUUUGGGUGAUCAGGAUUCCGACGUCAAAAAUGCCAAAUUUGUUCGUGGACGUCCGUCAAGACGUUGUCUAUGCAUACGGUUGGCCAUCACGGGUUUUCUGGGUCGUUUGGAAGGUCAAACGAGCCCCGGAGCGAGCAUACGCCUCAUUUUGACGAUUUUCGUGUGCUAUUGCACACCAUUUUUUGGGUGAUCAGGAUUCCGACGUCAAAAAUGCCAAAUUUGUUCGUGGACGUCCGUCAAGACGUUGUCUAUGCAUACGGUUGGCCAUCACGGGUUUUCUGGGUCGUUUGGAAGGUCAAACGAGCCCCGGAGCGAGCAUACGCCUCAUUUUGACGAUUUUCGUGUGCUAUUGCACACCAUUUUUUGGGUGAUCAGGAUUCCGACGUCAAAAAUGCCAAAUUUGUUCGUGGACGUCCGUCAAGACGUUGUCUAUGCAUACGGUUGGCCAUCACGGGUUUUCUGGGUCGUUUGGAAGGUCAAACGAGCCCCGGAGCGAGCAUACGCCUCAUUUUGACGAUUUUCGUGUGCUAUUGCACACCAUUUUUUGGGUGAUCAGGAUUCCGACGUCAAAAAUGCCAAAUUUGUUCGUGGACGUCCGUCAAGACGUUGUCUAUGCAUACGGUUGGCCAUCACGGGUUUUCUGGGUCGUUUGGAAGGUCAAACGAGCCCCGGAGCGAGCAUACGCCUCAUUUUGACGAUUUUCGUGUGCUAUUGCACACCAUUUUUUGGGUGAUCAGGAUUCCGACGUCAAAAAUGCCAAAUUUGUUCGUGGACGUCCGUCAAGACGUUGUCUAUGCAUACGGUUGGCCAUCACGGGUUUUCUGGGUCGUUUGGAAGGUCAAACGAGCCCCGGAGCGAGCAUACGCCUCAUUUUGACGAUUUUCGUGUGCUAUUGCACACCAUUUUUUGGGUGAUCAGGAUUCCGACGUCAAAAAUGCCAAAUUUGUUCGUGGACGUCCGUCAAGACGUUGUCUAUGCAUACGGUUGGCCAUCACGGGUUUUCUGGGUCGUUUGGAAGGUCAAACGAGCCCCGGAGCGAGCAUACGCCUCAUUUUGACGAUUUUCGUGUGCUAUUGCACACCAUUUUUUGGGUGAUCAGGAUUCCGACGUCAAAAAUGCCAAAUUUGUUCGUGGACGUCCGUCAAGACGUUGUCUAUGCAUACGGUUGGCCAUCACGGGUUUUCUGGGUCGUUUGGAAGGUCAAACGAGCCCCGGAGCGAGCAUACGCCUCAUUUUGACGAUUUUCGUGUGCUAUUGCACACCAUUUUUUGGGUGAUCAGGAUUCCGACGUCAAAAAUGCCAAAUUUGUUCGUGGACGUCCGUCAAGACGUUGUCUAUGCAUACGGUUGGCCAUCACGGGUUUUCUGGGUCGUUUGGAAGGUCAAACGAGCCCCGGAGCGAGCAUACGCCUCAUUUUGACGAUUUUCGUGUGCUAUUGCACACCAUUUUUUGGGUGAUCAGGAUUCCGACGUCAAAAAUGCCAAAUUUGUUCGUGGACGUCCGUCAAGACGUUGUCUAUGCAUACGGUUGGCCAUCACGGGUUUUCUGGGUCGUUUGGAAGGUCAAACGAGCCCCGGAGCGAGCAUACGCCUCAUUUUGACGAUUUUCGUGUGCUAUUGCACACCAUUUUUUGGGUGAUCAGGAUUCCGACGUCAAAAAUGCCAAAUUUGUUCGUGGACGUCCGUCAAGACGUUGUCUAUGCAUACGGUUGGCCAUCACGGGUUUUCUGGGUCGUUUGGAAGGUCAAACGAGCCCCGGAGCGAGCAUACGCCUCAUUUUGACGAUUUUCGUGUGCUAUUGCACACCAUUUUUUGGGUGAUCAGGAUUCCGACGUCAAAAAUGCCAAAUUUGUUCGUGGACGUCCGUCAAGACGUUGUCUAUGCAUACGGUUGGCCAUCACGGGUUUUCUGGGUCGUUUGGAAGGUCAAACGAGCCCCGGAGCGAGCAUACGCCUCAUUUUGACGAUUUUCGUGUGCUAUUGCACACCAUUUUUUGGGUGAUCAGGAUUCCGACGUCAAAAAUGCCAAAUUUGUUCGUGGACGUCCGUCAAGACGUUGUCUAUGCAUACGGUUGGCCAUCACGGGUUUUCUGGGUCGUUUGGAAGGUCAAACGAGCCCCGGAGCGAGCAUACGCCUCAUUUUGACGAUUUUCGUGUGCUAUUGCACACCAUUUUUUGGGUGAUCAGGAUUCCGACGUCAAAAAUGCCAAAUUUGUUCGUGGACGUCCGUCAAGACGUUGUCUAUGCAUACGGUUGGCCAUCACGGGUUUUCUGGGUCGUUUGGAAGGUCAAACGAGCCCCGGAGCGAGCAUACGCCUCAUUUUGACGAUUUUCGUGUGCUAUUGCACACCAUUUUUUGGGUGAUCAGGAUUCCGACGUCAAAAAUGCCAAAUUUGUUCGUGGACGUCCGUCAAGACGUUGUCUAUGCAUACGGUUGGCCAUCACGGGUUUUCUGGGUCGUUUGGAAGGUCAAACGAGCCCCGGAGCGAGCAUACGCCUCAUUUUGACGAUUUUCGUGUGCUAUUGCACACCAUUUUUUGGGUGAUCAGGAUUCCGACGUCAAAAAUGCCAAAUUUGUUCGUGGACGUCCGUCAAGACGUUGUCUAUGCAUACGGUUGGCCAUCACGGGUUUUCUGGGUCGUUUGGAAGGUCAAACGAGCCCCGGAGCGAGCAUACGCCUCAUUUUGACGAUUUUCGUGUGCUAUUGCACACCAUUUUUUGGGUGAUCAGGAUUCCGACGUCAAAAAUGCCAAAUUUGUUCGUGGACGUCCGUCAAGACGUUGUCUAUGCAUACGGUUGGCCAUCACGGGUUUUCUGGGUCGUUUGGAAGGUCAAACGAGCCCCGGAGCGAGCAUACGCCUCAUUUUGACGAUUUUCGUGUGCUAUUGCACACCAUUUUUUGGGUGAUCAGGAUUCCGACGUCAAAAAUGCCAAAUUUGUUCGUGGACGUCCGUCAAGACGUUGUCUAUGCAUACGGUUGGCCAUCACGGGUUUUCUGGGUCGUUUGGAAGGUCAAACGAGCCCCGGAGCGAGCAUACGCCUCAUUUUGACGAUUUUCGUGUGCUAUUGCACACCAUUUUUUGGGUGAUCAGGAUUCCGACGUCAAAAAUGCCAAAUUUGUUCGUGGACGUCCGUCAAGACGUUGUCUAUGCAUACGGUUGGCCAUCACGGGUUUUCUGGGUCGUUUGGAAGGUCAAACGAGCCCCGGAGCGAGCAUACGCCUCAUUUUGACGAUUUUCGUGUGCUAUUGCACACCAUUUUUUGGGUGAUCAGGAUUCCGACGUCAAAAAUGCCAAAUUUGUUCGUGGACGUCCGUCAAGACGUUGUCUAUGCAUACGGUUGGCCAUCACGGGUUUUCUGGGUCGUUUGGAAGGUCAAACGAGCCCCGGAGCGAGCAUACGCCUCAUUUUGACGAUUUUCGUGUGCUAUUGCACACCAUUUUUUGGGUGAUCAGGAUUCCGACGUCAAAAAUGCCAAAUUUGUUCGUGGACGUCCGUCAAGACGUUGUCUAUGCAUACGGUUGGCCAUCACGGGUUUUCUGGGUCGUUUGGAAGGUCAAACGAGCCCCGGAGCGAGCAUACGCCUCAUUUUGACGAUUUUCGUGUGCUAUUGCACACCAUUUUUUGGGUGAUCAGGAUUCCGACGUCAAAAAUGCCAAAUUUGUUCGUGGACGUCCGUCAAGACGUUGUCUAUGCAUACGGUUGGCCAUCACGGGUUUUCUGGGUCGUUUGGAAGGUCAAACGAGCCCCGGAGCGAGCAUACGCCUCAUUUUGACGAUUUUCGUGUGCUAUUGCACACCAUUUUUUGGGUGAUCAGGAUUCCGACGUCAAAAAUGCCAAAUUUGUUCGUGGACGUCCGUCAAGACGUUGUCUAUGCAUACGGUUGGCCAUCACGGGUUUUCUGGGUCGUUUGGAAGGUCAAACGAGCCCCGGAGCGAGCAUACGCCUCAUUUUGACGAUUUUCGUGUGCUAUUGCACACCAUUUUUUGGGUGAUCAGGAUUCCGACGUCAAAAAUGCCAAAUUUGUUCGUGGACGUCCGUCAAGACGUUGUCUAUGCAUACGGUUGGCCAUCACGGGUUUUCUGGGUCGUUUGGAAGGUCAAACGAGCCCCGGAGCGAGCAUACGCCUCAUUUUGACGAUUUUCGUGUGCUAUUGCACACCAUUUUUUGGGUGAUCAGGAUUCCGACGUCAAAAAUGCCAAAUUUGUUCGUGGACGUCCGUCAAGACGUUGUCUAUGCAUACGGUUGGCCAUCACGGGUUUUCUGGGUCGUUUGGAAGGUCAAACGAGCCCCGGAGCGAGCAUACGCCUCAUUUUGACGAUUUUCGUGUGCUAUUGCACACCAUUUUUUGGGUGAUCAGGAUUCCGACGUCAAAAAUGCCAAAUUUGUUCGUGGACGUCCGUCAAGACGUUGUCUAUGCAUACGGUUGGCCAUCACGGGUUUUCUGGGUCGUUUGGAAGGUCAAACGAGCCCCGGAGCGAGCAUACGCCUCAUUUUGACGAUUUUCGUGUGCUAUUGCACACCAUUUUUUGGGUGAUCAGGAUUCCGACGUCAAAAAUGCCAAAUUUGUUCGUGGACGUCCGUCAAGACGUUGUCUAUGCAUACGGUUGGCCAUCACGGGUUUUCUGGGUCGUUUGGAAGGUCAAACGAGCCCCGGAGCGAGCAUACGCCUCAUUUUGACGAUUUUCGUGUGCUAUUGCACACCAUUUUUUGGGUGAUCAGGAUUCCGACGUCAAAAAUGCCAAAUUUGUUCGUGGACGUCCGUCAAGACGUUGUCUAUGCAUACGGUUGGCCAUCACGGGUUUUCUGGGUCGUUUGGAAGGUCAAACGAGCCCCGGAGCGAGCAUACGCCUCAUUUUGACGAUUUUCGUGUGCUAUUGCACACCAUUUUUUGGGUGAUCAGGAUUCCGACGUCAAAAAUGCCAAAUUUGUUCGUGGACGUCCGUCAAGACGUUGUCUAUGCAUACGGUUGGCCAUCACGGGUUUUCUGGGUCGUUUGGAAGGUCAAACGAGCCCCGGAGCGAGCAUACGCCUCAUUUUGACGAUUUUCGUGUGCUAUUGCACACCAUUUUUUGGGUGAUCAGGAUUCCGACGUCAAAAAUGCCAAAUUUGUUCGUGGACGUCCGUCAAGACGUUGUCUAUGCAUACGGUUGGCCAUCACGGGUUUUCUGGGUCGUUUGGAAGGUCAAACGAGCCCCGGAGCGAGCAUACGCCUCAUUUUGACGAUUUUCGUGUGCUAUUGCACACCAUUUUUUGGGUGAUCAGGAUUCCGACGUCAAAAAUGCCAAAUUUGUUCGUGGACGUCCGUCAAGACGUUGUCUAUGCAUACGGUUGGCCAUCACGGGUUUUCUGGGUCGUUUGGAAGGUCAAACGAGCCCCGGAGCGAGCAUACGCCUCAUUUUGACGAUUUUCGUGUGCUAUUGCACACCAUUUUUUGGGUGAUCAGGAUUCCGACGUCAAAAAUGCCAAAUUUGUUCGUGGACGUCCGUCAAGACGUUGUCUAUGCAUACGGUUGGCCAUCACGGGUUUUCUGGGUCGUUUGGAAGGUCAAACGAGCCCCGGAGCGAGCAUACGCCUCAUUUUGACGAUUUUCGUGUGCUAUUGCACACCAUUUUUUGGGUGAUCAGGAUUCCGACGUCAAAAAUGCCAAAUUUGUUCGUGGACGUCCGUCAAGACGUUGUCUAUGCAUACGGUUGGCCAUCACGGGUUUUCUGGGUCGUUUGGAAGGUCAAACGAGCCCCGGAGCGAGCAUACGCCUCAUUUUGACGAUUUUCGUGUGCUAUUGCACACCAUUUUUUGGGUGAUCAGGAUUCCGACGUCAAAAAUGCCAAAUUUGUUCGUGGACGUCCGUCAAGACGUUGUCUAUGCAUACGGUUGGCCAUCACGGGUUUUCUGGGUCGUUUGGAAGGUCAAACGAGCCCCGGAGCGAGCAUACGCCUCAUUUUGACGAUUUUCGUGUGCUAUUGCACACCAUUUUUUGGGUGAUCAGGAUUCCGACGUCAAAAAUGCCAAAUUUGUUCGUGGACGUCCGUCAAGACGUUGUCUAUGCAUACGGUUGGCCAUCACGGGUUUUCUGGGUCGUUUGGAAGGUCAAACGAGCCCCGGAGCGAGCAUACGCCUCAUUUUGACGAUUUUCGUGUGCUAUUGCACACCAUUUUUUGGGUGAUCAGGAUUCCGACGUCAAAAAUGCCAAAUUUGUUCGUGGACGUCCGUCAAGACGUUGUCUAUGCAUACGGUUGGCCAUCACGGGUUUUCUGGGUCGUUUGGAAGGUCAAACGAGCCCCGGAGCGAGCAUACGCCUCAUUUUGACGAUUUUCGUGUGCUAUUGCACACCAUUUUUUGGGUGAUCAGGAUUCCGACGUCAAAAAUGCCAAAUUUGUUCGUGGACGUCCGUCAAGACGUUGUCUAUGCAUACGGUUGGCCAUCACGGGUUUUCUGGGUCGUUUGGAAGGUCAAACGAGCCCCGGAGCGAGCAUACGCCUCAUUUUGACGAUUUUCGUGUGCUAUUGCACACCAUUUUUUGGGUGAUCAGGAUUCCGACGUCAAAAAUGCCAAAUUUGUUCGUGGACGUCCGUCAAGACGUUGUCUAUGCAUACGGUUGGCCAUCACGGGUUUUCUGGGUCGUUUGGAAGGUCAAACGAGCCCCGGAGCGAGCAUACGCCUCAUUUUGACGAUUUUCGUGUGCUAUUGCACACCAUUUUUUGGGUGAUCAGGAUUCCGACGUCAAAAAUGCCAAAUUUGUUCGUGGACGUCCGUCAAGACGUUGUCUAUGCAUACGGUUGGCCAUCACGGGUUUUCUGGGUCGUUUGGAAGGUCAAACGAGCCCCGGAGCGAGCAUACGCCUCAUUUUGACGAUUUUCGUGUGCUAUUGCACACCAUUUUUUGGGUGAUCAGGAUUCCGACGUCAAAAAUGCCAAAUUUGUUCGUGGACGUCCGUCAAGACGUUGUCUAUGCAUACGGUUGGCCAUCACGGGUUUUCUGGGUCGUUUGGAAGGUCAAACGAGCCCCGGAGCGAGCAUACGCCUCAUUUUGACGAUUUUCGUGUGCUAUUGCACACCAUUUUUUGGGUGAUCAGGAUUCCGACGUCAAAAAUGCCAAAUUUGUUCGUGGACGUCCGUCAAGACGUUGUCUAUGCAUACGGUUGGCCAUCACGGGUUUUCUGGGUCGUUUGGAAGGUCAAACGAGCCCCGGAGCGAGCAUACGCCUCAUUUUGACGAUUUUCGUGUGCUAUUGCACACCAUUUUUUGGGUGAUCAGGAUUCCGACGUCAAAAAUGCCAAAUUUGUUCGUGGACGUCCGUCAAGACGUUGUCUAUGCAUACGGUUGGCCAUCACGGGUUUUCUGGGUCGUUUGGAAGGUCAAACGAGCCCCGGAGCGAGCAUACGCCUCAUUUUGACGAUUUUCGUGUGCUAUUGCACACCAUUUUUUGGGUGAUCAGGAUUCCGACGUCAAAAAUGCCAAAUUUGUUCGUGGACGUCCGUCAAGACGUUGUCUAUGCAUACGGUUGGCCAUCACGGGUUUUCUGGGUCGUUUGGAAGGUCAAACGAGCCCCGGAGCGAGCAUACGCCUCAUUUUGACGAUUUUCGUGUGCUAUUGCACACCAUUUUUUGGGUGAUCAGGAUUCCGACGUCAAAAAUGCCAAAUUUGUUCGUGGACGUCCGUCAAGACGUUGUCUAUGCAUACGGUUGGCCAUCACGGGUUUUCUGGGUCGUUUGGAAGGUCAAACGAGCCCCGGAGCGAGCAUACGCCUCAUUUUGACGAUUUUCGUGUGCUAUUGCACACCAUUUUUUGGGUGAUCAGGAUUCCGACGUCAAAAAUGCCAAAUUUGUUCGUGGACGUCCGUCAAGACGUUGUCUAUGCAUACGGUUGGCCAUCACGGGUUUUCUGGGUCGUUUGGAAGGUCAAACGAGCCCCGGAGCGAGCAUACGCCUCAUUUUGACGAUUUUCGUGUGCUAUUGCACACCAUUUUUUGGGUGAUCAGGAUUCCGACGUCAAAAAUGCCAAAUUUGUUCGUGGACGUCCGUCAAGACGUUGUCUAUGCAUACGGUUGGCCAUCACGGGUUUUCUGGGUCGUUUGGAAGGUCAAACGAGCCCCGGAGCGAGCAUACGCCUCAUUUUGACGAUUUUCGUGUGCUAUUGCACACCAUUUUUUGGGUGAUCAGGAUUCCGACGUCAAAAAUGCCAAAUUUGUUCGUGGACGUCCGUCAAGACGUUGUCUAUGCAUACGGUUGGCCAUCACGGGUUUUCUGGGUCGUUUGGAAGGUCAAACGAGCCCCGGAGCGAGCAUACGCCUCAUUUUGACGAUUUUCGUGUGCUAUUGCACACCAUUUUUUGGGUGAUCAGGAUUCCGACGUCAAAAAUGCCAAAUUUGUUCGUGGACGUCCGUCAAGACGUUGUCUAUGCAUACGGUUGGCCAUCACGGGUUUUCUGGGUCGUUUGGAAGGUCAAACGAGCCCCGGAGCGAGCAUACGCCUCAUUUUGACGAUUUUCGUGUGCUAUUGCACACCAUUUUUUGGGUGAUCAGGAUUCCGACGUCAAAAAUGCCAAAUUUGUUCGUGGACGUCCGUCAAGACGUUGUCUAUGCAUACGGUUGGCCAUCACGGGUUUUCUGGGUCGUUUGGAAGGUCAAACGAGCCCCGGAGCGAGCAUACGCCUCAUUUUGACGAUUUUCGUGUGCUAUUGCACACCAUUUUUUGGGUGAUCAGGAUUCCGACGUCAAAAAUGCCAAAUUUGUUCGUGGACGUCCGUCAAGACGUUGUCUAUGCAUACGGUUGGCCAUCACGGGUUUUCUGGGUCGUUUGGAAGGUCAAACGAGCCCCGGAGCGAGCAUACGCCUCAUUUUGACGAUUUUCGUGUGCUAUUGCACACCAUUUUUUGGGUGAUCAGGAUUCCGACGUCAAAAAUGCCAAAUUUGUUCGUGGACGUCCGUCAAGACGUUGUCUAUGCAUACGGUUGGCCAUCACGGGUUUUCUGGGUCGUUUGGAAGGUCAAACGAGCCCCGGAGCGAGCAUACGCCUCAUUUUGACGAUUUUCGUGUGCUAUUGCACACCAUUUUUUGGGUGAUCAGGAUUCCGACGUCAAAAAUGCCAAAUUUGUUCGUGGACGUCCGUCAAGACGUUGUCUAUGCAUACGGUUGGCCAUCACGGGUUUUCUGGGUCGUUUGGAAGGUCAAACGAGCCCCGGAGCGAGCAUACGCCUCAUUUUGACGAUUUUCGUGUGCUAUUGCACACCAUUUUUUGGGUGAUCAGGAUUCCGACGUCAAAAAUGCCAAAUUUGUUCGUGGACGUCCGUCAAGACGUUGUCUAUGCAUACGGUUGGCCAUCACGGGUUUUCUGGGUCGUUUGGAAGGUCAAACGAGCCCCGGAGCGAGCAUACGCCUCAUUUUGACGAUUUUCGUGUGCUAUUGCACACCAUUUUUUGGGUGAUCAGGAUUCCGACGUCAAAAAUGCCAAAUUUGUUCGUGGACGUCCGUCAAGACGUUGUCUAUGCAUACGGUUGGCCAUCACGGGUUUUCUGGGUCGUUUGGAAGGUCAAACGAGCCCCGGAGCGAGCAUACGCCUCAUUUUGACGAUUUUCGUGUGCUAUUGCACACCAUUUUUUGGGUGAUCAGGAUUCCGACGUCAAAAAUGCCAAAUUUGUUCGUGGACGUCCGUCAAGACGUUGUCUAUGCAUACGGUUGGCCAUCACGGGUUUUCUGGGUCGUUUGGAAGGUCAAACGAGCCCCGGAGCGAGCAUACGCCUCAUUUUGACGAUUUUCGUGUGCUAUUGCACACCAUUUUUUGGGUGAUCAGGAUUCCGACGUCAAAAAUGCCAAAUUUGUUCGUGGACGUCCGUCAAGACGUUGUCUAUGCAUACGGUUGGCCAUCACGGGUUUUCUGGGUCGUUUGGAAGGUCAAACGAGCCCCGGAGCGAGCAUACGCCUCAUUUUGACGAUUUUCGUGUGCUAUUGCACACCAUUUUUUGGGUGAUCAGGAUUCCGACGUCAAAAAUGCCAAAUUUGUUCGUGGACGUCCGUCAAGACGUUGUCUAUGCAUACGGUUGGCCAUCACGGUUUUCUGGGUCGUUUGGAAGGUCAAACGAGCCCCGGAGCGAGCAUACGCCUCAUUUUGACGAUUUUCGUGUGCUAUUGCACACCAUUUUUGGGUGAUCAGGAUUCCGACGUCAAAAAUGCCAAAUUUGUUCGUGGACGUCCGUCAAGACGUUGUCUAUGCAUACGGUUGGCCAUCACGGGUUUUCUGGGUCGUUUGGAAGGUCAAACGAGCCCCGGAGCGAGCAUACGCCUCAUUUUGACGAUUUUCGUGUGCUAUUGCACACCAUUUUUUGGGUGAUCAGGAUUCCGACGUCAAAAAUGCCAAUUUGUUCGUGGACGUCCGUCAAGACGUUGUCUAUGCAUACGGUUGGCCAUCACGGUUUUCUGGGUCGUUUGGAAGGUCAAACGAGCCCCGGAGCGAGCAUACGCCUCAUUUUGACGAUUUUCGUGUGCUAUUGCACACCAUUUUUUGGGUGAUCAGGAUUCCGACGUCAAAAAUGCCAAAUUUGUUCGUGGACGUCCGUCAAGACGUUGUCUAUGCAUACGGUUGGCCAUCACGGGUUUUCUGGGUCGUUUGGAAGGUCAAACGAGCCCCGGAGCGAGCAUACGCCUCAUUUUGACGAUUUUCGUGUGCUAUUGCACACCAUUUUUUGGGUGAUCAGGAUUCCGACGUCAAAAAUGCCAAAUUUGUUCGUGGACGUCCGUCAAGACGUUGUCUAUGCAUACGGUUGGCCAUCACGGGUUUUCUGGGUCGUUUGGAAGGUCAAACGAGCCCCGGAGCGAGCAUACGCCUCAUUUUGACGAUUUUCGUGUGCUAUUGCACACCAUUUUUUGGGUGAUCAGGAUUCCGACGUCAAAAAUGCCAAAUUUGUUCGUGGACGUCCGUCAAGACGUUGUCUAUGCAUACGGUUGGCCAUCACGGGUUUUCUGGGUCGUUUGGAAGGUCAAACGAGCCCCGGAGCGAGCAUACGCCUCAUUUUGACGAUUUUCGUGUGCUAUUGCACACCAUUUUUUGGGUGAUCAGGAUUCCGACGUCAAAAAUGCCAAAUUUGUUCGUGGACGUCCGUCAAGACGUUGUCUAUGCAUACGGUUGGCCAUCACGGGUUUUCUGGGUCGUUUGGAAGGUCAAACGAGCCCGGAGCGAGCAUACGCCUCAUUUUGACGAUUUUCGUGUGCUAUUGCACACCAUUUUUUGGGUGAUCAGGAUUCCGACGUCAAAAAUGCCAAAUUUGUUCGUGGACGUCCGUCAAGACGUUGUCUAUGCAUACGGUUGGCCAUCACGGGUUUUUCUGGGUCGUUUGGAAGGUCAAACGAGCCCCGGAGCGAGCAUACGCCUCAUUUUGACGAUUUUCGUGUGCUAUUGCACACCAUUUUUUGGUGAUCAGGAUUCCGACGUCAAAAAUGCCAAAUUUGUUCGUGGACGUCCGUCAAGACGUUGUCUAUGCAUACGGUUGGCCAUCACGGGUUUUCUGGGUCGUUUGGAAGGUCAAACGAGCCCCGGAGCGAGCAUACGCCUCAUUUUGACGAUUUUCGUGUGCUAUUGCACACCAUUUUUUGGGUGAUCAGGAUUCCGACGUCAAAAAUGCCAAAUUUGUUCGUGGACGUCCGUCAAGACGUUGUCUAUGCAUACGGUUGGCCAUCACGGGUUUUCUGGGUCGUUUGGAAGGUCAAACGAGCCCCGGAGCGAGCAUACGCCUCAUUUUGACGAUUUUCGUGUGCUAUUGCACACCAUUUUUUGGGUGAUCAGGAUUCCGACGUCAAAAAUGCCAAAUUUGUUCGUGGACGUCCGUCAAGACGUUGUCUAUGCAUACGGUUGGCCAUCACGGGUUUUCUGGGUCGUUUGGAAGGUCAAACGAGCCCCGGAGCGAGCAUACGCCUCAUUUUGACGAUUUUCGUGUGCUAUUGCACACCAUUUUUUGGGUGAUCAGGAUUCCGACGUCAAAAAUGCCAAAUUUGUUCGUGGACGUCCGUCAAGACGUUGUCUAUGCAUACGGUUGGCCAUCACGGGUUUUCUGGGUCGUUUGGAAGGUCAAACGAGCCCCGGAGCGAGCAUACGCCUCAUUUUGACGAUUUUCGUGUGCUAUUGCACACCAUUUUUUGGGUGAUCAGGAUUCCGACGUCAAAAAUGCCAAAUUUGUUCGUGGACGUCCGUCAAGACGUUGUCUAUGCAUACGGUUGGCCAUCACGGGUUUUCUGGGUCGUUUGGAAGGUCAAACGAGCCCCGGAGCGAGCAUACGCCUCAUUUUGACGAUUUUCGUGUGCUAUUGCACACCAUUUUUUGGGUGAUCAGGAUUCCGACGUCAAAAAUGCCAAAUUUGUUCGUGGACGUCCGUCAAGACGUUGUCUAUGCAUACGGUUGGCCAUCACGGGUUUUCUGGGUCGUUUGGAAGGUCAAACGAGCCCCGGAGCGAGCAUACGCCUCAUUUUGACGAUUUUCGUGUGCUAUUGCACACCAUUUUUUGGGUGAUCAGGAUUCCGACGUCAAAAAUGCCAAAUUUGUUCGUGGACGUCCGUCAAGACGUUGUCUAUGCAUACGGUUGGCCAUCACGGGUUUUCUGGGUCGUUUGGAAGGUCAAACGAGCCCCGGAGCGAGCAUACGCCUCAUUUUGACGAUUUUCGUGUGCUAUUGCACACCAUUUUUUGGGUGAUCAGGAUUCCGACGUCAAAAAUGCCAAAUUUGUUCGUGGACGUCCGUCAAGACGUUGUCUAUGCAUACGGUUGGCCAUCACGGGUUUUCUGGGUCGUUUGGAAGGUCAAACGAGCCCCGGAGCGAGCAUACGCCUCAUUUUGACGAUUUUCGUGUGCUAUUGCACACCAUUUUUUGGGUGAUCAGGAUUCCGACGUCAAAAAUGCCAAAUUUGUUCGUGGACGUCCGUCAAGACGUUGUCUAUGCAUACGGUUGGCCAUCACGGGUUUUCUGGGUCGUUUGGAAGGUCAAACGAGCCCCGGAGCGAGCAUACGCCUCAUUUUGACGAUUUUCGUGUGCUAUUGCACACCAUUUUUUGGGUGAUCAGGAUUCCGACGUCAAAAAUGCCAAAUUUGUUCGUGGACGUCCGUCAAGACGUUGUCUAUGCAUACGGUUGGCCAUCACGGGUUUUCUGGGUCGUUUGGAAGGUCAAACGAGCCCCGGAGCGAGCAUACGCCUCAUUUUGACGAUUUUCGUGUGCUAUUGCACACCAUUUUUUGGGUGAUCAGGAUUCCGACGUCAAAAAUGCCAAAUUUGUUCGUGGACGUCCGUCAAGACGUUGUCUAUGCAUACGGUUGGCCAUCACGGGUUUUCUGGGUCGUUUGGAAGGUCAAACGAGCCCCGGAGCGAGCAUACGCCUCAUUUUGACGACGAUUUCGUGUGCUAUUGCACACCAUUUUUUGGGUGAUCAGGAUUCCGACGUCAAAAAUGCCAAAUUUGUUCGUGGACGUCCGUCAAGACGUUGUCUAUGCAUACGGUUGGCCAUCACGGGUUUUCUGGGUCGUUUGGAAGGUCAAACGAGCCCCGGAGCGAGCAUACGCCUCAUUUUGACGAUUUUCGUGUGCUAUUGCACACCAUUUUUGGGUGAUCAGGAUUCCGACGUCAAAAAUGCCAAAUUUGUUCGUGGACGUCCGUCAAGACGUUGUCUAUGCAUACGGUUGGCCAUCACGGGUUUUCUGGGUCGUUUGGAAGGUCAAACGAGCCCCGAGCGAGCAUACGCCUCAUUUUGACGAUUUUCGUGUGCUAUUGCACACCAUUUUUUGGGUGAUCAGGAUUCCGACGUCAAAAAUGCCAAAUUUGUUCGUGGACGUCCGUCAAGACGUUGUCUAUGCAUACGGUUGGCCAUCACGGGUUUUCUGGGUCGUUUGGAAGGUCAAACGAGCCCCGAGCGAGCAUACGCCUCAUUUUGACGAUUUUCGUGUGCUAUUGCACACCAUUUUUUGGGUGAUCAGGAUUCCGACGUCAAAAAUGCCAAAUUUGUUCGUGGACGUCCGUCAAGACGUUGUCUAUGCAUACGGUUGGCCAUCACGGGUUUUCUGGGUCGUUUGGAAGGUCAAACGAGCCCCGGAGCGAGCAUACGCCUCAUUUUGACGAUUUUCGUGUGCUAUUGCACACCAUUUUUUGGGUGAUCAGGAUUCCGACGUCAAAAAUGCCAAAUUUGUUCGUGGACGUCCGUCAAGACGUUGUCUAUGCAUACGGUUGGCCAUCACGGGUUUUCUGGGUCGUUUGGAAGGUCAAACGAGCCCCGGAGCGAGCAUACGCCUCAUUUUGACGAUUUUCGUGUGCUAUUGCACACCAUUUUUUGGGUGAUCAGGAUUCCGACGUCAAAAUGCCAAAUUUGUUCGUGGACGUCCGUCAAGACGUUGUCUAUGCAUACGGUUGGCCAUCACGGGUUUUCUGGGUCGUUUGGAAGGUCAAACGAGCCCCGAGCGAGCAUACGCCUCAUUUUGACGAUUUUCGUGUGCUAUUGCACACCAUUUUUUGGGUGAUCAGGAUUCCGACGUCAAAAAUGCCAAAUUUGUUCGUGGACGUCCGUCAAGACGUUGUCUAUGCAUACGGUUGGCCAUCACGGGUUUUCUGGGUCGUUUGGAAGGUCAAACGAGCCCCGGAGCGAGCAUACGCCUCAUUUUGACGAUUUUCGUGUGCUAUUGCACACCAUUUUUUGGGUGAUCAGGAUUCCGACGUCAAAAAUGCCAAAUUUGUUCGUGGACGUCCGUCAAGACGUUGUCUAUGCAUACGGUUGGCCAUCACGGGUUUUCUGGGUCGUUUGGAAGGUCAAACGAGCCCCGGAGCGAGCAUACGCCUCAUUUUGACGAUUUUCGUGUGCUAUUGCACACCAUUUUUUGGGUGAUCAGGAUUCCGACGUCAAAAAUGCCAAUUUGUUCGUGGACGUCCGUCAAGACGUUGUCUAUGCAUACGGUUGGCCAUCACGGGUUUUCUGGGUCGUUUGGAAGGUCAAACGAGCCCCGGAGCGAGCAUACGCCUCAUUUUGACGAUUUUCGUGUGCUAUUGCACACCAUUUUUUGGGUGAUCAGGAUUCCGACGUCAAAAAUGCCAAAUUUGUUCGUGGACGUCCGUCAAGACGUUGUCUAUGCAUACGGUUGGCCAUCACGGGUUUUCUGGGUCGUUUGGAAGGUCAAACGAGCCCCGGAGCGAGCAUACGCCUCAUUUUGACGAUUUUCGUGUGCUAUUGCACACCAUUUUUUGGGUGAUCAGGAUUCCGACGUCAAAAUGCCAAAUUUGUUCGUGGACGUCCGUCAAGACGUUGUCUAUGCAUACGGUUGGCCAUCACGGGUUUUCUGGUCGUUUGGAAGGUCAAACGAGCCCCGNNNNNNNNNNNNNNNNNNNNNNNNNNNNNNNNNNNNNNNNNNNNNNNNNNNNNNNNNNNNNNNNNNNNNNNNNNNNNNNNNNNNNNNNNNNNNNNNNNNNNNNNNNNNNNNNNNNNNNNNNNNNNNNNNNNNNNNNNNNNNNNNNNNNNNNNNNNNNNNNNNNNNNNNNNNNNNNNNNNNNNNNNNNNNNNNNNNNNNNNNNNNNNNNNNNNNNNNNNNNNNNNNNNNNNNNNNNNNNNNNNNNNNNNNNNNNNNNNNNNNNNNNNNNNNNNNNNNNNNNNNNNNNNNNNNNNNNNNNNNNNNNNNNNNNNNNNNNNNNNNNNNNNNNNNNNNNNNNNNNNNNNNNNNNNNNNNNNNNNNNNNNNNNNNNNNNNNNNNNNNNNNNNNNNNNNNNNNNNNNNNNNNNNNNNNNNNNNNNNNNNNNNNNNNNNNNNNNNNNNNNNNNNNNNNNNNNNNNNNNNNNNNNNNNNNNNNNNNNNNNNNNNNNNNNNNNNNNNNNNUGGUGCUUCUUGGUUGAUCUUGGGGAUGGUAUGUAUUGUAUGUGUUUGGAGAGAGAAUGAGGGUGUGAUGAUACACAUUAUGUUAAGGGUUGUAUGGGUCAUUAUCUUUCAAAGUUAGCUAUUACAUUCGAGGGUAACGGUGUGUGAUAGCUUCUAAGGUUUUUUCCAUGACUUGAAUUGUAGAUUAAAAUCGAAACGGGAGGUUGAAUCGUGGUAGUUAUAUCGGUCAGAGGAUAAAGUAUGUAAGGCUAUUUGAUUCCAUAUUAAUUUGCAUGAAAUCUGAUAGUUGCGAUUAUACAACAAAGUGAAUCUCCUAAUUUAGAUUACUAGUUAAGGAAACAUAGUGACAAGUACUAUCUCUAAAUAGCUAACAAUUUCCCCCCACUUCUUAGUGCAUAGAACUACUUAUUAUAUGCUCACUAUUCUAUACUUGUGUAAUUACCACCCCAUGUGUUGGUAUAUGAAUGGGCCAAAGCAGGUUUGGUGAAUCCUCCUCUUUGUUAUUUGAAGUCAAUUGUGUCAUUAAGAUCUUAAAAUAAUGUGUUGAUGUUACAUAGCUUCUUGUGUCAUUUUAACUGCCUCGAAGUAUUAUUUUCAUGUCUUCUACUACUAAUAUGCAUUUCUGUCACGACCCAAAUCCGGGCCGCGACUGGCACCAUACUUACCCUCCUAUGUGAGCGACGAACCAACAAUCUAAGCCUUAACAUUUCAAUAUAAUAUUAACAGAAAAUAAUGCGGAAGACUUAAACUCAUAAGAAAAAUCGAAAAUCAACUUCUAUAACUCAAAAACUUAUCAUUACCCCAGAAUCUGGAAGUCAUCAUCACAAGAACAUCUAUAAUCAAAUUACUAAACUAAGAGUAUUCUAAGAAGCUAAAAAUACAUAGGAACUAGUCCAUGGCCGAAGUUCAAGGCACAAGACAACGAAGGAGAAGAUUCCAGUCCCAAGCUAGAAGCGUUAGCUCACCCUGAAGAUCCGUGUGACGAAGACUGGCUUGAGUUACUGUUGAGUCGAAGAUGACGACACAUUUGCUGCGCUCACCAAAUACAUGAAGAAAAACAUAAAAGUAGGGGUCAGUACAAACCACGGUACUUAAGUGAGAUAUCAUCGGUCAACUCAAAAUAGAAAACAGUAUAUAUUAAGCAAAUAUGCAUGAAAUCAACUAAUAUCCUUAACAUGUAGCAACAACAAAUACUAUAUCAUUAACAAUUACCGUCAAGUUCACACAUGAGGACUCAAGCCUCAAUACCAUACUCUUUGGGAAUCAUGUUCAUUAGAUUGAGUAGAUUAACAUCUUUCAAGAUUCAUUAUCUUUAUUCUCUUGGUCGGUACGAGUGACACUCCGCUCCCCUCAAUAUUCUUAAUCCUCUUGUGUCGUACGUGACACUCCGAUCCCCUAAAUCUAUGUGUCGGUUCGUGACACCCCGAUCCCUUAAAUCUAUGUGUCGGUUCGUGACACCCGAUCCCACUAAAUCUACGUGUCGGUUCGUGACACCCGAUCCCUUAAAUCUAUGUGUCGGUUCGUGACACCCGAGCUCCCCUAAAUCUUGUGUCGGUUCGUGACCACCCGAUCCCUUAAAUCUAUGUGUCGGUUGGUGACACCCGAUUCCCUAAAUCUAUGUGUCGGUUCGUGACACCCGAUCCUUAAAUCUUGUGUCAGUUCGUGACACCCGAGUCCCCUAAAGUCACGUGUCGUUCCUGACAACCCGAUUCCCUUAAAUCAAUGUGUCGGUUCGUGUCAACCCGUCCCCUAAAUCUACGUGUCGGUUCAUGACACCCGAUCCCCUAAAUCUAUGUGUCGAUUCGUGACACCCGAUCCCCUAAAUCUACGUGUCGGUUCGUGACACCCGAUCCCUUAAAUCUAUGUGUCGGUUCGUGACACUCGAUCCCCUAAAUCUACGUGUCGGUUCGUGACACCCGAUCCACUAAUAUCAUUCUGUAAAUCAUCAAGCCUUCUCUAUUCUAAGGCAUCAUCAAUCCCAUUACUUUAAUUCAUCAAGCCUUCUUCUUUACCAAGGCAUCAUCAUUAAUAAUGUAUAUUAAAGUUUCUUUUCAAGAUUUGGGAUUCAAUAUUUUCAUCAUGCUUAUCUUAUCACAAUCACAUAAUCAUAUUCAUGCAAACAUACCAUUAAGCAUAUAGUAGGGUUUACAAUACUACCAAUACAUAUCAUUCACUAUUAAGAGUUUACUUAUGAAAGCAUGAAAACCAUAACCUACCUCCACCGAAGAGUUGAAUCAAGCAAGAAUUUUCCCAAAGCAUUGUUUCUCCCUUCUCGUUCGAUUCUCUCUCUCUCUUCUUGUUCUUUCUAUUUUCUUAUUCAAACCCUCUUUAUUUUACCCUAAUUAUCAUAUAAUUAAGUGUAAAAGAUGGCAAUAAUACCCCACUAAUUAACCCAAAGUUACCUCUUUUAUCCCUCAAGAAUUUGAGUUAUUAAUAUUAACCCACGAAAUCCAUAAUUAAGGCAAGAAUAGUCAAAAACGUCCCUUAAAACUUAACCAGAAAUCCGACUCCAACUGGGAUUAUGCAAACUGUGACGGGCCGUCGCGCCUGCGACAGUCCGUCCUGCUGUCCGUCGCAUAGUUCAGAGACCCAAAUUUCCACCAAGGGUCUGUGACGGUCCGUCACACCUGUGACGGUCCGUCCUGCCAUUCUGUAACAAAGUUUAGAGAGUCGAUUUUCAGUACCCAAUUUCAGAUUUUCUAAGUGUUUUGAAACGAGACCCUGCGACGGUCCGUCGUGCCCAUGACGUUCUGUCGUGGGGUCCGUCGCUUCUGCCAGUUUUUCCAGAAUUGAAGUCUGUUGCUCAAAACGACUUAACGGGUCGUUACAUUAGAUACCAAUUUACCCACCGUUCGUCCCCGAAUGAUCAAAAGAAGGAAAACAAGGGCGAAAAGGAGUACCUGAAUCUGUAAACAGAUUUGGGUAUUUUUCUUGCAUAUCCGCCUUCUUCUCCCAAGUGGCUUCUUCAAUGGGUCGAUUCUUCCAUUGCACCUUGAUGGAUGCAAUCUCUCUUGACCUCAACUUGCGAACUUCUCUAUCUAAGAUAGCGAUAGGCUCCUCCUCAUAAGAAAAGUUCCCAUCAAGCAAGACUGAAUCCCAACGGAUAAUGUAGUUUCCAUCCCCAUGGUAUCUUUUCAACAUCGACACAUGGAAUACCAGAUGUACUCUGGACAGCCCUGGAGGCAAGGCUAACUCAUAAGCCACCUCUCCUACUCGCUUAAGUACUUCAAAUGGUCCAAUGUACCUUGGACUUAGUUUACCCCUUUUACCAAACCGCAUCACCCCUUUCAUUGGUGAAACUUUCAACAAGACUUGUUCACCCUCCAUGAACGCUAAGUCUCUAACCUUUUGAUCUGCAUAUUCUUUUUGUCUACUUUGCGCCGCUAGAAGCUUUUCUUGAAUAGACCUCACUUUUUCCAUCGAAUCCCUCAAGAGAUUAGUACCCCAAGGUCUGACCUCGAACGCAUCAAACCAACCAAUGGGAGACCUACAUCUCCUACCAUACAAUGCUUCAAAUGGGGCCAUAUCAAUGCUUGAGUGAUAGCUAUUAUUGUAUGAAAACUCUGCUAAGGGUAGGAAGCUAUCCCAAUGACCACCAAACUCUAUCACACAUGCACGAAGCAUAUCCUCCAACACUUGAAUCGUUCGCUCAGACUGACCAUCGGUCUGGGGAUGGAACGCAGUACUAAGGUCCAACCUAGUACCCAAUUCUGCAUGCAAUGUUUUCCAAAACAUAGAAGUAAACUAUGUACCUCUAUCUGAUAUGAUGGAUAGUGGAACCCCAUGCAAUCGAACGAUUUCUAAGAUAUAGAUCUUGGCUAACUUCUCGGCAUUGUAAGUCACCUUAACCGGAAUAAAAUGAGCAGAUUUAGUUAACCUAUCAACAAUCACCCAAAUGGAGUCACACUUACCCAUUGUCUUCGGAAGACCAACCACAAAAUCCAUUGCAAUUCUUUCCCACUUCCAUUUCGGAAUGGGCAUUCUCUGAAGUGUUCCUCCGGGCCUUUGGUGUUCAUACUUUACUUGUUGACAGUUUGGACACUUGGCAAUAAAGUCAACAAUAUCACGCUUCAUUCUACUCCACCAAAAGUGCUGCUUUAGGUCACGGUACAUCUUGGUUGCACCCGGAUGUAUCGAAUACUUUGAACUAUGAGCCUCUGUCAGAAUAGUGUUAAUCAAAUCAUCAACUCGGGGUACACAUACCCUUCCCUUGAUUCUCAAAACACCUUCCUCAUCGAUUUGUGCUUCCUUAGCCUCUCCUUUCAAAACUUUAUCGCGGAUCCGGAUCAAUUUUUCAUCAUUAAACUGUUCUCCCUUAAUCUUGUCAAGAAAGGAAGAUCUUGCCUCCACAGAAGCAAACAAUCCUCCCCUCUCAUUUACUUCUAAUCUCAUCAAGUCAUUAGCUAGAGUUUGAACCUCUCUAGCAAGUGGGCGUCUAGAAGCUUGCAAGUGAGCUAGGCUUCCCAUGCUUCCCGCCUUUCUACUUAAAGCAUCCGCUACAACAUUCGCCCUUCCCGGAUGAUACAAGAUAGUGAUAUCGUAGUCCUUUAGUAACUCCAUCCAUCUCCUCUGUCUUAAGUUCAAAUCUUUUUGAGUAAAGACAUACUGAAGGCUACGAUGAUCCGUAUAGAUCUCACACUUAACCCCAUAUAAAUAGUGUCUCCAUUGCUUUAAUGCAAACACUACCGUGGCCAAUUCCAAAUCGUGGGUCGGAUAGUUACGUUCAUGCACUUUUAAUUGUCUCGAAGCAUAAGCAAUCACAUUCUUCUCUUGCAUUAGCACUGCACCCAAACCAGAAUAGGAUGCAUCACAAUAAACAAUGAAGUUCUUACCCUCUAUGGGCAAGGUGAGAAUGGGUGCGGUAGUCAACAAAGUCUUGAGCUUCUGAAAGCUUUCCUCACACUCAUCCGACCAUACAAAUGUAACAUUUUGCAUAGUCAAGUUCGUCAGUUGGGAAGCAAUAGAAGAGAAUCCCUUGACAAAUCGACGGUAGUAGCUAGCUAAUCCAACAAAGCUCCUUAUUUCUGACACAUUAGUAGGUCUUACCCAAUACUUCACUGUCUCAAUCUUAGAAGGAUCCACCAUCACUCCAUCCUUAGAAACCACGUGCCCCAAGAAGGACACUGCAUCUAGCAAAAACUCACACUUAGAGAACUUGGCAUAAAGCUUUUUCUCCCUUAACAUUUCCAAUACCAUUCUUAAAUGCUCUUCAUGUUCCUUCUUGCUCUUUGAGUAUACCAAUAUAUCAUCGAUAAAUACGAUCACGAAGAGGUCCAAAUAUGGCUUAAAAAUCCCGUUCAUCAAGCUCAUGAACGCAGCAGGGGCAUUCGUAAGACCAAAGGACAUCACUACAAAUUCGUAAUGCCCAUACCUCGUUUUAAAAGCAGUCUUUGGCACAUCCGUUGCCCGUAUUUUCAAUUGAUGAUAACCGGAUCUCAAGUCAAUCUUAGAGAAGACACAAGCACCUUGUAACUGAUCGAACAAGUCAUCAAUGCGGGGAAGAGGAUACUUGUUCUUUAUGGUUACCUUGUUUAGUUUUCUGUAGUCUAUACACAUUCAAAAACUCCCAUCCUUCUUCUUUACAAACAAAACCGGAGCACCCCAAGGAGAUGCACUUGGUCUAAUAAAGCCUUUGUUCAAUAACUCUUGAAGUUGUGCCUUUAACUCUCUUAACUCCGCGGGAGCCAUUCUAUAAGGGGGUAUAGAAAUGGGGCGUGUGUCCGGUUCGAGAUCAAUACAGAAGUCAAUAUCCCUAUCCGGUGGCAUACCAGGAAGAUCUGCAGGGAACACAUCCAGAAACUCACAAACUACUGGAAUCGACUCAACCGAAGGUACUUGGGUAGUGUCAUCCUUGAGAUGUGCCAAGAAAGCUAAGCACCCUUUACUAACCAUUUUCUUAGCACGAAGAAAGGAGAUGAUACGUACCGGAUUGGAAGUGUAGUCACCCUCCCACACUAACGGGUCUGUCCCAGGCUUGCCUAACGUCACCGUUUUAGCAUUACAAUCCAAGAUUGCAAAUUACGGAGAAAGCCAAGUCAUACCCAGAAUCACAUCAAAAUCAUCCAUUUUUAAGAUAACCAAAUCUACAUAAGUGUUGCUCCCCACAAAGUUUACCAAACAAGACCUAUAUACCUUUUCAACUACCACAUCCUCCAGAAUAACGGCCUCUACCAUGACCACCUCUACCUCUAGCUAUUGGAGGUAUAUAACUUGGUCCGGGACAAUUUCUCCUAAUAUGUCCAAUCUCCCCACAUCCAUAGCACUCUCUGGGUUCAUGCAUAGGUCUCUCAGAGAAGUGUUGACCGGUCGGAGGUGGACCCCCAACUACAGUCUGUAGUGAAGACUGAAUGGGUCGAACUGCGUAACUUCCCGAACCCUGUCCUUUAGUGUAAGAACCAUUAAAGUGACCUCCCUUCGAAACCUUUUUGAUGUCGAUGUUGUGGUGAAGUCGUCUGGCUUCACUCCUUCCACUUCUAUCACAAAGUCUACCACUUCUUGGAAGGAUUUUGCCGUUGCCGCUAUCUGUAAGGCCGAAAUCCGCAAUUCUGACCUCAACCCCUUCACAAACCGGCGAAUCCGCUCUUGAGGACUGAAACAGAGUUGAGUGGCAUAUCUGGAUAGUGCACGAAACUUAGCCUCAUAAGCAUUAACUGACAUCCUACCUUGCUCUAGGCUCAAGAACUCAUCCCUUUUCCUAUCCCUCAAAGUCCGGGGGAUAUACUUCUCCAUAAACAAACUAGAGAAUGAGGCCCAAAUCAUAGGUGGUGCCUCUAUUGGUUGACACUCGAUAUGUGACCGCCACCACAUUUUGGCGUUCCCUUGAAACUGAUAAGUCACAAACUCCACACCAAACCAUUCUACUAUACCCAUCUUGUGUAGUAGCUCGUGACAGUCAAGCAGAAAAUCAUAAGCAUCCUCCGAUUCAGCACCCUUGAAGACCGGAGAUUUCAAUUUCAAGAACUUACUGAAAAGUUCAUGCUGAUCAUUUGUCAUUAUAGGCCCAGUAGUCAAACGUGGAAAUGUGCCUAUGUCCAAUGGAACAUCUAUGCUGGGAGCCAUAGUAGCCGCAUGUUGUACUUCUGAAACCGGAGGUGUUGGCGCAGAAAACACUGGAGGUGCUUGACCUUGAUAAGCUAACCCGCUAAGAUAAGCCAGAACCUGAUUGAUCAUCUCUGGGGUAGGUUGGGGUGGCAUUUCCUCAUUUUGCACUUGUUCAGUUUCCCCAUCCUCCCCUUCUCUUAUUACUACCUCAGUCGGUGGAGGUGUCACUACCCUAGUAUCAGAUGGGCUAGGUGUUCGUCCUCUUCCCCUAGAGGACGUCCUCCCACGACCUCUUCCACGACCCCUCGCCGCUGUUCUUCCUCGAGCCACAGCCCCAGUGGCUGGCUAAGACGCUUCUUGUCUUGCCGAUGUUAGUGUUGGCGCAGUCGUUGCUCUAGUUCUAACCAUCCGCGAAAGAGAGUGAAGAUGGUCAGAUACCAAUUCGUAUAGCCUAGAUACCAAUUGGACUCAAGUAGUAGCACGAAGGAAAGAAUGAAAGAGUGAAAUUUUUCCUAAAGUCUUAUAGCCUCUCAAGGAAAAGUAAAGGCGUCCCCCUACCGUUCCUUAAGACUCUACUAGACCUGUUCUUGUGUGAUGAGACCAACGAACCUAAUGCUCUGAUACCAAGUUUGUCACGACCCAAAUCCGGGCCGCGACUGGCACCCACACUUACCCUCCUAUGUGAGCGAACCAACCAAUCUAAGCCUUAACAUUUCAAUAUAAUAUUAACAGAAAAUAAUGCGGAAGACUUAAACUCAUAAGAAAAAUCGAAAAUCAACUUCUAUAACUCAAAAACUUAUCAUUAUGCCCAGAAUCUGGAAGUCAUCAUCACAAGAACAUCUAUAAUCAAAUUACUAAACUAAGAGUAUUCUAAGAAGCUAAAAAUACAUAGGAAGCUAGUCCAUGCCGGAAGUUCAAGGCAUCAAGACACGAAGGAGAAGAUCCAGUCCAAGCUAGAAGCGUUAGCUCACCCUGAAGAUCCGGUGUGACGAAGACUGGCUUGAGUUACUGUUAUGUCGAAGAUGACGGCACGUUUGCUGCGCUCCACAUAUAACAAGAAGAAAAACAUAAAAGUAGGGGUCAGUACAAACCACGGGUACUGAGUAGAUAUCAUCGGUCAACUCAAAAUAGAAAACAGUAUAUAUUAAGCAAUAUCAUAAAAUCAACUAAUAUCCUUAACAUGUAGCAACAACAAAUACUAUAUCAUUAACAAUUACCGUCAAGUUCACACAUGAGGACUCAAGCCUCAAUACCAUACUCAUUUGGGAAUCAUGUUCAUUAGAUUUAGUAUAUUAACAUCUUUCAAGAUUCAUUAUCUUUAUUUCUCUUGUGUCGGUACGUGACACUCCGCUCCCUCAAUAUUCAUUAAUCCUCUUGUGUCGGUACGUGACACUCUGAUCCCCUAAAUCUAUGUGUCGGUUCGUGACACCCGAUCCCUUAAAUCUAUGUGUCGGUUCGUGACACCCGAUCCCCUAAAUCUACAUGUCGGUUCGUGACACCCGAUCCCUUAAAUCUAUGUGUCGGUUCGUGACACCCGAUCCCCUAAAUCUAUGUGUCGGUUCGUGACACCCGAUCCCCUAAAUCUACAUGUCGGUUCGUGACACCCGAUCCCUUAAAUCUAUGUGUCGGUUCGUGACACCCGAUCCCCUAAAUCUAUGUGUCGGUUCGUGACACACGAUCCCCUAAAUCUACGUGUCGGUUCGUGACACCCGAUCCACUAAUAUCAUUCUGUAAAUCAUCAAGCCUUCUCUAUUCUAAGGCAUCAUCAAUCCCAUUACUUUAAUUCAUCAAGCCUUCUUCUUUACCAAGGCAUCAUCAUUAAUAAUGUAUAUUAAAGUUUCUUUUCAAGAUUUGGGAUUCAAUAUUUUCAUCAAGCUUAUCUUAUCACAAUCACAUAAUCAUAUUCAUGCAAACAUACUAUUAAGCAUAUAGUAGGGUUUACAAUACUACCAAUACAUGUCAUUCACUAUUAAGAGUUUACUUAUGAAAGCAUGAAAACCAUAACCUACCUCCACCGAAGAGUUGAAUCAAGCAAGAAUUUUCCCAAAGCUUUGUUUCUCCCUUCUCGUUCGAUUCUCUCUCUCUUCUUGUUCUUUCUAUUUUCUUAUUCAAACCCUCUUUCUUUUACCCUAAUUAUCAUAUAAUUAAGUGUAAAAGAUGGCAAUAAUACCCCACUAAUUAACCCAAAGUUACCUCUUUUAUCCCUCAAGAAUUUGAGUUAUUAAUAUAAACCCACGAAAUCCAUAAUUAAGGCAAGAAUAAUCAAAAACGUCCCUUAAAACUUAACCAGAAAUCCGACUCCAACUGGGAUUAUGCAAACUGUGACGGGCCGUCGCGCCUGCGACGGUCCGUCCUGCUGUCCGUCGCAUAGUUCAGAGACCCAAAUUUCCACCAAGGGUCUGUGACGGUCCGUCACACCUGUGACGGUCCGUCCUGCCAUUCCGUCACAAAGUUCAGAGAGUCGAUUUUCAGUACCCAAUUUCAGAUUUUCUAAGUGUUUUGAAACGAGACCCUGCGACGGUCUGUCGUGCCCAUGACGUUCCGUCGUGGGGUCCGUCGCUUCUGCCAGUUUUUCUAGAAUUGAAGUCUGUUGCUCAAAACGACUAAACGGGUCGUUACAAUUUCCAUACCUCAAAAAUGAUUAUGACCACCAAAGCAUCUCAAAAGAGUUAUGAUUAUCUACAUAUCAACGCAAAAGAGUUAUGAAGUGAUAAAAACAAUCUCAAAGAUUAAUGAAUCGAUGUGAAGAAAUAUGUACAAUUACGGGUGGAAACCCAACGGUUAAAGUCUAGCAUGGGUAGAUCCCAACUUGUACAUAAAGGUGGUGUUAUCACAUCGCCAUACCACACCCUAGAAGAUAUGGCACUCUUGGAGUGCAACCGGCAAACUUGAUCUCUCUGAGGGUGGUGUAGCUAAUGAGAGGAUCACUCUCCUUGACCAUGUUAUAUUGUUUGCCUAGAGGAGGAAGAGAAUGUGGAGGUUCCCCUUCAACAAUCUCAACUUCCUUCGGAACCCAAAGGACCUCAAGUGCCUCCUACGCAUCAAGCUUGUUUUGUUGAGGGUAAUAUUACUAAUGCAAAGUUGCGGGCUGCACUAAGACCCAAGUCAUGAUGGCUCAAGAUCAUGUUGUCAACAAUAAGUUUGUGGGCCAACAUAACGAAGGAGAUAGGCCUCAACCAAAUGUUAGUGCUCUCGCCUCUACGUUUCAGGAUUACAUGAGCAUGAACCCUCCUACUUUUCAUGGAACUAAGGUGGAUGAAUAUCCACAAGGUUUCAUAGAUGAGGUUUUCAAAGUGGCAGAUGCUAUGGGUGGUGACCCCUAGGUAAAGAGAGGAGUUAGCCGCUUACCAACUUAAGAAGGUGGAUCAAGUGUGGUUUGAGCAAUGUAAGAGUGAGAGACCCCUAGAAAGAGAGUAGGUUGAUUGGGAAUAAUUCAAAGAGGCUUUUUUAGAUGGGUUUUUUCUCCUAGAGUUGAGGGAGAAGAAGAUGGUGAAUUCAUGAACCUUCUUCAAGGUAGAAUGAGUGUGCAAGAUUACUCUCUCAAAUUCACCCAACUCUCCAAGUAUGACCCAACCAUGGUAGCCAUUCCUAGGGCUAAGAUGAAUAAGUUUGUGAUUGGGCUAUUGAUAUUGGUAGAAAAAGAGUGUCGUAUGGCAAUGAUUCUUAAUGGUAUGGAUAUAUCUAGGCUCAUGGUUUAGGCGCAACAAAUUGAGGGAUAAAAAAUUAUGAAGAAAAUGCAACAGGGUAAAAAACCUAGAUCGGAUGAUUCUAGUCACCAAAGGACUAUGAAUAGGUUUUAUCUCAAUAUUCUUCCAUGGGAAACAAGGAUAAGUCUCAAAAUCAACAUUCUCAAGGUGGUGGUCAUUCCUAUGAAAGGGCUAGGAGCCGUAAUUGUGGAAAGAAACAUGAGGGUAAGUAUCUUGCUGGAACGGAUGGUUGUUUUGCAUGUGGUAAUAAGGGCCACAAUAUGAGGGACUGCACGAACCUCAAAUCAAGGGGGAACGAUGUCAAUCAAGCUUCCCGAGAUUCUAUUUCUCUCAAGAAGAACCCUUCAUAUGGGAUGGGGGCUAGGAAGGAUAAUUAAUCCAGAUUAAAUGGUUUUUGUAAGUCUUAAAUCUUUGUUAUUUUUGCUUUUAUAUUAUGAAGUAAGUUAAUGUUGUUUUAUAGUUAAUAUGAUCAUGUCAUAUUGAUGAAUUGCUUAAGAAAAAAAUUUCUAAAAUUUUGGUAGGCUUGUCAGUGAACUUUACUGUAAGAGUUUUGACUUUUGAGAAAAAUUCUAUUGUCUUGAAUUGAAGUUUCAAUGUGUGUAAAAUUAUUGUGUUUGAGCAUUUUUAAUGUUAGGUAAGGUAGUUUCUCCAUAAAAUAAGACUAAAGUGAAUUUUGACUUCUUAAAGUUUUGAUAACAGUGUUUGUGUCGCUAAGUGUUUGAAAGUGUGAAAGGAUGCUCUUUGUUAGUUUAUGCUUUGAUUUUGUUGUUUUUUUUAUCAGUAUUGAAGUGUUUUAUGUGAUACUAAGUGAGUCCUUGUUAUUCUUAAAAUUUAAGUGUCAUUCGAGGACAAAUGUUAUUCCAAGUGGGGGAGAAUGUAACGCCCCAAAACAAUUUAGGGUGAACUAGGACCUCGUGGUUGUUCCUUGAGUUUAUAUUAAUUUAUACUAAGUUAAUUUAGUGUCCUUAUUCUGUGUAUGAUGUUUGGAGUAUGAUUGACCAAGAACGUCCAUGACGUUCGGAAAGUAUGCCUUAAAAUGUAGUAGUGUGUCUUGUUGUGUUUAGACGAGUUUUACCUGGUUGGUUUACUUAAAACAUGCAUUGGAUUUUCCUAAGACAUAGACGACUUAGUUUAUAAGUUUAACAUCCAGAUAAUACCUCACCUUGGACCCACAAGGGGUCCAAUAUGAAGGGCCCAAGACUUGGGUAAAAUCUGCCAAAAAGCAGUGGCCAUCGAUGACACCUAUGGACGGUCCGUUGGUCCCUCAACGGUCAGUCGACCUAGGGCAUCAAUUGGAUAAGUGAGUUCAGUUGUCCAUGCUCCAUUUGGAGCUAAGUAUCGACCAACCUAAAACUACCAACGGUCAGUUGGCUCAAUGACGGUCCAUUGGUGAAGGUUCGUCUGUGAGGCCUGCGAAGUCUGUGAAGUUGCUGCCAACUUGGGGUAUUUUAUGUAAAAACACCCCAAGUAUUUUAAGACCAUAUGUUGUUAUUUUUGUGUUUUUAGGUUAUAUUAAAUAAGUUGUAAACCCUAGACCUAGAUAGACCCCUCACCUCUAAAAUUCAAACUCUCUCUAAAGACAAACUCUCUCAAGAACACCAUUGAAUCCAAGACUCAAGGAGGGAAAGAAGGGAUGCUUUUGAACGUGAAUCUUCACCAACAUUAGUGUGUUACCUUAUAUUUGAGUUAUGGUAUCCAUCCUUUAACCCCCUUCAAUUUAAGGAGUCAUUUGCAAAAGAUUUUCAAAAGGGUUUUCAAACACAAAAUUCUCGAGUCUUUGAUUUUAAGUUUGGGUCUUACUGUAAUAGUGUUCUUAUGUUUUAAAUGUGUUUUUUCUUGUAUAAAUUGAAGAUUAUAAUGUUAAAAACCUAAUGAACUUAUGUUUAUGCAUAUUUAAAAUUUUAGUGUGGGAAAUGGGCUAUAUGAGCAUAUUUGGGUAUAUGAACUUUGGUUAUCCUCUGUGAGUAUGUUGAUUUAACUACUGCCCUAGGAGUCUUAUUUUGAUGAAAGUAUGAUAACAUGAUUAUAGGUUAUUAUGGCUUGGUUAAAUGGCAAGUUUCUUACAUUGUAUAGUUUUAAUUAUAAUUGAUCUUGAGUGGUAUUGUCCACCUUCUUAGAGGCGGUGUUUACAUAAUGAAUUUGAUGCUAUUUAGUAUGCAUUGUGAAUGUUGUUUUGGAAGGUGUUAUUGAAGAAAUGGAUUAACAUUGAAGAUUAGCCUUGUCUUAUGUUUUGUGAUGUUUAAUUGCAUGUUUGAAUUGUAUUAUAAGUGAAGUACAUGAAUAUGUGAAGUAUAUAAGGUGUGUGAAUUGAUGAAUGAUGGUAUAAAGCAUGUCUACAAGUUAAUAAGAAUGAAAUGACGUUUAUGUGCAAGGUGUGCUCGAAUGUACACACACACUCACACUUAAAAGAAUUUAUGAUGCUAAGUUGAGAAAAGGGGAGCAUUCGGGUGGAUACUCUCUUCGUGAGGUGAGAUGAUGUGUCUAGUCACAACCCCAUUAUCCCUAAUCAUAUUUCCAAGAUAGGUUGGAGAAUAAUGUCCUUCGUGAUUUGAGAUGUGGUGUUCACUAGAUAUCCUUAACCUAUAGGUUUGAAUGUUGAGAAAUCCGGAGGGAGUUAUGCCUAGCACCGAGAGAAUACGAAGGAGAGGUGGAUUACACUUACUGAGUUUAGAUGUCGUAUUUCCAAUGUAACUCUUGAGAUAAUUACUCCUCGUUAGUAGAGAAUGAGUUACUCAGUAGCAAUCUCCUUAUUCCUUAACUAUGUGACCACAUAGGUGUACGUAUUGUGAAAUAGAUGUAAAAGCUAAGAAGCAUGACCUUACUCUAGGCAACUGAGGAGCUUUCAUCCGAUACGGGUUAAUAUCAGGAUUCAAUGUCUAGAUAUCAUGGUGUAUGUUGGUUAAGCUAAUCCCCCACAAAUAAUUGAAUGAGCUCAGUCUUCUAAAAGAAUGUAUUAGUUAGUGUGGGUGGUUGUAUGGGACGUUAUCUACUCAUUGCACUAGGUAGAACCUUUCGAAAGGGAAGCUCGGUGCCAAACCUUCUAAAAGAAUGUACUACGUAGGGAAGGUGGUGGUAUGGGACGUUAUCUACUCAUUGCACUAUGUAGGCAGCCCGAAAGAUAAGACUUUGGUGGUUUUCUGGGUGUCUUAUAAUAUCUUUCCAUUGAUUUAGGGUCUUGUUACUCCCUAGUUGAGAAAGUCGAAAAGGGUAGUUUUGAGGGUUUCUUUGGAGUGUAUUGGUGGAGGCAUAUGCAUACUUCCUUCAUAUCUUACCUUAGUGAGUCUUAAGAUAUUUCUGAGGUAGGGAAACUCUUAAGGAAAAUGAGUUCAUUUUCUCUGUCGCUUAUCCUUGAAUGUUCAAUCAUUGUGUAGGAUAGUUCAUUAUAAUUGCUCAAGUAAACUUUAUUUGUAAUGCUGUAAAUGAAUAUUUGUCAAUGUUCAAAUGUAUUUACGUUGGUUUAUUGUGAUGUUUCUUGUAGGCUUAAAAUUAUGUAAAUUCUUAUCUAAGUUUAAAUGAUGGUUAGUAUGAUGUUUUGCCUUUGUGUUCAUGAAUGUUUUACUUAAAUUGCAUGAAAAGAUAUUCUACUAAAAUUUCCCUUUUAACAUGUUUUUGCAUAUGCCAUACUAAGUACAAUGUUUUGUACUAACCCUAUACUUUUCUAUACUAUAUAAGUAUAGGUUGGAAGCUUUUGAAGGUUUGAAGGCUAGAAGGAAGAGCUUGGGAAAGAUUCUCUCAACGCAAAGUAUGUCCUCAUAUAUUCAAGGGCAUAGUCCUCUUUUUACUUUUUAUGUAAAGAAUGUUAUGCAUUUUACUUUAUUCUAGAGUUCCAUCUCCCUAACAUAUCAUGUCGUGUCUUUAAGUUUGCUUGUGAUGCCGAGAUUCUUUAACUAUUUUUUAAAGAUUGUCUUUUAAUAAUUAUUCGUGAAAAGUUUUUAAUUUCCGCUCUACUUUUAAUGUUUUAUGUGAUGAAUUAUAGUAAAGGGCUUGUACAAGAUCCCAAAAGGUCAAGUACGCCCGGUCCCAAAAUGAGGGUUCUCCCUAACUUCUAGGGAGUUCUUUCGGGUUGUGACAAACUUGGGGGAUAGGAAGGAUAAAUAAUCUAGAUUUGAUGGUUUUGGUAAGUCUUAUAUAAUUGUUAUUGUUGCUUUUAUGUUAUGAAGUAUGUUUAUGUGGUGUUAUAUUUAAUAUGAUCAUGUCAUCUUGAUGAAUUGCUUCAGGAAUGAAUUUUCAAAAAUUUUGGUAGGCUUGUUAGUGAACACAGUUAACUUCACUGUAAGAAUUUUUACUUCUAAGAAAAAUUGUGUAGUGUUGAAUUUAAGUUUCAACGUGGAUAAAAUUAUUGUGUAUGAGCAUGGUUAAUUUUGGGUAAGGCAGUUCCUCCCUAAAAUAAGACUAAAGUGAAUUUUGACUUCUUGAAGUUUUGAUAAAAGAGUUUGUGUUGCUAAGUGUUUGAAAGUGGCAAGGAUGAUCUUUUUUCGAUUAAGCUUUGAUUUUUGAGAUUUUUUUUUCUUUAUUGAAGUGUGUUAUGUGAUGCUAAGUGAGUCCUUGUUAUUCCUAAAGUUUGUCAUUCGAGAACGAAUGUUAUUCCAAGUGGGGGAGAAUAUAACGCCCCAAAACGAAUUAAGGUGAACUAGAGCCUUGUGAUUGUUUCAAAAGUUGAUUUUAAGUUAAACUCAUUUAGUUUAGCUUCCUUUGGCAGUGCGUAAAUUUUGGAGUUCAAUCGACCUAGAAUGUCCAUGACAUUCGGGAAAGUAUAGCUUAGUAUGUACUAGUGUGUCUUGUUGUGUUUAGAUAAGUUUACGUAAUACUUGAAACUUGCAUUAGAUGUUCCUAAGACAUAGACGACUUAGUUUAGGAGUUUAAAGUCCGUGCACAACCCCACCUAGGACCUACAAGGGGCCCUAGAUGAAGGGCCCAAGACUUGGGCAUAAUCUGCCAAAAAGCAGUGGCCAUCGAGACCCUAAGGACGGUCAGUUUGUCCCUCAACGGUCCGUCGACCUAGGGAAUCGAUUGUACCAGUGAUUUAAGUUAUCCAUUCCCCAUUUGGAGGUAUAUAUCCACAAACAAGACCCUACUUAUGGUCCGUUGGCUCAACGAUGGUCCGUUGAUGAAGUUUCAUCGGUGAGUUCUUCCAAGUCUGUGAAGUUGCUGCCAACUUGGGGUGUUUUACGUAAAUGUACCCCAAGUCUUUUAAUACCCUAGGUGGAUAAUUUUAGUUUUUUAAGUUUAUAUUAAAGUAUUUUUAAACCCUAGAGCUAGACAACACCCCUCACCUCUAAAAUUCAAACUCUCUAAAGACAAACUCUCUCAAAGUCACCAUUAAAGACAAGACUAAAAGAGAGAAAGAAGGGAUUCUUUUGGACAUGAAUCUUCACCAAAAUUAGUGGGUUUCCUUGUAUUUUAGGUAUGGUAUACAUCCUUGAAUACCAUUCCAUUCAAGGAUUCAUUUCCAAAAGAUUUCAUAAAAGGGUUUUCAAACUCUAAAUUCUCAUAUCAUUGAUUUUAAGUAUGGGACUUCUUGUAAUAGUGUUGCAUUGUUGUAAAAUGUGUUUAUUCUUGUAUGAAUUUAUGAUUUUCAUGUUAAAAACCUAAUGAACUUAUGUUUAUGCAUAUUUCAACAUGUAGAUUGGAAAAUGGGUUAUAUGAGCGUGUUUGGGUAAGGUAUGAACUUUGGUUUUCUGGUAUGAAUAUGUUGAUUUAGCUACUGCCCUAAGAGUCUUAUUUUGGCUUGUUUAAAUGGAAAGUUGCUUACAAUGUAAAGUUUUCAUUAUAAUUUCUCUUAAGUGGUAUGGUUAACCUUCUUGGUGGCGGUGUUUACUUGAUGAAUUUGAUGUCAUUUAGUAUGUAUUGUUAAUGUUGUUUUGAAUGUCUAAUAGAUUAAAUGGAUUAACAUUGAGGAUUAGCAUUGUCUAAUGUUUUCUGAAGUUGAAUAACAUGUUUGAAUUGUAUUAUGUCUAAGUGAAGUACAUGAAUAUGUGAAGUAUAUAAGAUGUUUGAAUUGAUGAAUGAAGGUAUAAAGCAUGUGUAGAAGUUAAUAAGAAUGAAAUGACGUUUAUGUGCAAGGUAUGCUCACAUGGACACACACACUUACACUUAACAGAAUGUAUGAUGCUAAGUUGAGAAAAGGGGAGUAUUACGGUGGACACUAUUUGUGAGUUGACAUGAGGUGUCUAGUAGAAACCUCAUUAUUCCUUAUGAGCUUUCCAAGAUAUGUUGGAGAAUAAUUCCCUUCGUGAGUUUAGAUGUAGUGUUCACUAUAUAUCCUUAACCUAUAGGUUUAUAUGUUAAGAAAUUCGUGGGAUGUAAUGCCUAACACCGAGAGAAUAUGUAGGAGAGGUUGAUUACACUUCGUGAAAUUAGAUGUUUUAAUUCCAAAGUACCUCUUGAAAUGAGUACUACUAGUUAGUAUAGAAUUAGUUACUUAGCAGAAAUCUCCUUAUGCCUUAACUAUGUGUCCACAUAGGUGUAACAAUUGGGAAAGCCACGUAAAAGCUAAGAAGCAUGACCUUAGACUAGGAAAGUGAGGAUCCCUCAUCCGAUGAGGGUUAAUAUCGGGAUUCCAUAUCAAGCUCUCAUGGUCUAUGUAGGUUAAGCUAAUCCCCACAAAGAAUUUAUUGAAUUAAGUCUUCUAAAAGAACGUACUACUUAGGGUAGGUGGUGGUAUGAGACACUAUCUACUAAUUGCAAUAGGUAGGACUUUCCGAAAGGGAAUACUUGGUUCCAAACCUUCUAAAAUAAGAUACUACUUAGGGUAGGUGGUGGUAUGGGACACUAUCUACUCAUUGCACUAACUAGGCAUCCAAAAAGGGAAGACUUUGGUGGUUUGUUGGGUGUGUUUUAAGGUGUUUCCAUUGAUUGAGGGGCUUGUUUCUCCCUUGUUUAGUAAGCCAAAACGUGUAGUCUUGAGGGUUGCUUUAGUGUGUAUUGGAGGAGGCAUAUGUAUACUUCUGUCAUAUCUUAUCUUAGUGAUUCUUAGGCUAAUUCUGAGAUGGGGAAACUCUUAAGGAAAAUGAGUUCACUUUAUCCUUUUCUCGGAUUUGGAAGUUCACUCAAUUAAUGUAGGAUAGUUCAUUGUAAUUGCUACAGUUGAAUUUAUUGUGAAUGCUUUAAAUGAUUCAUUGUCAAUGUUCAAAUGUAUUUACUGUAAAUACUUAAGGAGUUCACUAUGAAGGUCAAGUUUGUUUACUGUAAUGUUUUUUGUUGGCUUAAAAUUAUUGGAAUUCUAUCUAAGUAGUAAAUGAUGGUGAGUAUGAUCUUUCUCCUUUGUAUUUAUGAAUGUUUUACUUUAAUUGCAUGAAAUGAUAUUUUACUAAAAUGUUUGUUUUAACAUGUUUUUGCGUAUACCAUACUUAGUAAAAAUUUUUUGUUUUAUUUCCAUAAUUUUCUAUACUAUAUAUGUAUAGGUUAAGAAGCUUUUGAAGGUUAGAAGGCUAGAAGGAAGAGAUUGGGAAAGUUCCUCUCAAGGCAAUGUAUGUCCUCAUAUAUUCGAGGGAAUUGUCCUUUUCUUAUUUUUUAUUUAAAGACUUGUUGUGAAUUUUAUUUUAUUGUAGAAGGCCAUGUCCCUAUGAUAUUAUGUGGUUUAUUUAAGUUGGCUUGACGACGAGAUCCUUUAAGUUUUAAUUAAAGAUUAUCUUUUAUUUAUUAUUGGUAAAAGUUUUUCAUAUCCGCACUACAUUUCAUUUCUUAUGUGAUGAACGAUAGUUAAGGGAUUGUACAAGACCCUAGAGGGUCAAGUACGCCCGGUCACGAAACGAGGAUUCUCCCUACGUUCUAGGGGGUGCUUUCGGGUCGUGACACACUCAUAUCUUUAAUCCAAGGUAAGUGCAGACACUUGGAUUUUUUCUUAAUUAUUCAUGGAUAAUUAAGAAAACAUGUUAUUCAUGCUCAAAUAUACGUACAUAGCACCGCCACCAUAAGUGGAACAUACAAAUCACAACAUAAUUCAAAAUCUAAAUUACAUAAAAUAAAGAGAAUUACUGCAGCAUACAACCAAUCCAUUCUCUCCACUUCUGUCAUAUCUGGGGAGCACCACCUAGAUGUAAAAUGGCGUACUUGACCUCUCAGAGGUCUUAUAAGCCUAUAGUUAUCGUAUAUUGUAUUGAGAUAGUAAAUUUAGUGGAAAAUAUAUAACUUUUCAUAGCACAUCAUAUGCUAUAAACUUUAUUUCACAUAUAUAAAAAUGUCAUAUUACUUACUUAGAACUUAAGUCUCUUUGAAAUCUUAGACUGAACAACAUUACAGUACAUUAGGUAAACAACCGUUAUAACAUAUUAAGUAAAUAUACAAUAUUUAAACACUUUACACUGAAGUCAUAAGUAGGAGAUCGUUGAACUUAAGAAUUCCGUUCAUUGAGCUUAGGAAUAUUCUAUCAAGCUCUUCAUCAUUAAAGACAUCCUUGAAGCAUCCAUAACCUACACUUUAUUUAAAAAGUAGAGAAGAACGGCAUUUAUACAUGAAUGCACAAAGUAUGGCAACCAUGCAAAUACAAGCAUUUAGAAGGUACUUUUUCUUGAAAUCAUGCUUUACGCGUUUUUGAGUAAAUAUUCAUAAAACCUUUAUCCAAUAACAUUUAUAUCAUUCACAUACAUCAUGUAAACAUAUCAAAAGGCCAAACAUUUCAUGAGAUCACAUACAAAAUUUAUUACAUUUUCAAGUCACAAUACAAUGAACUAGUUUUCCCUUAACAGUGAACAAUCUAUCCUUUUACUCAUUAAUAUUCCAUGUAACCCUCUAGUGAUAAUUGGUGCAAUGCAUCACCUUAAGGCCACAAGGAAACAUAUAUAUUAUCUGCACAAGCCAUCACAUAUCAUUAUAUAAGCAUAACAUAUCAAAGACACAGUUAAGCCAAUACCAUACGACUAUUAGAGUAAGUUAUUUACAAUUUCCAUAUAUAUUUACUUCUUUUCAUACUCAUCAUUUUAAGACCUUUUUAAUGACCCCAAUCUUAUUAUACUAGUUGAAAGUACAUAUGAAUCCCCAUAACCCCACACAUACUUAGUAAACCCUUCAUGAGACCAUAAGCCUUACCAUUUAUUUCAUACAUCAACAAGUAAGUGAAGACAACUUCACUCAUGUCAAUACAAGACCUUCAUCAUAUAGUCAUUUAGACCAACAUAGUGCAUAUAAGGAUAAGUUCACAUCAUAUAGACUCAUAAUAUGCAUAUCUUUAUAACAACUAGACAAUUACUACAAUGUCAUUCAUAAAGACAUAACCAUAAUCAUACACAUUAGUUCACCUUUCUAGGACUUCCUAAGAAGCUACUUGUGCAAUGUCUAGAUGAGUUAAUUACUUCCAUUGUCCAUUUUACUUCACGGAAACAGUAGGUUUAACCGACACUAAGACCAUGGGUUAUAGUAAUGGAACUUGGUGUUGUAGAGUCUUAUACAAAGGGAAGGUGUUCUUACCUAGCCUUGGUAGAACAUUAACAUAUAUCCUAGCAACGUAAGUGAAUUCACUUUGCUAUAUCCUAUUUGGGAAGCAUAGUUAUGGAACUAUGAGAUAGGUCUUCCCUCUUCAUACCACUUGGUAAUUGGGGCCUCCUAUUAUGAGAAAACAUGGGUGAACCUUCCUUAAAGGGAAGUCCACACCUCAUGUGGGUCCAUAUGUGAGUAAUCCUAUAAGGGAAGUCAACAAUCGAUAAGAGAUAAAUGGUGAAUCUUCCUCCAAGGGAAGUCAAUACCUCUUAAUGCCAGGUACACUUGGUGCUAAGCUAAGCUCCCUUUAUUGAAAAGCCUUUAAUGCAUUUUACCUUAAACACAGGCUUAGGAUAUUUGAUUCUGAUAUGCUUAUAGAAUACACAAGAACCUAUCUAGUUUUAGAGUAAUCUUGGGCACCCCUCUCAAGGACCCUAUACUUAAUAUAUCAUCAUUCAUGUGUGUGUGUACAUAUAUGUGAGAAAAGCUUUCAAAGAACGCAUAAUUGUCACACGUAUGCAUAUAUCAAUGCAUUAGUCAAUAGAUAUAUCAAUAUGAGCAACCUUUCCAUAUAUACCCACUAAGACUCUAUGUACAUUCUCACUUCAUCAUAUCAUUUAAAUCUUUUACAUAAAAAUGUCCAUAUAUUCAUUUUCAUAUACAUAGAAACAAAACCUAGGAACUUUUCUAUCAAGGUACAUAUGUGCAAUGCAUAGACCAGAUCCCAUACCCUUUCCAACACAAGUACACCUAUCAAGUCAUCCUCGUAAAGAAUAAAUAAAUUACUUCACAUACAUAUACUUUACAUAAUAAUAGUUGACACUAGUGAAUAUGAGAACAACCUUUCAUCAGACACUAUGAUUAUAUAGUACUUGCAAGCAUUGAUGAUGUGUGGGUGUGUGUGUACAUUGGUCAUUAUGAUCACAUAAUGGAUAUAAACAACACAUUGAGGCAGCCACCCUCUUAAUACCACAUUACACAUUAAAAUAUAGACCAUGCAACACAUUUAGCAAAGGAGACAAGUCAACUUUAUGUUACACUUACGACUCCUAGCUUUGGCUAUUAUAUAUUCACCUAGGGGUACAUAGAUAAGGGACUAUUAACCGUUUUAAUUCAUCGAUGGCAUCACCUAUACUUUCCCAUAACAUAAAUAUACACAUUCUUAUACAAUAACCAUACAACCUAAAUCACAACUAGAAUAGGAAAGUAGGCAUAAGCUUCACAUAGUGUAUUCAUCACAAGAACAUAUUAAUAUGUUCAUUAAUUUUCCUUAAAGGAUAUGGUUAACACAUAUAUAAUGAAAAUAAAUUAAACACCGCCACUACAAGUGGACCAUACCACACAAUGCCAUACAAGGCUUCAUUAACUACAAUACUAUAAGGAAAGUAGAGGAGAUAAUCAUUCUUACCAAUUUAUCACAAUUUUAUCAUCAUAGAUCAAUACACCGUGUUUACCAAAAGUUAAUGUAUAUAGGGCAGUACUUAAAGGUAUACUAUCUUAAUUGUAAAUCAUACAUUAAUCAUAACAACAUUGAGAUCAUAUUAAUCUACUACAUCAUAAAUUUAUAGAAUGUGAAGGGAAGUUGAUCUCUUAUCAAUUUUUUCUCACUUUAAUUGUCAAUUAGUCAUGCUCACAAUAAUUCAAUAAUACACAUAAAAAGGCAGUAGUUAUAGAUGCCAUGGAUUAGACGAAAUCCUACUACAACUUGCCUAGAGGUCCACAGUACAAUGAGCAUAAUGAAAUUAGAACCGAGUGGAAUUACAGAUCGAGUCUUCAAGCAUCAAUGAACAUUGGAUACAAACACAUAAUUCAUCAUUAUACUCUAUAAUAGGAAGUUACAAAAGUAAAAUUAAUCCUAUACAACAUGAUGAACCAAUUACCAUAUAACCGAGAUACAUGGAACUACAUAAGCACUUUGGAGAAUAUAGGAGAACAUAAAUUAAUACUACCUAAUCCUGAAGACUUGAUGGACAUUGGAUCCAUUACAUAUGAUUCUUAAAUAUAUAUGCGUGAUAGGUAGUGGUUAUGAAACAGUUUAACAUAAUCAAUUCCAAUUUAAACAUUAUAAGACCAAUGUUACACUGAAUCAUGAACAUUUCAGCUAGGAAUGUUCCAAUCUUCAUACAUUGAUCCACAAGUAUCCUUUAUAAUCAUUUCACAUAAAUAAAAGUAGGCUUAAGAAAUUAAACAUAAGAGAAUCACAAUUCAACCAUUAACAAACCAUGAUCACAAAGCCCAUGCAAGGACUAAAUUGAUUUAGGAAAGGAACAUGGGUUCAUCAUGCAAUUGGCAGAAAAUCACGUUCAAAUCAAUACAUUAACAUCAGUUAAUCAUGAUUUAACCAUUUAAAACUCUUUUAUAAAGAACCCAUGGAUAUAUUAAAGAAGAAGAACUUUGAUCAUAAAAUCUCUUCUGAAAACUUUGAGAAGAACUUUGAUCAUAAAAUCUCUUCUGAAAACUUUGAGAAGAACUCUCCAAGUUAAAGGUUACUUAGAGAUGAAGGAUAACCAUACAUUUGUCUAUUUGAAAAGCUCUAAAAGUUGAUGAAUAUACCAUAGUAAUACAUGCUCCAAGAUAUUCUUGAGCUUCAUCAACAAUGAAGGCUUCUAGGGAGAAGAUAUUUGGAGGGAAAGGUUUAUUUGGGGUGAAUGGGAUUGGGAAUUGGUCGAUCACGUUUAUAGAUUACUUAUAUACACCCAAAAAUAGGAAAAUAAAUCAAUUAGAGUCAGUUUAGGAUGUUGGGUGAAUUUUCCAUUCACUCCUUUAAUGAAACAAUGUGCAGGCGAUGUUGUAGGUAACCAUCGACGGAUCCAAUCGACAGGGUGUUGGUCCAUCGACGGGACAUUUUGUGCACUCCAUCGAUUGGGUCUGAGGCUUUAAAAUCAACAAGACAUUCCAAGUCCAAGUGACCAUCGACCCCUCCCCAUCAACGGGGCGUCACCCAAUCAACGGAUCAUGCAUUAGUCUCCUCGAUUUACAUUGCCAAGGCAGUGUCUUGACCAGCCAUAGUCCUUCUUGUGGGCCCUUUUGUUGUGCCCUUUUGAAGUCGUACCGGACGUUUCCCAUUUAAAUAAGAAAAUUAAAAAUUUUUAGACAUCCGAAUUAAUUUUCACUUAAAAUAAAUACUUGUAACUCGUCAAAACAUGCAAGGCCCCAUCAAUACACACAUAUGCUUGUGUGAAGUCCGGCUUUCGAACGUCUUGGACGUUUUUUGAUGGUUGACCUCUUAACUUCACGAAACUCCAUAUACUACCAUUAAAAAUCAUCAUAAAUUAUUUUAAGACUUCAUAAUCUCAUUUCAUACACAUAUAAGCACGUAUAGACACAUUGAGGCACAUUCGCGACUAGUCGUCCAACGUAUUAAUCGUCCCUUGACGUUUGACUUCAAAUCACUUCAAAUUUCUUACACCGCCUAUAAUACAUAUAAUGAGUCAUUUUACGACCUUUGAAACUUAAUAUGUGAAUGUUAGGAUCUAGACACCUUAAAUUUUUUUGGGGGUCUUACAAUAUCCCCCACUUGGUAAUAUUCAUCCUCGAAUGACACGUAGAACAUUUCAAUCACAACAAGGACUUCAAUGUAUCAUAGAGAAGUUCAUCACAAUAAUAAAAUUAUCAUAUUGAAUUUAAUGCAGGAAACUUACAAGGAACACAACCUCAUAUCAUUUUAACAUUCAAUACACACAAGCAAGCAAAAACCUUCAUUCGCUCACUCUUUAAUGCAACAAACAUAAGGCUCUUUUCAUGCUUAUAAGAGGAACAUCCUUCGCCUAAUCAUAACAUGGUUGUUAUACUUUAAUUCAUUAAGAGAUCAUCUUCCAACUAUCUUUAAGUCACACUUAGUAAGAUUUCAACAAUACUCAAGAUGCAAGUAGGCACUCAUUUCCAUGCACAUAGGCUUGAGUAAGAUAGGUGGACAAUGAAUUCUUAUAAGUUAGACCUAGUGCUAUGAGGGUCAUAUUCAACAAUACCAUGCUUAGUUGUGUCCAUGGAGUAAUGUCCAUAUCCUCAACACACUUACAUGUAUGAUGAUCUCACACCCAAGAAAAUGCACCAAGGCCAACUUUACUGUAAUAUGAGAAUUUCUCAACUUUUAAACCAAGGCAUGCUCUUCUAUUCUGCCUAGUGAAGUCUAAAUUGUAAGUUACACCAAAUACAUCACAAAAAAAUAGGAAGUCAUUUCACAAAAUUUCAAAUUCUAAUCUAGUACUCACCUUCCCAGUAAGCAUCUUUUGGGAAAAAAAAUAUAAAUGAUAGGCACACACAUGAACACUUAGCUACACAUGCUUUCAUAUUUUUAAGAGUGAACCUACAAUCAUGCUUUCAAAAUCAUACAAGUCAUUUUCAAAAGACUCAACAUAUUUUAUUUUAAAGAGACUCAAACUUUCAUUAUAAGGCUAAACAUUACACCUCACAAGUGACUCAAACCAAGUUUCUUACCUUAUCUCACAACGUCAAAUUCACAAUUUGCAUGUUAAGAUGCACAAUAAACAUGAGAAAACAUUGAUUGUUAUGGAAUUUCUCACUCAUGCACUUUGGAAUAUUCACAAUAUCUUUAAGGUAAUGUCAAAUAGUACAUCCCAAUCAAAUAAAGUUUAGGGAUUUGAUACUUUAUGCAAGAUUAUAUUAAUGAACAAGCUUACUAAGAAUUCGUUAGAUUUCAAUUUCAAGCAAAAAUAAAAGGUCAAGGUAGAAAAUAUCUACAACCUUACUGUUUCAUCACCAUCCCCUACUUAGGGUAAACCCAAUUAAAUGUACCUUAACCAAACCUAAAGAGGAUCUUAACUUAACAACUUUCAUUUUUCACCACUUAAAAGUGAUUACCAUUUAGAAGGAAUUUACAGUAAGUCAAGCAAGGUAUUCUAAAGUUUAUACCCUAGGUAAUUUAUUCCCAAUCCUCAAGUUAAGCCAUACCAUUAAACCAAAUAAGGUUUUCAUACAACAAAAUAGAAACCAAGGUCAUAGAUCAUUAUGGAAAGCAACAAGGAGACUUAUCCACAAAAAAUUUUCUUUAUCCUUAAACAUUAAAAUAAGGUGAUUUCUAGGUCAUUAAAAACCACAUCAUCACCCAACCAAGACAAACAUACUACCUUCACACCUAGGAUCUAGUCUUUAAAAAGGACUCUAAUCCAUUUUAAGAAACUUAUGAAGGACCACAUAUAUACAAAGGGAAAAAUUGAACACCUUUUGAGGGAAAAUUGUUAAGGUAGACUGCUUCCAUAGGUAGUCACUGAGCAUUCCAUGUUCAAAUCAUAGUAUUAGGCUACGAUCACGUGAAAAUCAUGUAGUAACACAUCAUUCCAAAAGAAACUCAUUUUCACCAUAAUAACUUUUAUAAUGAUUUAAUCAAACCUCAAUAUACAUUUCUCAACAUAGCAUACUUAAUUACAUAAAUCUCAUAUAUAGCCAUCAAUGGCAUCAUAUUAUCACAACAUGCCAAAAUUCACAUUCACACAUACUUAUUCAACCAUAAAACCAAGUUAAGCAUUAACUAAGCUUUUCUCCCGCAAGUAUAAAGAUACAAUCACAUCCAAGCAAUCACAUCUAAAAGUACCACCGAACAAGAAAAUAUAAAAGAGAGAUCUUAUAGAGUUAAGUUCUAUGGAACGAUAUGAGAAUGAUAAAGAUGGGAAACUCAAUCGUGCUAUGGCGUUCCGUACCAUUUGAUAUGUCGUGACUCACCACCAAUGAUACAAGACUAUACUAGAUGUGGCAAUAUGAGACUCUUAGAACCUAAAACAACUUCUUUUUAAAACCUCAUGCUCUAAUACAACUUUUGUCACAUACGGGGAGCACCCCCUAGAAGUAGCAUGGUUUACUUGACCUCUCGGAGGUCUAUACAAUCCCAUAGUUAUCAUUUAUUGCAUUGACAUAGUAAAUUUAGAGGAAAAUUUAAAAAUUUUCAUAGCAUAUAAUAUGCCAGAAACUUUACUUCAUAAAUAUAAAAGUAUCAUAGUAACUACUUAGACAUAAGUCUCUUUUCCAUCUUAGACUCAACAACAUUAGAGUACAUUAGAUACAUGAACCUUAAAAAAUAAUACAUAACUUUAAAAUAUUUACACACUUCACUUUAAAGUCAUAAGUAGGAGAACCUUGAACUUAAAGAUUUCUUUCAUUAAGCAUCGGAAUCAUCUAUCAAGCUCUUCACCAUUCAAGACAUCCUUUAAGAAUCCAUAACCUACAAUUUGUCUAAAAAGUAGAGAAGAAAGAGAUAAGUACAAGAAUGCACUAAGUAUGGCAACCAUGCAAAAUAUGUAUUUAAAAGGGAAAUUUUCUUUAAAUCAUAAUUCAUGCCUUUUUGAGUAAAUCUUCAUAAAACCUUUAUCCAAUAACAUUUAUAUCAUUCAAAUACUUCAUAUAAACAUAUUUAAAGGCCAAAUAUUUCAUGAGAUCACAUUAAGAAUUUAUUACAUUUUCAAGUCACAUUAUGAUGAACUAGUUUUCCCUUAACAGUAAACUAUCUUCCCUUUUACUCAUUAACCUUCCAAUUAACCCUCUAGUGAUACUUGGUGCAAUGCAUCACCUUAAGGCCUCAAGGAAACAUACAUAUUAUCUACACAAGCCAUCACAUAUCAUUAUAUAAGCCAUCACAUAUUAUUAUAUAAGCAUAACAUAUCAAAGACACAUUUAAGCCAAUACCAUAGGACUAUUAGAAUAAGCUAUUUUAAAUUUAAACAUAUAUUUACUUCUUUUCAUACUCGUCAUUUUAAGACCUUGUUCAUGACCCCAAUCUUAGUAUACUAGUUGAACGUACAUAUGAAGCCCCAUAACCCCACACAUACUUAGUAAACCCUUCAUGUUACCAUAAACCUUAACAUUUAUUUCAUACAUCAACUAGUAAGUUAAAACAACUUCAUCCAUGUCCAUACAAAACCUUCAACAUAUAGUCAUUUAGACCAACAUAGUGCAUAAAAGAGUAAGUUCACAUCAUAUAGACUCAUAAUAUGCAUAUCUUGAUCACAACUAGACAAUUACUACAAUGUCAUUCAUAAAGACAUAACCAUAAUCAUACACAUUAGUUCACCUUUCUAGGAAUUCCUAUGGAGAUAUUUUUGCAAUGUCUAGAUGGGUUUAUUACCUCGACCUAUCCUAGGUAACAUCCAUUAAUUCAUCAUAGUAAGAUCUUAGCAAUUUACUUCCAUUGUCAAUUAUACGUUAAGGAAACUAUAGCUUUAACCAAGACUAAGACCAUGCGUGCUAGACAUGGAAUUUGGUGUUGUAGAGUCUUAUACCAAGGGAAGGCGUUCCUACCUAGCAAAGGUAGAACAUUAACAUAUAUCCUAGCAUCCUAAGAGAAUUCACUUUUCUAGAUCCUAUGUGGCAAGCAUAGUUUAUGGAACUAAGAGAUUGGUCUUCCCUCUUAAUACAAUUUUGUAAUAAGGGCCUCCUCUCAUGAGAAAACAUGGGUGAACCAUCCUCAAAGGGAAGUCAACACCUCAUGUGGGUCCAUAGGAUAGUAUUUCUCUAACGGAAGUCAACACACUAUAAGGGACAAAUUGUGAAUCUUCGUCCAAGGGAAGUCAACACUUCUCAAUGUCAAAUUCACUCGGAUCUAAUCUAAGUUUCCUUUAUUUAAAAGCCUUUAUUACAUUUUUCAUAAAACACAGGCUUAGGAUAUUUGAUUUUCAUAUGAUUAUACAAUACAAAAGAACCUAUCUAGUUUUACAGUAAUCUAGGGCACCCCUGUCAAAUACCCUCUACUUAAUAUAUAAUCAUUCAUGUGUGUGUGUACAUAUAUGUGAUGAAACCUUUCAAAUAACACAUAAUUGUCACACAAAUUCAUAUAUAAAUAUGAGCAACCUUUCCAUAUAUACCCACUAAGACUCUCUCCACAUUUUUACUUCAUCAUAUCAUUUAAAUUUUUUUCAUAACAUGUCCAUACAUUCAUUUUCAUAUAAUAGAAACCAAAGCUAGGAACUAUUCUAUCAAGGUACACAUGUGCAAUGCAUAGACCAUGUCGCAUACCCUUGCAAUGUCACGACCCAAAUCCGGGCCGCGACUGGCACCCACACUUACCCUCCUAUGUGAGCGAACCAACCAAUCUAAACCUUAAUAUUUCAAGGUAAUAUCAACAUAAAGUAAUGCGGAAGACUUAAACUCAUUAAAUAAAGACCAAUUCAUUAACUUCUAAAAUUCAACAUCUAUUAUUCCCAAAACCUGGAAGUCAUCAUCACAAGAACAUCUACUUUAAACUACUAAUUCUAAGAGUUUCUAAAAAGCUAAAAAAAAAUACAUAAGUAGCUAGUCCGUGCCGGAAGUUCAAGGCAUCAAGACUUGAAGAAGAAGAUCCAGUCCAAGCUAGAAUCAUUAGCUCACCCUGAAUUUCCGAUGUAGUAAGACUGGCUUGAGUUACUGUUGAGUCGAAGAUGACGACACGUUUGCUGCACUCCACAAAUAACAAGAAGAAAAACAUAAAAGUAGGGGUCAGUACAAACCACGGGUACUGAGUAGAUAUCAUCGGUCAACUCAAAAUAGAAAAUAGUAUAUAUUAAGCAAUAUCAUAAAAUCAACUAACAUCCUUAGCAUGCAGCAUUUACAGUUACUAUAACCCUUGGUUACAACACCAAGCACAUCAAUGAGGACUCACGCCUCCUCAUCAUACUCAUUUGGGAAUUCAGUUCAUUAGAUUGAAUAUAUUAACAUUUUUCAAGAUUCAUUAUCUUUAUUCCCCUCGUGUCGGUACGUGACACUCCGCUCCUCAAUAUACUAUCCUGGUGUCGGAACGUGACGCUCCGAUCCUCAUUCUAUCCUGGUGUCGGAACGUGACACCCGAUCCAUAUAUUCUAUCCUGGUACCGGAACGUGGCACCCGAUCCAUAUAUUCUAUCCUGGUGUCGGAACGUGACACCCGAUCCAUAUAUUCUAUCCUGGUACCGGAACGUGGCACCCGAUCCAUAUAUUGUUUCCUGGUGUCGGAACGUGACACCCGAUCCAUAUAUUCUAUCCUGUUACCGGAACGUGGCACCCGAUCCAUAUAUUCUAUCCUUGUGUCGGAACGUGACACCCGAUCCCCUAAUCUCACUACUUUCGUUCAUCAAGCCUUCUUUUAUACCAAGGCAUCAUCAUUAACAAAGUAGAUUAGGGUUUCUUUUCAAGAUUUGGGAUUCAAUAGCUUCAUCAUGCUUAUUUAUUCAUAAUUACAUAAUCACAUCAUUCAUGCAAGCAUAUAGUUAAGCAUAUAGAAGGGUUUACAAUACUACUAACAUAUAUCAUUCGCCAUUAAGAGUUUACUACGAAUAGCAUGAAAACCAUAACCUACCUACACCGAAGAAUUGGAAUCAACAAGCAAUUCCCCAAGCUUUGAUAUUCCCUCUGCCUCUUGAUCGAUCAAUUUCUCUCUCUCCUUGUCCUCUCUAUUUUGUUUAUUCAAGCCCUCUUUCUUUUACCCUAGUUAACAUAUAAUUAAGUGUAAAAGAUGGCAAUAAUACCCCACUAAUUAACUUAGGGUUACCUCUUUUAACCCCCAAGAAUUUGAGUUUAUUAAUAUAAACCCACGAAAUUUAUAAUUAAGGCAAGAAUAGUCAAAAACGUCCCUUAAAACUUAACCAGAAAUCCGAUUCUGCCUGGGAUUUGCGCAACCUGUGACGGGCCGUCGUGCCUGCGACGGUCCGUCCUGCAGGUCGUCGCAAGAGUCAGAGAGUCAAUUUCCACUGAACAAUCUAUGACGGUCCGUCACGCCUGUGACGUUCCGUCCUGCCAUUCCGUCACAAAGUUCAGAGAAUCGAUUUUCAGUAUCCAAUUUCAGAUUUUCUAAGUGUUUUGAAACGAGACCCUGCGACGGUCUGUCGUGCCCAUGACGGUCCGUCGUGGGGUCCGUCGCCUCAGCCUGUUUUUCUAGAAAUAAAAUCUGCUGCUCAAAACGACUAAACAGGUCGUUACAAUAGAUACCAAUUUACCCAUCGUUCGUCCCCGAACGAUCACAAGAAGGAAAACAAGGGCGAAAAGGAGUACCUGAAUCUGUAAACAGAUUUGGGUAUUUUUCUCGCAUAUCCGCCUCCUUCUCCCAAGUGGCUUCUUUAAUGGGUCGAUUCUUCCAUUGCACCUUGAUGGAUGCAAUCUCUCUUGACCUCAACAUGCGAACUUAUCUAUCUAAGAUAGCAACAGGCUCCUCCUCAUAAGACAAGUUCUCAUCAAGCAAAACUGAAUCCCAACGGAUAAUGUAGUUUCCAUCCCCAUGGUAUCUUUUCAACAUCGACACAUGGAAUACCGGAUGUACUCCGGACAGCCCUGGAGGCAAGGCUAACUCAUAAGCCACCUCUCCUACUCGCUUAAGUACUUCAAAUGGUCCAAUGUACCUUGGACUUAGUUUACCCCUUUUACCAAACCGCAUCACCCCUUUCAUUGGUGAAACUUUCAACAAGACUUGUUCACCCUCCAUGAACUCUAAGUCUCUAACCUUUCGAUCUGCAUAUUCUUUUUGUCUACUUUGCGCCGCUAGAAAUUUUUCUUGAAUAGACUUCACUUUCUCUAUCGAAUCCCUCAAAAGGUCAGUACCCCAAGGCCUAACCUCUAAUGCAUCAAACCAACCAAUGGGAGACCUACAUCUCCUACCAUACAAUGCUUCAAAUGGAGCCAUAUCAAUGCUUGGGUGAUAGUUAUUAUUGUAUGAAAACUCCGCUAAGGGUAGGAAGUUAUCCCAAUGACCACCAAACUCUAUCACACAUGCACGAAGCAUAUCCUCCCACACUUGAAUCGUUCGCUCAAACUGAGCAGAUUUAGUUAACCUAUCAACAAUCACCCAAAUGGAGUCAUACUUACCCAUUGUCUUUGGAAGACCAACCACAAAAUCCAUUGCAAUUCUUUCCCACUUCCAUUCCGGAAUGUGCAUUCUCUGAAGUGUUCCUCCGGGCCUUUGGUGUUCACACUUUACUUGUUGACAGUUCGGACACUUGGCAAUAAAGUCAACAAUAUCACGCUUCAUUCUACUCCACCAAAAGUGUUGCUUUAGGUCAUGGUACAUCUUUGUUGCACCCGGAUGUAUCGAAUACUUUGAACUAUGAGCCUCUGUCAGAAUAGUGUUAAUCAAAUCAUCAACUCGGGGUACACAUACCCUUCCCUUGAUUCUCAAAACACCUUCCUCAUCGAUUUGUGCUUCCUUAGCCUCUCCUUUCAACACUUUAUCUCGGAUCCGGAUCAAUUUUUCAUCAUUAAACUGUUCUCCCUUAAUCUUGUCAAGAAAGGAAGAUCUUGCCUCCACAGAAGCCAACAAUCCUCCCCUCUCAUUUACUUCUAAUCUCAUCAAGUCAUUAGCUAGAGUUUGAACCUCUCUAGCCAGUGGGCGUCUAGAAGCUUGCAUGUGAGCUAGGCUUCCCAUGCUUCCCGCCUUCCUACUUAAAGCAUCCGCUACAACAUUCGCCUUCCCCGGAUGAUACAAGAUAGUGAUAUCGUAGUCCUUUAGUAACUCCAUCCAUCUCCUCUGUCUUAAGUUCAAAUCUUUCUGAGUAAAGACAUACUGAAGGCUACGAUGAUCCGUAUAGAUCUCACACUUAACCCCAUAUAAAUAGUGUCUCCACUGUUUUAAUGCAAACACUACCGCGGCCAAUUCAAAAUCAUGAGUGGGAUAGUUACGUUCAUGCACUUUUAAUUGUCUUGAAGCAUAAGCAAUCACACUCUUCUCUUGCAUUAGUACUGCACCCAAACCAGAAUAGGAUGCAUCACAAUAAACAAUGAAGUUCUUACCCUCUACUGGCAAGGUAAGGAUAGGUGCGGUAGUCAACAAUGUCUUGAGCUUCUGAAAGCUUUCCUCACACUCAUCCGACCAUACAAAUGGAAAAUUUUGCUUAGUCAAGUUCGUCAGUUGGGAAGCAAUAGAAGAGAAUCCCUUGACAAAUCGACGGUAGUAGCUAGCUAAUCAAACAAAGCUCCUUAUUUCUGACACAUUAGUAGGUCUUACCCAAUUCUUCACUGUCUCAAUCUUAGAAGGAUCCACCAUCACUCCAUCCUUAGAAACCACGUGCCCCAAGAAGGACACUGCAUCUAGCAAAAACUCACACUUAGAGAACUUGGCAUAAAGCUUUUUCUCCCUUAACAUUUCCAAUACCAUUCUUAAAUGCUCUUCAUGUUCCUUUUUGCUCUUUGAGUAUACCAAUAUAUCAUCGAUAAAUACGAUCACGAAGAGGUCCAAAUAUGGCUUAAAAAUCCCGUUCAUCAAGCUCAUGAACGCAGCAGGGGCAUUCGUAAGACCAAAGGACAUCACUACAAAUUCGUAAUGCCCAUACCUCGUUCGAAAAGCAGUCUUUGGCACAUCCGUUGCCCGUAUUUUCAAUUGAUGAUAACCGGAUCUCAAGUCAAUCUUAGAGAAGACACAAGCACCUUGUAACUGAUCGAACAAGUCAUCAAUGCGGGGAAGAGGGUACUUGUUCUUUAUGGUUACCUUGUUUAGUUUUCUGUAGUCUAUACACAUUCGAAAACUCCCAUCCUUCUUCUUUACAAACAAAACCGGAGCACCCCAAGGAGAUGCACUUGGUCUAAUGAAGCCUUUGUUCAAUAAUUCUUGAAGUUGGGCUUUUAACUCUCUUAACUCCGCGGGAGCCAUUCUAUAAGGGGGUAUAGAAAUGGGGCGUGUGCCCGGUUCGAGAUCAAUACAGAAGUCAAUAUCCCUAUCCGGUGGCAUACCAGGAAGAUCUGAAGGGAACACAUCCAAAAACUCACAAACUACUGAAACUGACUCAAUCAAAGGUACUUGGGUAGUGUCAUCCUUGAGAUGUGCCAAGAAAGCUAAGCACCCUUUACUAACCAUUUUCUUAGCACGAAGAAAGGAGAUGAUACGUGCCGGUUUGGAAGUGUAGUCACCCUCCCACACUAACGGGUCUGUCCCAGGCUUGGCUAACGUCACCGUUUUAGCAUUACAAUCCAAGAUUGCAAAUUGCGGAGAAAGCCAAGUCAUACCCAGAAUCACAUCAAAAUCAUCCAUUUCCAAGAUAACCAAAUCUACAUAGGUGUUGCUCCCCACAAAGUUCACCAAACAAGACCUAUACACCUUUUCAACUACCACAGACUCACCCACCGGAGUAGAAACAUGAAUAGGUAUAUCAAGUAAUUCACAAUGUAAAUUUAGACCAUUAGCAAAUGAGGAAGAUACGUAAGAAAAUGUGGAUCCAGGAUCAAACAAUACAGAAGCCAUGCAACCCCAAAUCAAAAGAUUACCUGUAAUGACAGCAUCAGAUGCCUCCGCUUUAGACCGCCCAGGGAAAGCGUAACAAUGGGCCCUAUCGUUCAUCUGUCCGUUGCCCCUACCUUGUUGUGAUGUAGUGGCUCCAGUUUGCCCAUCACCUCGGCCGUUUUGGUGACCACUAUUUCCUCGACCACCACGUCAUCCAGAAUAACGGCCUCUGCAUGACCACCUCUACCUCUAACAUUUGGAGGUCUGUAACUCUGUUUUGGACAAUAUCUCUUAAUAUGUCCAAUCUCCCCACAUCCAUAGAACUCUCUGGGUUCAUGCAUAGGUCUCUCAGAGAAGUGUUGACCGGUCGGAGGUGGACCCCCAACUACAGUCUGUAGUGAAGACUGAAUUGGUCAGACUGAGUAACAUCUCGAACCCUGUCCUCUAGUGUAAGAACCAUUAAACUCACCUCCCUUUCGAAGCCUUUUUGAUGUCGAUGUUAUGGUGAAGUCGUCUGGCUUCACUCCUUCCACUUCUAUCACAAAGUAUACCACCUCUUGGAAGGAUUUUGCCAUUGCCGCUAUCUGUAAGGCCGAAAUCCGCAAUUCUGACCUCAACCCCUUCAGAAACCGGCGAAUCCGCUCUUGAGGACUGAAACAAAGUUGAGUGGCAUAUCUGGAUAGUGCACGAAACAUAGCCUCAUAAGCAUUAACCGACAUCCUACCUUUCUCUAGGCUCAAGAACUCAUCCCUUUUCCGAUCCCUCAAAGUCCGGUGGAUAUACUUCUCCAUAAACAAACUAGAGAAUGAGGCCCAAGUCAUAGGUGGGGCCUCUAUUGGUUGACACUCGAUAUGUGACCGCCACCACAUUUUGGCGUUCCCUUGAAACUGAUAAGUCACAAACUCCACACCAAACCGUUCUACUAUACCCAUCUUGUGUAGUAGCUCGUGACAGUCAACCAGAAAAUCAUAAACAUCCUCCGAUUCAGCACCCUUGAAGACCGGAGGUUUCAAUUUCAAGAACUUACUGAAAAGUUCAUGCUGAUCAUUUGUCAUUAUAGGCCCAGUAGUCAGACGUGGAAAUGUGCCUAUGUCCAAUGGAACAUCCAUGGGGGGAGCCACAGUAGCCGCAUGUUGUACUUCUGAAACCGGAGGUGUUGGCGCAGAAAACACUGGGGGUGCCUGACCUUGAUCAGAUAACCCGCUAAGAUAAGCCAGAACCUGAUUGAUCAUCUCUGGGGUAGGUUGGGGUGGCAUUUCCUCAUUUUGCACUUGUUCAGUUUCCCCAUCCUCCCCUUCUCUUAUUACUUCCUUAGUCGGUGGAGGAGUCACCGCCCUAGUACCAGAUGGGCUCGGUUCUCGUCCUCUUCCUCUAGAAGACGUCCUCCAACGACCUCUACCACGGCUCCUUGCCGCUGUUCUCCCUCGAGCUACAGCCCCAUUGGCUGGCUCAGUUGUUUCUUGUCUGUCCGGUGUUGGUGUUGGCGUUGUCGUUGCUCUAGUUCUAACCAUCUGCGAAAGAGUGUGAAGAUGGUCAGAUACCAAUUCGUAUCGCCUAGAUACCAAUUGGACUCAAGUAGUAGCACGAAGGAAAGAAUGAAAGAGUGAAAUUUUCCUAAAGUCUUAUAGCCUCUCAAGGAAAAGUAAAGGCGUCCCCCUACCGUUCCUUAAGACUCUACUAGACCUGUUCUUGUGUGAUGAGACCAACGAACCUAAUGCUCUGAUACCAAGUUUUUUCAUGACCCAAAUCCGGGCCGCGACUGACACCCACACUUACCCUCCUAUGUGAGCGAACCAACCAAUCUAAACCUUAAUAUUUCAAGGUAAUAUCAACAUAAAGUAAUGCGGAAGACUUAAACUCAUUAAAUAAAGACCAAUUCAUUAACUUCUAAAAUUCAACAUCUAUUAUUCCCAAAACCUGGAAGUCAUCAUCACAAGAACAUCUACUUUAAACUACUAAUUCUAAGAGUUUCUAAAAAGCUAAAAAAAAUACAUAAGAAGCUAGUCCGUGCCGGAAGUUCAAGGCAUCAAGACUUGAAGAAGAAGAUCCAGUCCAAGCUAGAAGCAUUAGCUCACCCUGAAUUUCCGAUGUAGUAAGACUGGCUUGAGUUACUAUUGAGUCGAAGAUGACGGCACGUUUGCUGCACUCCACAAAUAACAAGAAGAAAAACAUAAAAGUAGGGGUCAGUACAAACCACGGGUACUGAGUAGAUAUCAUCGGUCAACUCAAAAUAGAAAACAGUAUAUCUUAAGCAAUAUCAUAAAAUCAACUAACAUCCUUAGCAUGCAGCAUUUACAGUUACUAUAACCCUUGGUUACAACACCAAGCACAUCAAUGAGGACUCACGCCUCCUCAUCAUACUCAUUUUGGAAUUCAGUUCAUUAGAUUGAAUAUAUUAGCAUUUUUCAAGAUUCAUUAUCUUUAUUCCCCUCGUGUCGGUACGUGACAUUCCGCUCCUCAAUAUACUAUCCUGGUGUCGGAACGUGACACUCUGAUCCUCAUUCUAUCCUGGUGUAGGAACGUGACACCCGAUCCAUAUAUUCUAUCCUGGUACCGGAAUGUGUCACCCGAUCCAUAUAUUCUAUCCUGGUGUCGGAACGUGACACCCGAUCCAUAUAUUCUAUCCUGGUAUCGGAACGUGGCACCCGAUCCAUAUAUUCUAUCCUGGUGUCGGAACGUGACACCCGAUCCAUAUAUUCUAUCCUAGUACCGAAACGUGGCACCCGAUCCAUAUAUUCUAUCCUGGUUUCGGAACGUGACACCCGAUCCCCUAAUCUCACUACUUUCGUUCAUCAAGCCUUCUUUUAUACCAAGGCAUCAUCAUUAACAAAGUAGAUUAGGGUUUCUUUUCAAGAUUUGGGAUUCAAUAGCUUCAUCAUGCUUAUUUAUUCAUAAUUACAUAAUCACAUAAUUCAUGCAAGCAUACAAUUAAGCAUAUACAAGGGUUUACAAUACUACUAACAUAUAUCAUUCGCUAUUAAGAGUUUACUACGAAUAGCAUGAAAACCAUAACCUACCUACACCGAAGAAUUGGAAUCAACAAGCAAUUCCCCAAGCUUUGAUAUUCCCUCUGCCUCUUGAUCGAUCAAUUUCUCUCUCUCCUUGUCCUCUCUAUUUUCUUUAUUCAAGCCCUCUUUCUUUUACCCUAGUUAACAUAUAAUUAAGUGUAAAAGAUGGCAAUAAUACCCCACUAAUUAACUUAGGGUUACCUCUUUUAACCCCCAAGAAUUUGAGUUUAUUAAUAUAAACCCACGAAAUUUAUAAUUAAGGCAAGAAUAGUCAAAAACGUCCCUUAAAACUUAACCAGAAAUCCGAUUCUGCCUGGGAUUUGUGCAACCUGUGACGGGCCGUCGUGCCUGCGACGGUCCGUCCUGCAGGUCGUCGCAAGAGUCAGAGAGUCAAUUUCCACUGAACAAUCUAUGACGGUCCGUCACGCCUGUGACGGUCCGUCCUGCCAUUCCGUCACGAAGUUUAGAGAGUCGAUUUUCAGUACCCAAUUUCAGAUUUUCUAAGUGUUUUGAAAUGAGACCCUGCGACGGUCCGUCGUGCCCAUGACGGUCCGUCGUGGGGUCCGUCGCCUCAGCCUGUUUUUCCAGAAAUAAAAUCUGCUGCUCAAAACGACUAAACAGGUCGUUACAUGCAACCACAAAUACACCUACCAAGUCAUCCUAGUAGGGAAUAAAUAACUUACUUCACAUACAUAUACUUUACAUAAUAGUAGUUUACACUAGUGAAUAUGAGAGAAACCUUUCAUCUGACACUGUGAUUAUAUAGUACUUGUAAUCAUUCAUGAUGUGUGUGUUGGUGUGUAUGUGUACAUUGGUCAUCAUGAUCACAUAAUGGAUAUCAACAAUACAUUGAGUCAGCCACCCUCAUAAGACCACAUUACACUUUCAAAUAUAUACGAUACGACAAAUUUAUCAUAGGAGUCAAGUCAACUUCAUAUUACACUUAAGACUCCUAGCUUUGGCUAUUCAUAUAUUCACCUAGGGGUACAUAGAUAAGACACUAUUAACCAUUUUAAUUCAUCAAUAGCAUCACCCAUACUUUCCCGUAACAUAAAUAUACACAUGCUUCUACAAUAGCCAUACAACCUAGUCAUAACUAGAAUAGGAAGGUAGGCAUAUGUUUCACAUUGUGUAAUCAUCAGAAACACAUGUUUAUACCAUCAUCUAUUGGCCUUCAAGUAUAUAGUCAACACAUUUAUAAUGAAUAUAAAGUAAAAACCUACACUAUAAGUGGACCAUACAAAACAAUGCCAUACAAGGCUUCAUCAACUACAAUACUAUAAGGAAAGUAGAGGAGAUAAGCAUUUUUACCAAUUUUUCACCCUUUGAUAAUCAUUGAUCAAUACACCUUAUUUACCAGCAACUCAUAUAUAUAGGUAAGUAGCUAACAGUAUACUAUCAUAAUCGUAAAUCAUACAUUAUUCAUAACAAGAUUGAUAACAUAUUAUUUCCACUACAUCAUCAAUUUAUAGAAUGUGAAGGGAAGUGGAUAUCUUAUCAAUUCAUUCUUACUUUUAUUGUUAAUUAGUCAUUCUCACAAUUAAUCAAUAAUACACAUAAAAAUGCAGUAGUUAUAGAUGCCAUGGAUUAGACAAAAUACUACACAAUUUUCCUAGAGGUCAACAUGACAGUGAGCAUCAUGAAAUUGCGAUCAAGAGGAAUUAGAGAUUGAGUGUUCCAGCAUCAAUACAUAUUGGAUAGAAACACAUAAUUCAUCAUUAUACUCUAUUAUAGGCAGUAACUAAAGUAAAAAUAACCCUAUACAACAACAUGAACCUAUUAACAUGGAAUCGAGACACAUGGAACUACAUUAGCACUUUAGAGUUCACCAUGAAAUCCAUGCUCCAAUCUGUUCUUGAUGUUCACCAAUAAUGGAUGUUUUUAGGGAGAUGAUUUUUUGAGGGAAAGGUUUAUUUUGUGUGAAUGGGAUUGGAAAUCGGUUGCUCACGUUUCAGAUUACUUCCUAUAUACAAAAAAAAUAGGCAAAUAAAUCAAUUAGAGUAAGUUUAUGAAAUGGUUGAAAUUUCCAUUCACCCUUUUAAUGAAAUAGUGUGUAGGCAGUGUUGCAGACCACUAUCGAUGGACGCUAUUGACGGGCCAUUUGUCUAACGAUGGGCCGUUCUGUGCCCUACAUCGAUUGGGUCAGUGUCUGUCAAAUGGAAAAGACUUUCUUAGGAUAAGUGACCAUCGACGCCUCCCUAUCGACGACGCUCAAGUCAAUCAAUGGAUCAUGCAUUGGUCUCAUCGAUUGACACUUCCAAGGCAGUUUCUCGACCAACCUUGGGUCCUUCUUGUGUGCCCUUUUGUGGGGCCCUUCAUAUGUCAUACCCAGACAUUUCAAAUGUAAAUACAAACCUUAAAAUUUUUUAGAUCUCACACACAAAUUUCACCCAAUAGAAAUAGUAAUAACUCGUCCAAACAUGCAAGGCCCCAUCACGACACACACAUGCAUGUCUCAAGGCCAUCUUUUAAACGUCUUGGCCGUUUUUGGACGUUUUACCUCCAAACAUCACAGAAAAUCCAUAUAAUACUAUUAAAAAAAUUAUAAAUAAUUUUAAGACUUCAUAAGCUCAUUUCGUAGACAUAUAAGCACGUAUAGAUACAUUGAGGCACAUAGGUGACUAGUCGUCGAACGUCUUAGUCAUCCCUUGACCAUUAUUUUCCAAAUCACCUCAAACUCUACACAUUGCCUCUACUCCAUUUAUAAGUAAUUUUACACCAAAACCCUAAGAUUAACAUGUAAGUAUAUAGAAACCCUAACUCAUUUUAGCGGUCUUACAACUUUAAUCCAUUUAUAAAUCAUCAAAUUCAAUACGAUAAGGCCAUUAACCAUGGCCAAGAAUAUGAAUUCAACGCAUAUAUCCUAAUACUCAAUGAAUCUAGGUAAAUUAAAUAUAUAUUUAUCAAUGCAAAAAAUAUUAGACAUCAAUGGAAUACAAGUAAUACAUCAUUUAAUAGCCAUAGAAAACUACACAAGAAUUCGUAAGAAAUAAGACAAUAUCACUUAACCCAUAGAGUAGUCAAAAAUAAAGGUUCAUCGAUUGCAUGGGUUAAUAGUUUAAUUGAGUUUAGUUAAUCUCAUUAACAACAAUUCAAUCAAUAUUCAAUAUUUUAAAACCUUUAAUGCUAGAACCCAUGGAUAGAUUUUAAUUUAUAAAACCCAUCUUUUAAAAAAACUUUUAAUUCAAGAUUGCCUGCAUGAUGAAUAGAUUUUCAAGGAUUAAAAACCAUACCUAAAUUAUGUUAAUCCACCAUUUUGAUGAAUUAUCACCAAUCAAGUAUCGAACCUAAGCUCUUCCUUGAGUUUUUGCCCCAAUAGAGUUCUACAGAAUUUCUAAUAGAUUUUGGAGUUUUGAUUUUGAAAAAUGAGUUCUCCUAAAUGUUUAAGUCUUAUAAACAUGUUUAAAAUACCCAAGUAGCCCUAAUUAACCUCCUAAAGUAUUAUGUGGACAUGGGACGAAAUUACCAUUUUCCCCCUUUCACUUAACAACAAUCACGCACGAACCAUUCCUCACAGACGGUUGCGAACGACAACCUAUUUACCAACCAACGGACUAUCCUUUUGAUCUGUGGUUGGGACUGAGACUGGUCCUGCCUUCUCCCACGCCUAAGUCCUGAUCAAUAACUUCCGUCAACGGGUCUACGAUGUCACGACCGAAGUAUAGACCCCAGACGAGACCGGUGUCGUUGAACUCUCUGUGGUCAUAGACAAGCUUACGUACUAAGUUAACUUUAGAGGAAAAUUUGAACCUUGAGUUUUCUUAUUUAAUGUGAAACAUAUUAUACUUAACAUCAUAGGCCACAAAUCAACCAUCUAAUAUAGAGAUAAUCAAAUGAAAAAAGCAGUUCUUUGUUGCAUUAAAUGUAUUCAUGCAAAAACGGCACCAAUACAAUGUCUAAAAUAAAAUGGGAAAUGAAACACUAGUGGAACAUGCUCCACAUGCUAAAGCCUACAUCUACUCUAGAUAAUAAUGGUAGACAUCCUCGAAAGCAUGAGGUCCUACCAAGUCCAUAUGUAAGCUCCACGUUCGGAUAGCUGCAAUGUCGGAUCGUAAAUUCUAAAGUCCUCAUGUGCCUGCACCUAAAAUUAGACAUUGUAUUGUAUUAUUACACACUUGUACUAUGUAGGGGUAUAUGAAAGAACACACCAAAGACAUGCAAGAGUAAGAAUAGCUCUUUCCUAAAAACAUGAUUUGUGGAAGGUCAAGUCAGUGGACUUGCCAAAUUGGAUAAGAAAAGUCAUGCCAUGAGAGUAACAUGCAUCGUCAUACGUAUAAUAUAGCACACAACACAUAAAAUCUUACUCAUAGCACAUAAAUUGCAUAUAGCACGUAACAUCUGUCAUAUCAUUCGUUCAUAUUCCAUGAAACUUUGGAAUCAUGGACAUGACAUCAAUACAUCCCAAUAAUGAGGGCUCAAUAUAUGUGACCUCAACUAGGGAGCCUUCUUUAGCAAAUACAGAGUCUGCUUCAUACAUUCAUACGUACUUCACUUCAUAUAUUCAUAAGCUAGUGUAAACACCAGCUAUACCUAGGACGUAGUUUAUGACUUUCGUCGGGUUCGCUGUGCAAUGAUCAAGAAUGACCUAGUGUCAUUUCUUAGGUCUAGCUCACAUCUUGAUUAUUCUAUUCUAAGACCUUUGGUAUCAUUUAUUUCAUUAUGUACAUCAUUUGAGGUUGUCCUCAUUCAUUCAUGGGGAACUUUAACUUUAGCCGACAUAGAUCAUGUGAGCAUCAUAAAAUCCAGUGUCUCCCCCACACCGAAAAGAGGUGGAAUCACCAUCCAAAGUGACCCAAAAUAUGCUACCAUACAUGGGACUCAAACUCCGUCAAAUCCCUAUAUUGGCAGUAUGGAUUUGAAGACUAUGAGAUAUAAAGAGACCCAUACACGACAUGUCGGACAGUCUCAUCUCAUGAGAUUUACGUGAACCUGCGCCCUUUCCAAGAGAAGGCAUUGCUGCUCAUAGCUAGUUUAUAAGUGCUCGUACAAAGUUCCAUUACAUUGAAAUUAUACCUCAUGGAAGCUAUCUUCUAGUAUGAGGACAUCAUAGCUCAAUAGAUGAUUUCUCAUCUCAUCAUUAGUAUUAACUGUAUAGUAAUCUCAAUACUUUCAAUAGAGUGUUAAUAGGGACUUGUCUCUUCAUUAACUUUGCACUCUAAUAAGUGAGUACAUUAUGGUAACAUUUACUGAGGCUCAUUUGAGAUUGCUCUCAUGUUUUAUAUUAGCCUCUUAUCAUGAUAAAACCACAUUCAUUAACUUUAAUACAUUUGCUAUUCAUAAUUUCUCACCCCUUAUUACGUGAAUAUUCACUAUGCCAAUGCACUUGGACAUUUAAUUUGUUUCACACUCUUAGUUAACCCUCUUUGGGUUUCAUAAUUUCAUUGCAUGCAUUUUAGGUUCACUUACAUUUAAACGUAUGCUAGACUUUUGGGUCAAUUCAUAAAACCCAGGAGUAUUCAUUCAUAGUACGUUUAAGUGAUUCAUAUCUUCCUAAGAUUAAGUCGUACAAGACUUAUGCAUCUUGUAUGUAUGCCAAGGUAUAUAUUUCGAUCUAUGGGGCAGCAUUACUUUGAACAUUUAUUCACGUAUGACUGAUGUAUGAAUACCGAGUUUGGGAAAGGGAAACCAUUUCGAAUUCCUUGGUUAACACUUGCAUUUUAAAUUAUGUUUGGCUAAAAAUCACUUCGGCUUCGGGACUGAGAUCGAGCCCCAACGCCAACAUUUCCUUUUCCUUAUUUUUUUCUCUUUUUCCUUUUCGUUCAUUGGGACAUAGAUGUCGUGGGAUCGAUUUCCCAUAGCCUCAUUACUUAUAUUUUUUUUCCUUGACUUUUUUGAGUUGAUCGUGAGGGUGUGGGAUCGAAUCCCCACGGUCUCACUUUAUUUUUUCUCUUUAAUUCCCGUAAUCAGCCUAGAGGUCAUGGAUUCGAUUCCCACACGCCUCAACCUUCAUUUUAUUUUUUAAUUGCUUAAGUCUGGCCGAGAGGUUGUGGGUUCGAAUCCCACUCCUCUCAUAUAUUAUUUCCAGAAUUACUUUUUUGGUCAAGUUCACGGGUUCGAAUUCCCCUUACCACAUUCCAUUAACGUACAUUAUUUUUUUGAAUUUUUACAUGGUGAGGUAACAUGUUCGAUCCUCAGUGACCUCACUUAUUUUUCUUCAUUUUUUUAAUAACAUGUUAAUUGACGUAACUUGAUCGAAACUAACAUCAAAGUGCUGGAAGUUUCAUCAUAUUUUUGCAGCCUAUUUUCUCACCACUUUCACGUUAAGUGUGUAUACGUUUAGAGUAGUUUUUAGUGAGUUCUUUAGGUGAAUUUAUGAGAUCACAUUCUAUAAAGAGUUUGCACUCAAAUCAGUAUUUUUACAUCACUUAUCUUGGCCGAUACUCAUAAACAAGAUGCUGAAAAUUUUGUACGUUUUUCAGCACAUUUUCAUUAACGUUUACAUGUUACCUUUUAGGGUAAUUCAUGGAUCAUUUAGUACAUCUUUAGGUGCAUUUUAAUGGAUUCAUUAGGUAAUAAUUUUCAUUUAAAUCAUCCACGUUAUACUUCAUAUGAACAUUACGAUUUAUACAAGUUUGUGCGUGUAAGAAUACAACCAUAACAUGCCAUUUAUUAUUUUUCAAACAAAAAGUAUAUGUCACGGCUACACAUUGCACACAUAUAAACACAUAAUUUCGAACAUCAUGCUUAACAUUCACAUAACUCCGAACAUAUAUAAAUGAACAUAAUCAACAAGAAAACAUAUAACAUCCCUAAUUUCUACCAGCAAACAUACCCAACUUACAAAUCGAUAGGAGCUACUGACUGGCAACAUCCAAAGGUGUUUAGUUUUUCGCUUAGAUUCAUCUAUGUCCCAAGGGUAUCUUAGUUUUCGGCGUAGAUUCAUUUAAGCCCCAAGGGAAUCUUGGUAAAGAGACCAAGAGUAAGAAAACCUAUACUUUUUAAGUGGUUUAAACCUUGACUUGCUGCCCAAAACCUUCUAAAAAUCACGUCCAAAUCCCCUCAACUUCAACACCUAUUCGACGGAAUAAUCCUCCCUUUUGCCUAACUAUUUUUAUUAUCUUGUUGUUCUGAUUUUUUUGUGUAAAUUCUUCAAAUGUGAAAAACAUUAAUAAAUUUUAUGUUCUUUUAGUUAUUUAGGAAGAGAGAACGUGAAAAGAAAUGAGAAUGAGAGAGACGUGAGAGAGAGAUGAUUGAGAAUAGGUUGUUUAGGAUUAGGUAAUGACUUAGUCAAACUAGGACUCUUUUAAACAUUAAAUAAUCUGAUUUUUCCUUUUUCAUAAAUCAGAUAAUAAUAAUUAAUUAAUUAAUUAAAUUAAUUUACCAAUUAAUUAAAACUAUUUAAAUCAUUGCUUCCACCUAGGUUUGAACCCGGGUGGAUGAAGACCUCAUUCAAAGGCCAAUUUUCAGGCCUCUCUCCCAAAAAGCCCCUCCACCUUAUUAAUUAAUUAAUUACAUAUUUAGGGUAAUAAUGAUACUAACGUUAGCCUGGAAAAAAAGACCAUUUUACCCCUAGACCCUCCAAACUUAACAUUUCCCCUUUUUAAGUCCGGUAAAGAAUUAUCCGGGUAAAUCUUCAUAUUUGGGAGCCCUACAUGGUUGGACCGAACCUUUCCUUACUCAACUAACUCCCCAUGUAUGUUGGCUUGGCUGUCGCAAAGGUUUAGAGGUCUUUUUCUACGCGCAUCAACUUGUGUGAAACCAGUCUAAUCGUAGACAUUCUAGACAUAUUAAGCAUUACUUAGCAUAUCAAUUUUUAGGGCUGUUACAUUCGGCUCGCCAACGAGCCGUCUAUUGCUCCAUUAUUUUGGGUUGUCUAACAGUCUAGGCUCAAGAAAGGUUCCUUCCUCAAGGGCCCUUGGAUGGUCCUUGGGAAUGUUUUCCUAGACAUUUCCAAACCAAAUAUGUUUGUAUACGAUUUUAGGAUGUCUCCCAUGAAUUUCAUCCAAAAUGAACAGGUAAAACUCAAAUAAAUAUGCCAAGACACACAAGGUCCUUUCAAGGCAAAUCUUUUGAACAUCGUGGACGUUCUUGGACGUUUAACCCCCAAACUUCACAAAAGUUGAGAAACUGACUUUAAACACUAUUAUAACUCACAUGCGUACCUCAUUAACUCAUAAAACACCCAUAGAGAAACUUAAUCACACGUGAGGAACAUAGGUUACUUAGUCGUCGAACGUCUUAGUCGUCCCUUGACGUUUGACUUCUAAUGCACCUAAAAUCUUAGACACUAUCUCAAUACCACAUUGUAGACCAUUUUGAAACCUUAUACCUUCAUGAAUACCACAUUAGAAUCUAGCUUCACCUAGUCAGUUUUGAGGUAUUACAGGUGUAACAACCCAUAAGUACACCAUAGAAGUUAGAGCAUCCUUGAGUCGCCACAGGACAUAUGAGACUUCAAGAAGUCUCACUUGAGCCUCUCUAUCACUCAUUUCAUAAUAAACAUUCGAAAAUGUGUAAAAAUAUAAAACUUUAUUCACACAUGAAGAACUCUUUCCAUAAGCAAUACACAAGCGGAAGACUUUCAUUUAAAACAGUAAACCUUUAAAACAUCUCAUUGAACCAUCUAAACUUUGGAGUGUAUAAUACAUUAGAUUAAGAUCAUUCAAGACAUAAAAUAAAGACUAAGACAUCAAUGAACAUGUGGAUAUUGUUCUCAAAUAAAUGAGGACUCACCAAUAAUUCAGCUUCAACCCUUGGAAAUCUAUCCAUCCUCCAUGGAAUAUAAAGACAUCGAAUGCCCCACCCUUUACUCAAAAAGUUAAAAGAAGGGGUUAGAACAUUAGAGACACUAAGUAUGGAAGUCAUGUAAAAACCAUGAAGAAGAGACAUUUAGUAAAUAACAUGCUUUUCGUGAAUUUUGAUUAAAACAUCAUAGUAAGCACAGGAAAGACAUUUAACACCUUAGGAGCACAUAAUAAAUCAUUUAAGUUAUUAUUCACAUUUUUAGCAACAUUACAGUAACCUCAUGCCAAGUUACAGGUAACUAACUUCACUGUUACAGUAAAUUUUUUCAACUUAACAAGGGAUACUUUGUAACAUGCAAUCCUCUUAAAAGACUUACUCAAGUAACUCAAGAAGAGAAUGUCCAUAAUUGACCUCUUCAAGAUUACCUUUGUAAUCCUAAAGAAUACCUAAGUUUGGAUGAUGUCUUACAUAACCAACCAAACUUCCAAACUAGAGUCAUCCUCAAGACUUAUCUAGGUAACAAAAUUAAGUGACCAUUCAUAUGCCCCCUUCAGACCAUAACUAGACAACCUUUAACUACUGUAGAUAAGUACUUAUGAUUUUAACAUACUUUCUUAACUUAAGUCAUUUCAUUAAUUAAUUCAUUUAAGACUCUUUCAUGACAUAAGUACAUUCAAGUAAUGGUCUUGGAGAAGACCUAGGGACUCACAAUAAGAUCUUCAAAGCCUAUUGUACAAUGUCUAAAUAAUAUCCCAUGCCACCACCUAAACUUCAUAGAACUUAUGUUGUGCUAUUAGGUAUCCCACAUGAUAAGAAUAGGCAAUAAUAGACAUAGACCAUGAUAGCAAAGCAUGGAAUCCGGAGCUGUAACCUACUCCAAUGGAGGGUGUUCUACUUGCCAAUGGUAGAAUUUUGACAUAUCCCAUGUAGGCAAAUUGUUAGGUAAUAUGAAGGGUGUGCUUUGUACUCUAAUCUAAUACUUUAACUAGAGAUACUUCCCUUACCAUACACACUCGGUGCUAGUCAUUGGUCUCAUAGAGUAAUUAACAUUAAAGGUUCAUACAAAGGGGUUACAUAUCAUGUUCAUAACACAAUCACAUUCACUCUACCAUUAAGGUCCCCUAGGGCUGGCAUACAAUGGAGACAAGAUAGCUCAUAUGCUUUCCUAAGGAUGAUAUGAUAUCGUUCAAGCUAUGCAUAAUAUGAAGAGAGUUAGGGAAAUAUGCAUAAUAUGAAGAGAGUUAGGGAAAUAUACCACCCAUUCAAUCUCACCAUUUUAAUCCAAAGCUAAAUCAUCCUAUUCAUUACCAUGUAAGGUCCUUACCCAUUGACAAGAACAUCAAUUGAAUACAUAAACCAUAAUAUUCAAGUAAUAUAGGCGAAUUCAAAAUCGAUUUAUCAAUCUACGACAUCCUAUAUAUCAUUUGAAUACAAUUCUUACAUCAUUAAAUACCAUAUAGAAAACUACACUAGAAUUCAUUAGCACUAAGUCAAUAUCAAUUCAAUAAGCUUAAUAUAACAUGGAUAUAAGAAUAUACAAUAAUCAAUUGAUCAAAUGGAAAAAUACUACAAACCAUAAGAUCAUAAUCUAUACGUUAAUCAAAAUACCAUAAUAAUCUACACAUGAAUUCAUUAAUAUCAAAGAAUGAUCGCAAAAUCGAUAUUUUAGUCAAAUUGAGAGAUUUGAGAAGUUCAAGGGUUUAAUGGAGAAAUUUUGUUGGAAAAUAACAAUUAUACGUCAAUAAUAUCAUAUCUUAAGGUUUGAAAAUGUUUCAUGCAAAAACAAAAGACUUAGAGUUGAAAUUGGACUUUUCAUCUACAUAAAUCAUUGUAAAUCAUAUUUGAAAUUAACUUUAAGGUGAUAGCAAGACUAAGAUGAAGAAAAACAAUACUUUAUUAGAAUAUUCCAAUGAUAAUUGAAGUUUAAACUCCAUAGAAGAUCAAUCUUCAAGGUCCAUCUUCACUUUGAGCUCUCAUGGAGGUUUUUGUAGAAACUUUGGGAGGGAAAGGGUUUUAAUCUAAGUUCUAGGAUUUAAAUGAGAGUUUACUGACUAAUAUAUUCUUAAAUUACCAUAAACACCUAAAACAACUAUCUUCCUAUAUCAUAAUACUUGGGGUGAAUUUCCCAAAAAUUUGCAGGUCUUAACAGAAAGCUGGAAAAAAAUUGCAGCACCAUCAUGCCUAGCAUUGACGGUCUGUUGGUGAGACCACCCCCCGUGUAUGGGGUUCGUUAGUUUCUUCUACAGAUCCUGAACCUGCAGACAAAAAGUAUCCAUUAGCGGUCUAUCAUCUAGAAGACUGGCAGUCGUUUGGGGCAGUUGAUUGCCACUGCCUGCAGUGUUGAGCUCCAAGUUGAGGUCCUCCUUCUAGGACCCCUUGUGGGUCCUAGGUGGAGUUGUACCCGGACGUUAAACCUCUAAAACUCACAUCUAGGUAUUAGGAACAUACCAAACAACUUCAACAUAAGAUAAGCCACAAAAAAUGCUAAAACCUAUCAAAACUCACUAGCAAGUCUAAUGGUUAUCUUUUGAAUUUCACCCGACGUUCUUGGACGUUUGACCUCCAAAUCUAACCAAACCCAACAUGGUGAAUCUAAAGAGUAUUAUUGAUAACGCUCAAAGUUACUAAUCAAAUAAGAAGUAAAGUGGUCAUAUCAAGUAAACAACCCGACUAAUGAGGUUGGGAUCAUUCCUACGAGGAAAAUAGUUCGGACAUAACUUUAAUCUACUAUUACUAUUAUUUAGUCAAUUAUUUCCAUAGAAAACAAAAGACAAUAAAAGGGUUUUUUUUUUCUAAAUUAAAGAAAAUAACUAACUAGAUUAUAGUAACAACUAACAGAUUUAAAUCUUGGAGUUUAUUCAAUUAAUAAAAGUAACUAGGAUUUAAGUGUUAUCCCCAGGUUCCUAACUUGAUAAUUCUAACUAUAACAAUUCUCUCCUAGUAUCUUGCAUUCAAAGUGAUAAGUAAUGUAUUUCUAAAUCCAUGGUCCGGCAUCUAGAAAAUUUCACUCCGCACCUUGGUUCGGCUACGUGUGUUUCUAUACUAACCCUUACCUUUACCUCAUAUUAAGAAUUGUAUUUGAUAUUUGACUAAGUUAUUACCUCGUACAAAUCAACACUAGCCUAUUAGAUAGAAUACACUAAAUCUAUGUUGAUAAUUCUUUUCCUAUUAUCUACCUCCUUGGUCCGGCAAGUAGCAUUAAGGCAACUUCUAACGUUGGCCAUUUGUUAAAAAGACUUCUAAACGAAAGAAUUAUCAAUACAUGCAAGAAACUAAUCUGGAAUUGUUCUUUUAGUUAGAUUUUACCUCAUUAUACAGCCAUUGCUCCCACAACCCUAGUUAUGGAGUUUAGUUACCCAUAAUCAUAAUCACAAUAUUCAAAUAUUUAAUAUAAGAAUUCAUGCACUUACUUUGAUGAGAAAGAAUAAAAUCCUGAAAUUCACUUGAUUAAUAAUCAAAAUCACCAACAAUCAAUUCCAGAAAAAGUGUAACAAUUACUUAAAAAUAAUCGAGAACUAAAGAUUCUCCAAAAGUCUAACAAUCAAAAAGUAUAAUAACAGAGAGUCUACUAACAAAGAGUCUAACCCCAAAAUGAGAUUUUUUCGAACUAUUUUUAAAAAAACAAAAACCUAAUAAAAGAAGGAUUCUAAUUUCUGAAAAUCUGUCAAAAUGCGUCCUAGUCGACGAACCUCGUGAAGGACCGUCAUGGUCAUGACAGGCCGUCAUGGCCUUUGUCAUCCUAUACUUCACAAACUCUUCUACUGCUUUCUUCAUUACCCUCGAUGAACAGGUAUGAUGGAAUGUUCCAAGCAUGAUGGACCGUCAAGGGUUUUAGUUCCAUAGUACUUAAACUUCAUGGAAUUUUGGUACUAGGACUACUCUCUGAUCAUUGUGACGAACCAGCAGGAUGGACCAUCGUAGCUGUGAUAGUCCUCCAUGGACUUCCGUAAUCCCACACUUAAGUCAGACUUACGCAUCUUCCUUCAGCAUAAGAUGCCACCUACAGACCGUCACAAGCUCGACGAACCGUCAAAAGCUCCGUAGGUGGUCUCUUCUGCAUUUCUUGCUCAAAAACAUCCGCGUUCGUCUUUGGACAUAUUUUUCCUGCAAAUAAAGAGAAACUUACACAAAAAUAAAUAGAAAAAGUAUUUUGGACACACACUAAACUUAAGGAAAUAACAUUAAAAAUACCGUAAAAACCACGGUAUAUCAACACCUUCAACAUAAAUUCGUUUGUUGUCCUCAAGCGACGCACUAUGACUCACUACAAAAUCUUUAUACAAUCGUAUCCAUAUUUUACCUUUCGCAAUCAUUUGGUUGUCAAUCCCGAUCAGUAGCAUCAUGUUUAUGCAUGUUAUCACUGUUAGGCUUGAUUUUAUGUGGGAUCAGAACAUGACACAGACUCACCAUGCACUGACACCUAUCCUCUUCAAUUUCUCACGGAGGUGCUAAGAUUUCCAGUAUUGCAACUAGUGUCCUCACUUGAGAACAACAUCCUCAUUUUUCACACAAUGAUAUCAGUUUGAGUAUGAAGAUUACUUUUCAACACUCGCUCUCAGAACAAAUUCACAACUCAUUCAUACAUAUUUCCAUAUGCUUGCCCUUAUUUUAACUGCUUUAAAUUCCCCAUACAACUCUUAGGAUCACGAUAGGACUUUCUUAGCUUGUAACAUAGGCUCAAGGUCAGGUAGGGUAUAUUUAGGUAUACUUUAGUGACUUUUCGCAAUUCUUGACAUAUAGGCUAAUCAUACAACUUUUGUCAUUUUAUUUCGCCUAAUUUAUCAUAUUCUUUCACCUUGCUAUUUUACCUUCUCUCUUCAUUUGUGUAAGUGACUCUCUUCUUUUCUUGCUUGUAUUUGUUACAUUUUUUUUAUUUCACUUUUGUUUCAACUGGUUGUCGAGUCACUUUACUUUGGUUCUUUCUCUCUCUUUGUUCUUUCAACACCACUUUCCAAAGCAUUCCUCAUAAUAGCCACCCUGAACUCAUGGCUUUUCCAUAAGUCAAAUUACACAAUACCCAAAGUUAGUUCAGGGCCAUGAAGAGGUUGUUUACUGCAUUAGCCACCCUCAACUUAUGCUUUUAGCAUAAGCUGAGGUGCACAUGUCGAAGGAGGGACCAGGGCCAAAACAUUAUUUCCAGAAAAGAUCAGUUGGAUUGAAAAAGAAAGGUCUAUUUUAAGCUAAAAUCAUUUGGAUCAAAGAGGGAUGAAUUUCAUUCGUUUUUUUAUUUAGACUAAAAAUUGGCUAUAUUGAACAAGGGCCUAUGUUCCUUUCUUUUUUGUCUAUUCAGCUUACUUUUACUAGGACUAACCAGACAAGUUCUAGCUUAGUACAAAUAGUGGACUAUUCAAAUCUUCCUCACACUCACUUGACAUCUCAUUACUGUACUAGAUAAUCAGACAUCUAGUUUGAAUUUUAGACUUAGGGUCAUGCAGUGGUGUAUCUCUAUGUCAUGCUUAGAGCCACACAUUUAUCAAUUACUAUUCCUAGUCAUGCAUCAUUAUCAUUGCUUCAGGAUAUCAUUUUAUUUUAGCCAUCAUGCUUAAGAGUUAAACUAUGUACGCAAGAUAUAGAUAUGCCGGUUCAACAAAAAAAAUCAGUCUAUUAGGGAAAAAGAACACAGGCAAGAAAACUUCAAAAGAGGAUUGUCGGGCUACUCAGACUUCAACCUAUAACUCACUUUCAAUUUACCCCACCACCAACAAAAAGAAAUUCAAUUGUCCCCAAUGCAUAAAGAAAAUUUAAAUACGAGAGUGGUAGUGAAGAAAACCUGGGGCGCAAAGAGCCGGCGAUCAGCAAUCUGGUGGGUCCAAUUCCCCGAAACCCACUACCUAUGUAGUCUGGACACCCUCAGUAGUGUCCUUAUCAGUAAAAACACUAUUAGUAGUGCCUCCCGCUGUCUCCACAUCUCUGGAGCUAGAUGCCCCACCAUCUGACUCUACUGCCCUGAUCCGACGCACCUCCUCAUCAACAAGUGAGGCUCUCCGCUCAGCCUCCAUUUAACGAUGCUCCUUUUUUUAUUCUCUAGCCUCAUCCUCCUCUCGAACCUUGAGUCUCUUGGCGUGCUCGAGAGAGAGAGGUUGUGGAAUCUCAAAAGUGGGGAAUAAGGCAGCCAUCUGUGUGUCCUCUGCAGGCUCGGUAGAAUGGGCCUUAUACUCAGGCACCAUAGCCUCUACGAUCUUAUCAAUAUUCGCUAGAAGACUCUCAACUGCAUCUUGAAGGGUCAACACGCCCACCUGAGGGGCUGGCUGGGCUAGCAGCCGUAACUCAAAAGUGUUCAAGCACUGAUGAACCUCAGGGAUCUUCCGCUCUGUGUGAUGGACCAUUUUACGCUCCAAGCGCUCCUUGCCUCAGCAAUAGACAUUUGCAUCGAAGGCUUGAUGUGAGGCAGAAGUGUAUCCAUCUAAGCCUCUAGCUUCAAGAACCUAGAAAGCGGGACCAGAGCGGGGAAAGGGACUGAGCAAGAGGAACUAGGGGCAGUGCUACUAACAGGGAUAGACUCAACCGGGGUAGUUUCAGUGGUUCUGGAAGUAGCCUUCAUAGCCGUUCGAGCAUGUGCUAGCGUAUCAACCAUAUUUUCACCAAGUGGAGGCAACUCUGGACGGGGCCCUCUGUGUGGAGCCAACUCAUUUGCCUCAUCCCUGAUUAGGCCGAUACCAAUAGUGCCUAGCGGAGACUUGAGCUGAUAAAUGUGCCAGAUGGGCACACCUUCGAACCUACAUAAGGAAAAUAUCAUGCACAGAAAAGGGUAAGUAGUUGUGACCUUUAAAGCCCUCUAGUUCAUGACCACCUAUAGAAGCCAAGCGAAGUCCACCUCAAACCCAUCUAUCAUCGCCGCCAUCAGAACUGCGCGAUCCCAUGUGACUAUAUUAUCAGCAACCGUGGGGGAAAGACAGUGGCGGACAAUCAACCAUAACAACUUAGUCGUAAGGUCAAGUUAGCCUUCUUGAUGGCUCCCUUCUGCUCCAUUACCUACUCGGCACCCUCUCAAUCAAUAGACAAGCGCCUGGCAAUCCACAUGUUUGUGGUCUCUCUAAGCGAUGGCUCACGCAAAAAUCGGUCAUCUUUGACAAUUUGCCACCGGUAGUAGAACUCGGCAGUGAGAGAGGUCCUAUUGGCAUCAACAUCCUCACCAUAUAGAUACUGGUGGAUGGCUAGCAGGGAGAUAUCGACAUGUACGCUACGUACCCUGAUAUGCUCCUCUGGGGCCUUUCUGGCGGUGGCAGCCCGCUUAACUAUCUGUGAUCAAAGAGUAGACACGUAAGAGGCAUAUAACUCUUGGACCAACUCCUCACUAUAGCGGCCUACAGAACAAGCUGUCCAUUCUAACAAGUGUCAGGUGAAGAGAUUGUGGAUCUCUGGCAUGGUGGGGAGACUUCCCGUAAGGACCCCUCUCUCCAAUGUAAGGGUCCGUGUCAUGACGCCUUUAUCAUUUUGAAACUUGGCAUCUGAAUACACUUGAUAUUACUAAUCGACACACAAUUGGUUGGGCUUGUCGGCAAUCAGGGUGAGAGCACCAGUCGGUGAGCCUGGAGUGGAAUCAAGACUGUCAGCCUCAUCAGUUAAGGAAGACUGUGAAGCUGAGGCGAGUGCAAGGACUUCUGCGGAUCUGGAGGCUUCAUCCGAUGACAAAACUCGUAAGAAACUUGACGCUCCUUCUUCAUGUGUAGCUGACAAAGAAAGUGUGUCGGUCAGUGUGUGCUCCUCAUCAGACUGGGAGGCAAUGACUACGCCGGAUGUCACCUUUUUGGGCGUAGCUCUGGUUGCACGUGCAUCUCGUAAUAGAGUGCCAGUGCCUGCGGGAAUGUACUCAGGAUCAUGCUCAUCAUCAGAGCCUAUAACCAGUCGGAAAGACGGGGAGAGAGACUUUAAACGCCCACGUGCGUAAACUCGAUCUUGUUUUGGUGCCAUUAAAGAUAGUACCUGCAAAGAAUAAAUAUGAGUACUAGAAGGAGAAAACAAGACAAGACAAAACGACACAAAAAAAUGUAAGAGCAAAGUAAUAAUGACAUCUAUGUAGUAACAGUGAAACACGACGGACCAGGUGACGGCUCGUCGUGAGUAUGACAGACGGUCAUGGGGUCCGUCAUGGCUUAUGUCAAUUAUGUUUAUGUGGAGACCCCUGAAGGAAAGUCUCUAACAGCUAUGACAGAUCAGCGAGACGGAUCGUCGUGAUGAUGACGGAUUGUCGUGAUGAUCGCUGUGGGGCACUGAGAAAAAGUAUGGAGACCCUUAGGAGAAAGGUCUCUGACCGUCAUGACGGUUGUGCAGGACGGACCAUCGAGGGUAUGAAGGUCCGUCGUAGAUGUCUGUCAUAUGACACUUGGAAAAAAAAGGAGACCCUUAAGACAAUGGUCUCUGACAACCAUGACGGUUGAGUAUUAGCUGGGCGAUGCGCCAAUCCUUGGGUCCUCCUCAAGGACCCUUCGUGUGGUUCAUAGGAGCCGUAACUAGAUGUUUUGACCCUAUAACCAUUAUUUUACCUAUUCAAAAUAUUUUUACAAAUUUUAGACUUCCUAAAAUCCCCCAACAUUCUCAAAACAUAAGGACGCCUACUAGUUCAAUUUUGCUAGAUUUCAGAUGUCAUGGUGGUCCCUUGACUUUUAGGUUCUAGUAUUUUAAAUCAAUUUAAUUAGAUUCAUAUAGGUCUGGAAACAAAAAGUUAGCCAUUAUUUAAUAGGUGGAGAUGUAGCCUAAGUCGUAGUAAUUUCAUGUGUGUUACACUCCUAGAGGCCUAAAACAAGCCCUUAGCAUACACGAUUGCAUUUUAUAGUUAAAUAACAAUACGGAAAAUUAAAAUCUUUACAUAUGAAGUUUAUAUAGUCUACCGUUCUCUCAAAGAUAACCAUCUAACAUAGGAAUACAAGAUUUGGACAUGGCCCUUACAUUAUUAAAAUAUUUAUCAUGUAGAAGCUACAAUAAAAAUCUCAAGAGAUAUGGAAAUGAAUAUUGUUGUUUAGAUUAAUCAAAUAGUAAAAUCUAGAAUGUAGGUUUCGAGCUCGGACUUCAGCACUCAAAAAACUGGAGAUCUCUACAAGUUUCUUUAAAUUUGGCCUUUAAACUCUUCAAUGGCCCGAACAUAGAUUAUUGUAGAAAUAUAGACAAUAUGUGUUAGUACAAUUUACAUGUACAAAGUAUGAAGACAUAUGCAAGUAAAAUAUUUAGAAACAUGAUACAAAACACAUUUUGUUUAUAUCAUGCUAAGUUACUUUUAAUGCCUUUAUGCACAUCUAAGCAUAUACAAUUCCAUAAUAUAACACUAAUGAUACUCAUUUUCAAGAGUACAUCAUGGUAAAGACAUAAUCAACAUUUAAUGUGUAGAGUAUAUUUCAUCAAUACCCUACAAGAUCUUACCUAUAAUCCCAAUUCAAGUCAAUUAGUGCAAUAUCUAUGUGAGCCUCAUAAGUUGACAUAAAGAAAGUCAACUAGUAAACAAACCACUAUCAUUGCUCGUACAUCAUUUAUCAUCAUCACAAUUGUACAUAAUCUUCUACAUAUAUGUAUAGACCAACAACAUGUAUAUGAAGUGAAUGCAACAUUAUGUGAGACCAACAUUAUCUAGAAUCAAUAUUUAAGCUUUUCAUUCAUAACAUAGGUAUAUAAAGAAACCACCCUAGGAAUUCCCUCAAGGUCUACAUAUGCAAUGUAUAGGUAAAGUCUCGUUCCCUUACCUACUCUAGUGCGUCUCUAAAAUCAUCCUAGUUAUUAUUUUUCUUAAUACUUUCAUUCGUUCAUUCAUUUAACUUUGGAAAACAUCACCAUAACCGACAAUAGAACAUGUGACAUAAACAUGGAAUCUGGUGUCAACCCCUCACACAAAAAGGAGGGCAUCCUACUUGCCAAGGUAGAACAUAUACAUCAUAAUAGCGUCAAUAUGGAUCUUCUAGCUAGGUUUUCCUAUGGGGGCACAUAGUUAGUGAACUAGGAGAUUCUUUCUAGAAACACUAUUUAUGCUAAUUCACAUUGUAGUUUCAAUCUCAUGAGACACUUGGUGAACCUACCUUCCUCAUUGGAAGAGACACCUCUCAUUGUCAAGUUCACUCGGUUCUAAGCAACAUAUUCCUUUUCUGAAGUAUCCUAGAGUCUUUCUUAACAUUAGCUUAUAUAAUAGAUUUUAAGAGACUAACCCUUUUAUAACAUUAUCAUAGAUUUUAGGUUAUAUAAGGAGAACUUCGUUUCACCACAACCCAACACUAAGCGAAAACAUUAUAUCAUAAUCAUGGUAAUAUGAUGCAUGUAGGAAUCACCUUCAAUCCCUCAUCAUAACACACCUAUAUCAUCUCACAAUCCAUGACAUUCAUAUAACGCUAUCAUAUUCAUAUUCUCUUCAUAUUCCUAUAAUACUCACAUAUUCAUAAUUCAAUGUAACAACAACAUAAAGAAUACACCAAUAAUAAUUGAAGUAAAGUAUUCAAGGUCUUAAAUGUCUUGCCAAUGGCUUCAAAGAAUUCAUCCAAGAUUUUACCCUAAAUUCAAUGAUAUUUAACUAAUAAUCAAUCCUAAUAAUCAUCUAAUAGUAAACUAUACAAAACAUAAUUUAUCUUCAUAUCCCUCAAUGAUAAACAAACCUAAAUAACAAGUUAGGGUUAAGAGAAGAAGAAUAUCCAUGGGUACUUAUAGAGAUUUAGAUCAAAGCUUUAUAGGAUACAUCAAACUACACACAAAUAUAGUUAUAUUAUCAAUAAUAAUUUAAUUAAGACUACACAAUUCCAUCUAGAAAGUAGACCCAUGAAAUUGGUUGAAAACAAGGUUUUUUGACGAAUAUUGAAAUCAAAUAUUUGAAGAUACUCUUGAGGAAGAGUAAGCCAUGAAUGAAUAGCCUCCAUACCUUGAGAAUAAUUGAAUAAUUAUGAAUAAAGGUCUUGAUCUGGAUCCCUAGUAUGAUGUUGACAUUGUUCUUCAAACAUUGAAGUAGGAAGAGAAACUAGAGAGAAGUGGAAAUUAUUUGGGUUUUGGGAUUUAAGGAGUGUUAGGUUAGUUUAAUGACUUAGAACCCCUUUAUAGUACUAAACUACUUAAUUAUAUCUAUCCCUAAGUAUUAAUUAAUUUAUAACUUAAUAACCUAAAAACCCCUAAUUAAUCAAUUUUGAGGUAGUGAACUAGGGGUCAAACGACGACUCCCCAUCAGCGCCGAUCAACUAAACCACGGGCCGUACUGGUCAAACAAGGAUUGGGAUAGAUACUGAAUUUUUGGACGCUAAAGAAAAUAUCUAAGUGUGUACUAGUGGCCAAAAACAACAGAGCGACGUUCAAUUGACGGCUCGUCGUUCAUCUUCUGGAUGCACUCAAUCUUUUGAUAGGUUUUAGGGUUAAUUGUUUGGGUCCUUCUCAAGGGCCCUUAGCGAGGUCCCUGGGGAGUCGUACCCAAUUGUUUCAACCCUAACCGUACUCUAAGUGGUUCUUAAAGCCUUUUCAUCAAUUUUGUAUUUUAUAUGACUAUUUAAACCCCUUGAAAAAACUAAGCACACACUAGGUCACUUUGACAAGUCCUAGACGUCAUGGUCGUUUCUUGACUUUUAGGUUUAAAUGCUUCCUAAUAAACUUAAAUACCUUUAUUUAGGCCUUCAAACACUGUUGUAAAGACUUAAACACUAGGUUAGACUCUAAGCUAGGUCCUUAGAUUUCUGAGGUGUAACACUAAUACAGAAUAUGUACAGAAGGCCAACUACUAUUUUUAAUUGGAAUAAUCUCAUGGAGGUGUGAAUGAAUAUGUUAGGAAGUGCUCAAUUUGUCAAAAACAAGUAAGUGUAAUCUCUUAAAAACUCAUGGACUCUGACAAUAUUUGGUUCUCAAAACCUCAUAAUGUUGCAUAACUAUAAACUUUAUCAAUGAGCUUCUAAAUUUUAAAUGGAAAAACAACCAUCCUUAUGGGGGUAGAGGAUCUAACCAUUUAUGGUUAUUUUAUGGUACUUAGUCACUCUUACACUGUUGUUUUGGUGCAUUAGAUAUUCAUGGACUAGGUUUUCUUUGGUGGAUUAGAUAUUCAUGUACUAGGUGUUCAAUUUCUAUGGUAUGCCAAAAAAUAUUGUGCUUGAUAGGGAUCCCAUAUUUUAGAAAGUUUUGAAAAGAACUAGUUUCAUUACAGGGAAUUACAUUAAGCACAACUCAACAUAUCAUCCACAAAAAGAUGGUCAAAGUGAUAUGCUUAAUGGGACAUUGGAGACUUAUUGAAGGUUAUAUUACUCAGAUAGUCAACAUGACUGAGUUUUAUACGUUCCCACAUGAAAGAAUGUGGUAUAAAUCCACCUACCAAUAAGAUAUAUAGAUAAACCCUUAUGAAGCAUUAUAUGGUCAAUCUCUAUCUAUGUUUAUACCAUAUCUACCAAGGGAAGUGGAAGACAUCAGUAAGAGUUUGAUUAUCAUAAGAAUGAAAGCUCAACUUUUAAAUUUCCAUCUACAUAGAGCUCAUCAUUGGAUCCAAUAUUUUACUAAGAAGCAUAAAAGUUAUAGGCAAUUGAAGGGUAUUACAUGUAUUUGAUGAUUCAAAUAUAUAAAUAGGUGAUAUUUUCUAAACAAACAUUCAAAAAGCUAGAAUUUUUUUAUGCACCUAUAAAAUAUCGAAAAAAGUUUGGAUCAAUUGCAAAUAAGUUAUUUCUAUAGGCUCAUGUGGCUAUCAAUCCCACUAUACAUAUGUCUCAUUUGAUGUUAUGACAUAAAGAAGCACUCCCUAAAAAUUAAUCACCAACCAUUGACAUAGAAAGUUCCUUUUGUGUGGAGGUAAAACAUUAAAAAAAAAAUAUUAUUAUGAAGGGUAAUAAUGUAGUGGCUCAGGUUCUGAUCUAUUGGAAGGAUAUGUCAAAAGAUCAAGCUACAUGAAAAUAUUUUCUAGCUAUACAUAUUAGGUUUUAAUGGUUCUUUGUUGGUGACAAGGAAGUAUUUAAGGAUGGAGGAAUGAUGAAAAAUUUAAGUGCUUCAAGUAAAUUGUAUUGUGAGUUGUGAGAGUGGUACUGAAUUUUCACUAUCAAGGGUGUUAUGAAGUUGUUAAGUUAGCUCUUUAGUUCCUAAUGUUUGAAAAGUAUUAUAUUUUAUUACACAUCAUUCAUCUUUGAAUGAUAUUACUAUAUCAUAGGCAAUUAGGUGAGGACACUAUUUCAAGCAUACUCUAUGUGAGUUACCUAGGGUUGUGGUAUUAUAUAUUGUACUAACGAAAAUUGUAACACUCCUAAAGGUUCGCGACUUAUUCUACAGAAUAACUUGUUGAAAUUAGUAUUUAAACAGUGUUUGUAAGCCUAAACUAAGAUAAUAAACUCAAUUAGGAAGUGUUACAGUCAAAUCACUCCCACUUCUCUCUACUUUGUCUCUUUAACCCCCCAUUGAACACCAUCGUUCAAGAUUCUUUAUGGAAUAAAUAAUCAAUAUUUCUUAUAUAAUUCUUAAAGGAUUUUUCAUGUAUGAAAUCUAUUCACUCUUGGGAUCUCUUUCCCCAAGAGUCUCUUCAAAAUUUGUUUUAAAAGAUGUCUAAAAUCAUGGUUUUCAUUCAAUGGAUUGUUUUUCAAAAUGAUUUAUCGUUGUAUUCAUUUGGUUUAUAAUUAUAGAUUAUGAUUUUUUAAUGGUUUAUUGUUGUAGUUCUUAGUCUUUGACCUAGUUUCUCUAAAAGAUCCAUGAAUGAACCCUAUUCCUAACCUUAACUAUGAAUUAAACUUGUAGAUGGUUAGGGUUGUUGGAAUUGGAUAAGUUAUUUCUUAAUUUAGUAUUAUAUGAAGUUGAUGAUUUGACUAUUGGAUGAAUGUCGUGGACUUGAGUGUCACAUCUUUAAGGAGAAAGGUUUCCCUUAUGACACCAUCCGUCAAAGGUGAAGGAUUGACUGGACCUUGAUCAUCAUUAGCAACUUUUUCAAGAGGAGGGACUUGAUUGCCUCGGGGAGGAAAUCCCGCAUUGGCAAUCUCUUUAUCAAUUCUUCGAGCAUCUGUUCUUCGAGUAUUCAUUGACUAUAAUCAACAUAAAAGGAUUAGAUGCUAAGGGAACAUGCAGUCAUGACUCUAGAGGCACGAUAUUGGAUUUAUAAGAAAAUGAGAGUUUCCCAAGCAUUAUAUUGUUUCCUAUUCAUAUUCGUAGCCUGAUUCGCACUUAUGAGUAAGAAUCUACAUAAUGUGAUUUAGUGAGACAUUGACUCUAAAGAUAUUCAACCUCAUGCUAUGAUACCAUGUUUGUCACAACUGGGGAGCACCCCUUAACGUAACCGCCGGCGGCGGCCCCGAAGAGGACUGAGAUUAGCCUCUUAGUUUACAUCGUUACAUAAAUAGGUUAAAAAUGCAGAAAAUUUAUUCUAUCUAUAAUAAGGUUUACAUAUACCUCUCGCAUACACAUAAUAUAUUGAUAUCGAGUAUAUAUAGACACUCUGUAUAAGAAGAUUACAUAGUCUUGAACUUUUGUUUGUACAAAUAUAUAUAAGAUAUAACAUAGUCAUAAAAUGAAUGUCUCAUCUCAUUACCAUAUAAACAAGAGUAUAAAAAUUGAGCGUAGCCCAUACAUAAACAUUAAAGCCACAUAUAGGAAAUACAAUCUUUAGUACUAGUAUGAAAAGAAAAGAACUAGAAGUCUUAUAACUAGAACAACAUUAAUAGAUUGAUAGUGGCAUUUCCCUCAGAAGGUGAGGACCUACCAAACUUUGAGAGUGAGAAUUCCAAGUAUUUAUUAAGAAGUUAUAACAAUCCCUUCAAUGACCGGAACCUAAAAUGUUUGGGGAAAACGCAGAAAUGGGGUUAGCACAUAACUUGUAUUAAGUAUAGGAUCACACGCACACACAACAUAUAACCAAGCUAUAAAGGAAAGUUUCAUUAAAGUAUUCUAUCUUACAUUUGGAAGACUUAUGCACAUUCAAGAACCAAUAUAAAAAACACCAAAAAUACUAAGUAUUGUCAAAUAAUAUGCAUAUCAACAUACUUGAGCAUAUAAUCAAGAAAACACUAUUAUCAAGUCAUAACAUCAUAACCAAGCAAGACCAUUACUCAUGAAUCCUCAUUAAGCCCACUAGUGUAAUGACUAAGAAAACUCCCAUAACCUUACUAAAUCGAGUAAACCUAAAAAGCACCAUAACCAAUGUCCAACUCCACAUACCAUAUCAUUAACAAUGCAUAACUUCAUACAUUAGCAAUAGACACCAAACACAUGUUCAUAAGGUUGACCAAGAUUAAAUAAUGACAUUAACAUGUAGAGUCAACAUAUCCUAACGUGUAUAUUAUAUGAACACAAAAACAACAUCCUAAGGCUUUCCUUAAGGCGAACUAGUGCAAGACAUAGGUAGAGUCUCAUACCCCAACUAGGCUAACUCAAGCCUCUUAAGUCACGCUAGUUAAUUUAUACUUCAUUACUUAAUUUUAAUUUAAGGAACAAUUGACUUAACCGACAUAGACCACAAGAGCUAAGUGCGUAGUCCGUUGUUGUAAAAUGUUACACUGAUGGAAAGUGGUAUAUCGGCCAAAGUAAAACAAAACAUAAACGUAGCUUUCUAGGUGGAUCCUGUCACAUCCAAGAAACACCCCCUAGACGUCACCAACUUCAUCGUCCUCUUUGACUACUAAGACUAGCCUCCAAAAAUACAUCAUUACAUUCAUAGGUUAAAAUCUAGAAAAUUUAAAUUUUUUUUGAUUACUUCUACAUUGAGGUUUACAUAGACCUCUACAUAAACACAAUAUAUUCAUAUCGAAUAUAAAUAGACUAUUUGCAUAACAAGAUUACAUAGUCUUAUACUUUUAUUGAACAUACAUAGUAUAAAAUAGUCUCAUAGGAAAUCUAUAACAUUAUGUCAUAUUAAUCCAUCUAGACAAGAGUAUCACAAUUUUUGCAUAGACCUUACAUCAACAAUUAUAGCCACAAAUAGGCUUUACAACUAUAGUACAAAAAUGAAAGAGAAUUAACAAAGUGUCUUUAAGACUAAACAACAUCCAAAUAGGUAGAAAAUGUCAUCGUUCUCGAAAAGUGAGGACCUACCGAACUUGGAAGAUAAGAAUCCAUGUAGUAUUAAAAUCCUUCGCUAAUAUUGACGACCAGAUCCUACAUUUGUACUAAACAUCAAACAUGGGUUAGUACACAGUUUUACUAAGUAUGGGUAUAUGCAAAUAAAACAAGUGAAAUCAUGCUAAAGAGGACAUUUGAUCAAACAAUGCUAAAGUACUUUUAAAAGCCUUAUGUACGAUUAGGAACCCAUGUAAUCCAAUACUCACAUAAGCAAUAAGUAAAACCAUCUGCAACCUAAGACCAACAUCAACAAGUAAUAGUCAAAUCAACAUAUACAAUUGUUCAUAACAUCAUAAUACAAGCAAGACCUUUACUCAUAACCCGCCGUUUAUCAUACAAGUGCAAUGUCUAAACAAAGACCCAUAUCUUUACUCAAUCAAGUAAAGUAAACAAAGGAUCACAAAUAACGCCUAACUUAACUUAACAUAAAAUAGCAUCUAUAAUAACUUUCAUCAUAUUUAGAAAUAUAUACCAAUAGGAUGUUCAUAAAUGAGCUAGCAUCAUAGAGGAUCAUCAACAUGUAAAGUCAACAUAAGAAUAACAUUUAUUUUAUAAGAUUAUUAUAUCCAGAGAUUAUCCUUCUAGGACUUCCAACAAGUCCAACUAGUGCAGUGCCUAGGUAGAGUCCCAUACCCCUACAUACACUAAGAAAACCUCUCAAGUCACCCUAUCUAGAAUUCACAUCAUUACUUCAUUUUAAUUUCAAGAAUAUUUGCCUUAAUAGACAUAGAAUAGAAGAGCUAAGUGUGGAAUACGGUGUUGUAAAACCUUACACUAAUGGAAGGUGGUCUAUCGCCCAAAGUAGAUCCAAACAAAAACGUAGCUUUCUAAAUGGAUCCACUAGCUAGUCUUCUUAUGGUGGAAACAUAGUUCUUGAACUAGGAGAUAUGUAUGAACCCUUGGCAUGAUUAUGGCAUUGGAUCCUCAUCUCAUGGAAAUCCAUUGGGUGACUAUCCCUGAUACGGGAGUCAACACCAUAUAUGGAACGAUAAAGUGAAUCUUCCUCUAUGGGAAGUCAAAACCUCCGAUUAACAAUUUCACUCGGUGCUAAGUUAAGUCCCUUUUGAAAUUUCUUUCCUUAGAAAUGAUUACUUAUUUAGGUCAUAGGGUCUAUCCCUUAAAUAAUCAUAGUCAUUUAGCUCAAUAGAUAUUUCAUGAGAACAUCUUUUCAUGACAACCCUCACAUGUUAGAUUAGCAUAUCAUCAUCAUCAUUUCACAACAAACACAUAGGCAAGUCAUUACCAACCUUAUAUCAUUUCAUCUAAAGCAUAAUCUUACAAUCACAAAGUCAAGAGAUUUCAAUUAAACAUCAUACCAAGAAAUAUGUAGGCUAUUCACAAUGUAUACUUCAAUUGAACUACAUCACCACUCACAAGCCAUCAUACUUGAAGUAAAGGUUAAGAUCAUGAAGACUUACAAAAUUUCCUUCAAAAUCCAUCAUUAUUGUCUUACAAUCAACCACCCAUUACAUCAAAUAAUAGGUGUCAUAACAUAGAUCAAUAGUAAUUUAUAAAAAAAUUUGGUUAUUUGCAUCAUCACUAUCUCAAUUAACAUCAAUUUAUAACCUAGGGUUAAGGGAAUUAGUGUUCAUCGAGAAUUUGAUCCAAUCCCACCAAUACAUUUCCCUAGUCAAUCCAUGGAUGAAUUAGAAUAGACAAAACAAGUCUAAUAAUCAAUUCAUAAUUUAAUUCCCAUCAAUUUAUAACAAAGAUCCAAGAUUUGGGACAAGUGGGGAAGGUAACAUGAUCAACAUGAAAUUAAAUCAAUUAACAUCAAUACUCAAUAAGUCAUAGGAAAUCACCAUUCAUCAUCAUUUUGAACUACAGAAGAAAAUCAUUAGAAUAUGAAAACCCCAUGGAAUUGGGUAAUUUAAAAAUCAACUUUGAGAGGAACUCUUGGGGAAUGGAGGCCCAAGAGUAAAGAACCCAUACCUUAUUGAAGAUUAAUUCACGAAAUUGAAGGUAAAUCCUUGAAAAAUUGGCCUUCUUCUUAAAGCUUUCUUCCUUGUUCAGUGUAGGAAUUGGGGAGAGUGUAAGUAGAGAGAGGUGAGAGCUUUUGGGUUUAGUUUAUGGAAUUGGGUUUGGAUGAGAGAAAAAUGACUAAAAAUACCUUUAGGCUAAAUAUAAUAACACCCUAAAUUUCUCAAAACACCCCUAACUUAAAUGGGUCUUUUUGUGAAGUCCAAAUGUAAGAAAUAUCAUUUUACCAAAGUUGGGAAGUGGUUCUGCGUCGCGGGGAAAACAAAAAUUUUUAUUUCCAAAAAAUAAUUUGAGAGAAGUGAGGUCCAUUUGUGGUGCGUGUUGCACAGCAGCCAACAGAUUCUUGACUCUGCAUGUUGUUGGCGCCCUGCCCACCCAUGUUGGGGUCCUCCUCCAUGAUUCUUCAAAUGGUUUUUGGGGCAUUUUUAUUGGACAUUUAAACCCACUAUACUACAUUCUACCUAACCAAAGUCUUUUUACAAGGUUUAGACUUCAUUUGGCCCCUUCAAGACUAUCCCAAACAUAGCGAUGUCAACUAGUUCAAUAACCUAGAUUUUGGACGUCAUGGACGUUCUUUAAUGUCUUGGCUCUAAAACAUCUUGGAUUACUUAUAUACAUUAUUAUAUAUCUUAAACAUUAGUUAAACCUUUAAACAAUGAUGUUAGGAUCUAGAAUAGGUGUUGAAUUUUUUGAGUGUUACAUUAUCCCCCCCCCCAUAAGGAACAUUUGUCCUCGAAUGACACUAAACUUUUUAAGUGGAAGGGAUAGACUAAAGACUAGCAACCCAACAAACAAUAUACAUCAUCAACAUGAGUAAUAAUUUGAUUCAACAUAAAAAUAUGGCAUUUAUAUAAUGACUCAAAGCAUCAGUUUUAUACAUAAUGGCUCAAAGUCACAAUAUGAGGAAUUUUAUUCCCAUAACAGCAACAUGAUCUUAACAUAUCAUUAAAGAGUCAAUUAUGCAAAUGUUCCUUUCUCAACAUAUCAAAAGUUUCAAUAUCAUAUUAUUAAGGCAACAACAUAUGAAGCACCUGCAAGUCAACCAAAAAAGCAUUUUUCCAUGAUAAUUAAUUUGGAAAAAACCUUUUUACCUUAAUUAUGCAAAAUUUUGCAACACAAGUCAAAUACAAUCAACUCAUUAUUAUUAAUUAUUAUUAAGGAGAAAAACUAACCUUACUUAUAAAAGAGAUGUGGAUAAUGGGACUUCAUGUCGGCAUCGGCCUCCCAUGUUGCUCCCUCAACUAGGUAGUUUCUCCAUAACAAUUUUAAGGAGGCCACCUCUUUGUUCCUCAACCUCUUUACUUGAUGAUCAAUGAUUUCAACCAGAACCUCCUCAUAGGAGAGGUUCUCUUUAACACCAAUACCUUUACUAGGAAGAAUGGACUCGUGAUUACCGAUACACUUCUUAUGUAAAGAAAUAUGGAAAACCGAAUGAACUGAACGUAGCUCACUAGGUAGUUUCAACUCGUAUUCAACCUUACCAACCUUUGCAUAAUUUAAUAGGGACCCACAUAACGAGGACUUAACUUCUCUUUCUUUCCAAAUCAAACCACCUUUUUCAUGGGUGAAUUUUUCAAAUACACCCUAUCACUUUCUUCAAAUUCAAGGUCUCUUCUCCUAUGAUUGGCAUAAGAUUUUUGCCGACUAUAGGGUCCUUACAACCGGUUCCAUAUGAUAUGAACUUUCUCCAAAGUCUUAUAUAUCUAAUCGGGACAAAAAAGUGAAGAUUUGAAAAUCUCCAACCAUCCAAUAGGUUAUCUUCACCUCAUAUCGUACAAGACUUCGUAAAGAGCCAUAGAUAUAAAUGUGAAACUAUUGUUAUAUGAGAAGCUUACCAAAGACCAGUGCUCAUCCCAAUUUCCCUUUAAGUCAAUUAUACAAGAACUAAGCAUAUCUUCAAGUGUUUGAAUAGUCCACUCCACUUGACCAUCAAUUUGAGGAUGAAGAGCGAUAUUUAACUUUACUUGAGUACCCGAAACUCUUUGAAAUGAUCUUCAAAAUCAAGAUGUAAAUUGAGGAUGUCUAUCCUAUAUAAUGUACAAAUGAACCCCAUGAAGACUUACUAUCUUUUAAAUAUAGAUCCUUGCAUAGUCUUUCACCGAAUUAGUAGACUUAAUGGGAAAAAGUGAGUGGAUUAGGUCAAUCUAUCCACUAAUACCCAUAUAGAGUCAUAUUGCUUUUAGGUUCAAGGCAAACCUACUACAAAAUCCAUAUUAACAUCGUCCCACUUCCAAGUAGGAAUUUUGAUUUGGAUUUCUUGUAGUAGACCACUCGACUUUUUGAGUCCGGCCUUCACUUGUUGACAAUUGGGAAACUUUGCAACAAAUUAUGUAGUAGCUCUUAUUAGGACAUCCCACAAGAAAACAUCUAUAAGGUCAUGGUACAAUUUUGUAGAGUAAAGGGCUCCAUGAGAUUUCUCAAGGAUCCUACUUAUCAAAUCAUCAACAUAGAGCACACACAAUCUACCUUGAUAUCUAAGAACACCAUCCCCCUAGGAGAAUGACUCAUUCAUCUUACAAAGAAUCGAUUCUUUAAACUCCAUCAACAAUUGAUCAAGGUGUUGCUUAGACUUCACCUUAAUCACCAAAGACAACUCAGAGUUAUAAUGUACCACCAUACCACCAUUUGGGGAAUCUUCAAUUCAAACCCCUAAACGAGCCAACCUAUGAACAUCUGUCACUAAGUUUCUCUUGAAUUCAUCCACGUGGGACACACUUCCCAUGGACAAUUGACUUAGAGCAUCUGCUACGUAUUCGCCUUGCUGAGGUGAUAGAGAACACUCAUAUCAUACUCUUUCAACAACUCUAACCAUAUCCAUUACCGGAGAUUCAACUCCGUUAGAGUAAAUACAUAUUGGAAACUUUUAAUACCUCCAUACAUUCAUGGCAAAUACCACGGCCGCUAACUCAAGGUCACAAGUGGGAUAAUUCUUCUCAUGAACAUUGAGUUGCCUAGAAGCAUAUGCUAUAACUUUGCCAUGUUGCAUAAGAACACACCCAAACCCAACUCGGGAUGUAUCACAAUAGACCACAAAACCCUUUGUACCCUCCAUUUAGUACCCUCAAGGACGCUAAGCCAAUCCUUCAACAUUUGGAAGCUCUUUUCACAUGCCUCUGACCAAUAACAUUUCACAUUCUUUUGGGUCAAAGUUGUCAAAGGGGAAGCAAUGGAUGCAAGCACAUCGACAAACCUUCUAUUAUAACCGGAAAGGCCUAAGAAAUCCUAAUAUGUGUACGAUCAAAAGAUAUAGGCCAAUUUUUCACUGUUUUUGUCUUUCUUGGAUCAAUCUCUACACCUUCAAUAGAGAGGAUAUGACUAAUAAAUGCUACCGAUCUCAACAAAAACUCACAUUUUCUAUACUUGGAAUAAAAACUAGUGUUCUUUAAUCACUUGCAACACCACUCUCUAAUGGUCCAGGUGUUCACCCUCAUUCUACAUAUAUACCAAGAUGUUGUCAAUGAACACAAUGACUAAUGAAUCUAGGUAACUUCCAAACACCCUAUUCAUUAGGUCUAUAAACGCCGCCGGAGAAUUAGUCAGACCAAAGGACAUUACUAAGAACUCAUAGUGACCAUAUCUAGUCAAAAAUGUUGUCUUGAGAAUAUCUUCACCUCUCACCCUAAGUUGGUGAUAUCCCGAUCUCACAUCAAUAAUACAAAUGUAAAUCGCACCUUGGAGUUGAUCAAAUAAUUCAUCAAUCCGAGGGAGAGGAUACAUGUUCUUGAUCGUGACAUUGUUGAGUUGACUGUAAGCGAUGCAUAUUCCAAGGGUACAAGAGCACCCCAUGGACAAAUACUAGGCUGAAUAAAGCCCCUGUCUAGUAAGUCUUUGAGUUGAGCGUUCAACUCUUUCAAUUCAUCCAGAACCAUCCGAUAAGGAGGAAUUAUAAUGGGAUUUGUAUCCGGUUUCAAGUCAAUAUCUAAACUAUUUUCCCAUUCGGGAUGAAUACCUCGAAGAUCAAUAGGAAAGACCUCUGAAAUUCCCUCACUAUGGGGACCGACUCAAUGGGAGGAAUUUCGGAAUCAAAAUCUUGGACUCUUACAAUAUGGUAUAAACAACCUUUUAAGAUCAUCCUACAAACUUUCAAACAUAAAAUGAUACGAUCUUUAUGAAUAGAGUUUCCCCUCUUUAACUCUAAAACGGGUUAAUUUGGAAAGUUAAACUUCACCACCCUUGUUCAACAAUCUAUGGAGGCCAUACAAGCAUGCAACAAAUCCAUACCAAAGAUGACAUAAAAAUCACCCCUAUUGUGAUCUACUAACUCCACAUGAUUAACUCUAUUGGGCAACAUUAUAGGAUAAUUUCUAUAUAUUCUCUUCGAAACAACCGACUCAUCCACCGGGGUAGUUACCAUAAAAGGUUCAUUAAAGAUAUCAUGCUAAAUGUCAAUCUUUCUACCUGCUAGAGGAGUAACAAAUGACAAGGUAGCACCAGGAUCAAGUAAAGCAUAUACAUCAAUAGAAAAUACUUUAAACAUAUCAUUCACCCUAUCGGGAGAAGUGUCUUGCUCACAUCUAGAGGGAAGAGCAUAAAAGGGAUUCUUCUUCGCAGCAUCGUCAGUUGAACCACUUUCUUGUUCACUUCCCUUUUCUUGAACCUUCAAAUUAGGGGAAUCUCUCACCUUGUGAAACAUUUUUCCAUAACUAAAACAAUUGCCCGUUCAAACUAACCAGUCACAAAAAUGACAUUUCCCACAUAUGGUACAAGUAAGCUUCUCAUUAGUUGAGUUUCCACUCAUUCCCUUUUGGAACCUAGGUUUAGGGAACUUUUCUAUGCAAGUCAUAGGGAACUUAGAAGGAACCUGAUUGAAUAAUAUCUUAUUGAACUUAGGCUUAUCAUGGAUAUCAAUCCUACCCUUUGAAGAACCACCAUCAAAAGACAUGGCCCUAUUUCUGUAACAACCCUAAAAAUGGAUAUGCUAAGCAAUGCUUAAUGUCUGUAGAAUGCCUACGAUUAGAUCGGGUUCACACGGAUUGAUGCGCGUAGAAUCAGACCUCUAAACCCUUGCUACAGCCAAGACAACUAUCUUGGGGAGUUAUUUGAGCUAGAAAAGGUUGGUUUCAUUCGUGUAGGGCUCUUGAAUACAAAGAUAUACUCAGAAGAUUCUUUACCAGACUUAAAAAAGGAAUGUCUUAGGUUUGGAGGGUCUGUGGGUAAGAUAUUAUAUUUUCGAGGCCAAGAGAAAUAUAGUAAUUACCCUAAGGAAAUUAUUAAUUUAUUAAUUAAUUUAAUGAAGUGGACAGUUUAAAUCGGGUUGACCCAAAAUAAACUGUUCGCGGUACUCACUCCACCCGCGUAUGAACCCCUAUGGAAGCUUCAAUUGAAUGUAUUUAAUUUGAGGUUUAUAUUGUGAUUUUUCAGGGCUUUAUGGUCAUUUCACUAAGCUAAUUAUAUAAUAUUUUUAUUAAAUUAAUAAGGAUUCCUAGUAUGACUAAUUCCCAAACUAAAACUCCUAAUCCUAAACUACUCUCUCACGCUCAUAUCUCUCACGUCUUUCCACUUCUCAUUCACGUUUUCUCUGCAAAACAAGAGUACUAAAGCAGAAAAAUUACUACAGAUCUUCACACUUGAAGAAAUAACUAAAAAAAUAUAUCAAAACAUAAGCAAAAAAUUUACGCAAAAAAGGGAAGUUUCUCCGUCUAAUUGGUGUUGAAGUUGCAGGGAAUUGGACAUUAUUUUGGAGUAGGUUUUGGGAGCAAAUCCAAUGUUUAAAAGAAAGAAAAGGUAUGAGUUUUCUUACUCUUGGUCCCUUUCCCAUGAGACCCCUGGGGUUCUAUCGAUUCUAAUCCAAAAACUACGAUUGUUUCCCCGUUGCAUGUCCCUGUCAAUAGCUCCUAUCGAUGGUUGUACAUUUGUAUGUCUGUUGGUUGAUAUUAGGAAUGUAAUGUGUUUUUGUGAUUAAUAUGUUCAUGAAUAUGUGUUUGGAAUUGUAAGAUAUUAGGCAUGAAAUACUAAAAAUAGGAAAUGAGAGGAGUGGGAUUCGAACCCACCACAUCUCAGUAAGAUUUUAGGAGGAAUUAAAAGAAAAAAUAAAAGUUUGAGGCAUGUGGGAAUCGAACACACGACCUCUAGGAAGAAUAAAAGGAGAUUAAGGAGAAAAUUAAAGUGGGGAUAUGGAGGUUUGAUUCCACACCCUCUCGGCGAAGAAGGAGACAAUUAAAAGAAAAGAAAAGAAAAGGAAAUGAGGUUGUGGGGGUUCUAUCCCACAUCCUCUCAAUCCCAAUGAACAAAAAAUAAAGUGAGAAAUAAAGGGGAAAAUGAAAUGAAAGCGUUGGGGAUCGAUCUUAGGUCCUCAAGCCAUGUGGAUCAAACCGAAAUAAAUAAAAAUGUAUUGUUAUCUAAGGGAUUCAAAAUAGGGUUCCCUUUCCCAAAUUUCGUAUUGAUACAUAAGUCAUACGUAAAUAAACAUUCAAAAAUAAUGUUGCCUACAUAGAUUGAAAUCGAGAUCUUCACAUACUUACAAGAUGUAUAAAUCUUGUAGCACAUAAUCUUAGAAAGAUGUGAAUCACUUAAACGAACUAUGAUUGAAGCCUCACGGCUUUUAUAUAUAGACCCAUAAGUCUAGCUUACGUGAAAAUUCAGUGAACCUAAGAUGUAUGUAACGAAUUUAUGAAACCCUAGAAGGGUCAGUAAGAGUGUGAAACACAUUAAAUGGCCAUGUGCAUUGCCAUAUGAUGAAAUGAACAUUCACGUAAAAAGAAGAGAGUAAUUAUGAAGGGAAAAUAUGCUAAAUCUAAUGAAUGUGGUGACAACAUGAUAGGAGGCUAAUGUAAAAGAUGAGAGCAAUCUCAAAUGAGCCUAAGUAUGUGUUACCAAAACUUACUCACCUCUAAGAGUGUAAAGCUAUAGAAGAGACUAGUAUCUAUGAACACUCUAACGAAAGUAUUUAGAAUAAUGUAUACUUAAUAGUAAUGACGAGAUGAGAAAUCAUCUAUUGAGCUAUAAUUUCCUAAUACUAGAAGUCAGCUUCCAUAACUUAUGAGUUAAAUGUAAUAGAACUUUAUACUAAGCACCAAAAGGUUAGCUUUGAGCGGUUAUGCCUUCUUUCGGGAAGGGCGGAGGUUCACGUAACUCUCAUGAGAUGUUACUGUCCCGCAUGCCGGGUAUGGUUCUCUUUAUAUCUCCUAGUCUUUGAACCUAUACUGCCAAUUUAGGGAUCUAGCAGGAUUUAUUUCCUUGUGUAUACUAGCAUGUUUUGGGUCACUUUGGCCGGUGAUUCCACCUUUUAUUGGUGUGGUGUAGGCAUUGGAUUUAAAGAUUCUCACAUGAUCUAUGUGAGUUAAUGUUAAAGUUCCCAAAGGAAUUAAUGAGGUCAGCCUCAAAUAAUGCAUAUAAUUAUAUGAACUAUACCGAAGGUGUUAGGAUAGGAUAAUUAAGAGGUGAUCUAGACUUAAGUAAUGACACUAGGUUAUUCUUGAUCAUUGCAUAGAAAACCCGAUGAGAGUCUUAAACUACAUCGUAGGUGUGGCUAAUGUUUGCACUAGAUUAUGAAUGAAUGAAAUGAAGUAUGAAUGAAUAAAGUAAACUCUAUGUUUGCUAAUGAAGGCUCCCUAGUUGAGAUCCCAUAUGUUGAGCCCUCAUUUUGGGAACUCUUAAUGUCAAAUCCAUGAUUCAAAGGUCUCAUCGCAUCUGAACGAAUGAUAUGAAAUAUGCUAUGUGUCAUAUGUGAUAUGUUAUGUGCUAUAUGGAAGAUGUUAUGUGAUGUGUAUAAUGUGAUAUGUAUGAUGAUGCAUGUUACUCUUAUGGCAUGACAUUACUAAAUUAAAUUUUUCAAGUCCCAUGAAUUUCCUAAUUCAUAUUUGGAAAAUCCCCUGACUUUCCUAAUUAAAAUUUGGAAUUCCCCUAACUUCCCUAAUCCCAAUUUGGCAAGUCCACUGACUUGACUUUCCAUAAGUCAUGUUCUUAGGAAAGAGCUAUUCUUCGUAGUUCAUAACCUUGGUGUGUGCUUGCAUAUACCCAUACUUAUUACAAGAGUGUACUAAUCCCAUACAACUCUACAUUUUUAGGUGAAGGCACAGGUGGACAUUGGAGCUUACAGCUCGACGCUGAAGCUAUCCGGACGUGAAGCACUCAUUAAGACUUGGUAGGCUCUCAUGCAUUAAUAGACGCUUGCCCAUUAUAUUCUAGAUUAUUCAUAAGAUUGAUCUAGUGGAUUAUUUUCAACUAGCAUUUCUUUCCGGUUUAUUACAAACAUUGUAUUGGUGGAUUUUGGAAAGUAUAAUUUUAAUGCAUUAUUGAACUAUUUCUUUCAUCUGAGGUUCUUAAUGUUAUAUGCUUGAUGUUAAAUGUAUAUGAAUUUAACAAGAAUGAAUUACCUGAAUGUUAAGUAAAAAAGUUCAAAAAUUUUCCAAUAAAAUUAACCUAGAUGAAGUAACAAUGACAUAUGUAGGCUUGUAUGCGACCUCUGGAAGGUCAACGACGCUGGUGUUCUCUGGUUAUAGACUCCGGUCGUGACAAAGUUCGUUUAAGAGAAUUAGGUUAAAUUACUAAGAUCAUAAGUUCACAUCAACCACCUUGAGUAGUUUCUAUGUCAUGGUAGUGAAGUGCACCACUAUCCUGAAUUAGAGACUACAUGAUGCAUGUGGAAAUUUCCUUUCUUCUGAUAUCGAUGCGCCUUUUCCUAACGUCUGAUAUCUUUAUGUUAUGAAUGUGUCUACAAUCAAUCCUUAUUAUUUUCAGACAAUAAAUACUAGGACAACUUUUGUAAGAGGAUAGGAGGAGCAGUUGUUGGGGACAAUCAGGUUGCACCCCAGGCUCCAGUUGAAGGAGUAGCUAUUUCGGUUAACCCUGCUGGGUUGACUGAUGCGGAGGUGCAGGCAUCUCUGGACUAGAUGGCACAGGCCAUUACUAUGCAGGCCCAGAUCAUUACUUACCAGGUCAACCGGAAGAAUAUUCAGAGGGAGAACUCACCGGUUAGUAGCAUGCCUGAAAGUCUAUGAGACCUCACGAGGAUGAAUCCUCUUAUUUUCACAAGGUCUAAGAAUUCAGAAUAUCCCCAAGAGUUUGUGGAUGAGGUGUAUAAGAUUUUAGUGGCUAUGGGGGGCCACAGAUAUCGAGAAAGCAGAGUUGGCUCCCUAUUAACUUAAGGAUGUUGCACAAACUUGAUGCAAGAUGUGGAAGGAUAGCCGAGCUUUGGGUCUCUUGGGAGUUUUUUUGGACAACCUUCCUAGAGAGAUUCUUCCUUAGUAUGAUAAGGGAGGACAAGGUUGAGGAGUUUAUCAACCUUAAGUAGGGAUCAAUGACAGUCAGGGAGUAUUCCCUGAAGUUUAUUAAACUAUGGAGGUAUGCAACUUCCCUUCUAUCUAACAGCAGGGAUGAGAUGAGUAGGUUCCUCAUAGGAAUCACCGAAGGUAUGGAAGAGGAGUGUCGGGCUGCGAUGCUCCACGAUAUCAUGGACCUCUCCAGGGAGAUUUUACAUGUACAACGGUGGAGGACAGCCGGAAGAAGAGGGGCAUCUGUGAUUCUAAGAGGCCUAAGACUCAUUAUCAGGCAGGUCAUAGCAAUAGAGGCAAGAGAAAUAAUUUUGGGGUCCGUGAGCAGCCAUAUUCAAAAAGAGAAAACAAAGUUCAGGUAAAUCUAUCUUUCAGAGGAGUACAACACCUAGAGGAGGCAGACUCGAUACCAAGAAGGGUAAUGGAGGGUAUAUGCAGUGUCCCAAAAAGAAUUGUGGUAACUGUGUCCAUGCUCAUAGUUGACAAUGCAGACAGGACACUAAUGCCUACUUCGGUUGCAUUAAGAAAGGGAACAUGGUUAAGGACUUCCCACUGAACAGGGGUAAGAAUUGAGGUAAUGCUUAGCCUAGGCCUAAUGCACAGGGUGCAGCAACAGCCGAGCCUCCUAAGAGGAAUAGGUUCUACGCACUGAAGAGCACAGAGUAGGAUGAGAAGUCUGCUUAUGUGGUCACAAGUAUUGUACAAGUAUUCUCAACUUCUGUUUAUGCUUUACUUGAUUCAUGCUCUACGCUUUUCUUUAUAACUCGUCUACUUCCUAAAGUUUUGCAUGAUCCUAUAGUAGUUGGUACACCUUUAGGAGAAAAUGUAAGAACUGAUAGAGUAUACAAGGAUUGCCCAAUAGUUGUAGGUGGUAAGACUAUGUGCGCAGACUUGGUUGAGUUACCAAUGAAUGAUUUUGAUGUUAUGUUAUGACUACCAUUGUGCUAGAUAACUAGUAGUGUCAUUCGGGGAUGAAUGACUCUAAGGGGGGAGAAUGUAACAACCCUAAAAAUGGAUAUGCUAAGUAAUGCUUAAUCUUUGACGUAGUUUCUCUAAAAGAUCCAUGAAUGAACCCUAUUCCGAACCUUAACUAUGAAUUAAACUUGUAGAUGGUUAGGGUUGUAGGAAUUGGAUAAGUUAUUUCUUAAUUUAGUAUUAUAUGAAGUUGAUGAUUUUACUAUUGGAUGAAUGUAGUGGACUUGAAUGUCACAUCUUUAAGGAGAAAGGCUUCCCUUAUGACACCAUCCGUCAAAGGUGAAGGAUUGACUGGACCUUGAUCAUCAUUAGCAAAUUUUUCAAGAGGAGGGACUUGAUUGCCCCGGGGAGGAAAUCUCGCAUUGGCAAUCUCUUUAUCAAGUCUUCGAGCAUCUGUUCUUCGAGUAUUCAUUGACUAUAAUCAACAUAAAAGGAUUAGAUGCUAAGGGAACAUGCAGUCAUGACUCUAGAGGCACGAUAUUGGAUUUAUAAGAAAAUGAGAGUUUCCCAAGCAUUAUAUUGUUUCCUAUUCAUAUUCGUAGCCUGAUUCACACUUAUGAGUAAGAAUCUACAUAAUGUGAUUUAGUGAGAAAUUGACUUUAAAGAUAUUCAACCUCGUGCUAUGAUACCAUGUUUGUCACAACUGGGGAGCACCCCCUAACGUAACCGCCGGCGGCGGCCCCGAAGAGGACUGAGAUUAGCCUCUUAGUUUACAUCAGUACAUAAAUAGGUUUAAAAUGCAGAAAAUUUAUUCUAUCUAUAAUAAGGUUUACAUAUACCUCUCGCAUACACAUAAUAUAUUCAUAUCGAGUAUAUAUAGACACUCCGUAUAAGAAGAUUACAUAGUCUUGAACUUUUGUUUGCACAAAUAUAUAUAAGAUAUAACCUAGUCAUAAAAUGAAUAUCUCAUCUCAUAACCAUAUAAACAAGAGUAUAAAAAUUGAGCGUAGCCCAUACAUCAACAUUAAAGCCACAUAUAGGAAAUACAAUCUUUAGUACUAGUAUGAAAAGAAAAGAACUAGAAGUCUUAUAACUAGAACAACAUUAAUAGAUUGAUAGUGGCAUUUCCCUCGGAAGGUGAGGACCUACCCAACUUUGAGAGUGAGAAUUCCAAGUAUUUAUUAAGAAGUUAUAACAAUCCCUUCAAUGACCGGAACCUAAAAUGUUUGGGGAAAACGCAAAAAUGGGGUUAGCACAUAACUUGUAUUAAGUGUAGGAUCACACGCACACACAACAUAUAACCAUGCUAUAAAGGAAAGUUUCAUUAUAGUAUUCUAUCUUACAUUUGGAAGACUUAUGCACAUUCAAGAACCAAUAUCAACAAUACCAAAAAUACUAAGUACUGUCAAGUAAUAUGCAUAUCAACAUACUUGAGCAUAUAAUCAAGAAAACUCUAUUAUCAGGUCAUAACAUCAUAAUCAAGCAAGACCAUUACUCAUGAAUCCUCAUUAAGUCCACUAGUGUAAUGACUAAGAAAACUCCCAUAACCUUACUAAAUCGAGUAAACCUAAAAAGCACCAUAACCAAUGUCCAACUCCACAUACCAUAUCAUUAACAACGCAUAACUUCAUACAUUAGCAAUAGAGACCAAACAUAUGUUCAUAAGGUUGACCAAGAUCAAAUAAUGACAUUAACAUGUAGAGUCAACAUAUCCUAACAUGUAUAUUAUAUGAACACAAGAACAACAUCCUAAGGCUUUCCUUAAGGAAAACUAGUGCAAGACAUAGGUAGAGUCUCAUACCCCGACUAGGCUAACUCAAAACUCUUAAGUCACGCUAGUUAAUUUAUACUUCAUUACUUAAUUUUAAUUUAAGGAACAAUUGACUUAAACGACAUAGAACACAAGAUCUAAGUGCGUAGUUCGUUGUUGUAAAAUGUUACACUGAUGGAAAGUGGUAUACCGGCCAAAGUAAAACCAAACAUAAACGUAGCUUUCUAGGUGUAUCCUGUCACAUCCAAGAAACACCCCCUAGACGUCACCAACUUCAUCGUCCUCUUUGACUACUAAGACUAGCCUCCAAAAAUACAUCAUUACAUUCAUAGUUUAAAAUGCAGAAAAUUUAAAUUUUUUUUGAUUACUUCUACAUUGAGGUUUACAUAGACCUCUACAUAAACACAAUAUAUUCAUAUCGAAUAUAAAUAGACUAUUUGUAUAGCAAGAUUACAUAGUCUUAUACUUUUAUUGAACAUACAUAGUAUAAAAUAGUCUCAUAGGAAAUAUAUAACAUUAUGUCAUAUUAAUCCAUCUAGACAAGAGUAUCACAAUUUUCGCAUAGACCUUACAUCAACAAUUAUAGCCACAGAUAGGCUUUACAACUAUAGUACAAAAAUGAAAGAGAAUUAACAAAGUGUCUUUAAGACUAAACAACGUCCAAAUAGGUAGAUAAUGUCAUCGUUCUCGAAAAGUGAGGACCUACCGAACUUGGAAGAUAAGAAUCCAUGUAGUCUUAAAUGCCUUCGCUAAUAUUGACGACCAGAUCCUACAUUUGUACUAAACAUCAAACAUGGGUUAGUACACAGUUGUACUAAGUAUGGGUAUAUGCAAAUAAAACAAGUGAAAUCAUGCUAAAGAGAACAUUUGAUCAAACAAUGCUAAAGUACUUUUAAAAGCCUUAUGUACUAUUAGGAACCCAUGUAAGCCAAUACUCACAUAAGCAAUAAGUCAAACCAUCUGCAACCUAAGACCAACAUCAACAAGUAAUAGUCAAAUCAACAUAUACAAUUUUUCAUAACAUCAUAAUACAAGCAAGACCUUUACUCAUAACCCGCCGUUUAUCAUACAAGUGCAAUGUCUAAACAAAGACCCAUAACUUUACUCAAUCAAGUAAAGCAAACAAAGGAUCACAAAUAACGCCUAACUUAACUUAACAUAACAUAGCAUCUAUAAUAACAUUCAUCAUAUUUAGAAAUAUAUACCAAUAGGAUGUUCAUAAAUGAGCUAACAUCAUAGAGGAUCAUUAACAUGUAAAGUCAACAUAAGAAUAACAUUUAUUUUAUAAGAUUAUUAUAUCCAGAGAUUAUCCUUCUAGGAAUUCCAACAAGUCCAACUAGUGCAGUGCCUAGGUAGAGUCCCAUACCCCUACAUAGACUAAGAAAACCUCUCAAGUCACCCUAUCUAGAAUUCACAUCACUACUUCAUUUUAAUUUCAAGAAUAUCUGCCUUAAUAGACAUAAAAUACAAGAGCUAAGUGUGGAAUACGGUGUUGUAAAACCUUACACUAUUGGAAGGUGGUCUAUCGCCCAAAGUAGAUCCAAACAAAAACGUAGCUUUCUAAGUGGAUCAACUAGCUUGUCUUCUUAUGGUGGAAACAUAGUUCUCGAACUAGGAGAUAUGUAUGAACCCUAGGCAUGAUUAUGGCAUUGGAUCCUCAUCUCAUGGAAAUCCAUUGGGUGACUGUCCCUGAUACAGGAGUCAACACCAUAUAUGGAACGAUAAAGUGAAUCUUCCUCUAGGGGAAUUCAAAACCUCCGAUUGUCAAUUUCACUCGGUGCUAAGUUAAGUCCCUUUUGAAAUGUCUUUCCUUAGAAAUGAUUACUUAUUUAGGUCAUAGGGUGUAUCCCUUAAAUAAUCAUAGUCAUUUAGCUCAAUAGAUAUUUCAUGAGAACAUCUUUUCAUGACAACCCUCACAUGUUAGAUUAGCAUAUCAUCAUCAUCAUUUCACAACAAACACAUAGGCAAGUCAUUACCAACCUUAUAUCAUUUCAUCUUAAGCAUAAUCUUACAAUCACAAAGUCAAGAGAUUUCAAUUAAACAUCAUACAUAGAAAUAUGUAGGCUAUUCACAAUGUAUACUUCAAUUGAACUACAUCACCACUCACAAGCCAUCAUACUUGAAGUAAAGGUUAGGAUCGUGAAGACUUACAAAAUUUCCUUCAAAAUCCAUCAUUAUUGUCUUACAAUCAACCACCCCUUACAUCAAAUAAUAGGUGUCGUAACAUAGAUCAAUAGUAAUUUAUAAAAGAAUUUUGUUAUUUGCAUCAUCACUAUCUCAAUUAACAUCAAUUUAUAACCUAGGGUUAAGGGAAUUAGUGUUCAUCGAGAAUUUGAUCCAAUCCCACCAAUACAUUUCCCUAGUCAAUGCAUGGAUGAAUUAGAAUAGACAAAACAAGUCUAAUAAUCAAUUCAUAAUUUAAUUCCCAUCAAUUUAAAGCAAAGAUCCAAGAUUUGGGACAAGUGGGGAAGGUAACAUGAUCAACAUGAAAUUAAAUCAAUUAACAUCAAUACUCAAUAAGUCAUAGGAAAUCACCAUUCAUAAUCAUUUUGAACUACAGAAGAAAACCAUUAGAAUAUGAAAACCUCAUUGAAUUGGGUAAUUUAAAAAUCAACUUUGAGAGGAACUCUUGGGGAAUGGAGGCCCAAGAGUAAAGAACCCAUACGUUAUUGAAGAUUAAUUCACGAAAUUGAAGGUAAAUCCUUGAAAAAUUGGCCUUCUUCUUAAAGCUUUCUUCCUUGUUCAAUGUAGGAAUUGGGGAGAGUGUAAGUAGAGAGAGGUGAGAGCUUUUGGGUUUUGUUUAUGGAAUUGGGUUUGUAUGAGAGAAAAAUGACUAAAAAUACCUUUAGGCUAAAUAUAAUAACACCCUAAAUUUCUCAAAACACCCCUAAUUUAAAUGGAUCUUUUUGUGAAGUCCAAAUGUAAAAAAAAUCAUUUUACCAAAGUUGGGAAGUGGUUCUGCGUCACGGGGAAAACAAACAUUUUUAUUUCCAAAAAAUAAUUUAAGAGAAGUGAGGUCCAUUUGUGCUGCGUGUUGCACAGCAGCCAACAGAUUCUUGACUCUGCACGUUGUUGGCGCCCUGCCCACCCAUGUUGGGGUCCUCCUCCAUGACCCUUCGAAUGGUUUUUGGGGCAUUGUUAUUGGACAUUUAAACCCACUAUACUACAUUCUACCUAACCAAAGUCUUUUUACAAGUUUUAGACUUCAUUUGGCCCCUUCAAGACUAUCCCAAACAUAGCGAUGUCAACUAGUUCAAUAAUCUAGAUUUUGGACGUCAUGGACGUUCUUUAAUGUCUUGGCUCUAAAACAUCUUGGAUUACUUGUAUACAUUAUUAUAUGUCUUAAACAUUAUUUAAACCUUUAAACACUGAAGUUAGGAUCUAGAAUAGGUGUUCAAUUUUUUGAGUGUUACAUUAUCCCCCCCCCCCAUGAGGAACAUUUGUCCUCGAAUGACACUAAACUUUUUAAGUGGAAGGGAUAGACUCAAGACUAGCAACCCAACAAACAAUAUACAUCAUCAACAUGAGUUACAAUUUAAUUCAACAUAAAAAUAUGGCAUUUAUAUAAUGACUCAAAGCAUCAGUUUUAUACAUAAUGGCUCAAAGUCACAAUAUGAGGAAUUUUAUUCUCGUAACAGCAACAUGAUCUCAACAUAUCAUUAAAGAGUCAAUUAUGCAAAUGUUCCUUUCUCAACAUAUCAAAAGUUUCAAUAUCACAUUAUUAAGACAACAACAUAUGAAGCACCUGCAAGUCAAGCAAAAAAGCAUUUUUCCAUGAUAAUUAAUUUAGAAAAAACCUUUUUACCUUAAUUAUGCAAAAUUUUGCAACACAAGUCAAAUACAAUCAACUCAUUAUUAUUCAUUAUUAUUAAGUAGAAAAACUAACCUUUCUUAGAAAAAAGAUGUGGAUAAUGGGACUUCAUGUCGGCAUCGGCCUCCCAUGUUGCUCCCUCAACUAGGUAGUUUCUCCAUAACAAUUUUAAGGAGGCCACCUCUUUGUUCCUCAACCUCUUUACUUAAUGAUCAAUGAUUUCAACAAGAACAUCCUCAUAGGAGAGGUUCUCUUUAACACCAAUACCUUUACUAGGAAGAAUGGACUCGUGAUUACCGAUACACUUCUUAUGUAAAGAAAUAUGGAAAACCGAAUGAACUAAACGUAGCUCACUAGGUAGUUUCAACUUGUAUUCAACCUUACCAACCUUUGCAUAAUUUAACAAGGACCCACAUAACGAGGACUUAACUUCUCUUUCUUUCCAAAUCAAACCACCUUUUUCAUGGGUGAAUUUUUCAAAUACACCUUAUCACUUUCUUCAAAUUCAAGGUCUCUUCUCCUAUGAUUGGCAUAAGAUUUUUGCCGACUAUAGGGUCUUUGCAAUUCCAUAUGAUAUGAACUUUCUCCAAAGUCUUAUAUAUCUAAUCGGGACAAAAAAGUGAAGAUUUGAAAAUCUCCAACCAUCCAAUAGGUUAUCUACACCUCAUAUCAUACAAGACUUCGUAAAGAGCCAUAGAUAUAAAUGUGAAGUUAUUGUUAUAUGAGAAGCUUACCAAAGACAAGUGCUCAUCACAAUUUCCCUUUAAGUCAAUUAUAUAAGACCUAAGCAUAUCUUCAAGUAUUUGAAUAGUCCACUCCAUUUGACCAUCAAUUUGAGGAUGAAGAGCGAUAUUUAACUUUACUUGAGUACCCAAAACUCUUUGAAAUGAUCUUCAAAAUCUAGAUGUAAACUGAGGAUGUCUAUCCGAUAUAAUGUACUAAUGAACCCCAUGAAGACUCACUAUCUUUUAAAUAUUUAUCCUUGCAUAGUCUUUCACCGAAUAAGUAGACUUAAUCGGAAAAAGUGAGUGGAUUAGGUCAAUCUAUUCACUAAUACCCAUAUAGAGUCAUAUUGCUUUUAGGUUCAAGGCAAACCUACUACAAAAUCCAUAUUAACAUCGUCCCACUUCCAAGUAGGAAUUUUGAUUUGGAUUUCUUGUAGUAGACCACUCGACUUUUGGUGUCCGGCCUUCACUUGUUGACAAUUGGGACACUUUGCAACAAAUUCUGUAGUAGCUCUUUUUAGGACAUCCCACAAGAAAACUUCUAUAAGGUCAUGGUACAAUUUUGUAGAGUAAAGAGCUCCAUGAGAUUUCUCAAGGAUCCUACUUAUCAAAUCAUCAACAUAGAGCACACACAAUCUACCUUGAUAUCUAAGAACACCAUCCCCCUAGGAGAAUGACUCAUUCAUCUUACAAAGAAUCGAUUCUUUAAACUACAUCAACAAUUGAUCAAGGUGUUGCUUAGACUUCACCUCAAUCACCAAAGACAACUCAGAGUUAUAAUGUACCACCAUACCACCAUUUGGGGAAUCUUCAAUUCAAACCCCUAAACGAGCCAACCUAUGGACAUCUUUCACUAAGUUUCUCUUGAAUUCAUCCACGUGGGACACACUUCCCAUGGACAAUUGACUUAGAGCAUCUGCUACGUAUUCGCCUUGCUGAGGUGAUAGAGAACUCUCAUAUCAUACUCUUUCAACAACUCUAACCAUAUCCAUUACAUGAUAUUCAACUCCGUUAGAGUAAAUACAUAUUGGAAACUUUUAAUACAUCCAUAUUUUCAAGGCAAAUACCACGGCCACUAACUCAAGGUCACAAGUGGGAUAAUUCUUCUCAUGAACAUUGAGUUGCCUAGAAGCAUAUGCUAUAACUUUGCCAUGUUGCAUAAGAACACACCAAAACCCAACUCAGGAUGUAUCACAAUAGACCACAAUACCCUUUGUACCCUCCAGUUAGUACCCUCAAGGACGCUAAGCCUAUCCUUCAACAUUUGGAAGCUCUUUUCACAUGCCUCUGACCAAUAACAUUUCACAUUCUUUUGGGUCAAAGUUGUCAAAGGGGAAGCAAUGGAUGCAAGCACAUCGACAAACCUUCUAUUAUAACCGGAAAGGCCUAAGAAAUCCUAAUAUUUGUACGAUCCAAAGAUAUAGGCCAAUUUUUCACUGUUUUGGUCUUUCUUGGAUCAAUCUCUACACCUUUAAUAGAGAGGAUAUUACUAAUAAAUGCUACCGAUCUCAACAAAAACUCACAUUUUCUAUACUUGGAAUAAAAACUAGUGUUCCUUAAUCACUUGCAACACCACUCUCAAAUGGUCCAGGUGUUCACCCUCAUUCUACAUAUAUACCAAGAUGUUGUCAAUGAACACAAUGACUAAUGAAUCUCGGUAACUUCCAAACACCCUAUUCAUUAGGUCUAUAAACUUCGCUGGAGAAUUAGUCAGACCAAAGGACAUUACUAAGAACUCAUAGUGACCAUAUCUAGUCCAAAAUGUUGUCUUGAGAAUAUCUUCACCUCUCACCCUAAGUUGGUGAUAUACCGAUCUCACAUCAAUCUUACAAAUGUAAAUCGCACCUUGGAGUUGAUCAAAUAAUUCGUCAAUCCGAGGGAGAGGAUACAUGUUCUUGAUUGUGACAUUGUUGAGUUGACUGUAAGCGAUGCAUAUUCUAAGGGUACCAGAGCACCCCAUGGACUAAUACUAGGCUGAAUAAAGCCCCUGUCUAGUAAGUCUUUGAGUUGAGCGUUCAACUCUUUCAAUUCAUCCAGAACCAUCCAAUAAGGAGGAAUUAUAAUGGGAUUUGUAUCCGGUAGCAAGUCAAUAUCUAAACUAUUUUCCCAUUCGAGAGGAAUACCUCGAAGAUCAAUAGGAAAGACCUCUGAAAUUCCCUUACUAUGGGGACCGACUCAAUGGGAGGAAUUUUGGAAUCAAAAUCUUGGACUCUUACAAUAUGGUAUAAACAACCUUUUAUGAUCAUCCUACAAACAUUCAAACAUAAAAUGAUACGAUCUUUAUGAAUAGAGUUUCCCCCCUUCAACUCUAAAACGGGUUCAUUUGGAAAGUUAAACUUCACCACCCUUGUUCAACAAUCAAUGGAGGCGAUACAAGCACGCAACCAAUCCAUACCAAAUAUGACAUAAAAAUCACCCCUAUUGUGAUCUACUAACUCCACAUGAUUAACUCUAUUGGGCAACAUUAUAGGAUAAUUUCUAUAUAUUCUCUUCGAAACAACCGACUCAUCCACCGGGGUAGUUACCAUAAAAGGUUCAUUAAAGAUAUCAUGCAAAAUGUCAAUCUUUCUACCUACUAGAGGAGUAACAAAUGACAAGGUAGCACCAGGAUCAAGUAAAGCAUAUACAUCAAUAGAAAAUACUUUAAACAUACCAUUCACCCUAUCGGGAGAAGUCUCUUGCUCACAUCUAGAGGGAAGAGCAUAAAAGGGAUUCUUCUUCGCAGCAUCGUCAGUUGAACCACUUUCUUGUUAACUUCCCUUUUCUUGAACCUUCAAAUUAGGGGAAUCUCUCACCUUGUGAAACAUUUUUCCAUAACUAAAACAAUUGCCCGUUCAAACUAAGCAGUCACAAAAAUGACCUUUCCCACACAUGGUACAAGUAAGCUUCUCAUUAGUUGAGUUUCCACUCAUUCCCUUUUGGAACUUAGGUUUAGGGAACUUAUCUACGCAAGUCAUAGGGAACUUAGAAGGAACAUGAUUGGAUAAUAUCUUAUUGAACUUAGGCUUAUCUUGGAUAUAAAUCCUACCCUUUGAAGAACCACCAUCAAAAGACAUGGCCCUAUUUCUGUAACAUCCCUAAAAAUGGAUAUGCUAAGCAAUGCUUAAUGUCUCUAGAAUGCCUACGAUUAGAUCGGGUUCACACGGAUUGAUGCGCGUAGAAUCAGACCUCUAAACCCUUGCUACAGCCAAGACAACUAUCUUGGGGAGUUAUUUGAGCUAGAAAAGGUUCGGUUCAUCCGUGUAGGGCUCUUGAAUACAAAGAUAUACUCAGAAGAUUCUUUACCAGACUUAAAAAAGGAAAGUCUUAGGUUUGGAGGGUCUAUGGGUAAGAUGUUAUAUUUUCGAGGCCAAGAGAAAUAUAGUAAUUACCCAAAGGAAAUUAUUAAUUUAUUAAUUAAUUUAAUGAAGUGGACAGUUUAAAUCGGGUCGACCCAAAAUAAACUGUUCGCGGUACUCACUCCACCCGCGUAUGAACCCCUAUGUAAGCUUCAAUUAAAUGUAUUUAAUUUGAGGUUUAUAUUGUGAUUUUUCAGGGCUUUAUGGUCAUUUCACUAAGCUAAUUAUAUAAUAUUUUUAUUAAGUUAAUAAGGAUUCCUACUAUGACUAAUUCCCAAACUAAAUUCCUAAUCCUAAACUACUCUCUCACGCUCAUAUCUCUCACGUCUUUCCACUUCUUAUUCACGUUUUCUGUGCCAAACAAGAGUACUAAAGCAGAAAAAUUACUACUGAUCUUCACACUUGAAGAAAUAACUAAAAAAUAUAUCAAAACAUAAGCAAAAAAUUUACGCAAAAAAGGGAAGUUCCACCGUCUAAUUGGUGUUGAAGUUGCAGGGAAUUGGACAUUAUUUUGGAGUAGGUUUUGGGAGCAAAUCCAAUGUUUAAAAGAGAUAAAAGGUAUGAGUUUUCUUACUCUUGGUCCCUUUCCCAUGAGACCCCUGGGGUUCUAUCGAUUCUAAUCCAAAAACUACGAUUGUUUCCCCAUUGCAUGUCCCUGUCAAUAGCUCCUAUCGAUGGUUGUACGUUUGUAUGUCUGUUGGUUGAUAUUAGGAAUGUAAUGUGUUUUUGUGAUUAAUAUAGUCAUGAAUAUGUGUUUCGAAUUGUAAGAUAUUAGGCAUGAAAUACUAAAAAUAGGAAAUGAGAGGAGUGGGAUUCGAACCCACCACAUCUCAGUAAGAUUUUAGGAGGAAUUAAAAGAAAAAAUAAAAGUUUGAGGCAUGUGGGAAUCGAACACACGACCUCUAGGCAGAAUAAAAGGAGAUUAAGGAGAAAAUUAAAGUGGGGAUAUGGAGGUUUGAUUCCACACCCUCUCAGUGAAGAAGGAGACAAUAAAAACAAAAGAAAAGAAAAGGAAAUGAGGUUUUGGGGGUUCUAUCCCACAUCCUCUCAGUCCCAAUGAACAAAAAAUAAAGUGAGAAAUGAAGGGGAAAAUGAAAUGAAAGCGUAGGGGAUCGAUCUUAGGUCCUCAAGCCAUGUGGAUCAAACCAAAAUAAAUAAAAAUGUACUGUUAUCUAAGGGAUUCAAAAUAGGGUUCCCUUUCCCAAAUUUCCUAUUAAUACAUAAGUCAUACGUAAAUAAACAUUCAAAAAUAAUAUUGCCUACAUAGAUUGAAAUCGAGAUCUUCACAUACUUACAAGAUGUAUAAAUCUUGUAGCACAUAAUCUUAGGAAGAUGUGAAUCACUUAAACGAACUAUGAUUGAAGCCUCAUGGCUUUUAUAUAUAGACCCAUAAGUCUAGCUUACGUGAAAAUUCAGUGAACCUAAGAUGUAUGUAACGAAAUUAUGAAACCCUAGAAGGGUCAGUAAGAGUGUGAAACACAUUAAAUGGACAAGUGCAUUGCCAUAUGAUGAAAUGAACAUUCACGUAAAAAGAAGAGAGUAAUUAUAAAGGGAAAAUAUGCUAAAUCUAAUGAAUGUGGUGACAACAUGAUAGGAGGCUAAUGUAAAAGAUGAGAGCAAUCUCAAAUGAGCCUAAGUAUGUGUUACCAAAACUUACUCACCUCUGAGAGUGUAAAGCUAUAGAAGAGACUAGUAUCUAUGAACACUCUAACGAAAGUAUUUAGAAUAAUGUAUACUUAAUACUAAUGACGAGAUGAGAAAUCAUCUAUUUAGCUAUAAUUUCCUAAUACUAGAAGUCAGCUUCCAUAACGUAUGAGUUAAAUGUAAUAGAACUUUAUAUUAAGCACCAAAAGGUUAGCUUUGAGCGGUUAUGCCUUCUUUUGGGAAGGGCGGAGGUUCAUGUAACUCUCAUGAGAUGUUACUGUCUCGCAUGCCGGGUAUGGUUCUCCUUUUAUCUCCUAGUCUUUGAAGCUAUACUGCCAAUUUAGGGAACUAGCAGGAUUUAUUUCCUUGUGUAUACUAGCAUGUUUUGGGUCACUUUGGCCGGUGAUUCCACCUUUUAUUGGUGUGGGGUAGGCAUUGGAUUUAAAGAUUCUCACAUGAUCUAUAUGAGUUAAUGUUAAAGUUCCCAAAGGAAUUAAUGAGGUCAUCCUCAAAUAAUGCAUAUAAUUAUAUGAACUAUACCGAAGGUGUUAGGAUAGGAUAAUUAAGAGGUGAUAUAGACUUAAGUAAUGACACUAGGUUAUUCUUGAUCGUUGCAUAGAAAACCCAAUGAGAGUCUUAAACUACAUCGUAGGUGUUGCUAAUGUUUGCACUAGAUUAUGAAUGAAGGAAAUGAAGUAUGAAUGAAUAAUGUAAACUCUGUGUUUGCUAAUGAAGGCUCCCUAGUUGAGAUCCCAUAUGUUGAGCCCUCAUUUUGGGAACUCUUAAUGUCAAAUCCAUGAUUCAAAGGUCUCAUCGCAUCUGAACGAAUGAUAUGAAAUAUGCUAUGUGUCAUAUGUGAUACGUUAUGUGCUAUAUGGAAGAUGUUAUGUGAUGUGUAUAAUAUGAUACGUAUGAUGAUGCAUGUUACUCUCAUGGCAUGACUUUACUAAAUUAAAUUUUGCAAGUCCCCCGAAUUUCCUAAUUCAUAUUUGGAAAAUCCCCUGACUUUCCUAAUUAAAAUUUGGAAUUCCCCUAACUUCCCUAAUCCCAAUUUGGCAAGUCCACUGACUUGACUUUCCAUAAGUCAUGUUCUUAGGAAAGAGCUAUUCUUCGUAGUUCAUAACCUUGGUGUGUGCUUGCAUAUACCCAUACUUAUUACAAGAGUUUACUAAUCCCAUACAACUCUACAUUUUUAGGUGCAGGCACAGGUGGACGUUGGAGCUUACAGCUCAACGCUGAAGCUAUCUGGACGUGGAGCACUCAUUAAGACUUGUUAGGCCCUCAUGCAUUAAUAGACGCUGCCCAUUAUAUUCUAGAUUAUUCAUAAGAUUGAUCUAGUGGAUUAUUUUCAACUAGCAUUUCUUUCCGGUUUAUUACAAACAUUGUAUUGGUGGAUUUUGGAAAGUAUAAUUUUAAUGCAUUAUUGAACUAUUUCUUUCAUCUGAGGUUCUUAAUAUUAUAUGCUUGAUGUUGAACGUAUAUGAAUUUAACAAGAAUGACUUACCUGAAUGUUAAGUAAAAAAGUUCAAAAAUUUUCCAAUAAAAUUAACCUAGAUGAAGUAACAAUGACAUAUGUAGCCUUGUCUGCGACCUCUGGGAGGUCAACGACACUGGUGUUCUCUGGUUAUAGACUCCGGUCGUGACAAAGUUCGUUUCAGAGAAUUAGGUUAAAUUACUAAGAUCAUAAGUUCACAUAAACCACAUUGAGUAGUUUCUAUGUCAUGGUAGUGAAGUGCACCACUAUCCUUAAUUAGAGACUACAUGAUGCAUGUGAAAAUUUCCUUUCUUCUGAUAUCGACGCGCCUUUUCCUAACGUCUGAUAUCUUUAUGUUAUGAAUGUGUCUACAAUCAAUCCUUAUUGUUUUCAGACAAUAAAUACUAGGAGAAUAUUUGUAAGAGGAUAGGAGGAGCAGUUGUUGGGGACAAUCAGGUUGCACCCCAGGCUCCAGUUGAAGGAGUGGCUAUUUCGGUUAACCCUGCUAGGUUGACUGAUGCGGAGGUGCAGGCAUCUCUAGACUAGAUGGCACAGGCCAUUACUAUGCAGGCCUAGAUCAUUACUUACCAGGUCAACCGGAAGAAUAUUCAGAGGGAGAACUCACCGGUUCGUAGCAUGCCUGAAAGUAUAUGAGACCUCACGAGGAUGAAUCCUCUUAUUUUCACAAGGUCUAAGAAUUCAGAAGAUCCCCAAGAGUUUGUGGAUGAGGUGCAUAAUAUUUUGGUGGCUAUGGGGGGCCACAGAUAUCGAGAAAGCAGAGUUGGCUCCCUAUUAACUUAAGGAUGUUGCACAAACUUGAUGCAAGAUGUGGAAGGAUAGCCGAGCUUUGGGUCUCUUGGGAGUUUUUUUGGAGAACCUUCCUAGAGAGAUUCUUCCUUAGUAAGAUAAGGGAGGACAAGGUUGAGGAGUUUAUCAACCUUAAGUAGGGAUCAAUGACAGUCAGGAAGUAUUCCCUAAAGUUUGUUAAACUAUGGAGGUAUGCAACUUCCCUUGUAUCUAAAAGCAGGGAUGAGAUGAGUAGGUUCCUCAUAGGAAUCACCGAAGGUAUGGAAGAGGAGUGUCGGGCUGCGAUGUUCCACGAUAUCAUGGAUCUCUCCAGGUAGAUAUUGCAUGUACAACGGUGGAGGACAGCCGGAAGAAGAGGGGUGUCUGUGAUUCGAAGAGGCCUAAGACUCAUUAUCAGGCAGGUCCUAGCAAUAGAGGCAAGAGAAAUAAUUUUGGGGUCCAUGAGCAGCCAUAUUCAAAAAGAGAAAAAAGAGUUCAGGUAAAUCUAACUUUCAGAGGAGUACAACACCUAGAGGAGGCAGACUCGAUACCAAGAAGGGUAAUGGAGGGUAUAUGCAGUGUCCCAAAAAGAAUUGUGGUAACUGUGUCCAUGCUCAUAGUUGACAAUGCAGACAGGACACUAAUGCCUACUUCUGUUGUAUUAAGAAAGGGAACAUGGUUAAGGACUUCCCACUGAACAGGGGUAAGGAUUGAGGUAAUGCUUAGCCUAGGCCUAAUGCACAGGGUGCAGCAACAGCCGCGCCUCCUAAGAGGAAUAGGUUCUACGCACUGAAGAGCACAGAGUAGGAUGAGAAGUCUGCUGAUGUGGUCAGAAGUAUUGUACAAGUAUUCUCAACUUCUGUUUAUGCUUUACUUGAUUCAUGCUCUACGCUUUUCUUUAUAACUCCUCUACUUCCUGAAGUUUUGCAUGAUCCUAUAGUGGUUGGUACACCUUUAGGAGAAAAUGUAAGAACUGAUAGAGUAUACAAGGAUUGCCCAAUAGUUGUAGGUGGUAAGACUAUGUGCGCAGACUUGGUUGACUUACCAAUGAAUGAUUUUGAUGUUAUGUUGUGACUGGCGUUGUGCUAGAUAACUAGUAGUGUCAUUCGGGGAUGAAUGACUCUAAGGGGGGAGAAUGUAACAACCCUAAAAAUGGAUAUGCUAAGUAAUGCUUAAUCUGUCUAGAAUGCCUACGAUUAGACGGGGUUCACUUGGAUUGAUGCGCGUAGAACCAGGCAUCUGAACCCUUGCUACAGCUAAUCCAACUAACUUGGGGAGUUACUUCUGCUAGAAAAGGUUGGGUCCAGCCAUGUAGGGCUCUCGAAUAUGAAGAUUUACUGGGUUGACUCUUUACCAUACUUAAAAAGGCAAAGUCUUAGGUUUGGGGGGUCUAGGGGUAAAAUGGUCUUUUCCAAGUAAAGGGUAAUAUCGUAAUUACCCUAAAGAAUUUAUUAACUUAUUAAUUAAUUUAAUUAAGUGGACGAUUCUAGUCGGGUCGACCAGAUAUGACCCAUUCGCGUUGGUCACUCCACCCGGGGUCAAACCCCAAUGGAAGCUUCAAUUAAAUGUAUUUAAUUUGAGGUUUAUAAUCUGAUUUUUAAGGGUUUUAUGUUCAUUUCACUAAUCUAAUUAAAUCAGAUUUUUAUUAAAUUAAUAAGGAGUCCUAGUUUGAUUAAUUCCCAAGCUAAAACUCCUAAUCCUAAACUACUCUCUCACGCUCAUCUCUCUCACGUCUCUCCACUUCUCUUUCACGUUUUCUAUGCCAAACAAGAGUAUUAAUGCAUAAAAAUUAUUAAAUUUUUUCACACUUGAAUAAAUUACCAAAAAAUAUAUUCAAAACACAAGAAAAAACAUUAUGAAAAAAAGGGAAGUUUUUCCGUCGAAUUGGUAUUGAGGUAGCAAGGAAUUGGAUGUGAUUUUUGAAAUGGUUUGGGCAGCAAGUUCAAGGUUUGAACGACAGAAAAGGUAUGAGUUUUCAUACUCUUGGUCCCUCUCCCAAGACACCCCUAGGAUUUAGUCGAUUCCAACCUGAAAAUUUGGAUUGUUUCCCUGUUGCAUGUCCAUGUCAGUAGCUCCUAUCGAUGGUUGUAGGUUGGUAUGUUCGCUGCUAUACAUUAAGCAUGUAAUGUAUUUUCAUGAUGAAGAUGUGUUUGAAAUCUUAUGACUGAUAACCUAUGUUUUCCGAAAAUAUGUGUUUACGUGUGUGCAAUGAUGUAAAAAUGCUGAUUUGAGUGCAAACUCUUUAUCGAAUGUGAUCUUGAAAAUGCACCUAAAGGAAUCACUAAAAAAAUACUCCAAACAUAUGCACAUUUAACGUGAAAGAAGUGAAAAAAUAGGCUGCGAAAAAUGUGAUCAAAAUUCCAGCACUUUGAUGAUAGUUUCGGUAAAGGUAAGUCAAUUAACAUGUUACGCAAAAUGAAGAAAAAUAAGUGAGGUCACUGAGGAUCAAACCUGUGACCUCACCAUGUUAAAAGUCAUAGAAAUAAUGUAAUCUAAAAGAAAUUUAGCAAGGAGUAUUUGAACCCGUGACCUUGACCGAAAAUGAAAUACUAAAAAUAAGAAAAGAGAGGAGUGGGAUUCGAACCCACCACCUCUUAGUGAGAUUAAAGGACAAAUUAAAAGAAAAGUAAUGGGUUGAGGUGUGUGGGAAUCAAACCCACGACCUCUAGGCAAAUAAAAGGAAUAUAAGGAGAAAUUUAAAGUGGGGUUGUGGGGGUUCAAUCCCACACCCUCUUGGUCAAGAAGGAGGGAAAUAAAAUAAAAGAAAAUAAAAGUAAAUGAGAUUGGUGGGGUUCGAUCCGAAACAAAAAAUAAAGAGAGAAAUCAUUGGAAAAUUAAAUGAAGGUGUUGGGGCUCGAUCUUGGGUUCUAAAGUCGUGUGGAUUAAACCAAAAUAAAUAAAAAUGUAAGUGUUGUUCAAGGGAUUCAAAAUCGCGUUACCUUGCCCAUAUUCCUUCUUGAUACAUAAGUCAUACGAAAAUAAAUGUACAAAAAUAAUGUUGCCUACAUAGAUCGAAAUCUAGAUCUUGGCCUGCUUACAAGUUGUAUAAUUUUUGUACCACAUAAUGCAAUGAAGAUAUGAAUCACUUAAACGAACUAUGAUUGAAGAAUCAUGGCUUGUAUGUAUAGACCCAUAAGUUUAGCAUACAUGUAAAGUAAGUGAAACUAAUAUGUAUGUAACGAAAUGAUGAAACCCUAGAAUGGUUGAGUAAGAGUGUGAAACGCACUAAAUGGCCAAGUGCAUUGACAUAUGAUGAAAUGAACAUUCACGUAAAGGAGGUGAGUGAUUAUUAAGAGCAAAUAUGCUAAAGAUAAUGAAUGUGGUGACAACAUGAUAAGAGGCUAAUGUUAAAAAUGAGAGCGAUCUGUAAUGAGCCUAUGUAAAUGUUACCAAAACCUACUCCCCUAUUAAAGUGUAAAUCUAAAGAAGAGACCCGUCUCUAUGAACACUCUAACAAAAUUAUUGAGAUUAAUGUAUGCUUAAUACUAAUGAUAAGAUAAGAAAUCAUCUAUUGAGCUAAGAUGUCCUCAUACUAGAACCCAGCUUCCAUGACGUAUGAGUUAAAUGUAAUGGAACUUUAUACUGAGCACCGAUAAGCUAGCUAUGAUGUUAUUCAUUUUUUUGAGAAGGGCAGAGGUUUACAUAACUUUCAUGAUAUGAGACUAUCCGGCACGCCGGGUAUGUGUCUCCGUAUAUCUACUAGUCUUUGAACCUAUACUACAAUAUAGGGAUCUUGCACGGUUCAUUUCCCUAUGUAAGCUAGAAUAUUUUAGGUCACAUUGGCCGGUGAUUCGAACUCUUUUCGGUUUGGGGCAGACAGUGGAUAUUAUGAUGCUCAGAUGAUCAAUGUCGGUUAAAGUUAAAGUUCCAAAUUAAUGAAUGAGGUCAGCCUCAAAUGAUGCACAUAAUGAUUUAAACGAUACUGAAGGUGUUUGGAUAGGAUAAUCAAGAGGUGAUCUACACUCAUGAAAUGACAUUAGGCUAUUCUUGAUCAUUGCCUAGCGAACCCGAUGAGAGUAUUACACUACAUCCUAGGUAUGGCUAGUGUUUACACUAGAUUAUGAAUGAAUGAAAUGAAGUACGUAUGAAUGAAUGAAGCAAACUCUUUGCUAAAGAAGGCUCCCUAGGUGAGGUCCCAUAUGUUGAGACGUCAUUUUGGUAAGUCUUAAUGUCAAGUCCAUGAUUCCAAUGUCUCAUGGCAUAUGAAUGAAUGAUAUGAAAUAUGUUAUGUGCUAUAUAUAAUAUGUAAUGUGCUAUGUGGAAGAUGUUAUGUGAUGCGUACAAUAUGAUACGUACGAUAAUGCAUGUAACUCUCGUGGGAUAACUUUCCUAAACCAUAUUUGGCAAGUCCCCUUACUUUCCUAAUUGAAAUUUUGCGAUUCCCCUGACUUUCCUUAUUAAAAUUUUGAAAGUCCCUUGACUUUCCUAAUCCCAAUUUUGCAAGUCCACUGACUUGACUUUCCAUAAAUCAUAUUGUUAGGAAAUAGCUAUUCUUACUUACUCAUGACCUUGGUGUGUGCUUGUAUAUACCCAUACAUAGUAGAAGUGUGUAAUAAUCCCAUACAAGUCUACAUUUUUAGGUGCAGGCACAGGUGGACAUUAGAGCUUACAGAUCGACGAUGAGGGUAUCCGGACAUGGAGCAUCCAUCCGGACUUGGUAGGCACUCAUGCAUUCGAGGACGCUUGCCCAUUAUAUUCUAGCUUAGUUAUAGUAUUGAGGUAGUGGAGUAUGUUCCACUAGAGUUUAUUUCCCGUUUAUUUUAAACAUUGUAUUGGUGCCAUUUUGGAAAGUAUACACUUAAUGCAGUAUUGAACUAUUUCUUUCAUUUGAUGUUCUUAAUGUUAGAUGGUUGAUAGUGAACAUAUAUGAAUUUAAGUUGUAUGACUAACAUGAAUGUUAAGUAAAAAAAAGUUCAAAUUUUCCAAUAAAAUUAACCUAGAUGAAAUAACGAUGGCGUAUGUAGGCUUUUCUGCCACCUUUGAGAGGUCAAUGACGCCGGUCUCAUCUGUGGUCUAAACUCCGGUCGUUAUAAUUUUCUUCCCUACUCUUCCUCUUCACCCUAGUCUCUUCCACUUCUUGAGAAUUUGCUAUGAGAUGACAAAUAUUCAUAUUAUCAUGUAGCAUAGCCUAAGGACAUUUUUCUUUCAAAUAAUCUGAUACUUCCGUCAUAAAGAGCUCAUUUUAUCUCUAUGUCGGAACCAUUGAAGGAGCAUAUUUUUAUAAGUUAGUGAAUUUCAACAAGUCAAGUACACUCAUACCACCUUGAUGAAGGUUGAUGAGUUCUUCCAGUUUGGCUUCCCUCUCCUAUCUAUGAAAGAACCGAUCAACAAAAGCCUUCUUGAAAAUAUCCUAUGUCACCGUACUACCACUUAGAGGACUAUUGUCUCUCCAUUAGACAUACAAAGUUUGGGCCACAUCUUUUAGUUUGUAAGUGGCUACAUCUGCUUUCUCACUAGAAGUCAACCCCAUUACAUAGAGAAUCUUUUAUUAUUCAUCAAUGAUCUCUUGGGGGUCUUCCUCCACUUUGGACCCAUAUAAAGGAGGACUCAUCCUAGUGAAAUCCCUCAAAUAGGAGGUCGUAGUGCUAACUUGUUAGUUUUCUUGGGGUACCACCUCCCGAUUAGCUUGAGCCAUCAUAGCUUGUGCUUCAGUAGUGAAGGCUUUUACAUGGGUUGUAAUGACGUGGGACAUUCGGAUAAAAGCUUCCCUGAUAUCCCCAUCCGCCAUUGGAGGAGGAGCAAAUGGAACUUGAUCACCCAUAGCAACUUCUUCAAGUUGAGGCACUUGGUUGUGUUGUGCUCCCGCAUUUUCAAUACCUUCGUCUGCCCUUCUUGCGGCUGAUAUUAGGGUAUUCAUACCUAUAACCACCAUACAAGGUUUUGGUGAAAUAACACAUAAUGUAGACUCAAGAGUCACUGCAUAGGAUUACAAGAAUAUGAGAGUCUCCUAAGCAUCACAUAGUUCCUCAUUCAUAAUUAUGGAGCACUUCACAAUUAUGAAUAAUAAAUUACAUAGACAUGGUUUAAAGAGAUAUCAAUCCUAAAGAUAUUAAACCUCAUGCUCUGAUACCAAGUUUGUCAGAUUCGGAGAGCACCCCCUAAAUGUAACCAACAUCGUCUUCCACUUUUAGAACUAAGACUAGUCUCUUAGCAUACAUCAUUACAUUCAUAGGUUGAAAUGAAGAAACUUUAAAAAAAAUUAUUACUUAUACAUUGAGGUUUACAUAGAGCUAUACAUACACACAAUAUAUUAAUAUUGACAUAGACUGCAAAAUCUAAGUGUGGAAUCUGGUGUUGUAAAAUCUUACAUCGAUGGAAGGUUGUCUACGGGCCAAAUUGGACCUAAAUAAAAAUGUAGAUUUUUAGGUGGAUCCACUAGCUAUUCUUCCUAUGAUGGAAACAUAUUUAUAGAACUAUGAGAUAUGUAUGAACCCUCUACAUGCCUAUGGAAUUGGAACCUCAUCUCAUGGGAAUCCAUUGGGUUAGUGUCCCUCAUAGGGGAGUGAACACCUCAUAUGGAACUAUAGAGUGAAUCUUCCUCUAUGGGAAGUCAAGACCUCCCAUUGUGAAGUUCAUGCACUUCUACGUAAGUCUCUUUGAAAUGUCUUUCUUUAACAAUCAUCACUUAUUUUAGGUCAUAAGGUCUAUCUCUUGUAUAAUCAUAGUCAUUUAGCUCAAGAGGUAUUGUAUGAGAAUAUCCUUUCAUGGCAUACCAACAUUAUUAUUUCACAACAAGGCACAUAGGAAAGUAAUCACCAACCUUAUUUCAUUUCAUCAUAAGCAUAAUCUCACAAUCACAUAGUCAAGACUUUUCAAUUAAACAUCAUACCAAUACCUAUUUAGGUUGUUCACAAGGUAUACUUCAAUUGAACUACAUCACCAAUACAAGACAUCAUACUUAAAGGAAAUGUUAGGAUCAUGAAGACUUACUGUAUCUCCUUCACAAUGCAUCAUCAUGGUCUUACCAUCAACUACCCAUUUACAUCCAAUAAUAGGUGUAGUAACAUCCAUCAAUAGUAAAUAAUACAAGAACUAGGUCAACUGCAUCAUCACUAUCCUAAUUAACAUCAAUUCAUAACCUACGAUUAGGGGAAAGAGGGUUCGGCAUAAAUUUGACCCACUCUAAUAAAUAAAUUACCUUGGCGAAUCCAUAUAUGAAUUAAAAUAUAUAAAAACAAGUCUAAUAAUCAAUUCACAUUUCAAUUCCCACCAAUUUAUAACCAAGAUCUAUGAUUUGGAACAAGUGGGGAAGGGACCAUGAUAAAAAUCAAAUUUCAUAAAUUAACAUCAAUUAAUAAACAAUAUAUACUCAAUAAGUCAUAGGAAAUCACAAUUCAUCAUCAAUUUAAUGUUUAGAAGAAUACCCAUUAAAAUUGGAAAACCCCAUGUAAUUGAGUAAUUUGAAAAUCAACUUUUAGAGGACCUCUUCGGGAAUGGAACCCCAAGAGAGAAUAAACCAUACCUUAAUGAAUAUUAAUCUACUAAAUUGAAGUGAAAUCCUAGAGGAAUUGACCUUCUUCUUCAAGCUUAUUUCCUUCUUCAAUGGAGAAAUAGGGGAGAGAGAAAGUAGAGAGAGGUGAGAGCUAAUGGAUUUUUUUCUCAGAAAUUCGAUUUGGAUAACUGAAAAUGCACUAACAUGACCCUUAGACUAUAUAUAAUAACCUCCUAAAAUACCCAAAACACCCCUCACUUAAAUGGGUCUUUUUGUGAAGUCAAAAUGUCAAAAAUAUAAUUUUACCGAAUCAGGGAAGUGGCUCCGCAUCGCGGGGCCAACACACAUUUUAUUUCCCAAAAAUAAUUUGAAUAAUUGAGAUCCGUGUGGUCUGCAUGUUGCACAUCAGCCCACUGAUUCAUGACUUUCGUAGGCUGCUUUGGCAGCCUGCCCACCCAUGUCGGGGUCUUCCCCCAUGACCCUUCGGGUGGUCCUUGACGAAUCGUUAUUGGAUGUUUAGACCUUCUAUACUAAAUUCUACCUAAGAAAAGUCUUUUUAAAUGUUUUAGACUGCAUGUGACCCCUCCGAAACAAUCCCCUUACACAGUGAUGUCAACUAGUUCACUUAAGCUAGAUUCUGAACAUCAUGGAGGUUCUUCAACAUCUUCGCUCUAAAACUUCUUGGAUGACUUAUAUAUAUUAUAUUAGGUUUUAAAAUUAUUUAAAUCUUUAAACAUUCAAGUUAGGCUAUAUAUUAGGUCUUGAAUUUUUGGAGUGUUACAUAUCCACUAGCUAAGCCUUCCUAUGGGGGCAACAUAAUUUAGGAACUAGGAGAUAUGUAUGAACUCUCUACAUGCCAAAGGUGGAACCUGAUAUCAUGAGAAUCCAUAGGGUGAGUAUCCCUCGACGAGGAGUCAACACCUCAUAUGGAACUAUAGGGUGAAUCUUCCUCUGCAGAAACUCAAAACCUCCCAUUGUCAAGUUCUUUCGUUGCUAAGCUAAAGUCACUUUUUGAAAUAUCUUUAAAUCAUCCGUUAUUAUAAAAACUUAGUUUAGGUUACAGGGUUUAUACCUUAUAUAUUUAUCAUCACCAUAUCUAAACAGGAAUUGCAUGAGUAUUUUCCUUUCAGUACAAUUUAUACAUGUUGGUUAGCAAAUUUACAUAAUCACAACAUUAUAUGGCCCAUUGGUAAGUUAUCACCAUCCUUACAACAUUUAAAAUCUUAUCCACCAACUCACAAUCCACAGUUUAAGACAUUUAAAUUUAAAACCAUGCCAACCCUAUAAUUCCUUAUCAUAAGUUAUACUUCAAUAUAACUUCAUUACUAAACACAACUAAUCAUAAUCCAAGUAAACGGUUGAGAUUACAAGACUUACCAAAUCUCCUUCUUAAGCCAUCAUCAAGGUCUUACUAUCGACCAUCCAAUUCAACCCAACAAUAGGUGCAAUAUCAUCUUACAAUAGUAACCCACAUAAUAACAAAGUAAAUUGAAUCACUACACAACCAUUCAUUACUAGUUUUUAUUCUAGGAUUAAGGACUUAGGUCAAAUUCAUGAUGUACUUCACAAUCUAGGUCAAUUCAUCAAGAACUCUCAUAAUUGGAUUACAACAUAUCACCAUAUAUUCAUAACUUCGCAUAACAAAAACAUAGAAUAGUAAUUCACAUAUUAACCAAGCUAGUUAUGUCAAUACUAGAUAAUCGAAUUCAAGACUACAACUUAGGGUUAGGGGGAAAAGGUCAUCGUCUACAAACUAGAUCAAUGCAUCAAAAGGUAAUCCACUUGAGUCAUAACACAUGUUAAUCUAAUCAUAAUAAACAAAAGUAAUCAUCAACAAAGAAAUUCACAAGAUCAAUUUCAUAUUGGAAUAACACCCACUUGAAUUUCAUCUUUUUGAAAUCAAUUUUAAGGAACCGUUUGGGGAAAGAAAUCCAAAAGGUGAAAGGAAUUCCAUAAAUUACUAAUUGAUGAAGUUUUAUGAAUAAAACAUUCUCCAUUUCAUCCCUAAAACCCUCCUUAGAAUUUUCUUCUAUGGAGUAUCUUUGGGAGAGAGAAGGAAGAGCAAUUGGGUUUUGGUAUUUAUGAGAGUUAAGUGAGAUUUUAGGCUUAGGGUAGUUUAUAUAGGGACUUUACAAACUUAAUUAACCACACCCUAAUCCAUAAAUAACCUCAUAAAUAAGCUAACUAAUUAAAUUUACUAAAUAAAAUAAGGGAGCAACACAGAGUCUUGACAGACGAAACCCCGACCAACGUGCCGUUUAUCAAUUGACGGCCAAGGGACCAACUGUCAUGUUGGUCCGUCGUAAGCUACAGAGACCAGUCCAAAUGAACUCAUGGAAAAAGUGACUAUGUUUCAGUCAAGGACAUCGACUCCCCGUUAAUUGGACCACGCCCCGUCGAUGGGCACCGUUUGUGGACACUGUAUCUUGACAACUUUUUCCACAAAUUGCAAAGGUCUUCCUCUAGAGACUUAUGUUGGUCCUUAAGGACUCGUACCUGGACAUUUCGACUAUAAACUAACUCUUAUAUGUGUUAAACACCUUUCCACUAAAUUUUAUCAUUUUCCGACUCCUAAAACUUAGUAAAAUAGUCUAAGGCACACUAGCACCUCAUUGAACUAGUUUUUGGAUGUCGUAGACGUUCUUUGACGAUUCAUUAUUAAACUUCCUAAAUGACUUAUAUAUAUUAAAAUUGACUUUAAAACAGUGUCAAAACUCUUGGAAUAUCAUGUUAGGAGGCUCAAGUUUAGGCAUUAGACUUUCGGAGUGUUACAUUAUCCCCCCCCCCUGUAGGAACUUUCGUCCCCACAUAACACUAAAAUCUUUUAGAAAGAAGGAAUACACUCAAGACUAGCAGCUCAACCAACAAAAAUACAUUAUAACAUGAUUUAAAACAUCAAUCAUAGAAUUUACACAUAGCAAUUCAAAACUUCAAUUACUACAAAUAAAGCUCAAAAUCACCAUAUAAGGAAUUUCCUCUCUCACAACAACAUGAGCUCAACAUAUCAUUAAGGAGUCAGCUAUUCCAAAACUCAAACAAUCAACAUGAUCAAUAUCAUUUUAUAAAUACUCAACAUACAAAAUGCACAACAUAACUCAAAACAAGUAAAAUUGACAAUUUUCAAGUCUAUAGGCAUAACUUUACUAUAAUUCACUAUAACAUCAACAAUUUUGCAAAACAUCACCAUAAAUCCAAACAACAUAAAAUUUAGUCAUUAAUUUUAUUAUUAGUAAGAGCAACUAACCUUCGUUAGGAAAGAGAUGAGGAUAACGGGACAUUAUGUCGGCCUCGGCCUCCCAAUUUGGUGUACCUACUUGAGCCGGAUGAAAGGAAACUUUCACGUCCGAUUUUGAAGGGGGGGAGAUCCUAUAGAAUCCUAUCCCAAUUUUUCUUUUGCUAGGCCCAUAACUAAAAACCCCACUUUCUUACGAUUACGAGGUUUAUUCGAAUAUGAAAUCCAAUCUUGGAAAUACAGCAUCCCAAUUUUUUUUACUACCCAGGGUUUCGAUACAUUUCGCAAUCGAGAAAUCUCUACUGGCGCAGGUGCUAUCCGAGAACAAUUAGCCGAUCUAGAUUUACGAAUUAUUAUAGAGAAUUCGUUGGUAGAAUGGGAAGAGUUGGGGGAAGAAGGGCACACAAGGAAUGAAUGGGAAGAUCGAAAAGUUGGAAGAAGAAAGGACUUUUUGGUUAGACGCGUGGAAUUGGCUAAGCAUUUUAUUCGAACAAAUAUAGAGCCCGAAUGGAUGGUUUUGUGUCUAUUACCAGUUCUACCUCCUGAGUUGAGACCGAUCAUUCAGAUAGAUGGGGGUAAACUAAUGAGCUCAGAUAUUAAUGAACUCUAUAGAAGAGUUAUCUAUCAGAACAAUACCCUUACCGAUCUAUUCACAACAAGUAGAUCUACGCCAGGAGAAUUAGUAAUGUGUCAGGAGAAAUUAGUACAAGAAGCCGUGGAUACACUUCUUGAUAAUGGAAUCCGGGGACAACCAAUGAGGGACGGUCAUAAUAAAGUUUACAAGUCAUUUUCUGAUGUAAUUGAAGGCAAAGAGGGAAGAUUUCGUGAGACUCUGCUUGGUAAACGAGUCGAUUAUUCAGGACGUUCUGUCAUUGUCGUGGGUCCUUCACUUUCAUUACAUCGAUGUGGAUUGCCUCGUGAAAUAGCAAUAGAACUUUUCCAGACAUUUGUAAUUCGUGGUCUAAUUAGACAACAUCUUGCUUCGAACAUAGGAGUUGCUAAGAGUAAAAUUCUAGAAAAAGAGCCGAUUGUAUAGGAAAUCCUUCAAGAAGUUAUGCAGGGACACCCUGUAUUGCUGAAUAGAGCACCUACGCUGCAUAGAUUAGGCAUACAGGCAUUCCAGCCCGUUUUAGUGGAGGGCCGCGCUAUUUGUUUACAUCCAUUAGUUUGCAAGGGAUUCAAUGCCGAUUUUGAUGGAGAUCAAAUGGCUGUUCAUGUACCUUUAUCCUUGGAGGCUCAAGUAGAGGCCCGUUUACUUAUGUUUUCUCAUAUGAAUCUUUUGUCUCCGGCUAUUGGGGAUCCCAUUUUCGUGCCAACGCAAGAUAUGCUUAUUGGACUCUAUGUAUUAACGAGCGGAAAUCAUCGAGGUAUUUGUGUAAAUAGAUAUAAUCCAUGUAAUCGCAGAAACUAUCAAAAUCAAAAAAGAAGUGACAAUAGUUACUAUAAGUAUACGAAAGAACCCUUUUUUUCGAAUUCCUAUGAUGCAAUUGGGGCUUAUCGGCAGAAACGAAUUAAUUUAGAUAGUCCUUUGUGGCUCCGGUGGCGACUAGAUCAACGCGUUAUUGCUUCAAGAGAAACUCCCAUCGAAGUUCACUAUGAAUCUUUAGGUACUUUUUAUGAGAUUUAUGGACACUAUCUAAUAGUAAGAAGUCUAAAAAAAAUACUUUUUAUAUACAUUCGAACCACUGUUGGUCAUGUUGCUCUUUAUCGAGAAAUCGAAGAAGCUAUACAGGGGUUUUCUCGGGCCUAUUCAUAUGCUACUUAAUUCUAUGAUACCGUGGGACUUCGGGGCUCUCCGGUUCAGCUAGGUCCAUAGUUCCGGAAUUUAUACGCGAAUCAAGAUCGAUAAAAGGAAGUUUUACCAUCACCGACUCAAACCCAUUGUCGAAUCCUACUUAGCGGAAUAUGGAGGUACUUAUGGCAGAACGGGCCAAUCUGGUCUUUCACAAUAAAGCGAUAGACAGAACUGCCAUGAAACGACUUAUUAGUACAUUAAUAGAGCACUUCGGAAUGGCAUAUACAUCACAUAUCCUGGAUCAAGUAAAAACUCUGGGGUUCCAACAAGCUACUGCUACAUCCAAUUCAUUAGGAAUUGAUGAUCUUUUAACAAUACCUUCUAAGGGAUGGCUAGUUCAAGAUGCUGAACAACAAAGUUUGAUUUUGGAAAAACACCAUCAGUAUGGAAAUGUACACGCGGUAGAAAAAUUACGUCAAUCCAUUGAAAUAUGGUAUGCUACAAGUGAAUAUUUGCGCCAAGAAAUGAAUCCGAAUUUUAGGAUGACUGACCCUUUUAAUCCAGUUCAUAUAAUGUCUUUCUCGGGAGCUCGAGGAAAUGCAUCUCAGGUACAUCAAUUAGUAGGUAUGAGAGGAUUAAUGUCGGAUCCUCAAGGACAAAUGAUUGAUUUACCUAUUCAAAGCAAUUUACGCGAAGGACUCUCUUUAACAGAAUACAUCAUUUCUUGCUACGGAGCCCGUAAAGGAGUUGUGGAUACUGCUGUACGAACAUCAGACGCUGGAUAUCUCACUCGCAGACUUGUUGAAGUAGUUCAACACAUUGUUGUACGUCGAACGGAUUGUGGCACCGCCCGGGGUAUUUCUGUGAGUCCUCGGAAUGGGAUAAUGCCGGAAAGGAUUUUUAGUCAAACAUUAAUUGGUCGUGUAUUAGCAGAUGAUAUAUACAUGGGUUCACGAUGUAUUGCCACUACAAACCAAGCCAUUGGCAUUGGACUUGUAAAUCGAUUUAUAACCUUUCGGGCACAACCAAUCUCUAUUCGAACUCCCUUUACUUGUAGGAGUACAUCUUGGAUUUGUCGAUUAUGUUAUGGGCGUAGUCCUACUCAUGGCGACCUGGUUGAAUUGGGGGAAGCUGUAGGUAUUAUUGCAGGUCAAUCGAUUGGAGAACCGGGUACUCAAUUAACAUUACGAACUUUUCAUACCGGAGGAGUAUUCACGGGGGGUACUGCAGAACAUGUGCGAGCCCCAUCUAAUGGAAAAAUAAAAUUCAAUGAGGACUUGGUUCAUCCGACACGUACACGUCAUGGGCAUCCCGCCUUUCUAUGUUCUAUAGACUUGUAUGUAACUAUUGAGAGUGAAGAUAUUCUACAUAAUGUGAAUAUUCCACCCAAAAGUUUGCUUUUAGUUCAAAAUGAUCAAUACGUAGAAUCAGAACAAGUAAUUGAUGAGAUUCGCGCAGGAAUAUCCACUUUGAAUUUUAAAGAAAAGGUUCGAAAACAUAUUUAUUCUGAUUCAGACGGAGAAAUGCACUGGAGUACCGAUGUCUAUCAUGCACCCGAAUUUACAUAUGGUAAUGUUCAUCUAUUACAAAAAACAAGUCAUUUAUGGAUAUUAUUAGGAGGGUCGUGCAGGUCCAGUCUAGUCUACCUUUCGAUCCACAAGGAUCAGGAUCAAAUGAAUGCACAUUCUCUUUCUGGCAAGCGAAGAUAUACUUCUAACCUCUCAGUAACCAAUGAUCAGGCGAGGCAGAAAUUGUUUAGUUCGGAUUUUUAUGGUCAAAAAGAAGAUAGGAUUCCUGAUUAUUCAGACCUUAAUCGAAUCAUAUGUACUGGCCAGUAUAAUCUCGUAUAUUCGCCUAUUCUUCACGGGAAUUCUGCUUUAUUGUCAAAAAGGCGAAGAAAUAAAUUCAUCAUUCCACUACACUCGAUUCAAGAACUCGAGAAUGAACUAAUGCCCUGUUCAGGUAUCUCGAUUGAAAUCCCCGUAAAUGGUAUUUUCCGUCGAAAUAGUAUUCUUGCUUAUUUCGAUGAUCCUCGAUACAGAAGAAAGAGUUCGGGCAUUAUUAAAUAUGGGACUAUAGAAACGCAUUCGGUCAUCAAAAAAGAGGAUUUGAUUGAGUAUCGAGGAGUCAAGGAAUUUAGGCCAAAAUACCAAAUGAAAGUAGAUCGAUUUUUUUUCAUUCCUGAAGAGGUGCAUAUCUUGCCCGGAUCUUCUUCCCUAAUGGUACGGAACAAUUGUAUCGUUGGGGUCGAUACACAAAUCACCUUAAAUCUAAGAAGCCGAGUCGGUGGGUUGGUCCGGGUGGAGAGAAAAAAAAACGAAUUGAACUGAAAUUCUUUUCUGGAGAUAUCCAUUUUCCUGGAGAGACGGAUAAGAUAUCCAGGCAUACCGGCGUUUUGAUACCACCGGGAACAGGAAAAAGAAAUUCCAAGGAAUACAAAAAAGUUCAAAAUUGGAUCUAUGUCCAACGAAUUACACCUAGUAAGAAAAG